GACAAUCAAAAUAUGGACAGAACAUAAAUAUUUAAUAUGUAAAUGGUAGGUAACAAAUCCAACUACAAAAUUGUGCAAGCAACCCACUAGCUAGUUUUAUUGAAUAUUAAAAUAACAUAGUUGAUUUCUAAAACAUAAAAAAAUUAUUAUCUCAUCAACGCAUAAUUAUUUUGAGAACCAUAAGGUUGAGAUUUAUCCACCCAAAAACUAUUGUGUUGUUGUUGCUGGUGUGCAAUUAAUCUUGCAGGGACAGUUGAUGAAGCAUUCUCCAAGAUCUGGCUAGCACAAGUUAUCUAUUUGACAGCAGAAUUCCCGUCCUGGGAGCUGGUGCCCAUCUUUAUAACAAGGGGGUCUAGUUACAUGGCUUACUUUGCUCAUCAUGUUUCUCCCCUUGUUGUUUAUGAUUUCACCUAAUUAAUAUAAAAUAAAGAAUAUACUUAUCAUCUCAUCAUAUCAACAAUAAAAGUCCACAGUAUCAAUACCACCAAAAAAUCGAGUUGUUAAUUACCAUAUGUGCCUCCAAGACAAGUCAAACACACCACAAGAAGAAAAGAAAGUAGCACAAGUCCUUGCACAUUGUUCCUCGUGAACUUGGUCAUCGUCACUAAGGAAUAGAGGCUAUUAAUGGGUGGUACUCUUGUAAGUGGAGUUGAUGAGUGUAUGACCGUGAAAUGCUUGCUCCAUGAAUGGUUCAUAUAUAUAUAGGAAAAGCUUCUCCGUGUCGAUGUGUGAAGUUAUAGAAAAUAUUAAUGCUUGGAGUUCUGCCUUGUGUGAAUUUCCAAUUUUAGUUUCACUUCUAAAGAUUCAUGGUUCCUUCUAGAGUUUUUUUCUCAAAUUUAUGCUUUGUCAUAGCAUGUAAGUUACUUUAAUGCCCCCUCUAGAAUUGAUCGCUCAUUGUUUUCAAGGGGUAGAAAGUACCUCUUAGAAUGGGUAGUAAAAAACUGGUGCAUGGCAAUAUUGUGUUUAAGGCAUUGAUAAUAAUUGGUAUAAUAUCAAUAAUUCGUAUAUAUAUGAUGCCUUAUCAAUAAAAUUAUUAAUUUCUGUCUUGGUAUAAGAGAACAGAAUUUAAAAUUCAACAAGACUCAUCCACUUAACAUUGGACUUGUUUUUUAAUGUAUGUAAGCAAUUGUUCUUAAGUAUAUCAACAAGUUACAGAUACAUUUUUUAAAUAUAAGAUGAUGAUUUAUUUUCAUAUACAUGAACAUUUUAUAUCAAGGUACUUGAGCAUUUUUUACAUUUUUCUAUACACAAAAUUUUCUCCAAUAUUAAGUCGAUUUUUUUUAAAUAGAUUAGUUUCCCCAAAACUUUCUUUAUUAGAAUGGUGAAAAUGUCGCACUUGCCCAGCUAGGGAAAAUUUCGUUAGGCAGAGCUGCCCAAUUCUCGGAACUCCCUAUAAGUUCCUCCUUGCCGCUACCAACCUCCCCUUCAGACAGCGCAUGCCUGGCUGGUCCGACCCAUUGACGACACGAAUGGACACCACCGAGUGGGAGAGUAGGCGUUGAGCCAAUCCACUUUAGCAACAAUUUUUUCAUUUUUGGAAAAUAUCUUUGCAAAUUGAACAAGCAUUGAUAAAUGCGAAGUUUUUUUUGAACAUAUUCUAAAAUUUAAAAUUUCUUAAAACCCCAAUUAGGUUUGGAAUUUCAUACAUUCUUCUGAAAAAAUGAACACUUUUGGAAAUACUUAACAUUAUUUGAAAACUAAGACCUUUUCUUGGAGAACCAACAAUUUUAUGAAAAACGUGUUAGUUUUAUAAUUUGUAGAAUGUUUUUCAAAAUUAUGAUUUUUAAGAACACAAACAAUUUUUGAAAUUUUGAACAAAAUUUGAGAAUAGGAACAUUUCCCGAAAACUUGAAUAUUUUCUAAAUUUCAAAUUUCCACACAUUUUAAAAAAAGGAGACUUUUUGAUAAAGAUAAUAAGAAAAAUAAAACAAUGAAAAAACAAAUAAGAAAAACUAUAACAUCCUAAUUUUCAAUUUGGAUGUUAUACAUAGAUCAGCAGAUGCAUAUCAUAUUUAUUCUUUCUUUUGGUUGAGAUCCUAGAGAUCUUAAGCAAGUCAAGGACCCAAGGAGAGAGUUGGAGGUUUCACAAAAUUCAUAUUUGAAUUUAUUUCAAAUUUGAGCGAAGGAUCAAUUUGAUUUUAUUAUUUUUCUCUCUAAUUUUUUCCAAUAAUAAAAAUACAUGAGAGAAGAUAAUAUGACUUCUUCAACCUAAGAUAAAUAUUGGAGAAAGAAUUUUAAAAUCAAAUUAUGAUUUUAUUAGAAUUUUAUUUGAAUUAGAAAAAUAUUGUAUUUUUUAAAAUUGCAUCUUAGUCCAGAAAAAUGUUUAUCUUGUCCUAAAUAUUAGGUUUGGACGGUGAAAAUUAUUUCUGGAAUUUUUAGAUUUUUCUUUAUAAUUUAUUAGGAUUUUUCUUUCGGGCGAAAUUUAUUUUUUUUAAAAAGUUAUUUCCGCCCGAAUGGGCCGAAGGCCCAGCCGAGCCGGCCCAGAAGCAGCGCCACCGCCAUCCCCGUGCGGUAGUCCGCCCCGCUGCCGCCAGCGUGCCGCCGGCCAAGUCCGAGGCGGGCACGCCUCCCGAAGCCGGCCCCUUCCCCAAGACGAGGUCGAGCCCCAUCCUUAAAUAGCGCAUCGCCCCGCCACCUCUCCUCCACACCGCCGCCGCCUCCCACUAGCAGCAGCAGCAAUAGCCCCGCACUGCCGCCGCCGCGCCGCUUUUCGCCGCCUGUGACGCCCCCGAUUCAAUCGUACACUAAUCAUACAUGCAAAUGUGUACGAUCAAGAUCAGGGACUCACGGGAAGAUAUCACAACACAACUCUAAAACUAAAAUAAGUCAUACAAGCAUCAUAAUACAAGCCAGGGGCCUCGAGUCCUCGAAUACAAGUGCUUGAUCAUAGACGACUCAGCGGAAGCAACAAUAUCUGAGUACAGACAUAAGUUAAACAAGCUUGCCUUAAGAAGGCUAGCACAAACUGGGAUACAGAUCGAAAGAGGCGCAUGCCUCCUACCUGGGAUCCUCCUAAACUACUCCUGGUCAUCGUCAGCGGCCUGCACGCAGUAGUAGGCACCUCCAGUGUAGUAGGAGUUGUCGUCGGUGGCGUAUGGCUCCUGGGAUGCAACGUCUUGUUGCGGCAUCCGAGAAGAAGAGGAAAACGGGGGAAAAGAGGGAGCAAAGCAACCAUGAGUACUCAUCCAAAGUACUCGCAAGCAAGGAGAUACACUACAUAUGCAUGGGUAUAUGUGUAAGGAGGCAAUAUCAGUGGAAUGAACUGCAGAAUGCCAGAAUAAGAGGGGGAUAGCUAGUCCUAUCGAAGACUACGCUUCUGGCAGCCUCCGCCUUGCAGCAUGUAGAAGAGAGUAGAUUGAAGUCCUCCAAGUAGCAUCGCAUAGCAUAAUCCUACCCGGCAAUCCGUCCCUCGUCACCCUAUGGGAAAGCGAUCACCGGGAUGUCUCUGGAACUUGUAUGGAUGUGUUUUAUUAAGUAUCCGGUUCUAGUUGUCAUAAGGUCAAGGUACAACUCCAAGUCGUCCUGUUACCGAAGAUCACGGCUAUUCGAAUAGAUUAACUUCCCUGCAGGGGUGCACCACAUUUCCCAACACGCUCGAUACCCUUUGGCCGGACACAAUUUCCUGGGUCAUGCCCGGCCUAGGAAGAUCAACACGUCGUAGCCCCACCUAGGCACAACAGAGAGGUCAGCACGCUAUCUAACUUCUAUGGCACAGGGGUUUGGGUCCAUCGCCCAUUGCACACGUGCACGUUGCGAGGGCGGCCGGAAGUAGACUAGCCCCCUUAAUACAAGUGUAGGCUUACGGUCCAAUCCGACGCGCGCCGAUCAGUCGCUGACGUCAAGAAGGCUUCGGCUGAUACCACGACGUCGAGUGCCCAUAACUGUUCCCGCAUAGUUGGUUAGUGCGUAUAGGCCAGUGGCCAGACUCAGAUAAAAUACCAAGAUCUCGUUACGCAUGUUAUUAUGAAGUAACCCCGAACGCCGGCCAGGGCUAGGCCCACCUCUCUCCUAGGUGGCCUCAAACUGCCCUGUCGCUCCACCACAAAGAUCCACACACAGGGCCGUCGGGAAAGUAUGUCCUUUCAGCCCCCAAUUCAUGAACCAACCGCGGGUACUCAACGAGCCGACACGACUUUAGUCACCAUCUGUAUAGCAUGUAUAUAUGUAUAGUAUAAACCCAUGAUCACCUCCCGAGUGACCACGGCUUGAUAGUAUAGCAAGGCAGACUGACAAGAAUGUAGGGCCACAGAUGAUAAACUAGCAUCCUAUACUAACUAUUUAGGAUUGCAAGUAAGGUAUCAACAGAUGUAGCAACCAUGACAGGCUAUGCAUCAGAAUAGGAUUAACGGAAAGCAGAAACAUGCUACACUACUCUAAUGCAAGCAGUAUAGAGGAGAGUAUACGAUAUCUGGUAAUCAAGGGGGGGGGGCUUGCCUGGUUGCUCUGGCAAGAAGGAGGGGUCGUCAACUCCAUAGUCGUACUGGGUGCUAGUGUAAGAAACAAUUAAUAUAGUGCAAAGUUGCAAACAUAAGCAUGAAGAUGUAAGACAUGAAAAUGAGCGGUGCUAGGUGUGCCCUAACGAGGUAGUAGGCGAUACCGGCGAAAGGGGGAAACAUCCAGGAAAGUAUCGUCGGUGUUUCGCGUUUUCGAACAGAUGAACCGGAGGUGAAAUGUUGCAUGUUUGCUAUGCUAGGGAUGCGUGGCGGACAAACGGGAUGUGUAUUUGGAUUUGUCUUGUUGUUCUAAGCAACUUUCAUAUACAAAGUUUUUCCAUCCGAGUUACGGAUUAUUUAAUAUUAAUUUUUAAAGAUUUAAAUCAAUUUAUAAAUUAUUAGUAUUAAUUAAAUUCAAAAAUGGCAUUACUGCAUCAGCAUGACGUCAGCAUGACAUCAUCAGUCAAUAGAGGUGUUGACUAGGUCAAGCUGACGUGUGGGUCCCAUCUGCCAUUGACACAUUGCCCUAACUAACAAACUAGUUAGUUUAAUUAAAUAUUUAGGUUAAUUAAGUUUAGUUAUUUUAACUAAACAUGAUAAAUUAAGUUAAUUAAUUAGUUAAUUAAUUAAUUAACCAAUUUUAUUAUUAUUAGUAUAAUUUUAUCUUAUUAUUAUUAUUUUUUAAAUGUUUUGAGGGUGGGGCCCCCUUGUCAUAGGCCCCUGGGGACCUAGUGGAGUGCGUUAACGGGCGCUGGGGCGCUGCGGGCGUGCGCCUGAGUCCACCAUGGAAGGGGACUCCUGCCAGGGGAGGGGGCGGCUGUGGCGGAGCGGCGUGGGACCGAUGGGGCGUAGGCGAUGCACGUGACGGCGCGCGCGAGCUGCAGCGGUGGAGGUGGUGGCGGGGUCGCGCGGGCGGAGCAAAGGUGCGACAGCCGGAGCGGAGUAGUGCAGCGAGCAGCACUGCUCGUGGCGUCGCGCGGGCACAGUAAGCACGGGAGGCGGGCCGACACAGGACCAGGCAUAGCAGCGGCGGCACAGGGCGCGGCCAGCGCCCGUUGCGCGCGUGCUUCGUUGUUGGUAGGCGCAGCCACGACGACGUGAGCCACGGCGGGAAGAAGGAACACGGGAGGGGGCGCAGUAGCAGCAGGCGAGCGAGGCGCACACGGGGCGAUGAUGGGCAGCGACAGCGAGCGCGGUGGGGCGGUGCGCGUGCGUGCGUGAACGACGGACGAGCGGCCGGAGCGAACAACGAGUGCGGGGAGAGGAGGAGAGGCCGAGGGCCUCACCGCGGUUGUAGGGUCUUAGGCAGCGGGGCGUGGGGAGGACGACGGGGACGACGUGCGGCGGGGCGACGAGGUCCGGCGGCAGGGUGGACGUAGGCGAUGGCGUCUGACAAGGUGGCAGCGCGGUGGCUCCGGCGACUGCGUCGGGGCGCCGUGGGCGCCCAGAUCCAGAACGGGGAGGAGGAGGUCGAGGAUGGGGCGUCAGGGCGUCGAGCGACACCAGCAAGGGGCGACGGAGUCAGGGACGAUGGGGUCGGGGCGGUUUGCCCCGAUCCAGUAACCGGGAGGGGAGUGGGGGAGCGAGCGAGUGUGGGGUGAGUGGAAUCCUGGUAUCUAGGGUUUCGGGCGAUAGGAGGAUAUGGAGAGUGGGGUGGGCCGGUCGGGCCAGGAUGGGAGUUGGGCCGGGUAACCCAGUUGGCCUGGGGCUUUCCCGCACUUUUUACUUUAUUAAUUUUUUGUUUAGUCUCCUUUUUUAUUCUUUUCCAUUUUCUAUUUUAUUUAUUUUAGAGCAUCAUAGCAUUUUCUAAAUAUGGGGUUUCUUCACUAUAAUUACCUAUGUAAUAUUUGGCACAAUCCGGACAUUUUAGUUUCAUUGUUCGAAAACCUUUUUGUUUGCCUAAUUUUUAAUUUGAAUUUGAAUCGGUUUCGAACUAACACGAGAUUAGUAACAGUAAUCAAGGUGACGUGGCAUCAUUAGCGGAGGUUCAAUGUAGCUUAAGUAUCCGAGUGUCAUAAUUCUCCUCCACUACAAGAAAUCUCGUCGCGAGAUUUAAGCGGUGUAUUAAGGGGGAAGGUGCUGGUAGCGAAAAAGCUAACGAGUCUUCUCGGUCUUGGCUGCCCUUUCGAAGAGGUUGAUCCCUUUCGUUGAUGUCUUCAUUUCUCUGCUUCAAGUCACCAUGACCAAGUCGUCAUCCUUUCUUCGGGAUCUCCAUCAUCCUACGAACGCGACCAAGGGGAAAACUCCGGAAGAACGCAUCUCCGCAAAGUUGGGCAUCUGGCGGUGAACUCAAUGGGAAAUACACAAGGUACCACACGAGUUGUAUUUCAGUGAAUUCGUUGAGUGCAAUAUACGAUGGUACCAAAGUUUCAAACGGGUAGGCAAUCAUUCGAUGACUAGACAGAAGCUGGAAUGGGGGUUUGAACAAUGAGAAUAACAUGGCAUUUGAUUCCAGGAGGAAUAAUGGUAUAGCAUUUAGCUCGUGAAUCACAUACGAAGCUAGGUGCAAAGGAUACAUUAGAAUCCGGGUUGUAAAGAAGAGUCAGGUUUCGAUCCAGUGGACCUGUGGGUUAUGGGCCCACCAUGUGGGUUGACAGUAGGAAGGGUGGUGACAUCUUGCACAGCCGCAACAGGGAGGCAUGUCAGGGCAACAAUUGUCAGUAACAAGGACAGGAAACAAAGAGAGCAAUUUUCCUGCUUGUUGAACAGGUGAACCAAUUGGCAAAGUUAUCACCCAUUGGUGGUUACCGGAAUGUAAUAAACAAUAGUAACAUGGUCUUACAAACAGAGUGGUACAACAAGUUGCCUACCUAAGCAGGGAAUUAUCUCUGCUCAGUUAAGUCAGAUUUAGGAAAGGUUAAACAAAAGAAUGGAAAGGAAAACGCGAUUAUCAGAUUAAACGGAACAAUGGAAAGGAAAAUUGUGAUUACACACAAUUAUUUGGAGUAUAUCCUUCCCAUGUACAAGCAGAACAUGGAAUACAAGAUAGGAGAGCAAGUACCCAACCAUUCAGAUAAGGGGCAAGGAUUAAUCAAGAUGUUACCCAUACAACAUCGUUUGGAUAACUCACCAAGAAACAUUUAGCAUCGCGCCUCCAAUGUUCUUGUUGAUGAGCGGGGUAUCAUAUGAAGGAAAUAUGCCCUAGAGGCAAUAAUAAAGUUAUUAUUUAUUUCCUUAUUUCAUGAUAAAUGUUUAUUAUUCAUGCUAGAAUUGUAUUAACCGGAAACAUAAUACAUGUGUGAAUACAUAGACAAACAGAGUGUCACUAGUAUGCCUCUACUUGACUAGCUCGUUAAUUAAAGAUGGUUAUGUUUCCUAACCAUAGACAUGAGUUGUCAUUUGAUUAACGGGAUCACAUCAUUUGGAGAAUGAUGUGAUUGACUUGACCCAUUCCGUUAGCUUAGCACUUGAUCGUUUAGUAUGUUGCUAUUGCUUUCUUCAUGACUUAUACAUGUUCCUGUAACUAUGAGAUUAUGCAACUCCCGUUUACCGGAGGAACACUUUGGGUACUACCAAACGUCACAACGUAACUGGAUGAUUAUAAAGGAGUACUAUAGGUGUCUCCGAAGGUACAUUUUGAGUUGGCGUAUUUCUAUUUGUCACUCCGAUUGUCGGAGAGGUAUCUCUGGGCCCUCUCGGUAAUGCACAUCACUAUAAGCCUUGCAAGCAAUGUGACCAAUAAGUUGGUUACGGGAUGAUGUAUUACGUAACGAGUAAAGAGACUUGCCAGUAACGAGAUUGAACUAGGUAUUGGAUACCGGCGAUCAAAUCUCGGGCAAGUAACAUACCGAUGACAAAGGGAACAACAUAUGUUGUUAUGCGGUUUGACCGAUAAAGAUCUCUGUAGAAUAUGUAGGAACCAAUAUGGGCAUCCAGGUUCCGCUAUUGGUUAUUGACCGAGAAUAGUUCUAGGUCAUGUCUACAUAGUUCUCGAACCCGUAGGGUCCGCACGCUUAACGUUACGAUGACAGUUUUAUUAUGAGUUUAUAAGUUUUGAUGUACCGAUGUUUGUUCGGAGUCCCGUAUUUGAUCACGGACAUGACGAGGAGUCUCGAAAUGGUCGAGACAUAAAGAUUGAUAUAUUGGACGACUAUAUUCGGACACCGGAAGUGUUUCGGACGUUGUCGGAGAAAAACGGAGUGCCGGAGGGUUACUGGAACCCCCCGAGGAGAGAUAAUGGGCCACAUGGGCCUUGGUGGAAAGAGAGAGGGGCGGCCAGGGUGGGCCGCGCGCCCCUCUCCCUCUGGUCCGAAUUGGACUAGGAGGGGGUGGGGGCGGCGCCCCCCUCUUUCCUUCCCCCCUCUUCCCCUUCCUUCCCCCUCCUUGUAGGAGUAGGAAAAGGGGAGUCCUACUCCUACUAGGAGGAGGACUCCUCCUCCUUGGCGCGCCCACAAGGGCCGGCCGGCCUCCCCCCUCCCUCCUUUAUAUACAGGGGCAGGGGGCACCCCAGGACACACAAGUUGAUCUACGGAUCGUUCCUUAGCCGUGUGCGGUGCCCCCCUCCCCCAUAUUCCACCUCGGUCAUAUUGUCGCGGAGUUUAGGCGAAGCCCUGCGCCGGUAGAACAUCAUCAUCGUCACCAUGCCGUCGUGCUGACGGAACUCAUCCUCGAAGCUUUGCUGGAUCGGAGCCCGGGGAUCGUCAUCGAGCUGAAUGUGUGCUGAACUCAGAGGUGCCGUACGUUCGGUGCUUGGAUCGGUCGGAUCGUGAAGACGUACGACUACAUCAACCGCGUUGUCAUAACGCUUCCGCUUACGGUCUACGAGGGUACGUGGACAACACUCUCCCCUCUCGUUGCUAUGUCAUCACCAUGAUCUUGCAUGUACGUAGAAUUUUUAUGAAAUUACUACGUUCCCCAACAGUGGCAUCCGAGCCUAGGUUUUAUGCGUAGAUGUCGUAUGCACGAGUAGAACACAAGUGAGUUGUGGGCGAUACAAGUCAUACUGCUUACCAGCAUGUCAUACUUUGGUUCGAUGGUAUUGUGAGAUGAAGCAUCCCGGACCGACAUUACGCGUACGCUUACGCGAGACUGGUUUCACCGUUACGAGCACUCGUGCUUAAAGGUGGCUGGCUGGUGUCUGUCUCUCUCACUUUAGUUGAACCAAGUGUGGCUACCCCCGGUCCUUGAGAAGGUUAAAACAACACCAACUUGACGAACUAUCGUUGUGGUUUUGAUGCGUAGGUAAGAACGGUUCUUGCUCAGCCCGUAGCAGCCACGUAAAACUUGCAACAACAAAGUAGAGGACGUCUAACUUGUUUUUGCAGGGCAUGUUGUGAUGUGAUAUGGUCAAGACGUGAUGAGAUAUAAGUUGUUGUAUGAGAUGAUCAUGUUGAAGUUAUCGGCAACUGGCAGAAGCUCUAUGGUUGUCUCUUUGUUGCAUAAGAUGCAAGUGCCAAAUAAUUGCUUUACUUUAUCGCUAUGCGAUAGCAAUAGUUGCAAGAGCAAUAGUUGGCGAGACGACCAUGUGACGACACAUUGAUAUAGAUCAAGAUGAUGAAGAUCAUGGUGUCGUGCCGGUGACGAUAGAGAUCAUGACAGUACUUUGGAGAUGGAGAUCGAAGGCGCAAGAUGAUCAUGGCCAUAUCAUGUCACAUAUUUUGAUUGCAUAUGAUGUUUAUCUGUUAUACAUCUUAUUCUGUUUUGUUUGACGGUAGCAUUAUAAGAUGAUCUCUCACUAAUUAUCAAGAAGUGUUCUCCCUGAGUAUGCACCGUUGCCAAAGUUCGUCGUGCCCAGACACCACGUGAUGAUCGGGUGUGAUAAGCUCUACUUCCAUCUACAACGGGUGCAAGCCAGUUUUGCACACGCGGAAUACUCAGGUUAAACUUGACGAGCCUAGCAUAUGCAGAUAUGGCCUCGGAACAUGGAGGCCGAAAGGUCGAGCGUGAAUCAUAUAGUAGAUAUGAUCAACAUAAUGAUGUUCACCAUUGAAAGCUACUCCAUUUCACGUGAUGAUCGGUUAUGGUUUAGUUGAUUUGGAUCACGUGAUCACUUAGAGGAUUAGAGGGAUGUCUUUCUAAGUGGGAGUUCUUAAGUAAUAUGAUUAAUUGAACUUAAAUUUAUCAUGAACUUAGUCCUGGUAGAAUUUUGCAAAUUAUGUUGUAGAUCAAUAGCUUGCGUUGUUACUCUCAUAUGUUUAUUUUGAUAUGUUCCUAGAGAAAAUUGUGUUGAAAAAUGUUAGUGGCAAUGAUGCGGAUUGGAUCCGUGAUCUGAGGUUUAUCCUCAUUGCUGCGCAGAAGAAUUAUGUCCUUGAUGCACCGCUAGGUGAAAAACCUAUUGCAGGAGCAGAUGCAGACGUUAUCAACGUUUGGCUAGCUCAAUAUGAUGACUACUUGAUAGUUUAGUGCACCAUGCUUAACGGCUUAGAAUCGGGACUUCAAAGACGUUUUGAACGUCAUGGACCAUAUGAGAUGUUCCAGGAGUUGAAGUUAAUAUUUCAAGCAAAUACCCGAGUUGAGAGAUAUGAAGUCCCCAACAAGUUCUAUAGCUAAAAGAUGGAGGAGAAUCGCUCAACUAGUGAGCAUGUGCUUAGAUUGUUUAGGUACUACAAUCGCUUGAAUCAAGUGGGAGUUAAUCCUCCAGAUAAGAUAGUGAUUGACAGAAUUCUCUAGUCACCACACCAAGUUAGUAGAACUUUGUGAUGAACUAUAGUAUGCAAGGGAUGACGAAAACGAUUCCCGAGCUCUUCGUGAUGUUGAAAUCGACGAAGGUAUAAAUCAAGAAAGAGCAUCAAGUGUUGAUGAUUGACAAGACCAGUAGUUUCAAGAAAAGGGCAAAGGGAUAGAAAGGGAACUUCAAGUAGAAUGACAAGCAAGUUGUCACUCCCGCGAAGAAGCCCACAGCUGGACCAAAGCCUGAAACUGAGUGCUUACACUGCAAAGGAAAUGGUCACUGGAAGCGGAAAUGCCCUGAAUAUUUGGUGGAUAAGAAGGAUGGCGAAGUGAACAAGAGUAUAUUUGAUAUACAAGUUAUUGAUGUGUGCCUUACUAGUGUUUAUAGUAGCCCCUGAGUAUUUGAUACUUGUUCAGUUGCUAAGAUUAGUAACUCGAAACAGGAGUUAUAUAAACAGAGACUAGUUGAAAGGGAAGUGACGAUGAGUGUUGGAAGUGGUUCCAAGAUUGAUAUGAUCAUCAUCGCACACUCCCUAUACUUUCGGGAUUAGUGUUAAACCUAAAUAAAUGUUAUUUGGCGUUUGCAUUGAGCAUGAAUAUGAUUUGAUCAUGUUUAUUGCGAUACGGUUAUUCAUUUGAAGUUAAAGAAUAAUUGUUAUUCUGUUUACAUGAAUAAGACCUUCGAUGGUUAUACGCCCAAUGGAAAUAGUUUGUUGGAUCUCGAUCGUAGUGAGACACAUAUUCAGAACAUUGAUGCCAAAAGAUGCAAAGUUAAUAAUGAUAGUGCAACUUAUUUGUGGCACUGCCGUUUAGGUCAUAUUGGUGUAAAGCGCAUGAAGAAACUCCAUAAAAGAUGGAUUUUCGGAAUCACUUGGUUAUGAAUCAUUUGAUGCUUGCGAACCGUGCCUUUUGGGCAAGAUGACUAAAACUCCGUUCUCCGGAACAAUGGAACAAGCUACUGACUUAUUGGAAAUAAUACAUACCGAUGUAUGCGAUCCAAUGAGUGUUGAUGCUCGCGGCAAAUAUCAUUAUUUUCUGACCUUCACAGAUGAUUUCAGCAGAUAUGGGUAUAUCUACUCAAUGAAACAUAAGUCUGAAACGUUUGAAAAGUUCAAAGAAUUUCAGAGUGAAGUUGAAAAUCAUCGUAACAAGAAAAUAAAAUUUCUACGAUCUGAUCAUGGAGGAGAAUAUUUGAGUUACGAGUUUGGUCUACAUUUGAAACAAUGCGGAAUAGUUUCACAACUCACGCCACCUGGAACACCACAACGUUAUGGUGUGUCCGAAUGUGGUAACCGCACUUUAUUGGAUAUGGUGCGAUCUAUGAUGUCUCUUACUGAUUUACCAUUAUCGUUUUGGGGUUAUGCAUUAGAGACAACUGCAUUCACGUUAAAAGGGCACCAUCUAAAACCGUUGAGACGACACCGUAUGAACUAUGGUUUAGCAGUAAACCUAAGCUGUCGUUUCUUAAAGUUUGGAGUUGCGAUGCUUAUAUGAAAAAGGUUUUCAACCUGAUAAGCUCGAACCCAAAUCGGAGGAAUGCGUCUUCAUAGAAUACCCAAAGGAAACUGUUGGGUACUCCUUCUAUCAUAGAUCCAAAGGCAAAACAUUCGUUGCUAAGAAUGGAUCCUUUCUAGAGAAGGAGUUUCUCUCGAAAGAAGUGAGUGGGAGGAAAGUAGAACUUGAUGAGGUAACUGUACCUGCUCCCUUAUUUGAAAGUAGUUCAUCACAGAAAUUUGUUCCUGUGACUACUACACCAAUUAGUGAGGAAGUUAAUGAUGAUGAUCAUGAAACUUCAGAUUAAGUUACAACAGAACCUCGUAGGUCUUCCAGAGUAAGAUCCGCACCAGAGUGGUACGGUAAUCCUGUUCUGGAAGUUAUGUUACUAGACCAUGACGAACCUACGAACUAUGAAGAAGCGAUGGUGAGCCCAGAUUCCGCAAAAUGGCUUGAGGCCAUGAGAUCUGAGAUAAGAUCCAUGUAUGAAAACAAAGUAUGGACUUUGAUUGACUUGCCCAAUGACCGGCGAGACAUUGAGAUUAAAUGGAUCUUCAAGAGGAAGACGGACGCUGAUAGUGUUACUAUCUACAAAGAUAGAAUUGUCGCAAAAGGUUUUCGACAAGUUCAAGGUGUUGACUAUGAUGAGAGUUUUUCACUCUUAUCUAUGCUUAAGUCUGUCUGAAUCAUGUUAGCAAUUGCCGCAUUUUAUGAAAUCUGGCAAAUGGAUAAACAAAACUGCAUUCCUUAAUGGUUUUCUUAAAGAAGAGUUGUAUAUGAUGCAACCAGAAGGUUUUGUCAAUCCUAAAGGUGCUAACUAAUUGUGCAAGCUCCAGCGAUCCAUCUAUGGACUGGUGCAAGUAUCUCGGAGUUGGAAUAUACGCUUUGAUGAGUUGAUCAAAGCAUAUGGUUUUAUACAGACUUUUGAAGAAGCCUGUAUUUACAAGAAAGUGAGUGGGAGCUCUGUAGCAUUUCUAAUAUUAUAUGUGGAUGACAUAUUGUUAACUGGAAAUGAUAUGGAAAUUCUGGAUAGCAUGAAAGGAUACUUGAAUAAGAGUUUUUCAAAGCAAGACCUUGGUGAAGCUGCUUACACAUUGAGCAUCAAAAUCUAUAUAGAUAGAUCAAGACGCUUGAUAAGAUUUUUCAAUGAGUACAUACCUUGAUAAAUUUUUGAAAUAGUUCAAUAUGGAACAGUCAAAGAAGGAGUUCUUGCCUGUGAUGCAAAGGUAUGAAGUUGAGUAAGACUAAAAACCCGACCAUGGCAGAAAAUAGAAAAGAAUGAACAGUCAUUCCCUAUGCCUCAGUCAUAGGUUCUAUAAAGUAUUCUAUGCUAUGUACUAGACCUAUUGUAUACCUUGCUCUGAGUUUGGCAAAGGAAUACAAUUUUGAUCUAAAAGUAGAUCACUAGAACAGCGGUCAAGAAUAUCCUUAGUGAGGACUAAGGAGAUGUUUCUCGAUUAUGGAGGUGAUAAAAGAGCCAGUCGUAAAAAGUUACAACGAUGCAAGCUUUUACACCAAUCCAGAUGACUUUAAGUCUCAAUCUGGAUACAUAUUGCAAGUGGGAGCAAUUAGCUAGAGUAGCUCCGUGCAGAGCAUUGUGGACAUAGAAUAUUUGCAAAAUACAUACGGCUCUGAAUGUGACAGACUCGUUGACUAAACUUCUCUCAUGAGCAAAACAUGAUCAUACCUUAGUACUCUUUGGGUGUUAAUCACAUAGCCAUGUGAACUAGAUUAUUGACUCUAGUAAACCCUUUGGGCGUUGAUCACAUGACGAUGUGAACUAUGGGUAUUAAUCACAUAUAGAUGUGAAUAUUGGUGUUAAAUCACAUGGUGAUGUGAACUAGAUUAUUGACUCUAGUGCAAGUGGGAGACUGAAGGAAAUAUGCCCUAGAGGCAAUAAUAAAGUUAUUAUGUAUUUCCUUAUUUCAUGAUAAAUGUUUAUUAUUCAUGCUAGAAUUGUAUUAACCGGAAACAUAAUACAUGUGUGAAUACAUAGACAAACAGAGUGUCACUAGUAUGCCUCUACUUGACUAGCUCGUUAAUUAAAGAUGGUUAUGUUUCCUAACCAUAGACAUGACUUGACCCAUUCCGUUAGCUUAGCACUUGAUCGUUUAGUAUGUUGCUAUUGCUUUCUUCAUGACUUAUACAUGUUCCUGUAACUAUGAGAUUAUGCAACUCCCGUUUACCGGAGGAACACUUUGGGUACUACCAAACGUCACAACAUAACUGGGUGAUUAUAAAGGAGUACUACAGGUGUCUCCGAAGGUACAUGUUGAGUUGGCGUAUUUUGAGAUUAGGUUUUGUCACUCCGAUUGUCGGAGAGGUAUCUCUGGGCCCUCUCGGUAAUGCACAUCACUAUAAUCCUUGCAAGCAAUGUGACCAAUAAGUUGGUUACGGGAUGAUGCAUUACGUAACGAGUAAAGAGACUUGCCGGUAACGAGAUUGAACUAGGUAUUGGAUACCGAUGAUCAAAUCUCGGGCAAGUAACAUACCGAUGACAAAGGGAACAACGUAUGUUGUUAUGCGGUUUGACCAAUAAAGAUCUUCGUAGAAUAUGUAGGAACCAAUAUGGGCAUCCAGGUUCCGCUAUUGGUUAUUGACCGAGAAUAGUUCUAGGUCAUGUCUACAUAGUUCUCGAACCCGUAGGGUCCGCAUGCUUAACGUUACGAUGACAGUUUUAUUAUGAGUUUAUAAGUUUUGAUGUACCGAAGUUUUUUCAGAGUCCCGGAUGUGAUCACGGACAUGACGAGGAGUCUCGAAAUGGUCGAGACAUAAAGAUUGAUAUAUUGGACGACUAUAUUCGGACACCGGAAGUGUUCCGAACGUUGUCGGAGAAAACCGGAGUGCUGGAGGGUUACCGGAACCCCCCGGGGAGAGAUAAUGGGCCACAUGGGCCUUGGUGGAAAGAGAGAGGGGCGGCCAGGGUGGGCCACGCGCCCCCUCUCCCUCUGGUCCGAAUUGGACUAGGAGGGGGGGCGGGGCGGCGCCCCCCUCUUUCCUUCCCCCUUCUUCCCCUUCCUUCCCCCUCCUAGUAGGAGUAGGAAAAGGGGAGUCCUACUCCUACUAGGAGGAGGACUCCUCCUCCUUGGCGCGCCCACAAGGGCCGGCCGGCCUCCCCCUCCCUCCUUUAUAUACGGGGGCAGGGGGGCACCCCAGGACACACAAGUUGAUCUACGGAUCGUUCCUUAGCCGUGUGCGGUGCCCCCCUCCACCAUAUUCUACCUCGGUCAUAUCGUCGCGGAGUUUAGGCGAAGCCCUGCGCCGGAAGAACAUCAUCAUCGUCACCACGCCGUCGUGCUGACGGAACUCAUCCCCGAAGCUUUGCUGGAUCGGAGCCCGGGGAUCGUCAUCGAGCUGAACGUGUGCUAAACUCGGAGGUCCCGUACGUUCGGUGCUUGGAUCGGUUGGAUCGUGAAGAGUACGACUACAUCAACUGCGUUGUCAUAACGCUUCCGCAUACGGUCUACGAGGGUACGUGGACAACACUCUCCCCUCUUGUUGCUAUGUCAUCACCAUGAUCUUGCGUGUACGUAGAAUUUUUUUGAAAUUACUACGUUCCCCAACAUCAUAGUCAUGCUUCGAGGUAGCAAUGAUAUGGGGUUCCAAUCAAGGCCAGACUUUGGAUACACAAAUGAUCCAUCAGGAGCAACUUAUAAAAUAAGUCCUACAAUUUCCUCCAGGAAGAAUGGUUAUCCUUGCAAAAGAAAUUAUAAUCAUAGGUCCUCCAGCCAGGGGUGCUAGGCAUGACAUCAUAUUACCUGGUCAUCAAAGGACCAACAUCAUAACUCCUGGAAAGUUGUCCUAACCAUAAUAUCUGACCGAGAUUCUGAUCCGAUUGGUGUCAUGAUACCUCAGACUCAGGAUGUCCGAGAAGAAAAGGUGUGACACAAAUUGAUGAAAUGACAUUGCAAGAUUCUCAGGAAAUGAACUAUGGGAGUGGGUUCCUGAAACAAUAGUUCAUCAUUAAACCAAGGAGGGGAUGAGGAGGUUGCUGAUGGGCUCAGCGACAAUUCAACGAGAAUUCCAAACGGAUGGAUUUCCACACUUAUGUGAACAAGAAGAUGACACUUGUUAAUUCAAAUGAUAUAAUGUUGUAUGCUCGAGGAAAACAUACACCAUCAAGCAUUAGUUGUAAGGUGUGCCUGAAAUAUGACCUUAGGCAGCAGGGUCAAUGUUAGAGUGAUGAUUCAAUGACCAACAGUCUAAGAUUGAACUGUUGAUCAUUAACUUCAAAGCAAUAGGGUUGCUAGAAGUACAGAACUCAAGCAGCAUCGUUGGCAUAUCGGUAUCCUGGUUAAAAACAACACGGGGACCAAGGAAGAAUGGUGAUGGUGGGAAGUAUUAUCAUACCGAGAAUUUCUAAGAGGUGGAGCAAUCCACACAACAUCUUGGCAGAAAAGACAGUAAUACUUCAAGGCAGAACACAACACUAGCUGGACAGCAAGUUGUAUUCAUAAUAUGGACAAGUUCGCGAUGAAAGGAAGUCAAGGGUUUUGUUGAUGAUAAUAAAAAUCAUCAAGGGCAAGGAGGGAAUUUCUCAUCAUGAACACAGUUGGCAUCUCAGAAGAAGUCAAAGUGUUGAAGGUGAUCCAACACAUUUGCCGGGAGAUUUCAAGAGGAUGAAAUCAAACAACAACGGCAACAAGCGAGGGAAUGACGAAGUGGCAAGUUAUAGAAUCAAUAUAUAGGAUGCAAGCUCGGGACCAAAUUGCCUUUCAAGACAAGAAACAUGAUGUUGAAAGCUCGACGUAAGUCGUGCUCACAGACUGAAGAUUCGUGCACCAGAGAAGGAUGAGGUAGCACCGUCAAAGGUAGCAAGACCUGGAUGCAACCGAUAGUCUAGGAAUGACCAGAUUUAGUUCAGAAUUUCCUAGUAAAAAUACUAGGGGUAUUAGAUUUGUAGUGCGGAAUAAUUUCACUAGUCGGUGUCCUCGGUUGACAACAACGCAGAACCCGUAGAGUGAUUACGGCAAGGAAAUACAUUACUUCAACAAAGUUAGUAAGAUGUGGUGCAAUGGCAAGACAUCUCCGAGAUACCAGGGGUAAUACUCGAAGGUAGAACAAGAUAGAAGUAGAACCGGGUCAUUGACCUAUGACAUUAGAUACUUCAACCUUGCCAAAAAUAGACGAGGCACUGGAAUGAAUUCCCAUCAGAUAUAUCAGAUCAGGACAACAUGGUCGGAACCAUAACUGUAAGGAAUCAAUUUCAAGAAUACCGAAAGAAUCAUACAGCUAGAUAAUCAUUUUGCAAGAAGCUUCUCAGACGGUCUACAUCAUUUUCAUGGGCAUGAACACAAAGUUCAAGGUCGACUCCCACUUCUUCAAUGCAUAUCAUCUCAUUCACCUUUGGUUUGAUAUAACUGUAGUGUUGAAAGUUUAUCUGGUAGAAAACCGGAAGAGUAUGACUUGUGAAAACUUUCGGGUUCUCACGAAUUAGGGGAAGGCAUAGGUUCAACCCACCGGGAAACUUAGUAACCUAUACCACAAGUUUCAAAAGUAAAUACACAAGCUCGAAAGAAGAGCAUGGUUGGCCAAGUAGAGGAUACAAUUUACCAAAGGCACUAUGUAUCAGGGAAAGAACUCACAUGGUGAUUGAAUAUGAAGGACACGGUCGGAUAACAAUCCAACAAUGGAUAGGGCGAUCCACAACGGAGCUGAUGUGAGUAUCGGUACUCACUCGGAGGAAGAAAGAAUGCAGAGGAAUCAGAUUCAAGAAUCACCUGAUCAGUCUGAUGCUUAAAUAGAAAGAAAUUAUGGUUUCCAAAAUGAAGGAUCAGAAGCAGAUGCUCUGAUCAAGGAUGGAUAAGUUGAAAACACCUAGUUGGACAAUCAAUAAAGGUUUGAAUUGCCGAGAACCAACUCAUGUCCGGAAUGACGUCUGAGCCGGAAAGAGAAUCUUAAAAAGGAUAACAUGAUGACUGCGUGUGUACGCACACAUUGAAUCAAUAGGCUCAAAAUGACUAAGACAAGGGAUGUUAACGAGGACUACUAGUCAUAUGGAAUUACCCAUAAUGCAAGCAUGCAAGCGUUUCAAGAGUAACAGGCUGCAGAGGAUUUUUGAAAGAUCGAAAAGUAUUCCGAAGAAUCAUGUGAGACACAUGAACAAUUGAGAAGAAUGGAUCCUUGAUAAAUGUGAGGAAAAACCCGUAAGGGUUUUCACGCCAAAUAAAACUGCAACACAGUAAACUCAAAGGAUUUUCGGGACAACGACGAAUAUUUCGAGGCAUCAUGUAACAACAAGAGCAGCGAGGAAUGAUCAAGAGAAUGACAAGUGCAUACAGAUAUCCAUAGGUAUAUAUUGGUGACAGUGGAUUGCAAAGGUGAUGAGCACAAGGGUCUCGGGAAAAUAUCAAGGGAUAUCUUCAGAAUCUUCUGAUGCAAUAAGCAAUCAUCUGGAGUGAGGGAUCUCUGGGAGGAAGUAGUUACGAGAACCUAGAGUGGGCGUUAGUAAAAUCAUUUAACCAGAAUAGAGGAGAGAUCAGUGUCCCAGAGUAAAGGUCGAGGAGUAAAAGAUCCUAAUACCACCCAAUGGCGACGUGGGCCCGCAAGCCACACAUCCAAGUUAGUAAAACAGUUUUCGGCUUCUAGACUCAACUUCGGCCAAGGAGUUGGAAAGGGGAUUCCUAUAGGCAGUCGGCUCUGAUACCAACUUGUGACGCCGCCGAUUCAAUCAUACACUAAUCAUACACGCAAAUGUGUACGAUCAAGAUCAGGGAAUCACAGGAAGAUAUCACAACACAACUCUAAAAAUAAAAUAAGUCAUACAAGCAUCAUAAUACAAGCCAGGGGCCUCGAGGGCUCGAAUACAAGUGCUUGAUCAUAGACGAGUCAGCGGAAGCAACAAUAUCUGAGUACAGACAUAAGUUAAACAAGCUUGCCUUAAGAAGGCUAGCACAAACUGGGAUACGAAUCGGAAGUGGCGCAUGCCUCCUGUCUGGGAUCCUCCUAAACUACUCCUUGUCGUCGUCAGCGGCCUACACGCAAUAGUAGGCACCUCCAGUGUUGUAGGAGUCAUCGCCGUUGAUGUCGUCUGGCUCCUGGGAUCCAACGUCUGGUUGCAGCAUCCGAGAAGACGAGGAAAACGGGGGAAAAGAGGUAGCAAAGGAACCGUGAGUACUCAUCCAAAGUACUCGCAAGAAAGGAGCUACACUACAUAUGCAUGGGUAUAUGUGUAAGGAGGCAAUAUCAGUGAACUGAACUGCAGAAUGCCAGAAUAAGAUGGGGAUAGCUAGUCCUAUCAAAGACUACGCUUCUGGCAACCUCCGUCUUGCAUCAUCUAGAAGAGAGUAGAUUGAAGUAUCAUCGCAUAGCCUAAUCCUACCCGGCGAUCCUCCCCUUGUUGCCCUGUGGGAAAGCAAUCACCGGGAUGUCUGUGGAACUUGUGUGAGUGUGUUUUAUUGAGUAUCCGGUUCUAGUUGUCAUAAGGUCAAGGUACAACUCCCAGUCGUCCUGUUGAAGAUCACGUCUAUUCAAAUAGAUUAACUUCCCUACAGGGGUGCACCACAUUUCCCAACACACUCGAUCCCCUUUGGCCGGACACACUUUCCUGGGUCAUGCCCGGCCUCGGAAGAUCAACACGUCGCAGCCCCACCUAGGCACAACAAAGAGGUCAGCACGCUUGUCUAACUCCUAUGGCGCAGGGAUCAGCACGCCCUGCCUGUUCCGUUCACCACCCCUAGUGACCAGUGUUUAGCCCCAACGUCUGUCCCACUAGGUCCCAGCCUCAUUUCAUUGGUUAAUCUUAUGUAUAAUAAUGUGAUAAGAUAGUGAGGUGUAUGCAUAUCUAUAACCGUAUAUCAUACUUCUGAUUGUAGUGUAAGACAGUGAGGUGUAAUCUUGCCGUUUUAGUUCAGAGAGAUAAUUCGAUCACUUUAAGUUGUUGCAUGCUGUCAUAUGCACUAUGCUUAUGUUAUUUGCUACUAAACCAAUAGUGGAAUAUAGUUUUAUGUUUCAUGUAUUGUUUGGUGGCUUCUCAAUUUGUGCAUGAAAACAAACAUUGCUUCCGAGUGACUCUUCAUUAGGCUCUUGUUUUAUUCAUGGGUGAUGGAACAAUGAAUGCAAAGAUAAGCUUCCUUUGAUUUGGUUGCUCGGUUGACAAGAAUAUGCAUUCCUUUGUAUACCACCUUACCUCUCCUGUGAUGCUUUCUACAUUGUAGAUUCCCUGUAUUAGAUAACGGCCAGUGCUGGGGUUGAUGCUUUAGUACAGAAAUCAUUGCAUUCCAUAUAUCUCACAGUUUGUUUGUAUCAGAUUCAUGUGAGGCGGUCCCUAUGAAGUACAUCGACGAGACAGAUGGAUUACGCCAUCUAUUAGUAUGCUUAGUGAUUCUGUAGUUGGCUCUUUUUAUUAUGUUCAUGUUCUUAUUAACUCCUCUUAUGUGUUCUCGCAAUUGGUAUCGAACUUCAUGUCGAAUGGCUAUCUUUUGUGGUCGUAUGAACGGGUCGAGCUUGAUCCUGCCUUAUAAAUUGAUGUUGUCUUGUGCUCCAUUACGUUUUACUUUUAUCACAAUUGAAUGUUUCUUUAUUUUAUUAUUAUCAUAUAUAAGUGCAAAUGCUAUAUCUGGGUUCCUACUGACAUGGUGUUACAUGCUUUGGCAAAGUGCUUGGACCGGCACCCUCGCGCCAGGGCGCGAUCCUGAUCUAGUGUAUCUUGUAGCAAGCCAUGAGCCGAGGGUUGCUACAUGAUAAAUUGCUGACUAGGCAGUGUGUUUUCUUCAUUUUGGGCAGAUCACAAGUGUUUGACACCUCUCUCUACAUUGGGUAUCCUUUUCCACUUGAAUUUUAAAAUGCGCAGAAUGUGCUUUCCUUGUUGUUGCCUCGUCAUUCCAACAUGGAAUCAAAGCAAACCUAAUAUUACUACCUUUAAAAAUUGUCUCGCUGUCUAUGUCCAUAGCAUGCCCAUUGGACUGCACGGCAGAAGUGAAGGUGUGUGCCUAGCUGGCGGAGCAGACGUACUCGUGUGACCUCUGAUCUAAGAAUGACAUGUACUCUGUUGUGAGCCCAUGGUGCAUGUGGGUUGGAACGCUGCUUAGGAAAUCUAGACUUAUUUUGCAGGCAAGCCAAGAUGAGAUCUGUAGCCCAUGUGAUUUCCAUCAAAAUGACGGCCAGUUCAACUCUGGUUCGAAUCCUAAUAAAAAAAUAGACCAACAGUCCUAGAUGGAUAUGUCCAUCGCUAAAAACGCAGUUGUUGAAAGAGUCAAUAUGACUUUUAGCUAGAGGACGCCAACACCCCUCACUUCUUCUACAUGCACUAAACAAACCCUAGCUUAUCCAACUCAAUUUGCUUUAAGGUUUAUGUGUGAAAGAAGUAGUAUUAAAAUAGAACACCACACUCUUCAACCUGAGAAAUCAAUAGUCAAUUUACCUAUGGAUAUUAAAUCUAUAUACAUCGUACUUGAUGUGUGAAGUUGAUAAUACUUAUUAAACAUAUUUUAAAUUACAAUAUUUGGUGCUUCACAGCCUGUUAUGAAAUUAUUGUUCACCCAUCUAGUGCAAUAAAAAGUACGUGCGAGAGAGAGAUAGAGAGAGAGAGAUUAAAGUACAUUUUGUCCUGAUGUCCACCAUAGUUCCACGAUCAGUACACCUAGGAGGAGACAAUCAAAAUAUGGACAGAACAUAAAUAUUUAAUAUGUAAAUGGUAGGUAACAAAUCCAACCACAAAAUUGUGCAAGCAAGCCACUAGCUAUUUAUUGAAUAUUAAAAUAACAUAGUUGAUUUCUAAAACAUACAAAAAUUAUUAUCUCAUCAACGCAUAAUUAUUUUGAGAACCAUAAGGUUGAGAUUUAUCCACCCAAAAACUAUUGUGUUGUUGUUGCUGGUGUGCAAUUAAUCUUGCAGGGACAGUUGAUGAAGCAUUCUCCAAGAUCUGGCCAGCACAAGUUAUCUAUUUGACAGCAGAAUUCCCGUCCUGGGAGCUGGUGCCCAUCUUUAUAACAAGGGGGUCUAGUUACAUGGCUUACUUUGCUCAUCAUGUUUCUCCCCUUGUUGUUUAUGAUUUCACCUAAUUAACAUAAAAUAAAGAAUAUACUUAUCAUCUCAUCAUAUAAACAAUAAAAGUCCACAAUAUCAAUACCACCAAAAAAUCGAGUUGUUAAUUACCAUAUGUGCCUCCAAGACAAGUCAAACACACCACAAGAAGAAAAGAAAGUAGCACAAGUCCUUGCACAUUGUUCCUCGUGAACUUGGUCAUCGUCACUAAGGAAUAGAGGCUAUUAAUGGGUGGUACUCUUGUAAGUGGAGUUGAUGAGUGUAUGACCGUGAAAUGCUUGCUCCAUGAAUGGUUCAUAUAUAUAUAGGAAAAGCUUCUCCGUGUUGAUGUGUGAAGUUAUAGAAAAUAUUAAUGCUUGGAGUUAUGGCUUGUGUGAAUUUCCAAUUUUAGUUUCACUUCUAAAGAUUCAUGGUUCCUUCUAGAGUUUUUUUCUCAAAUUUAUGCUUUGUCAUAGCAUGUAAGUUACUUUAAUGCCCCCUCUAGAAUUGAUCGCUCAUUGUUUUCAAGGGGUAGAAUUGACCUCUUAGAAUGGGUAGUAAAAAAUGGGUGCAUGGCAAUAUUAUGUUUAAGGCAUUGAUAAUAAUUGGUAUAAUAUCAAUAAUUCCUAUAUAUAUGAUGCCUUAUCAAUAAAAUUAUUAAUUUCUGUCUUGGUAUAAGAGAACAGAGUUUAAAAUUCAACAAGACUCAUCCACUUAACAUUGGACUUGAUUUUUAAUGUAUGUAAGCAAUUGUUCUUAAGUAUAUCAACAAGUUACAGAUACAUUUUUUUUUACUUUUAUUCCAUGAACAUAGAUUAAUUAUGGGAUGGCCAUUUUAUAAAUAUAAGAUGAUGAUUUAUUUUCAUAUACAUGAACAUUUUAUAUCAAGGUACUUGAGCAUUUUUUACAUAUUUCUAUACACAAAAUUUUCUCCAAUAUUAAGUCGAUUUUUUUAAAUAGAUUAGUUUCCCCAAAACUUUCUUUAUUAAAAUGUCGCACUUGCCCAGCUAGGGAAAAUUUUGUUAGGCAGAGCUGCCCAAUUCUCGGAACUCCCUAUAAGUUCCUCCUUGCCGCUACCAACCUCCCCUUCAGACAGCGCAUGCCUGGCUGGUCCGACCUAUUGACGACACGAAUGGACACCACCGAGUGGGAGAGUAGGCGUUGAGCCAAUCCACUUUAGCAACAAUUUUUUCAUUUUUGGAAAAUAUCUUUGCAAAAUGAACAAGCAUUGAUAAAUGUGAAGUUUUUUUUGAACAUAUUCUAAAAUUUAAAAUUUCUUAAAACCCCAAUUAUGUUUGGAAUUUCAUACAUUCUUCUGAACAAAUAAACACUUUUGGAAAUACUUAACAUUAUUUGAAAACUAAGACCUUUUCUUGGAGAACCAACAAUUUUAUGAAAAACGUGUUAGUUUUAUAAUUUGUAGAAUGUUUUUCAAAGUUAUGAUCUUUAAGAACACAAACAAUUUUUGAAAUUUCAAACAAAAUAUGAGAAUCGGAACAUUUCCCGAAAACUUGAAUAUUUUCUAAAUUUCAAAUUUUUACACAUUUUUAAAAAAGGAGACUUUUUGAUAAAGAUAAUAAGAAAAAUAAAACAAUGGAAAAACAAAUAAGAAAAACUGUAACAUCCUAAUUUUCAAUUUGGAUGUUAUACAUAGAUCAGCAGAUGCAUAUCCUAUUUAUUCUUUCUUUUGGUUGAGAUCCUAGAGAUCUUAAGCAACUCAAGGACCCAAGGAGAGAGUUGGAGGUUUCACAAAAUUCAUAUUUGAAUUUAUUUCAAAUUUGAGGGAAGGAUCAAUUUGAUUUUAUUAUUUUUCUCUCUAAUUUUUUCCAAUAAUAAAAAUACAUGCGAGAAGAUAAUAUGACUUCUUCAACCUAAGAUAAAUAUUGGAGAAAGAAGUUUAAAAUCAAAUUAUGAUUUUAUUAGAAUUUUAUUAGAAUUAGAAAAAUAUUGCAUUUUUUAAAAUUGGAUCUUUGUCCAGAAAAAUGUUUAUCUUGUCCUAAAUAUAUGGUUUGGACGGUGAAAAUUAUUUCUGGAAUUUUUAGAUUUUUCUUUAUAAUUUAUUAGGAUUUUUCUUUCGGGCGAAAUUUAUUUUUUUAAAAAAGUUAUUUCCGCCCGAAUGGGCCGAAGGCCCAGCCGAGCCGGCCCAGAAGCUGCGCCGCCACCAUCCCCGCGCGGUAGUCUGCCCCGCUGCCGCCAGCGUGCCGCCGGCCAAGUCCGAGGUGGGCACACCUCCCGAGGCCAGCCCCUUCCCCAAGACGAGGUCGAGCCCCAUCCUUAAAUAGCGCGUCGUCCCACCACCUCUCCUUCACACCGCCACCGCCUCCCACCACCAGCAGCAGCAAUAGCCCCGCGCCGCCGCCGCCGCACCGCUUUCUGCCGCCUGUGACGCUCCCGAUUCAAUCGUACACUAAUCAUACAUGCAAAUAUGUACGAUCAAGAUUAGGGACUCACGGGAAGAUAUCACAACACAACUCUAAAAAUAAAAUAAGUCAUACAAGCAUCAUAAUACAAGCCAGGGGCCUCGAGUGCUCGAAUACAACUGCUCGAUCAUAGACGAGUCAGCGGAAGCAACAAUAUCUGAGUACAGACAUAAGUUAAACAAGCUUGCCUUAAGAAGGCUAGCACAAACUGGGAUACAGAUCGAAAGAGGCGCAGGCCUCCUACCUGGGAUCCUCCUAAACUACUCCUAGUCGUCGUCAGCGGCCUGCACGCAGUAGUAGGCAUCUCCAGUGUCGUAGGAGUUGUCGUCGGUGGCGUAUGGCUCCUGGGAUCCAACGUCUUCUUGCAGCAUCCGAGAAGAAGAGGAAAACGGGGGAAAAGAGGGAGCAAAGCAACCGUGAGUACUCAUCCAAAGUACUCGCAAGCAAGGAGCUACACUACAUAUGCAUGGGUAUAUGUGUAAGGAGGCAAUAUCAGUGGAAUGAACUGCAGAAUGCCAGAAUAAGAGGGGUAUAGCUAGUCCUAUCGAAGACUACGCUUCUGGCAGCCUCCGCCUUGCAGCAUGUAGAAGAGAGUAGAUUGAAGUCCUCCAAGUAGCAUCGCAUAGCAUACUCCUACCCGGCGAUCCUCCCCUCGUCGCCCUAUGGGAAAGCGAUCACCGGGAUGUCUCUGGAACUUGUAUGGAUGUGUUUUAUUAAGUAUCCAGUUCUAGUUGUCAUAAGGUCAAGGUACAACUCCAAGUCGUCUUGUUACCGAAGAUCACGGCUAUUCGAAUAGAUUAACUUCCCUGCAGGGGUGCACCACAUUUCCCAACACGCUCGAUACCCUUUGGCCGGACACACUUUCCUAGGUCACGCCCGGCCUAGGAAGAUCAACACAUCGUAGACCCACCUAGGCACAACAGAGAGGUCAGCAGACCGGUCUAACUCCUAUGGCACAGGGGUUUGGGCCCAUCGCCCAUUGCACACUUGCACGUUGCGAGGGCGGCCGGAAGUAGACUAGCCCCCUUAAUACAAGUGCAUGCUUACGGUCCAAUCCGGCGCGCGCCGAUCAGUCGCUGAUGUCAAGAAGGCUUCGGCUGAUACCACGACGUUCGAGUGCCCAUAACUGUUCCCGCGUAGUUGGUUAGUGCGUAUAGGCUAGUGGCCAGACUCAGAUAAAAUACCAAGAUCUCGUUAAGCAUGUUAUUAUGAAGUAACCCUGAACGCCGACCAGGGCCAGGCCCACCUCUCUCCUAGGUGGCGUCAAACUGCCCUGUCGCUCCACCACAAAGAUCCACACACAGGGCCGUCGGGAAAGUAUGUCCUUUCAGCCCCCAAUUCAAACAACUGCGGGUACUCAACGAGCCGACACGACUUUAGUCACCAUUUGUAUAGCAUGUAUAUAUGUAUAGUAUGAACCCGUGAUCACCUCCCGAGUGACCACGACCUGAUAGUAUAGCAAGGCAGACUGACAAGAAUGUAGGGCCACAGAUGAUAAACUCGCAUCCUAUACUAAGUAUUUAGGAUUGCAAGUAAGGUAUCAACAGAUGUAGCAACAAUGACAGGCUAUGCAUCAGAAUAGGAUUAACGGAAAGUAGAAACAUGCUACACUACUCUAAUGCAAGCAGUAUAGAGGAGAGUAUGCGAUAUCUGGUGAUCAAGGGGGGGGCUUGCCUGGUUGCUCUGGCAAGAAGGAGGGGUCGUCAACUCCGUAGUCGUACUGGGUGCUAGUGUAAGAAACAAUUAAUAUAGUGAAAACAUAAGCAUGACAAUGUAAGAUAUGAAAAUGAGCAGUGCUAGGUGUGCCCUAACGAGGUAGUAGGCGAUACCGGCGAAAGGGGGAAACAUCCGGGAAAGUAUCGUCGGUGUUUCGCAUUACUGCAUCAGCAUGACGUCAGCAUGACAUCAUCAGUCAACAAAGGUAUUGACUAGGUCAAGCUGACGUGUGGGUCCCAUCUGCCAUUGACACAUUGCCCUAACUAACAAACUAGUUAGUUUAAUUAAAUAUUUAGGUUAAUUAAGUUUAGUUAUUUUAACUAAACAUGAUAAAUUAAGUUAAUUAAUUAGUUAAUUAAUUAAUUACCAAUUUUAUUAUUAUUAUUAUUUUAUCUUAUUAUUAUUAUUAUUUAAACGUUCUGGGGUGGGGCCCCCUUGUCAUAGGCCCCUGGGGACCUAGUGGAGUGUGUUAACGGGCGCCGGGGCGCGGCGGGCGUGCGCCCGAGUCCACCAUGGAAGGGGACUCCGACCAGGGGAGGGGGCGCCGCCGUGGCGGCUAGCGCCGGCUGUGGCGGAGCGGCGUGGGACCGAUGGGGCGUAGGCGAUGCACGUGACAGCGCGCGCGAGCUGCAGUGGUGGAGGUGGUGGCGGGGUCGCACGGGUGGAGCAAAGGCGCGACAGCCGGAGCGGAGUAGUGCAGCGAGCAGCACUGCUCGUGGCGUCGCGCGGGCACAGUAAGCACGGGAGGCGGGCCGACGCGGGACCAGGCAUAGCAGCAGCGGCGCAGGGCGCGGCGAGCGCCCGUUGCGCGCGUGCUUCAGUGCGGGUAGGCGUAGCCACGGCGGCGUGAGCCACGGCGGGAAGAAGGAACACGGGAGGGGGCGCAGUAGCAGCAGGCGAGCCGGGCGUGCACGGGGCGACGAUGGGCAGCGACAGCGAGCGCGGUGGGGCGGUGCGCUUGCGUGCGUGCACGAUGGACGAGCGGCCGGAGCGAACAACGAGUGCUGGGAGAGGAGGAGAGGCCGGGGGCCUCACCGCGGUUGUAGGGUCUUAGGCAGCGAGGCGUGGGGAGGACGACGGGGACGACGUGCGGUGGGGCGACGAGGUCCGGCGGUAGGGUGGACGUAGGCGAUGGCGUCCGACGAGGUGGCGGCGCGGUGGCUCCGGCGACUGCGUCGGGGUGCCGUGGGCGCCCAGAUCUAGAACGGGGAGGAGGAGGUCGAGGACGGGGCGUCAGGGCGUCGAGCGACACCGGCAAGGGGCGACGGAGUCCGGGACGAUGGGGUUGGGGCGGUUGCCCCGAUCCAGAAACCGGGAGGGGAGUGGGGGAGCGAGCGAGUGUGGGGUGAGUGGAAUCCUGGUACCUAGGGUUUCAGGCGAUAGGAGGAUAUGGAGAGUGGGGUGGGCCGGUCGGGCCAGGGUGGGAGUUGGGUCGGGUGACCCAGUUGGCCUGGGGCUUUCCCCCUCUUUUUACUUUAUUAAUUUUUUGUUAUUCUCCUUUUUUUAUUCUUUUCCAUUUUCUAUUUUAUUUAUUUUAGAGCAUCAUAGCAUUUUCUAAAUAUGGGUUUUCUUCACUAUAAUUACCUAUGUAAUAUUUGGCACAAUCUGGACAUUUUAGUUUCAUUGUUUGAAAACCUUUUUGUUUGCCUGAUUUUUAAUUUGAAUUUGAAUCGGUUUCGAACUAACGCGAGAUUAGUAACAGUAAUCAAGGUGACGUGGCAUCAUUAGCAGAGGUUCAAUGUAGCUUAAGUAUCCAGGUGUCACAAUUCUCCAACACUACAAGAAAUCUCGUCCUGAGAUUUAAGCGGUGUAUUAAGGGGGGAGGUGCUGGUAGCGAAAAAGCUAAAGAGUCUUCUCGGUCUUGGCUGCCCUUUCGAAGAGGUUGAUCCCUUUCGUUGAUGUCUUCAUGUCUCUGCUUCAAGUCACCAUGACCAAGUCAUCAUCCUUUCAUCGGUAUCUCCAUCGUCCUACAAACGCAACCAAGGGGAAAACUCCGGAAGAACGCAUCUCCGCAAAGUUGGGCAUCUGGCGGUGAACUCAAUGGGAAAUACACAAGGUACCCCACGAGUUGUAUUUCAAUGAAUUCGUUGAGUGCAAUACACGAUGGUACCAAAGUUUCAAACGGGUAGGCAAUCAUUCAAUGACUAGACAUAAGUUGGAAUGGGGGUUUGAACAAUGAGAAUAACAUGGCAUUUGAUUCCAGGAGGAAUAAUGGUAUAGCAUUUAGCUCGUGAAUCACAUACGAAGCCAGGUGCAAAGGAUACAUUAGAAUCGGGUUGUAAAGAAGAGUCAGGUUUCGAUCCAGUGGACCUGUGGGUUAUGGGCCCACCAUGUGGGUUGACAGUAGGAAGGGUGGUGACAUCUUGCACAGCCGCAACAGGGAGGCAUGUCAGGGCAACAAUUGUCAGUAACAAGGACGGGGAACGAAGAGAGCAAUUUUCCUGCUUGUAGAACAGGUGAACCAAUUGGCAAAGUUAUCACCCAUCGGUGGUUACCGGAAUGUCAUCAACAAUAGUAACAUGGUCUUACAAACAGAGUGGUACAACAAGUUGCCUACCUAAGCAGGGAAUUAUCUCUGCUCAGUUAAGUCAGAUUUAGGAAAGGUUAAACAAAAGAAUGGAAAGGAAAACGCGAUUAUCAGAUUAAACGGAACAAUGGAAAGGAAAAUUGUGAUUACACACAAUUAUUAGGAGUAUAUCCUUCCCAUGUACAAGCAGAACAUGGAUUACAGGAUAGGAGAGCAAGUACCCAACCAUUCAGAUAACGGGCAAGGAUUAAUCAAGAUGUUACCCAUACAACAUCGUUUGGAUAACUGACCAACAAACAUUUAGCAUCGCGCCUACAAUGUUCUUGUUGAUGAGCGGGGUAUCAUAGUCAUGCUUCGAGGUAGCAAUGAUAUGGGGUUCCAAUCAAGGCCAGACUUUGGAUACACAAAUGAUCCAUCAGGAGCAACUUAUAAAAUAAGUCCUACAAUUUCCUCCAGGAAGAAUGGUUAUCCUUGCAAAAGAAAUUAUAAUGAUAGGUCCUCCAGCCAGGGGUGCUAGGCAUGACAUCAUACUACCUGGUCAUCUAAGGACCAACAUCAUAACUCCUGGAAAGUUGUCCUAACCAUAAUAUCUGACCGAGAUUCCGAUCCGAUUGGUGUCAUGAUACCUUAGACUCAGGAUGUCCGAGAAGAAAAGGUGCGACACAAAUUGAUGAAAUGACAUUGCAAGAUUCUCAGGAAAUGAACUAUGGGAGUGGGUUCCUGAAACAAUAGUUCAUCAUUAAACCAAGGAGGGGAUGAGGAGGUUGCUGAUGGGCUCAGCGACAAUUCAACGAGAAUUCCAAACGGAUGGAUUUCCACACUUAUGUGAACAAGAAGAUGACACUUGCUAAUUCAAAUGAUAUAAUGUUGUAUGCUCGAGGAAAACAUACACCAUCAAGCAUUAGUUGUAAGGUGUGCCCGAAAUAUGACCUUAGGCAGCAGGAUCAAUGUUAGAGUGAUGAUUCAAUGACCAACAGUCUAAGAAUGAACUGUUGAUCAUUAACUUCAAAGCAAUAGGGUUGCUAGAAAUACGGAACUCAAGCAGCAUCGUUGGCAUAUCGGUAUCCCGGUUAAAAACAACACGGGGACCAAGGAAGAAUGGUGAUGGUGGGAAGUAUUAUCAUACCGAGAAUUUCUAAGAGGUGGAGCAAUCCACACAACAUCCUCGACAGAAAAGACAGUAAUACUUCAAGGCAGAACACAACACUAGUUGGACAUCAAGUUGUAUUCAUAAUAUGGACAAGUUCGCGAUGAAAGGAAGUCAAGGGUUUUGUCGAUGAUAAUAAAAAUCAUCGAGGGCAAGGAGGGAAUUUCUCAUCAUGAACACAGUUGGCAUCUCAGAAGACGUCAAAGUGUUGAAGGUGAUCCGACACAUUUGCCGGGAGAUUUCUAGAGGAUGAAAUCAAACAACAAUGGCAACAAGCGAGGGAAUGACGAAGUGGCAAGUUAUAGGAUCAAUAUAUAAGAUGCAAGCUCGGGACCAAAUUGCCUUUCAAGACAAGCAACAUGAUGUUGAAAGCUCGACAUAAGUCGUGCUCACACACUGCAGAUUCGUGCACCAGAGUAGGACGAGUUAGCAUCGUCAAAGGUAGCAAGACCUGGAUGCAACCGAUAGUCUAGGAAUGACCAGAUUUAGUUCAGAAUUUCCUAGUAAAAAUACUAGGGGUAUUUGAUUUGUAGUGCGGAAUAAUUUCAGUAGUCGGUGUCCUCGGUUGACAACAACCCAGAACCCGUAGAGUGAUUACGACAAGGAAAGACAUUACUUCAACAAAGUUAGUAAGAUGUGGUGCAAUGGCAAGACAUCUCCGAGAUACCAGGGGGUAAUACUCGAAGGUAGAACAAGAUAGAAGUAGAACCGGGUCAUUGACCUAUGACAUUAGAUACUUCAACCUUGACAAAAAUAGACGAGGCACUGGAAUGAAUUCCCAUCAGAUAUAUCAGAUCAGCACAACAUGGUCAGAACCAUAACUGUAAGGAAUCAAUUUCAAGAAUACCGAAAGAAUCAUACAGCUAGAUAAUAAUUUUGCAAGAAGCUUCUCAGACGGUCUACAUCAUUUUCAUGGGCAUGAACACAAAGUUCAGGGUCGACUCCCACUUCUUUAAUGCAUAUCAUCUCAUUCACCUUUUGCUUUGAUAUAACUGUAGUGUUGAAAGUUUAUCUGGUAGAAAACCGGAAGUGUAUGACUUGUGAAAACUUUCGAGUUCUCACGAAUUAGGGGAAGGCAUAGGUUCAACCCAUCGGGCAACUUAGUAACCUAUACCACAAGUUUCAAAACUAAAUACACAAGCUCGAAAGCAGAGCAUGGUUGGCCAAGUAGAGGAUACAAUUUACCAAAGGCACUAUGUAUCAGGGAAAGAACUCACAUGGUGAUUGAAUAUGAAGGACACUGUCGGAUAAAAAUCCAACAAUGGAUAGGGCGAUCCACAACGGAUCUGAUGUGAGUAUCGGUACUCACUCGGAGGAAGAAAGAAUGCAGAGGCAUCAGAUUCAAGAAUCACCUGAUUAGUCUGAUGCUUAAAUAGAAAGAAAUUAUGGUUUCCAAAAUGAAGGAUCAGAAGCAGAUGCUCUGAUCAAGAAUGGAUAAGUUGAAAACACCUAGUUGGACAAUCAAUGAAGGUUUGAAUUGCCGAGAACCAACUCAUGUCCGGAAUGACGUCUGAGCCGGAAAGAGAAUCUUAAAAAGGAUAACAUGAUGAUUGCGUGUGUACGCACACAUUGAAUCAAUAGGCUCAAAAUGACUAAGACAAGGGAUGUUAACGAGGACUACUAUUUAUAUGGAAUUACCCAUAAUGCAAGCAGGCAAGCGUUUCAAGAGUAACAGGCUGCAGAGGAUUUUUGAAAGAUCGAAAAGUAUUCCGAAGAAUCAUGUGAGACACAUGAAAAAUUGAGAAGAAUGGAUCCUUGAUAAAUGUGAGGAAAAACCCGUAAUAGUUUUCACGCGAAAUAAAACUGCAAGACAGUAAACUCAAAGGAUUUUCGGGACAACGACGAAUAUUUCGAGGCAUCAUGUAACAACAAGAGCGGCGAGGAAUGAUCAAGAGAAAGACAAGUGCAUACAGAUAUCCAUAGGGAUAUAUCGGUGACAGUGGAUUGCAAAGGUGAUGAGCACAAGGGUCUCGAGAAAAUAUCAAGGGAUAUCUUCAGAAUCUUCUGAUGCAAUAAGCAAUCAUCUGGAGUGAGGGAUCUCCGGGAGGAAGUAGUUACGAGAACCUAGAGUCGGCGUUAGUAAAAUCACUUAACCCGAAUAGAGGAGAGAUCAGUGUCCCAGAGUAAAGGUCGAGGAGUAAAAGAUCCUAAUACCACCCAAUGGCGAUGUGGGCCCGUAAGCCACACACCCAAGUUAGUAAAAUACUUUUCGGCUUCUAGACUCAACUUCGGCCAAGGAGUUGGAAAGGGGAUUCCUACAGGCAGUCGGCUCUGAUACCAACUUGUGACGCUGCCGAUUCAAUCGUACACUAAUCAUACAUGCAAAUGUGUACGAUCAAGAUCAGGGACUCACGGGAAGAUAUCACAACACAACUCUAAAAAUAAAAUAAGUCAUACAAGCAUCAUAAUACAAGCCAGGGGCCUCGAGGGCUCGAAUACAAGUGCUCGAUCAUACAAGAGUCAGCGGAAGCAAAAAUAUCUGAGUACAGACAUAAGUUAAACAAGCUUGCCUUAAGAAGGCUAGCACAAACUGGGAUACGAAUCGGAAGUGGCGCAUGCCUCCUGCCUGGGAUCCUCCUAAACUACUCCUGGUCGUCGUCAGCGGCCUGCACGCAAUAGUAGGCACCUCCAGUGUUGUAGGAUUCAUCGUCGCCGAUGUUGCCUGGCUCCUGGGAUCGAACAUCUGGUUGCGGCAUCCGAGAAGAAGAGGAAAAUGGGGGAAAAGAGGAGCAAAGCAACCGUGAGUACUCAUCCAAAGUACUCGCAAGAAAGGAGCUACACUACAUAUGCAUGGGUAUAUGUGUAAGGAGGCAAUAUCAGUGAACUGAACUGCAGAAUGCCAGAAUAAGAUGGGGAUAGCUAGUCCUAUCAAAGACUACGCUUCUGGCAGCCUCCGUCUUGCAUCAUUUAGAAGAGAGUAGAUUGAAGUAUCAUCGCAUAGCCUAAUCCUACCCGGCGAUCCUCCCCUCGUCGCCCGGUGGGAAAGCAAUCUCCAGGAUGUCUGUGGAACUUGUCUGGCUGUGUUUUAUUGAGUAUCCGGUUCUAGUUGUCAUAAGGUCAAGGUACAACUCCCAGUCGUCCUGUUGAAAAUCACGUCUAUUCAAAUAGAUUAACUUCCCUGCAGGGGUGCACCACAUUUCCCAACACGCUCGAUCCCCUUUGGCCGGACACACUUUCCUGGGUCAUUCCCGGCCUCGGAAGAUCAACACGUCGCAGCCCCACCUAGGCACAACAAAGAGGUCAGCACGCCGGUCUAACUCCUAUGGUGCAGGGGUAUGUGCCCAUCACCCGUUGCACACCUGCAUGUUGCGAGGGUGGCCGGAAGCAGACCUAGCCCCCUUAAUACAAGUGUAGGCUUACGGUCCAAUCCGGCGCGUGCCGCUUAGUCGCGGAUGUCAAGAAGGCUUCGGCUGAUACCACGACGUCGAGUGCCCAUAACUGUUCCUGCGUAGUUGGUUAGUGUGUAUAGGCCAGUGGCCAGACUCAGAUCAAAUACCAAGAUCUCGUUAAGCAUGUUACUAUGAAGUAACCGCGAACGCCGACCAGGGCCAGGCCCACCUCUCUCCUAGGUAGCCUCAAACUGCACUCUCACUCUGCCACAAAGAUCCACACAGAGGGUCGUCAGGAAAGUAUGUCCUUUCAGCCCCAAUUCGUGAAUCAGCCGCGGGUACUCAACAAGCCGACCCGACUUUAGUCACCAUCUGUAUAGCAUGUAUAUAUGUAUAGUAUAAACCCGUGAUCACCUCCCGAGUGACCACGACCCGAUAGUAUAGCAAGGCAGACUGACAAGAAUGUAGGGCCACAGAUGAUAAACUAGCAUCCUAUAUACUAAGUAUUUAGGAUUGCAGGUAAGGUAUCAACAAAUGUAGCAACAAUGACAGGCUAUGCAUCAGAAUAGUAUUAAUGGAAAGUGGCAACAUGCUACACUACUCUAAUGCAAGCAGUAUAGAGGAGAAUAGGCGAUAUCUGGUGAUCAAGGGGGGGGGCUAGCCUGGUUGCUCUGGCAAGGAGGAGGGGUCGUCAACUCCGUAGUCGUAAUGGGUAGCAGCGGCGUCGGUCUCGUAGUCUACCGGAGAGAAGAGAGGGGAGAAACAAUGAAUACAGUGCAAACAUAAGCAUGACGAUGUAAGACAUGACAAUGAGCAGUGCUAGGUGUGCCCUAAUGAGGUAGUAGGUGAUACCGGCGAAAGGGGGAACAUCCGGGAAAGUAUCCCCGGUGUUUCGCGUUUUCGGACAAAUGAACCGGAGGUGAAAUGUUGCAAAUUUGCUAUGCUAGGGAUGCAUGGCGGACUAACGGGCUAUGUAUUCGGAUUCAUCUCGUUGUUCUGAGCAACUUUCAUGUACAGAGUUUUUCCAUCUGAGUUACGAACUAUUUAAUAUUAAUUUUUAAAGAUUUAAAUCAAUUUAAAAUUAUUAGUAUUAAUUAAAUUCAAAAAUGACAUUAUUGCAUCAGCAUGAUGUCAACAUGACGUCAUCAGUUAACAGAGGUGUUGACUAGGUCAAGCUGACGUGUGGGUCUUAUCUGCCAUUGACUCAUUGCCCUAACUAACAAACUAGUUAGUUUAAUUAAAUAUUUAGGUUAAUUAAGUUUAGUUAGUUUAACUAAACAGGAUAAAUUAAGUUAAUUAAUUAAUUAGUUAGUUAGUUAUUUAAUUAAAUAAUUUUAUUAUAAUUUUUUAUAUUAUUAUUAUUAUUUUAAACAUUCUGGGGUGGGGCCCCCUUGUCAUAAGCCCCUCGGGACCUAGUCGAGUGCGUUAACGAGCGCUGGGGCGCUGCGGGCGUGCACCCGAGUCCACCAUGGAAGGGGACUCCGGCCAGGGGAGGGGGUGCGGCCGCGGCGGCUGGCGCCGGCUGUGGCGAAGCGGCGUGGGAGCGAUGGGGAGUAAACGAUGCACGCGACGGCGCGCACGAGCUCUAGCGGUGGAGGUGGUGGCGGGGUCUCGCGGGCGGAGCAAGGGCGCGGCAGUCGGAGCGUAGUAGUGCUGCGAGCAGCACUGCUCGUGGCGUCCCGCUGGCACAGUAAGCACGGAGGCGGGCCGACGCGGGGCCAGGCAGAGCAUCGGCGGCGCGGGGCGUGACUAGCGCCCGUUAUGCGCGUGCUUCGGUGUGGGUAGGCGUAGCCACGGCGGCGUGAGCCAUGUCUGGGAGAAGGGACAGGGGAGGGGGUGCAGUAGCAGCUAUCGAGUGGGGCGAUGAUUGGCAGUAACAGUGAGCGCGGUAGGGCGGUGUGCGUGCGUGCGUGCACGAUGGACGUGUGGCCGGAGCGAACGAUGAGUGUGGGGAGAAGAGGAGAGGCCGAGGGCCUCACCGGGGUUGUAGGGUCUUAGGCAGCGGGCAUGGGGAGGACGACGGGGACGACGUCCGGCGGGGCGACGAGGUCCGGCGGCGGGGUGGACGUAGGCGAUGGCGUCCGGCGAGGUGGCGGCGCGGUGGCUCCGGCGACAACGUCGUGGCACCGUGGGCGCCCAGAUCCAGAACGGGGAGGAGGAUGUCGAGGACGGGGUGUCAGGGCAUCGAGCGACACCGGCAAGGGGCGAUGGAGUCAGGGACGAUGGGGUCGGGGCGGUUUGCCCCGAUCUAGAAACCGGGGGGAGUGGGGGAGUGAGCGAGUGGGGGGGGAGUGGAAUCGUGGUAGCUACGGUUUCGGCCUAUAGGGGGAUAUGGAGAGUGGGGUGGGUCGGUCGGGCCAGGGUGGGAGUUGGGUCGGGUGGCCUAGUUGGCAUGGGGCUUUCCCCCUCUUUUACUUUAUUAUUAUUUUUGUUUAGUCUCCUUUUUUUAUUCUUUUCCAUUUUCUUUUUUAUUUAUUUUAGAGCAUCAUAACAUUUUCUAAAUAUGGGUUUUCUUCACUAUAAUUACCUAUGUAAUAUUUGGCACAAUCCGGACAUUUUAGUUUCAUUGUUUGAAAACCUUUUGUUUGCCUGAUUUUUAAUUUGAAUUUGAAUCGGUUUCGAACUAUCGCGAGAUUAGAAACAGUAAUCAAGGUGACGUGGCAUCAUUAGCAGAGGUUCAUUGUAGCUUAAGUAUCCGGGUGUCACACCACCGCCACCGCACGCCCGGGCCGCUGCCCCCUAGUCCCGCGCCGCUGCCGCCUCGUCGCCGACGCCGUUGACCGAUCUCGCCGUCGCCGCCGAUUUUCUCGUGAACCGGUAAGACCGGCCGGAACCAGUUUUAUUUUUCGGGUUUUUUUCGCUUUGGCGAGAUAGAUCGGUUUUCUUAGGGUUUUUCUUAAGUAACGAACAUCCGUUCGUUCGUUCGUUUUAAUGAACGGUUUUCACCGUAUAAGUUUUGUUAGCAAAGGGUCGCGCCGUAGGAUUUUUCCUUUUAGUUUAUUUUCGGCCAGGGACCUAUCCGUGAACAGUUUUAUCACGAUUUAGCCCCUGAUCUUUAAAGUAGCAUAACUUUUUACUCGUUUAUCCAAAUUAGAUGAAACCAACGUCUAAAUCUUCGUUCUGUUCUAUUAUUUUCAGUUUAACCAACUUAAACAUGAUUUUGAUACUGUAAAAUUUUGAGCUUAGUCCAGACUAGUAAAUGAUCUUGUCUUGUUCGUAUUUUGAGUUUUGUUUCUCGGUUUGAGAUGAAUCUUUUUCCAAACCGUAGCUAAUCACAUGUACCUAUUGUUAAGAUCUAAUCCUCAUGAUAAUAAUGUCGUGAGGUGUGACUUUUGUUACUUUAAGCCGUUUGUUUGUUUCGUGUUUGAUUUGGAAUUUUUUUCUCGGUUUUCUCGUUGCUUCGUUUGAGUGAUUGCUUAUGUAUGUUAUUGUUUGUCUAUGCAAGAUUACCCGGAGUGCGAAGCUUGUUACUACGAAUCUUUAGAGUUUGCAGAUCGUCAGCAAGGCAAGUUACACUUUGAUUAUACUCUUUCAUACCUAGUUUUUACUACGCAUUAGUUCUGCCCCUCAAAUAUUUGCAUGAGUAGGAUUGGGAACAUGUGGUUUGGUUGUAGUACUUGAGGUAGGAACCUAAUACCUUUUGAUCACCCCAGGAAUAUACGUUAUGCUUAUUUUUGCUUAGCCAUGCUUGUAGACAGGAAUUGGAUCGUGAAUCACACAUGGAAGUUUGAGAGUUAUUUAAUCCUGGUUAACAUUAAGGUGGCUACUUUAAUAUACAUUUGGGUGGAUUGGUUGCAGGCACCUGGGGAACCCAGUGUUGCCUAUUUUGGAAAAUCCUGGAGUACCCGUGUGAUUCUUCCUACGGUUAGCCACCUAGACUCAAAGGGAUCAUAAGAUCAUUCAUGCUAAAAACUUCCAUGUAUAGCCGCAUGCCAUUAUGGGCUCUGGCAUAGUUUGAGUAAGUUGCAUGAGCUCUUGAAGAGGUGGACUAGCAGAUGUAGGGGAUAGUAGGUGUACCGAUCCGCCCGGAGUAGAGAUUUACUGCUUCAGAAAGACUAUGUCUCGGUCAUCUGUUCCUCAAACAUCAUGUAGUGCGAGAAAUUCAACGGAAGAGAUCAAGUCUUGUGGGGAAAAGUGCGCAACCUCUGCAGAGUGUAUAAACUAAUCAUGGUUAGCCAUGUCCCCGGUUAUGGACAUCUUGAGUAUCUAGUACUUGAAUCUAUUGAUGUGAUCUCAUCAUGUUACUUUAAUUAAUUUGAAUUGGGUUAAUGAUGAUACUUUUAAUUGGGAUUUGAGUUGGGGUUACCUUCUCAAAUAAUGGCCAACUUGGGAGUAGUUAAAUAAAUUUAUUCCUUUGUUGUAGGGAAAUACUAGCUUUAUGCAAACUCAUAAACUUACAGCCUCCACCAUCCAAAUAUUGCAUGUAGAUAUAGUUCUUGCAUCACUUUAAAGUGUAACUCUGCCAGCAUAUUCAAUGUGUUGACCUGCACGGCUGCAGCGUCUCAUGUUGCAGACUACUCAGACGAUGAAUAAAGUGCGAUAGGUUGUUGUUUUGAACUCAGCUAUGUCGUUGGAGUUGAUGGACUCAUUUACCUUUGAAGCUUCCACUGUUAUCUAGUUUAAAUGGCUUUCAGCCAUUAUAUUUUUGUGUAAUCAUACUCUUUAUGAGGACUCUAUGUAAUAAGUGUGUGAGGACUCUGUUAUAAUUCCUCGAGUACUGUGCGUGUCAGCAUUACCAAUCCAGGGAUGGCACUGAUGCACAGAGACUUGACAGUUUGAGGUUUGGUCGAUACAAGAUGGUAUCAGAGCACACGUUGACUGUAGGACACGACCACUAGAUUAUACCACAGGAUUUCUCUUCUCUACUAAUUUCUAAUUCUCCUCUUUUCUACUCUAUAGAUGGUGGAUCCUAGUAACAAGUUCACUCAGCCGGAUGACGAUACCCCUUUCGGAAAACAUUUGAAGGAAGUCACUAAGUAUUUGAACAUUGGACUACCAAGCUGCACGGGGACUUUCUCUACAUCCGUACCAGAAGAGGAGCGCUGGAAGAUUAAAGUCUGGGUACCUGGAAGGACAUUUGCGCCAACAACGGAGCCUAUUGAUUUCUACCUGGAUGCACCAAACUGGAGUAAAGGAAAGAGCAUGGCAGCCCAUAUAACCGUUCGACGCAUAUGCGAGGUGUAUCACAAGGAGCUGGAGAAUGUCGUUUAUCAGAUAUGUGGCCACUGAGAUGACAAAUGGGAGAUGAUUCGUACCAGGAGGGAUGGAUCAAUUGCAGCCUACAUUCAAGAGAUGGGAGAUCAUAUUCGUCGAAAAGAGAAUCAACAAAUUAUCCACAUGAAGAAGAUCAAGAAACUGGUGAAGAGAAACAACGAGCUAGAAGAGGAACUCAAGUCUACAUGCGAUGGAUACGAGGAAGAGAUCACCAUACUACUGGAGAAGCAUGAAGACCUGAAGAGGAAGAUGGGAAUAUUAGUUGUGAAUAUCAAGCGAUCAACAGAGAUCCGUUCGGAGGACUAGAUCAUCCUGGACGACACCGACAUGGAUAGGGAUACAAAUGAUGACAUCGAUGAUGACUAUGUCGAUGAAGCUGGAGCAGAUAUCAUGGAGUCUUUUUCUGAUGAAAAUUUCUUGAUGACCACCAUUGUAACUAGUAGUUUUCCCUCCAAGUUGUUAGCAACGAUCGAGUUUGUAAUCAUAGGUUAGACUGAACGUGUGACUUGUGUGCUUUUGAUUGAAGUGAGUGUUUGUCUCAUGAGCAUAUGGGUAGUGAAUCUCUCUGAGACCUCAAUUCUAUUCUAUUUUCUCACCCCUUCUAACCCAUCAGAUGCCUCCGAGACAUGACAAUGGAUUAGCCUUCCCACCGGAGCUCACUCAGUUGAUCCAGCAGCAGAAUGCCUUGAUGCAGAUACUAGUUUAGAACCAGAACCAAGGUAAUAACAACAACAACCCACCACCACCACCCCCUGUUGAUCACCUAGCACGCUUUCUAAGGUUGAAUUCACCGGUGUUCUCAAGUAGCACCGAGCCAAUUGUUGCAGAUGAUUGGCUCCGCAAGAUUGGAAGAGAGCUGACCACUGUAGGAUGCACAGAUGCGGAGAGAGUGCGCGUUGCCGCACAUCAGCUUGAUGGACCCGCAUCAACUUGGUGGGAGAAUUUCACAGCCACAUACCCCAUUGACACUGUUACAUAGGAUCAGUUUCAGCAGGCUUUCCGCACUGCCCAUGUUUCAGCAGGAGCAAUGAGCAUGAAGAAGCGCGAGUUUCACAACUUGCGCCAAGGAGGGCGUACAGUGGGCCAGUAUUUGGAUGAGUUUAGCAAGUUAGCACGCUAUGCCCCUGAUGACGUAGCUACAGAUGCUGCUAUGCAGGAGAAGUUUCUGGAAGGACUGAAUGAUGAGCUGAGCAUGCAGUUGAUGGUGGCAACAUUCAAUAACUACCAGGAGUUGGUAGAUAGGGUGCUCAUGAUUGAAGGCAAGCAGUAACAGAUUGAUAAUCGCAAAAGGAAGUAUGGAUAGGGGAGGAACACUUCAGGAGCUCAGCAGAAGCCCCGCUAUUCCCCGUACUCAGGAGGACAUAACCAUAACCAUGGAGGACAUACACACAAUGGAGCUAGUUCGCGCAACCAUAGUGGCCCCAAGAAUGGCAAUGGGAAUGGAGGAAGCAACAGCAGAACCGUUCCAACCCUUCAAUGCCAGCCAAGAGGGAUCUGAGCCACAUUACCUGUUGCAAGUGCUAGAAGACCGGACAUUAUGCUACUGAAUGUCCUGAAACCAAGAAUGGAAAUGGAAACGGAGGUUCUGCCAAGAAUCCCAACCCCUUCACCAAAGGUCAGGUGAACCACGUCAGCAUGGAGGAGAUUGAGGAUCAACCCGACGUAGUUGUCGGUAAGUUUUUGAUUAAUGCAUUUACCGCACUUGUUCUUUUCGAUACUGGUGCAUCGCAUUCAUACAUAUCAUGGGGAUUUGUGGAUAAGUAUAACCUACCAACCAUAGACCUUAAGUAACCUAUGUUAGUAAGUUCCCUAGGAGCAGAGUAUAUGGAUAGUAGGGGAUGCUAUCAGUUGCCACUAACCAUAGGUAGACAUGUUUUCCCUAUCGACCUGAUUGUUCUGGAGUCACAAGGAUUGGAUGUGAUACUAGGAAUGGAUUGGCUAUCCAAGUUUGAAGGAAAUAUCAUCUGCGCCAGUAAAUCAAUUCUUCUCACCACCCCAUAAGGAAAGAGGAUCAAGUAUGUAUCCUGGCAUGUGCCGACGUGGACUCAAGUGAAUUCCUUAUCAAGAGUUGUACAGGAGGAAGUACCAGUGGUGAAGGAUUACCCCGACGUAUUUCCGGAGGAGUUACCAGACAUGCCAUCAGAUCGAGACAUUGAGUUUUUGAUUGAGCUAUUUCCAGGCACCGGACCAAUAUCAAAGAGACCAUAUCGGAUGUCCACAAAGGAUUUGGAGGAAAUUAAGAUGCAGAUAAAGGAGUUACUGGAAAAAGGUUACAUCCGACCAAGUUCAUCACCUUGGGGAGCCCUAGUACUUCUAGUGGAGAAGAAGGAUGGAUCUUUGAGGAUGGUUGUUGAUUAUCGUGCACUGAAUGAGGUGACGAUUAAGAACAUAUACCCUCUGCCAAUGAUCAAUGAUUUUUUUGACCAGUUGCAAGGAGCUAAAGUUUUCUCCAAGAUCGAUUUUCAAUCAGGUUAUCACCAGUUGAAGAUUCGAGAGGAGGAUAUACCUAAGACAACUUUUACCAUAAGGUACGGGCUAUAUGAGUAUACCAUUAUGUCAUUUGGCUUGACUAACGCGCCUGCCUAUUUCAUGAAUAUGAUGAACAAAGUGUUUAUGGAGCUUAUGGAUAAGUUCGUCGUGGUGUUCAUAGAUGAUAUAUUGGUCUACUCAAAUAAUGAAGAGGAGCAUAAGGAGCAUUCGCGUUUGGUUCUUGAGAACCUUAGAGAACAUAAGUUGUAUGCCAAAUUCAGCAAAUGCGAGUUUUCGUUAAAGGAAGUUGGAUUAACUCGGACAUGUUAUAUCCGGAGAAGGAAUAGCAGUAGAUCCUACCAAGGUUACCUCUAUAACUAAAUGGGUGGCACCCACAUGAGUUGGAGAGAUCAGGAUUUUUUUGGGACUCGCAGGUUAUUAUCGGAGGUUUAUUGAUAAUUUCUCCAGAAUUGCAAAGCCCAUGACAGAGUUAUUGAAGAAGGACACCAAGUUUAAAUGGACUGAGGAGUGUGAAGCCAGUUUUCAGGAGUUGAAGAAACAUUUGGUUACAGCCCCAGUGCUAAUUCUCCCAGACCAACGUAAGGAUUACCAAGUGUAUUGCGACGCUUCACAUCGAGGACUUGGAGUUGUGCUUAUGCAGGUAGGAGAAGUUGUUUCAUAUGCCUCACGUCAGCUUAAACCUCAUGAGCAGAAUUAUGCUACACAUGGCUUGGAGUUAGGAGUCGUAGUGCAUGCGCUAAAGACAUGGAGAUAUUUUCUCAUCGGAAACCAUUGUGAGGUAUACACGGAUCAUAAGAGUUUGAAGUACAUCUUCACGCAGAAGGAGUUGAACCUCAUGCAAAGGAUAUGGUUGGAGCUCAUAAAGGAUUAUGAUAUGAAAUUGCACUAUCAUCCCAGAAAGGCCAAUGUAGUAGUUGAUGUGUUGAGCCGCAGGAGUUAUGUCAACACGCACAUAACUGGAGGAUUCCCUAAUGAUUUAGCUGAUGAUAUUCGAGAGCUUUGCCUGGAUAUAGUUCCGAGGGGUUAUGUUGCAACAUUGGAAAUUAAGUCCACUCUUUUGGGCAAGAUCAGGGAAGCCCAGAAUACUGACAAGGAGAUUGCCGAAAUAAAGGAAAGGAUGUAAAGGAAAGGAUUUCGUGAGGAUGAGCACGACACCUUAUGGUUUGAGGAUCGCAUAUAUGUGCCUAAUGACCCCGAGAUCAGGAAGUUGAUUCUGAAGGAGGCCCAUGAUUCACCAUACUCGAUUCACCCAGGAAAUACCAAGAUGUAUUUGGAUUUGAAGGAAAGUUUCUGGUGGAUAGGAAAGAAGAAGGAUAUAGCCGAGUAUGUAGCAGUAUGUGAUGUAUGUCAGAGAGUCAAGGCAGAGCAUCAGAAGCCACAUGGAUUGCUACAGCCAUUGCCGAUACCCGAAUGGAAGUGGGAUAAGCUUGGCAUGGAUUUUAUCACUAGAUUACCCAGGACUCGUUCAGGCUAUGACUCUAUCUGGGUUGUAGUCGACCGUUUUGGAGUGUGCCCACUUCGAGGAGUGAAACGUUUUGGAGUUAAGGGAAAGCUAGUACCACAUUUUGUGAUGAAUUUUUUGAUAUAUUAUACGGUUUUUUUCGACAUCGUAUGCAAAAGAUAUGACAGUUUUACUUUUUCAUAACACUUUUUUGCAAAACAUGUCCAAAUUUAAGUUUUUAAAUUUUCCUAACUAGUAGAUGUAGUAACAUAACUACAUCUCGAAGGAUUUUAAUUUUUGAAGUUUUUAUCAUUUUCUUUUGUUUUUUACAAAACUGAAAUGCGGAUACACGGGGGGAGGGGGGUGGUAGAGUUUGAAAAUUUUCCUUUAGUCCCGGUUUGUGUCUCCAACCGGGACUAAAGGUUAGACCCAUUUUGUCCCGGUUUGUGAGACAAACUGGCACUAUAGCUUAGACCUUUAGUCCCGGUUUGUGUCACAAACCGGGACUAAAGGGGCUCGUGGGGCCCCGGCCUGAUGCCAGCCUGCCACCACCCCUUUAGUACCGGUUCAUGCCCCGAACCGGCACUAAAGGUUCAACACGAACCGGGACUAAUGCAUAGCCGUUCGAACCGGCACUAAUGGUCACAUUAGUGCCGGUUAAUUUACAAACCGGGACUAAAGGGCUGAACAUUAGACCCUUUUUCUACUAGUGUGUUAAGCAUCACAACUCCUCGCCAAACUGAAUCUACUAAGUUCCAUACAAAUUUAGCUCGAUUUAUGUACAUAUAUACAAUGUGAAGACUAUAGUGAAGUUGCUUGUUCACUAAAUUCAACACACAAUGGACAGGAUACUGUAUGCCGCCUGGUUUAUAGAUAGCUAUUAAAGUUUUAUCAUUUGAGCAUCCUCAUUCAAAUUAAUAUGUGCUAACGAUACUAUUGAGGCUUCUAAGAUUUAAGUGCCCAAACUCGACUUUUGUAGAUAAACAUAGCAGUACAAUUUUUUGCAUAGGUACACAAAAUCUUUCAACAUAUGAUUUGAUUCCAUUGUGUAAUUUGGCUGAAAAAUUUGAAUAGCAAGUGGCAUAAGAGCUAAUGCAAGGAAGAAAAUCAUGUCCCGGGCAUUUGCAUAGGCCGGCUCAAACUUGCCAAAUGUAGCAAGUUUUUUAUGCAAAUUCCAAAUGAUAUUUAAUUUAUCAAAAAUAAUGAAAUCUAGUUCAACGUUUCAGGCCUGAAGCAAACCUGAAACAUGUAUAAUUCUUAUCCUCCUAAUCUUUGCAGAACCAGCAAACAUGGGCAAUAAGAACCGAAAAAAUGAAGCCCUCUAUUUAGUCUGCAACACAUAAAUCCUUUAUGCCCAAUGUACAAAAAACAAAAUUGCAUCGAGUAAAUGUAACAGAAGAGAAAAAUAAGAGAUAUGUGCAGAAACAGAAAUCGAACAUAUCCUGGCAAACACAACAUCUCGCCGCUUAGACAAAUUCUAGACGUACUUCUGAGGUGAAGAGAGAACGUGGAUUUAGAAGGAGGAGAGCAAAGACCCAGGGAUGGGGGCAAGAAACAGAGUUCUAAUGCCUAUGGAUCUACAUCCCCUCUAGAUAUGUGUCUUGGUGUCUGAUCUCGUGGCUGUGGGGCUCGUGGUGGCCAGAGAUGCCCUGCAGCCUGCUAUGGUGCUAUAACUAAAUCAAAUGCCAUUGACAGCAUGGAGCUAUGUCAGGAGUGUGGCGGCCCUCUUGGACAUCAGCGCGCGCCGUAGGAUGCUGGUGCAUAGCGGUGGGCGCCGCUGUCGAGAUGAAGGUUGGGGGAGGUGGGAUGGGUGCCCCUGGGCAUGCUAAAUAAAGGAGGCUGGGAGCUGGCCGGGCGCCUCCAUUGGUGUUAGGCUGCUGCCAAUGCAUGGGUGCUUAGAUGAGGUGCUAUGCACAUUAAAUAGCUUAGCAACUAUACUCCCCAAUGCACAGGUGCUUAGCUUAUGGUUGCUAAGCUUGCUUCAUUUAAUGAUUUAGCAACUAAAGCUCUUCAUGUAUUGGUGGGCUUCCUUCCUUUAAAUGUUUUGCCUAGGUUCACACGCUUAGCAUUGUUUCUUCCUGGGUCACCACACUCAUCUCUCCUCUUAAAUAACUUGCCACAUCAGAUUUUUUGCCUAUGUGGAAGGCUUAGCACCUGUACAAGGUGGAGCAUUAGGAGGGGCCUUAAUGGAUUUUUAGCAAUGAAAACAUUACUCCUCGCUUGAAUACCGGUGAACGAACUCCAAUCACCCACUAUGCCGCAUCGCUGCCCAUUAAUGUGUCGCUAUCUCUUCACAUCUCCUGCACACCGCCCUUCCCAAAGCAGACGCUCUUUCUUGCGAUUUCGUUGUGCUGAGCAGGCCGAUGUUAAAUCACAGAUGAUGGCAAGCAAAUAUGUUAUGGUGAUCUUAAAUGGACUUCUUGCGGGAGAAGGGUACGAUUAAGCAUAAACCACCGAUUUUGUUACAGAGUAACAGCCCAUGAGGCAUCUUGUCCACUUAGUGCUAUUUAAAAGUAUCUUACGGCCAAAACGACCACCACGAAAUGAUCCAAUGGUUAGGAACGGUGGUGGCCUGAGAGGGCAGGAAAUUUGCUCAGGUAUAAUGUAUCUCUAUGUCCUUCCCACGGUAUUGAGCACGGACAUUUGUUGUGCUUGGACUAGCGCCCUUAACGUGCACACUAUUCGGAUAGACUUUGCUGGUUGCCACCCCCAUAUCUCUGGGACAUAGAGUAGUUGUGACUUUCACGGUGCUCGGUGAUGUACCAGCUAUUUUCAUACCCAUGUAGCAACCGCACCAAAACAGGGCACUCACACCUACAUGAACUGUUGUUUACUGACUCUGGCUUCCCCUGCACACCAGAUAGCACAUGCCAUGGUCAGUGCAACUAAAUUAGUGAUGGGAGCCCCACAAAUAAAAGGACAAAACAGAAGAGAGUGGCGUUUUGGCACAUGGGAGCACGCGUUCCUGAUUUUUAAAAUUUAUUUUAAACAUACUUUCACUACAAGAAAUAUGUCAACUUAUGACCACCACUAUUGGUCACUGAAAGGUCACAAAUUUCCAUUUAUGACCUUUUUGUGACCAAAAACAGAAGGUCAAAAGCUGGCCGUCGUAAACUGACUAUAGCGACCUUUCUUCUGGAAUGGUCAAAGACGUUUACGACCAAAAUAUUCCUACUGUGGCGUUUUGGUCACUAGCAACCUCCCCAGGCCACGUAGGCAUCCAGCGUGGCAAGCUGAUGUGGCACAAGAUUCAGCUCGGUCCGAUUUGGUGUUCUACAUGGGCCGAGCCCAUUAAUUCGGCCUUUUUAAUAUUUAUUUUUUCUGUUAAUUUUUGCUAGCUACAUGGGCCUGGCCCAACAAUUCGAUUCUCUAGACUGAUGUCUUUUGUUGUACAUUUCUUUUUUGGGCCUUGACCAUAUUUUCUAGGCCCUGGCCUUUCAACGGUCCAUUUCUUUUCAAAUUUCAGCCUUUGUUCCAACCAAUAUAUUUUAGGCCUUUUUUCAAAGCCCGAAUAGAUUUGGUGCAAUAGGCAUUUCGGCCAAUUUUCUUUUGGGCUAUAUAUUUCUUUUUCUAGCCACUUUUAGUCAAGAAAUGAAUUUCAAGUGAAUAAAAAGUAAUAUUCUGAGUUCAGCGAGCAAGUAUACAUCAAGUUCAGCGAGCAAAUAUACAUCAAAUUCCCAGCAUGUUUAGCAGUACAUCAAAUUUCUCAAGAAUAUUAGCAUUACAAAUUCAGUAAUAUAUAAAGCAAGUUGUUGACUGGGCUUCGGGCUUCUUCAAAUGUCUUCAGCCCAGAACUCCUGUAAAUGAGAGGAAUAGUCACAUGUUUAUAGUCUUAAUAUAAGCAAUAUUUGCUAACAACAAAACAGAACAAUUAAUCUAAGAACCAUGCAAGAACCUAGGUGUCCAAAUCAGAUUAUGCAACAUCGAUUGACACUAAAGACAUAAAUAGUCACCAGAUGGGCAUCAAAUCAUCACAAUAGUUUCUCGACAGAUGAUAAAAAAAGAACAGAAUGUAGAUGGCAGUGAGUUAAGGAAGCACCACAAUAACAGAAACAUGUUGUCAGUGGAAUGGAUGGUAACACAAACAUCUACUCUGCCCUGCUGUAACAAACAUGUACUUGACUCCUUACAUACACCAGUGCAAGUGUUUUUCACAUGUUACUACUUGAUUCGACUUUAUACAUAUAAAUAUACAUGACAAUAAACUUGCAUAAAGAGGCAUCUAGUCUAGCAUUAGACUAACUUACUGGUAUAAAGAGACAUGGAUAUUCAUGGUAGUUGUACUAGAAAAAACUAACUGAACCAAUGUCUCCAUAGAUAUCAUAGAAUCAGAACAGAUGAAGCUGACAACAUAAUAUAACCAGAAGUCAAUUGUAGCUACUCAUAUUUUGUGUGUCCAAGUAGGUACCGAUGAAAGUCACAAUAUCCUGUAAUUGUUGAAUGACUCGUGGUACAGCUUGCAUUGUUAAAAUGCAAUGAACCAUGAUUUUAGUUACACAUAUGGUUAAAGAAACAAACUUAAGGAUUUAGUUAGAAUCUCAUAUCACCCAUGAUCCACUGAUUUCAACUGGUAUUGUAUCUUACAAAUCGAACUGAAGAAGUUCAUUUCUAGCCCAACUAUAAUCUCAGGCCAACUAUUGUAAGAUGCAGGGAGCAGAGAGCUCACCAUGGCUGUCAUGUAGCCGACGUGGAAGAGGCAGCAUGUCCGUCCAAGCAGGAUCAGCAGCACCAGCGGACGGGUCUGGGGUUGUCGCCGCUCCUCCUUGUGGAUGCCGAGGUCGGAGACGCCGGAUCCGUACGGGCAUCCACCUCCCAUCCUUGCAAUUAAAACUUUAUAUGUGAGAAUUCAAUUUUAUCAAUCUCUGAACUCUAGUCUAGUCUGAUUCCUGAUUGGGGAUAUGAAUCAGCAGAAGAAAAUCAAGGGGCCCUGCCCUCCCACUUUCCUAGAACAAAAUGAGUACAUGAGCAACAACUAUAUAGAACUGAUGAUGCAUGUACUACCUAGGAAAGAGCCACCAGCAGUAUGAUCACUUGAAGACCGAUCUUGAUGCAUUUCGCAACCUACAUAGCACAUUCAUACUGUUAUGUUAUUGUUAUCCCCACUGGUGUCAACUACAGCCAGACAAAAUUCAGAAGUGCAGAGAUUUUUCAUUUGUGUAUGCACAAGUAGAAGGCUUACACUUGGGAAUCCAAGAUCGUAGAGCCCGAAUCCGAGGGCGAGGAGGUUCAGGGUGUGUUGGUGCUAAUGCCGGAGCUUCCGCUGGGAACUCCAGCGGCACCACCAUUGGUGGCUGGUCUCCGGCGCUUCCUUUCUUCCCGGGCAAGAAGACAGACGAGACGAGGAGGAGCAGCGGUAGUUCGAUGUGUGUUGGGUGGCCUGGCUGUAGCAUGGCGGCGGACCUGGACAUGGACCAAUUAAGAAUGAACACUGGUAAUGAGAUACAGCAAAUACAAAUGGUUCAGAAUAACACCAAGACAUUCAGUACUGCAAGAAAUUUCUGAAACUUCAGUUGCAGUAGUUGUCAAACAAAAUAUCAGUCCAGUAACCUCCAAAUUAAAUUAAAUUAUGAUGGUUUACUGCAAGUAAGACUAGCAUAUAGUAGUUUGUCUUGUACAUAAUGCUUCUAAUCAAAGUAAGCAUUGUCAUGCAUGCAAAUAUUUUAUGGAGUAUGUGACCAUUAGAAUGCAUACGUGUGUAGGGGAGCUCCCUCGGCAUCGUAGCUAUCAUGUUUUACCAAUGAAACAAAAGGUUACAGGGAGCUUUUAAGUAAAAUCUGUUUGUGCACACAGCAAAUCUGAGAAUGUGAGAUCGGUAUGCUCUCUACUAGUCUCCAGUGAGCUGAUCCUGCUAAUCUAUCUACGCAACGGUGGUGAGAGAUGGAGAUGCCAGUAGAAGGAACUAGCAACCAUACCACAUGCAAGGCCAAGACGGAUAGCACUGACAACAGGUAUGCAUCAAUGGGCAUGCAGCACAAGAUGGAUAUCUGCAAGUCUUUCUUCAGAAGAGGCAUUGUAACUAGACUACUGCUUACUACUUAACCCAAAACUGAAUCAUGAAACAAAUCUUACCAUCAAUGCACUGUAGGCAGGAUCUUUCUCAGGCAGGUACGGUGGUCAUCUCUCUUUCAGCUGGAUUUUCUUAGCCCACAGUCUGGUCGCUGAACAACCACUUCUUUAGCGUUUUCUUGUCACUGCAGGUGUGGAGGAAGUUCAUCAACAGAAGAGUACCUAAGAAGAAGAAUCAUGCAUCGGGAAUCAAUCAAAUCAACACCAAAUCGAAUCAGGAAGAAGAAUCGAGUGCUCACAUAGGUAGUUGCAGUGCUCCUGCACCUCCUCAAUGUCGUACUGCGUCAGCAUCGCCCAGGUUCAUCUUGUUGGCGUGGAACUGGUCUGCUCACGCCCAGGUGAUGCUUGUACGCGGUUUGCACAGGAGGCAGGCCUAGAUGCCCUCGUUCCACCGUGGUGAGGACGUCGCCUUCCACCAUGGUGCCCAGGCCGUCGGUGCAGAUCUGGCACACGCCCCCGGCCCCAUGCCUCGGAGACGGCGGGGACCUUUACGAAGAACUCGGAGACGGCGGGGACCUUGACGACGAACCCCGCGGCAGGAUCCCAGACCUGGUGGGAGAGGACGGCCUUGGCGCUGGUGCCGGGCGGGAGCGGCGGGUGGAGCUGCGCCGGAGUUGGUGCGGGCGCGGGGUAGCAGGUCGCGGGUGCGGCCCCGCGGAGCGAGACCCUCCUGGCCGCGGCGGCGCGGCCCUCGACGCCGCGAAAGCGGACGCCAAGAAGGGCAACCCGCCGCUGGAUCCGGGCGGGUGAGGCAGAGGCCUUGAGCGCGAACAUCGACGGCGGAGGAAGGGGACGGUGGAUGGGGGGGCUUGGAUAGGAUCUGGAGAGAAUNNNNNNNNNNNNNNNNNNNNNNNNNNNNNNNNNNNNNNNNNNNNNNNNNNNNNNNNNNNNNNNNNNNNNNNNNNNNNNNNNNNNNNNNNNNNNNNNNNNNNNNNNNNNNNNNNNNNNNNNNNNNNNNNNNNNNNNNNNNNNNNNNNNNNNNNNNNNNNNNNNNNNNNNNNNNNNNNNNNNNNNNNNNNNNNNNNNNNNNNNNNNNNNNNNNNNNNNNNNNNNNNNNNNNNNNNNNNNNNNNNNNNNNNNNNNNNNNNNNNNNNNNNNNNNNNNNNNNNNNNNNNNNNNGACCACGGGACAGAGCUAGGGUUUCGGGGACACAUCCAUGUUUGGUGCGGGCCGUUGGAUCCAGGGGAUCCGACGGUGAUUUACCCAUGAUCCGCGUGAGAGGCCCUUGGACCAAUCAGAAUGCAGUAUACAGGUAUGAUAUUUUGACCAUUUAAAUUGGUCAUAAUCGACUAAAAUUAUGUGCUAAAUCGUGUUAGCUAUUUUAUUAUGACCUGAAAAUUAAAAAAAACGUUUUAUUGCAUCAGCAAAUUUGACUAUUGUUUUCAGGAAUAAUCAUAAAUUGAAAUAAGAUAAUUAAUUUUUUAAAGAGUUAUGAGAAAUGAGUUCUUUUAAAUUAUUUUUUCAUUUUUUGAGUGUUUGAAAUGAGCUUUUUUGUGAAGGACCUACCAAAUAUUUAUUGCAAAAUUGUACCAACUCAAUUUUCUAAAAUACUAGGACAUAUUUAAUGCACAAUUGACCAAAUGGUUGGGUGUGAGAAGCUUUGAUCCACCUCUGGUGAAAAAGACAAAUUUCCAUCGAUUCAGCAGGAAGCGGGUCAAAUUUGAACUGUAGCUGCCUUCUAGUUGGCUCUUUUUUUUCCAAAAAUCAUUUCUAGAUACAUAAGUACCUAUUUAAUCAGAGAAACACUAAUAAAAUUCCAAGAUUCAACCACUAGCUAGAAACGGUCAUUCCCGCCGUUUUGACCGCAUUUUGAAAACAGGCAUAAAAAAUUCAAAAAAAAUCAAAAAAUUGGGAAACCUUCGCAUUGUGUCAUUAUAUGUGGCCAAGUUCCGAGUAAAAAUAACAAACUUGUAAUACGGCGAAUAUUUAAAAAAAGUGUUCUCAGAAACGAGCUAUCAAGUGUGAAGAUGAAUGGCUUUCAACCCAAAUGCUCAAUCUUAUGGCCACAUACAUGGCAUAGUUUGUUCAAAUGAUCUCAUAUUGUGCACAAGGGUGCAUAUUGGAAUGACAAACAAUGUUUCUUAAGGAAGUUUUCAUUUUCUUUGGACGAAAAAUUCAUUUUCCAUUUUUCGAGUGCCCGAAAAGAGAUUUUUUUGUGAACGGCCUACCAUAUAUUAGUUGCAAAAUGGUACCAAGUCAAUUUUGUAAAAUACUAGGACAUAUUUAAUGCACAAUUGACCAAAUGGUUGGGUGUCAGAAGUUUUGAUCCACCUCUUGUGAAAAAGACAAAUUUCCGACGAUUCAGCUGGAUGCGGGUCAAAUUUGAACUGCAGCUGCCUCAUAGUUUGCUAUUUAUUUUUUCCAAAAAUCAUUUCUAGGUACAUAAGUAUCUAUUUAAUCAGAGAAACACCAACAAAAUUCCAAGAUUCAACCACUAGCUAGGAACGGUCAUUCCCGCCGUUUUGACCGCACUUUGAAACGGGCAUAAAAAAUUCAAAAAAAUCAAAAAUUUGGGAAACCUUCGCAUUGUUUCAUCAUAUGUGGCCAAGUUCCUAGGAAAAAUAACAAACUUGUAAUAUGGAAAUUAUUUUAAAAAAGUGUUCUCAGAAACAAGCUAUCAUGUGUGGAGAUCAAUGGCUUUCAAGCCAAAUGAUCAAUCUUAUGGCCACAUUCAUGGCAUACUUUGUUCAAAUGAUCUCAUAUUGUGCACAAGGGUGCAUAUUGGAAUGGCAAACAAUGUUGCCUAAGGAAGUUUUCAUUUUCGUUGGACGAAAAAACCAUUUUCCAUUUUUCGAGUGCCCGAAAGGAGGUUUUUUUUUGUGAAGGAACUACCAAAUAAUUGUUGCAAAAUUGGACCAAAUCAUUUUUAUAAAAUACUAGGCCAUAUUUAAUGCACAAUUGACAAAAUGGUUGGGUGUAAAAAAAAUUGAUCCACCUCUCGUGAAAAAGACAAAUUUCCGCCGAUUCAGCUGGAAGCGGGUCAAAUUUGAACUGCAGCUGCCUCAUAGUUUGCUAUUUAUUUUUUCCAAAAAUCAUUUCUAGUUACAUAAGUAUCUAUUUAAUUAGAGAAACACCAAAAGUUUUCCAAGAUUCAACCACUAGCUAGGAACGGUCAAGCCCGCCGUUUUGACCGCAUUUUGAAACGGGCAUAAAAAAUUCAAAAAAAAUCAAAAAAUUGGAAAACCUUCUCAUUGUGUCAUUAUAUGUGACCAAGUUUCCAUUAAAAAUAAUAAACUUGUAAUACGGUAAUUAUUUUAAAAAAGUAUUCUCAGAAAUGAGCUAUCAAGUGUGAAGAUUCAUGGCUUUCAAGCCAAAUGGUCAAUCUUAUGGCCAGAUUCAUGGCAUAGUUUAUUCAAAUGAUCUCAUAUUGUGCACAAGGGUGCAUAUUGGAAUAGCAAACAAUGUUGCCUAAGGAAGUUUUCAUUUUCGUUGGACGAAAAAACCAUUUUCCAUUUUUCGACUGCCCGAAAGGAGGUUUUUUUGUGAAGGAACUACCAAAUAAUUGUUGCAAAAUUGGACCAAAUCAUUUUUAUAAAAUACUAGGCCAUAUUUAAUGCACAAUUAACAAAAUGGUCUGGUGUAAAAAAUUUUGAUCCACCUCUCGUGAAAAAGACAAAUUUCUGCCGAUUCAGCUGGAAGCGGGUCAAAUUUGAACUGCAGCUGCCUCAUAGUUUGCUAUUUAUUUUUUCCAAAAAUCAUUUCUAGUUACAUAAGGACCUAUUUAAUCAUAAAUACAUGGUUUGGUGGCGAUAUGUCGAGGUUUGGGCGGUGGCCGAGGGCCCCAACUCUAGAGCGUGUAAACUUGCAUGCCCGCCGCGUGGUCACCGCGUGACCGUGGCGUUGCCAUGUGUUCUGGGCGGCCUAGGCAUGUCUAGUGGGUUGGGCACUCCCCAGGUUGGUGCUAGGAAGAAAAUUACAACAUAAGAUUCUCACGAGGAGACCAAUCGAUGCUCAAACAUGAAUUAGCAGCCAAGUGUUUGAUUAGCGGUACGGGAAAUGUACAUGGCUAAUGGGCGUGAGUUUUGGCUGAGGAUGAUCAGUUACUAAGAAGACCGUUUUCACAAAUUUUUAGCUCAAAAGGAGGAGCCUAGGUGGUACUUGCUUUGCAAACCACCACACUGGACAUAAAAUACGAAUGUUGAAGCUCGGCUCAAAAUAAUGAAUGGAUUGAGCUGGCAUUUGGUGGAGGAUGGUUAUUUGGGCAUAGGAAAGCACUGUAGAAAAUGGAUACUAUUUGGACAUGCCAAAGUGGUAAUUCCUUCACAAACUGUUGUUCUGAACAGAAUAGGAAAAUGAAUAUUUUUGAAUUAGUUUUGAACUAGGCAAGGAAGAUUUUUACAUAUUUGAUGAAGAUAUGACCCAAGGAAUUUAUGAGAUUUUUCUGGGAAUUUUGGGAAUGACAGAAAUAUAGGUUGCUUCACAACCUAGGGCAAAAACUGCCACAUGGACAUGACACAUAGGCAAAACUGAUGAGGUGGCGCCUAGUCAUAGCAACCCACCACAAUUUACAAGGCUAUGACCAUCUAUAUUGGUCGUUAACAACUAGAAAUAAGGCAGCGGACUAGCGUUGUUUGCUUUAUGACCAUUUCGUGUAAGGAAAUUACGACCUUUCUGACCAAAAUGGUCGCAAUGGUUUAGGGUUUGGAGCCCCCCAAACAGCUUUUGACCAAUUGGUCUAAAAUGGUCAUAAAUUUAUGACCAAUUCUUCGAGGGUCACUGACAGAAGGUCAUAAGUUGACAUAUUUCUUGUAGUGUUUGAAAUGUCAAACAAAAUCAAACAAAAACUUGGCGCGUACAUCUCGAUAUUAUACAUGCUCACAAAGUUGUUUCGCGAAAAACCGAUAGCUCACGUGUCGCGUGUGAAAAAGACAAAAACCGGUGUUAAAAAAUGCUUUUCACAAGACAUCCUUUUGUCUUUUUUUACGCAAGCCACAAAAAAUGUCGGUUUUCUCCGAAACUUGACAUGCACACAUAUAAUGUCGAGAUGUAUGCGCCAAAUUUUUGUUUGGAAUUUUUUCACACGUUGAAAUACUUGUUCGUGUGCAGGAGCGCGCGCUCCCGGGAGCACCAACGGAUAUCUGCAGAAUAGAUAAGCAGAAGGCACUACACGCCAAGAAGCCACAAAUGAUUUCCUGCAUCGAUUUGGUCAUCUUAGCGUUCAAUCUAGUCUUACAAUACCUAAUCCCAAACCCAAUCUCCCACGAAUACAAGUUGUAGAUGUCGUGCGCCUCACCUAGCGAGUAGCGAGUCGAACCCAGUCCCAGUUCUGGCUUGAUUACACUCUCCCUAGACUCCUCUGCACAUUUCCAAAUCGACUGCUCGAAUACCCUGAUCCUACAUGGACAAGGCCUUCUGUCCCAUGGUGAAUUCCUGAGGCGUAACCUGCUUUUUUGGCAACAUAGUCGAUUGGAUAGAUGCAGGCUUACCUCUUUUGUCCAUCCUGGUCCUCCGGAUUGACCCUAUCAGUGGACGCGGACCGCGUCGAAGACGCCUUUUGUCACCGGCUUCCUUCGCCACCUUGCUGCCCGCACCCAGACCCAACAUUGGAGUUCCCCGGCUCAGUCGGGUGGUGAAAGUGCAACUAUCCCUAGGUGGUUUUGGUAAUUGAUAACAACAUAUAGCUCAUUGAGCUCAUGCUAUUCCAAGACUAUUAUUUCAGGAAAGCUCAAUGAAUGGCAUGGCAUGGAUGAUGAAAGUGGAUCCCUCAAAAUACUAAGGACAAAGGUUUGGCUCAAGCUCAAAAGCUCAAGACUCUUCAUUUUAUAUUUUAGUGAUCCAAGAUCACAUUGAGUCUAUAGGAAAAGCCAAUACUAUCAAGGAGGGAUGAGGUGUUGCUUAAUGAGCCUCUUGCUUCAUGUGCUUUGUGAUAUGCUCCAAAACCCUCAGCUACUUUCCCACAUCCACAAAUGACCUAAACCCAAAGCCAAAAUCGGUCACACCGAUUAUUCCAAUCCGACGCCACCGAUUCCAAAAAUCAUAGCCACUGCCACAAACCCUAAGCAAAUUGGUCUUACCGAUAGGGAUCUCGGUCUCACCGAGAUGGGAUUGUAAUCUCUCUGUUUCCCUUCGUAACAUUUCGGUCUAACCGAAGUGAGCGAUCGGUCCCACCGAGAUUGCUAUGUAAACUCUCUGUUUCCCUUUUGUAACAUUUUGGUCUCACCGAAAAGAGCAAAUCGGUUCCACCGAGUUUACCUGACCAACUCUCUGGUUAGCUUAUUACAAAAAUCGGUUUCAUCGAGUUUGUGUAAUCGUUCUUAUCAAGAUUACUUUAUGCCCUAACCCUAACCGAAUCGGUCUCACCGAUAUGCAUGUCAGUCCCACCGAAAAUCACUAACGGUCACUAGGUUUACUAAAUCGGUCCGACCGAUUGUGUUGAAUCGGUCCCACCGAGUUUGGUAAAUUGUGUGUAACGGUUAGAUUUUGUGUGGAGGCUAUAUAUACCCCUCCACCUCCUCUUCAUUCGUGGAGAGAGCCAUCAGACUAAACCUACACUUCCAACUUACCAUUUCUGAGAGAGAACCACCUACUCAUGUGUUGAGGCCAAGAUAUUCCUUUCCUACCAUAUGAAUCUCGAUCUCUAGCCUUCCCCAAGUUGCUUUCCACUCAAACCCUCUUUCCACUAGAUCCAAAUCCUAUGAGAGAGAGUUGAGUGUUGGGGAGACUAUCAUUUGAAGCACAAGAGCAAGGAGUUCAUCAUCAACGCACCAUUUGUUACUUCUUGGAGAGUGGUGUCUCCUAGAUUGGCUAGGUGUCACUUGGGAGCCUCCAACAAGAUUGUGGAGUUGAACCAAGGAGUUUGUAAGGGCAAGGAGAUCGCCUACUUCGUGAAGAUCUACCGCUAGUGAGGCAAGUCCUUCGUGCGCGACGACCAUGGUGGGAUAGACAAGGUUGCUUCUUUGUGGACCCUUCGUGGGUGGAUCCCUCCGUGGACUCGCGCAGCCGUUACCCUUUGUGGGUUGAAGUCUCCAUUAACGUGGAUGUACGAUAGCACCACCUAUCGGAACCACACCAAAAACAUUCGUGUCUCCAAUUGCGUUUGAAUCCUCCAGACCCUUCCCUUUACUUUCUUGCAAGUUGCAUGCUUUAAUUUCUGCUGCCUAUAUACUCUUUGCAUACUUGCUUGAUUUGUGUGAUGAUUGCUUGACUUGUCCUAAGAUAGCUAAAAUCUGCCAAACUCUAAAAUUGGGAAAAAGUUAAGUUUUAAUUGGUCAAAUAGUCUAAUCACCCCCCCUCUAGACAUACUUCAAGGUCCUACAAGUGGUAUUAGAUCUUUGGUCUCCAUUUGCUUUGAUUUCCAUAGCUUUUGGUGGUCAUAGCCUUGGUUUCACAACCUAGGAGAGUAUGGCGUCUAGCGAGGGAAAUUAUCACCGUAGAGGUCCUUACUUUGAUGGUACUAAUUUUGCUAGUUGGAAGCAUAAGAUGAAAAUGCAUAUUCUCGGACAUAACCCCGCCGUUUGGGCAAUUAUUUGUAUUAGCUUGCAAGGUGAAUUCUUUGAUGGGAGAGAACCGAACUGUGAAGCGAAUGCAGAAGAAUUGAAGAUGCUGCAAUACAACGCUCAAGCUUGUGAUAUCAUCUUCAACGGAUUGUGCCCCGAAGAAUUCAACAAAAUCAGCCGUCUUGAGAAUGCAAAGGAAAUUUGGGAUACUUUGAUUGAUAUGCACGAAGGUACCGAAUCCGUCAUGGAAUCCAAGUUGGAUGUGCUCCAAAGUCAGCUUGACAAGUUCAAAAUGAAGGAUGGCGAAGGUGUCGCUGAAAUGUACUCUAGGCUUGCACUUAUCACAAAUGAGAUUGCCGGCUUAGGGAGUGAAGAGAUGACCGAUAAAUUCAUCAUCAAAAAGAUCCUAAGAGCAUUGGAUGGAAAGUAUGAUACCAUGUGCACUUUGAUUCAAAUGAUGCCAAACUACAAAGAUCUCAAGCCAACUGAAGUCAUUGGAAGAAUUGUUGCUCAUGAGAUGUCACUCAAGGAUAAGGAGGAACUUCACAACAAGUCAAGUGGUGCUUACAAAGCCUCAAGUGAAGCCCCCACAUAAUCAAGUGAGAAACAAACCUUCAAUGAAGAAUUGAGCUUAAUGGUGAAGAACUUCAACAAAUUCUACAAGAGUAGAAACAAAGAAAGAAGCUCCAAGUCAAGGUCUUAUCAUGAGAAAAGAUCUUCUAGUCAAGAGCGCAAUUGCUACAAUUGUGGGAGGCCUGGACACUACUCCAAUGAGUGUACGUCACCCUACAAUAGAAGAGAAGAUUCUCCAAAAAGAAGAAGCAAAAGAGAAGAAUCACCACCAAGGGAGAGGAGGAGUAGAGAUGAUCGUUAUGAACGAAGACCCUCACGGAGAAGCAAGGAUUCGUAAAGGAAGGACAAGUCAUCAAGGAGCUACACAAAACGAAGACAUCAAGCUCAUGUUGGUGAAUGGGUAUCCGACUCCGACUCCGACAAUCACUCCGAGAGAAGCUAUCACUCUGACUCCAAACAUACUCAAGAUGAAGGUGUUGCCGGUCUAGCACUUGUGUCAACCAACUCCUACGACAUAUUUGAUUCACCAAAUGAAGGAAUUGGAAGAUGCUUCAUGGCCAAAGGUCCAAAGGUAACACAUCCUGAGUAUGUUGAUUUCAAUAGUGAUGAAGAUGACUUGCUUGUGGAUGAUGAUUUACUUGUUGACAACUCUAGUGAUGAAUACUAUGAUGAAACGUCAAUUAAUCGCUAAUCAAGAUAAAACAAAUGACAAUGAUAAGGAGAAGAUUGAGCUUCUAACUAAAGAACUAAACACUCUUAAGUUGGCUCAUGAAACUAUCUUCGAAGAUCAUCGAGAACUUUUAAGGGCUCAUGAGAAGUUACGCUUUGAAAAUCUCAAUCUUGAGAAAGAGCAUGAGUUCUUAAAAGCAAUCAAUGAUGAUCUCCGUAAGAAAAGUUCUUCUUACAUUGCCAAGCGUUUACUCUUAUCUACUUACAUGCCUCAAGUCAAGUCUAGUAACAAGUACAAGAAAGAUACUUCCUCUAGUAGUAACAAUAAUAAUGUUAAAUCCAAUAUUUUUGUUUCUAGUAGUUCUCUUGAUUCCACUAAUGAUUCUCUUAGCCAAGUUACACUUGAGCAAGAAAAUAGUUUAUUGAAGGGAAUUAUAGAGAAAGGUGUUUACAAGAGCCUUGCCGGGAGCAAGCAAUUCAAGGAAAUUGUACGCAAGCAAGGAAGACACCGGAAGAAUCAAGGUGUUGGUUUUGAACAAAAGUUCAAUGCCAAUGGAGUUGAGUGGGAAGAAGAUCAAUACCCCAAGACGAAGUUUGUUCCUCAACAAGAGAAGUAUGAUCCUACUUCCUUCAAGGGAACACAAGCUCAAGAUGAUCUUCCACCACAAGACCACAAGAACAAAGGCAAGGACAAGCUUCAAGAAGAGAUUGAUGCAUUUGAAGAAGCACCUAAAGCCUCGGUCAAGUGGAUUCCCAAGACUACGUCAAGUUCUACUUCAUCAAGCACAACUACAACUCCAAGGAUUCCCAUCAAGAUGAUGUGGAUCCCGAAGAAGAAGAACUAGAGAGUUCUUGAGGGUGACUCCGCCAACAUUCUUCACUCAUAUCUUUAUGGCAAGGACAGGUGCAAUCAACUUCCACAUCUUGCACUAGUUCAAGGAGUCACAAACCCUCAUGUUGGUAAGGCAAGGGACAAGGUAACCUAAUGUUUUCAUGGACAUCAUCUUGUGUGUGCAUCACUCUAUGUCUAUGGAUAUUCUUGUUUGUUCCUUGUGGGACUAACCCAUGUAGGUAAGUUGAAAGUGCAACUCACUCCAAAGGAUUGCUCCAAAUGAUCUACAUCAACAUUGAGCAUCCACAUCUUCAACACGUACAUGAAGUCAUGAUCGGCAAAACCCAAGGUUAGUUCAUCCCUCUAAGGGGGGAUAUCACAUCUAGGGGGAGCUUAACUCUAAGAAUUGAGUCAAAGCAACUCUAAUGGUGUGAACACAUCAAUGCAUUAUGUAAAAGUGGUAACCCCACUUGAGCUUAAACGACGAGUAUGACCUAUGAUCAAAUGUUCUCAUUUGACUCCUAAGUCAAUAUACUCAUAUAUAGAUGACCUAGUCAUCGCCAAUUGUUUGGUAGAUGCUAGAAUUGUUUGUGCAUGCUUUGCCACAUAUUUCAUUUGCCAUUUUAUUGUGUGAGCAUGUUGGUGCAUAUUUUACUCAUUCAAGGACAUCCACUUGUUGUUUUGAUUGUUUGGUUCUUUCUUCUUUUGGCCAAGUGGAUGGACAAGAAUGCAUAAGAACCUUCUCUAGCUAUCUAUGCUUUUCUUGUCUCAAACUCUAUUCAUGCUACAUCACAAAAAUUGAUCAAGUCAGAUUCGAACCACUCUAUGUGAGGAGCACUCGGAGUCCCCGAUUCGUCAUAGACUUAAACUUCCAAAACCUCUUUGUGACUCUCGGUCUGACCGAUUCCUCCAUUUCGGUCCUACCGAGAUCAUUUAGUUGAUCUGAGUUUUCAAUCUCGGUGCAACCGAUUUGAACUUUUCGGUCACACCGAGUUGCUAUAACUGAACACAGUUAUGCAUCUCGGUGCCACCGAGUUGUUCUACUCGGUCACACUGACAGGGUCGGGCUAUAUAUAGUCACGGGCAAAAUUUUGGAAAUUUCUCCGAAUCCCUUCGCUCGUGCAAUAGCUCGCUCUGCCAUCGAAGGUCUCCUUGUUGCCAGCCGCCUCCUGUCGCUGGUCUCCGCCGCCGUCAACGGAAUUCAACCCCACCGUCGCCGCCGUAGCGAGUUCAUCGCCGCACUAGGGUAUGGACUCGAUCUUUGUGAUAUCCACAUCUGAUUCCUAGCAUAGUGUACUCUUAUUGAAUCUUGCCACGAUUGAAACAAUCCUAUCCAGCCAAAGUAGUCCGUAGAGUAGAUUAGAUUCAAAUUUUUAGGGUUAGGUUUCCGCCAAAACCAUCUCGUACCCACCGAGUUGAAAAACUCAGUCUCACCGAUUUGGCUUAUGCCAUUGCACUAGUGACUCUCGGUCUGAUCGAGAAUUACUAAUCGUGCGACCGAUUUUAGGAUUCUGUGAAACCCUAGCAGUCUCGGUGCCGCCGAACUGUGACUCGGUCCAACCGAGUUCAUCAGUUUAGGUUCCAAAAACUACUUCGGUAUCACUGAGUUUGAAAAUCGGUUGAUCCGAGAUGCUUUCUGUGGAAAACUAAAACUGAAUUUUUGAAUCAUUCUUUUGCAAAAAUCUAUGCAUUUGGUGAUACUCAUCCACUCUAUCUCAUCUAUAACUCUUCACAGGGUCAACAGUCAGUUUUUGCAACAUGUCAGACCAGAGUGACAGCCAGAACAGGUCAGCAGAGCAGAUUCAGAUGAGUGAGGGCACUAGUCCCUCCAGCACUUUAGAUGAAGGGAGCAGAAGCACUCCUAGCAACCUGCCUAAGGCUGCUACCAGGCAAAGGAGAAAGAGAACCUCAGACUCAGAAGAUGAGGACUACAAAGCUGAAGAAGAUGAGGCUACUUCCAAGAAAGUGGUGCUCAAGAAGGAAUAUGGCUCAACAAAGGAUACAAAGCCAGGCAUGAAGAUCAAAAGGCCUGCAGGAAGACAACCAAUGUCCAAGGCCAGAGCAUCAACUCAACUUCCUGAAAAGCCUGAUCCCAAAGAACCAGCUGCUGAAGGAAAGAAGAGGAAGGAAAAGGUCAAGAAGACCAUGGCCAGAGUUGUUGGUCAACCUUCCAUGAUGGAAGAGGAAGAGCUUGCUGCACCAGCACCAAAGGCACCAAAGCUUAUGGGUGAUGCUAUUAGAUGAGGGGCUGCAACAACUAAGCCCAAGGAAGCACCCAAAGUUGCCCCCAAGGCCAAGUCUGCACCAAAGAGGAAUACCAGGAGUAUUCCAGCUACUGAGAAGAACAAGGCCCUAGUGCCCGAGGUUGCUGAGGAGGAAGAUGAAGGACAGGUCCUAAGGAAGCUCAAGCCUAAGAUACCAGACCACAAUGAGGCCCAUCCUGUGGCUAAGGACAACAUCAGAAAAGACUCACGAUUGAGGCUAUGGAGGAUGGUAGAUCCAUAUGCCACAAGGAGAAGAACUGCUGUUGAUUACAGGUUCCAUUCAAAGGAACAGCAGGACUUCUAUGAGACAAUCUUAUUGGACAAGAAGCCCAUUGUGUGUGAUAUGAGGUGGGUCGACUGGACCUACAUGAAGGAGAAUGAAGAGCACUAUCCUGGAGUGCAAGACAACUUUGUUGCUUAUGGAGUUGCAGAUUUUGUUGGGCAAAAGCUCACAAACUAGAAUGAUGAACUUAUCAUGCAAUUCUACUCCACAGCACAUUUUUACCUAGAUGGAAGAAUUGUUUGGAUGUCUGAAGGUACAAGGUACCAAUCCACUGUUGAAGAAUGGGAAAAACUAAUAAAUGCCCCAAAGGAAAAUGAUGAUGAUCUGGAUAUAUAUGCCAUGAAGAAAAUGGGAAACAAUACCAUGGCACACAUGUACAAGGAGAUCCCAGACAAAGCCCUAGAGACUUUCUCUUUUGGAUCAGUCCAUUUUCUGUUGUCGGGGCUGCCUACUAUCAAUUGGAUUCUGAGGCACACUCUGUUGCCCAAGUCUGGUGACCACAACAUGAUCAGAGGGCAUGCAAUCAAUAUGUUGCAUUUAUUUGUGCCAUAGAAAUUCAAAGUCAUGAGCCUUAUAGUUGAAACCAUUAAGAGGACUGCAGCAGAUCAGAAGAGGAGCUGUGCAUAUGCGCCUCAGAUUCAGGAAUUGAUCAACUCAAAGAUGGGAACUGGCAAAUAUCUAUUGGAUAGGGAACAUUUUCCACUCUAUCCAGACUUUGAAGACAAUGAGGUUGUCAUGAAUGAGGAUGAUCCAUCAUCAGUUCAAGCUCAAGAGAAAAAGGAGAAGGAAAGGAAGGAGAAGGCUGCCAAGAUGCCAACUCAAGAGGAGGCAUCUGAGUAUUUCUUGAAGAACAAGCAGGAGCAGCUUGGUUACUUGAUAGCAUCAUCUCUGAGGAUUGAGAAGGGAUUGGCCACCCUCACUCAGAAUCAGGAGAGCUUGGAGAGAAUCAUGGAACUCAAAUUUCAUGAUCUUGAUGUCAAGGUAACUGAGAUUCAAACAGUUGUGGAGAAACUGCAGGAUGACAUGCAGGAGAGGAAUGGCAAGACUACCACUAAUGUCUUUGCCAGAGUGCCUAGAGCUCAGAGGCCAGCUGUUGUGCCAGUGCCAGAUACUAGAGCAACAUCUUCAGCACCAGCUACUGCCCCUUUAUCUCCAGUGCAACCAGCUUCAGCAUCAACUCCAGCACCCUCUACAUUAACUGAAGCCUUCGUCCAAGGAGCCAUCUCUACACCACCAACUGAAGAUCAAGCCUGAGAGUCGAUCUAGCACUAUGCAUUUUCUAUGAACUUUUUGGUAACUUGUUGCCAAAGGGGGAGAAAAAUGUAUAGAUCAUAGGCUUCGAGAGAGAGAGUGUGUUGCUUUUAUUCUCUCUUGCUUUGUUGGUUUAAACUUGUUUGUUUUUGAUUGUUUGAGAUACUAUGCUUGUGAGACAUUGAUGAUCAUGUGUUUGAUCAUAAGCUACACUUAUGCAUGUUGGAUGAUAUUAUCCUAUCUAUCUUAUGUGAUCAUUCACUUUGCUUGGUGAUGAGUGCAUGUAUUCAUUACUUAUCAUUUUGAGCGCUCCACCAAGAUGUAUGUGACAUGGAAGAGUAACCCAUGAGCCUAAUUCCUUGUGCAUUUGCAGUCCAAAGCAAAUUUUAAAUUAUGCACAAAUUUAGGGGGAGCUAUUUCUUAUCACAUACUUCUCAAAGCGACGAAGUUAUUCAAUCUUAUUAUCAUUUGUCGAAGCUUUGAUCUACAUGUUGUCAUCAAUUACCAAAAAUGGGGAGAUUGAAAGUGCAACUAUCCCUAGGUGGUUUUGGUAAUUCAUAACAACAUAUAGCUCAUUGAGCUAAUACUAUUCCAAGACUAUUAUUUCAGGAAAGCUCAAUGAAUGCCAUGGCAUGGAUGAUGAAAGUGGAUCCCUCAAAAUACUAAGGACAAAGGAUUGGCUCAAGCUCAAAAGCUCAAGACUCUCCAUUUUAUAUUUUAGUGAUCCAAGAUCACAUUGAAUCUAUAGGAAAAGCCAAUACUAUCAAGGAGGGAUGAGGUGUUGCUUAAUGAGCCUCUUGCGUCAUGUGCUUUGUGAUAUGCUCCAAAACCCUCAGCUACUUUCCCACAUCCACAAAUGACCUAAACCCAAAGCCGAAAUCGGUCACACCGAUUCUUCCAAUCCAGCGCCACCGAUUCCAAAAAUCAUAGCCACUGCCACAAACCCUAAGCAAAUCGGUCUUACCGAUAGGGAUCUCGGUCUCACCGAGAUGGGAUUGUAAUCUCUCUGUUUCCCUUUGUAACGUUUCGGUCUAACCGAAGUGAGUGAUCGGUCCCACCGAGAUUGCAAUGUAAACUCUCUGUUUCCCUUUUGUAACAUUUCGGUCUCACCGAAAAGAGCAAAUCGGUCCCACCAAGUUUACCUGACCGACUGUCUGGUUAGCUUAUUACCAAAAUCGGUUUGACCGAGUUUGUGUAAUCGGUCUUACCGAGAUUACGUUAUGCCCUAACCCUAACUGAAUUGGUCUCACCGAGAUGCAUGUCAGUCCCACCGAAAAUCACUAAUGGUCACUAGGUUUACUAAAUCGGUCCGGCCGAGUCUGUUGAAUCGGUCCCACCGAGUUUGGUAAAUUGUGUGUAACAGUUAGAUUUUGUGUGGAGGCUAUAUAUACCCCUCCACCUUCUCUUCAUUCGUGGAGAGAGCCAUCAGACUAAACCUACACUUCCAACUUACCAUUUCUGAGAGAGAACCACCUACUCAUGUGUUGAGGCCAAGAUAUUCCAUUCCUACCAUAUGAAUCUUGAUCUCUAGCCUUCCCCAAGUUUCUUUCCACUCAAACCCUCUUUCCACUAGAUCCAAAUCCUAUGAGAGAGAGUUGAGUUUGGGGAGACUAUCAUUUGAAGCACAAGAGCAAGGAGUUCAUCAUCAACGCACCAUUUGUUACUUCUUGGAGACUGGUGUCUCCUAGAUUGGCUAGGUGUCACUUGGGAGCCUCUGACAAGAUUGUGGAGUUGAACCAAGGAGUUUGUAAGGGCAAGGAGAUCGCCUACUUCGUGAAGAUCUACCGCUAGUGAGGCAAGUCCUUCGUGGGCGACGGCCAUGGUGGUAGACACGGUUGCUUCUUCGUGGACCCUUCGUGGGUGGAGCCCUCCGUGGACUCGCGCAGCCGUUCCCUUCGUGGGUUGAAGUCUCCAUCAACGUGGAUGUACGAUAGCACCACCUAUCGGAACCACGCCAAAAACAUCUGUGUCUCCAAUUGCGUUUGAAUCCUCCAGACCCUUCCCUUUACUUUCUUGCAAGUUGCAUGCUUUAAUUUCCGCUGCCUAUAUACUCUUUGCAUGCUUGCUUGAUUUGUGUGAUGAUUGCUUGACUUGUCCUAAGAUAGCUAAAAUCUGCCAAACUCUAAAACUGGGAAAAGGUUAAGUUUUAAUUGGUCAAGUAGUCUAAUCACCCCCCUCUAGACAUACUUCAAGGUCCUACAGGUGGGAAUCACUGCAUAACUGGAUCGGGAUGCUCAAACCUGUUCGUAAACUUCUCCGGCAGAGGAAACCUGCAAGACACACCAUGGCUACUGGUGGUGGAAGUGGGAUGAGGGGACAAGGGUUGUACGAAGCACCAAAUCUCAAAAAUUGACAUGGAUGAGGGGGCGGGUUGAUCUGACCGGCUAACAGCAUCCAACAGGAACUCAAGCCCCGCAUCCUCCAUCGCCGACACCGUCGGAACCAGCAGAAGCCGCCGCAAUUAUGGAUGGAGUGGGCUGAUGGGAGGGCGGGUUUGGCGGACCUCCUAUGGGCGGUCUCAAUCCUCGAUUGAUCUACCAAGAAAAGUCCACAAAUUCGUCCGUGUGACGGCUCAGGUUUUUCACGUAACCCUGGGCCACGGCUCAAACAGAAAUUCUCUGUCCUGGCCCACGGAGCAUGAAAUCCUGCGCGAGUCGAGGCUCCCAUCCCUACUUAAUUGGCCCCACACACGGUCGCAUUGUUUCAUGCCGUAUACAAGACGUAUCUUCAUUAUUUGCCGGUGCAUAUUUUCUUGGGAAAAACAUCCAAUAUAUUCAACUUCAAUCAUGGCGGUAAACACUAGAUAUAAUUAAAAUUAUAUACAGAUCCGUAGACCACCUAGCGACGACUACAAGAACUAAAGCGAGCCGAAGGCGCGCCGCUGUCAUUGCCCCUCCCUUGCCGGAGCUAGGCAAAACUUGUUGUAGUAGACAGCCAGGAAGUCAUCGUGCUAAGGUCCUAUAGGACUAGCACAUCAGAACAGCAACCGCCGCCGAUGAAGAGUAGCGUAAAUCGGAAGGAUCCAACCUGAAAACACACGAACAUAGACGAACGACGAACAUAUCCAAGCAUAUCCACCAAGGACAAAUCUACCGGAGACACACAUCCACACGCCCAUCGACAAUGCUAAAUGCACCAUCAGAACUGGGGCUAGGCGAGGAGAGCCUUAUUCCAUCUUAGGGAGCAGCCACUGUAUCGUCUUCCUGAGUUGGACACAAACCCUAACAAAUCACGAAGACACAUCAAAAAACCGAGCCCUCCUCCACCGCGCUCCCAUGACCCUAAGGAAAACCGCAGAUGAGGUGGACUGGCGACAACACCGGUGGGAGGCACGGGAAUCCUAGUUGGGGAGGAGGAGGCGGCCUGAGGAGUCAUGUAAUGUCCUUUCUAGGUUCACCGGUUGGCCCCUUCUAUUCUGUCGAUGCAUACCUGACACGUCAGAACGAAUUGUUGCAAUCCCCAGGCAACAGCGAAUGCUAGAGAUUUCCGGAGCAGCUAAGCUCGAGCACUGAAUCGCUGCGUCCGGGGAGCUAGUAGCCAGACGAGAAACCGAGCGUGUGUAAAGCGCUAAACUACACUGUCCCAACAGAGCGUGCGUGUGAGUGUUGAUGUGCCAACCAACGCCAUAAGCAUGGUAGAGGAGCGCUCCUGCAACUUGUUGCCUCAAAUAGGUGGGAAAACACAUAAGGACACGCACUGGUCGGCCCAUUCAUUUCAUACUGUACCAACUCGAUGGCGAAGAUUUUUUCGGUGUUGUACACUUUCAAGCGCUUUUUUCAAUUAGGGGUUUUCUUUGUCAUAUUUUCAAAAACAUUAGAAAAACGUAUUUAUUGAAAAACUAAGUAUUGAGUUUUUAUAAUAAUUAUACAAAAUGUGAACAUUUUUAAAACAUGAAUGUUUUUCAUAAUGCUAACCAUUUUUUCAUGUUUUGAACAUUUUUUCAAAAACACCAAUAUUUUUUGAAAACACUAAAAAAUUGUGAAAACAUUCAAAUGAAAUUAUACAUUUUGAAAAAAAUAUUCAUAUAUUUAAUAAACAAGAACAUUUUUGAACAUUUUGUGAAAAACCCGAAAAAGAACAAAAGAAAACAAAAAUAAAACCAGCAAAAGAAGAAAACCUAAAAAACCGGAUUCCUUAAUGCAUCAUAAUAAUGCACGACUAUUUUUUAUGAAUAUGUCUUCGAAUCAAAAAUGUCUUUCAUACAUGUGUUUGCCUAUACCUCACUUUUAGUCAGGCAAAAGAACACAAGGCCUCAGGCCCCUGUAUUGUAACCUAGGGAUCCUUCAUUAUGCAGGAAGCCGACUUGUCCAGGGCCUCGUAGGUCGGCUUGUCCAGGGCCUCGUAGGCCUCGUAGGUCGGCUUAUCCAGGGCCAUCAAUCCGGCUCAUGGACCCAAUUAGAGAAAGGCCCGGGGGACUUGGAGUGGGUGACAGGGCGACUAGCGUCCAGGAGAACUCCUCCAACGACCAACUACGAUCGUGUAAUCCUACACCCCGACACCCAUAUAUGUGGCGGCUGGAUUAGUCAAUAGACAGAGAACCUUAGAGCUAUUUCUCAAUCCAUCGAUUAUUGUAAGCCCUAUACACGAGCAAUAUACAGAGCAGGGGUUAGGAUUUUACCUCAUACAUGAGGGUCUGAACCUGGAUAAACCCCUUCUUAUUUCCCAUUUGGUUUAAUCGCAUGGCCAGAGUACCUUAUCAAGUGAUCUGCCGGAAAUAACUCCACCACGUCAUAAAUGGGCUAGGGCCAGAUUUUUUUUCUCCUUUUCUCUUAUUUUGUUUCUACUUUUGGUUCAAUUUUAAAAAUACUGUAAAUAUAUAUAUUUGGAAAUAUUCUUCAUUAAUUAUUAAUAACAUUCACCAUGCCUGAAAUAUUGGUCAUGAAAUGUAAUUAUUUGUUUGCACAAUUUCAGAAAUUGUUCAUAUCCUUCAAAAGAAUAUUCCUAUCAUUUUUAAAAUGUUUGCAUGUUUAAAAAAUGAGUGGUUUUUUAACAAUGUUUAUUAAAAUAUAUAAAAAUUGACACUGUAAUUUGUAAAAAAGUUCAUACCAUUCAAAAAAUGUUUAACAAUUUAAAAAUGUUCAAACAUUUUAAUUUUAAGUAUUUUUUAGUAAACAAUAUUGAAAUAGAAAAAAAAAUUGACGAAAACUUAAAAGUUUAUAACAUAUAAAAAUGUUUGUAAAAUUUUCAAAUAUGUUCAUAAACACUUACGAAAUGUUUGGCACUUUUACGGAUAUGUUGAUGUCUUAAUUUUUUUGAAAACUAUCAAUGAAAUUUACAAAAAUGUUCCUAACAGCCAGAUCUGGACUCAACAAGCCCCCGCGUCCCCUCCUCUGGCGACUCGGGGGCCACCCUACCCGCGCUGCCAGCAGACCUCCCCCACCCCAUCCCCUGCUUUGCCGCCGCCGGAGGGGACGCGGGCUAAGCCGCACAUACUCCAAGGAUGGUGGCGGCGGGGCUCUCAUGGCUGGCGUUCUCGCGAAUCCGGGGCCUCUGCUCAAGAGGACGAUGGGCGUCGGUGGCCGCGUCACGCGACGGAUGCCGCUCGGUGGUCGGCGCUAAGCGCGGAUCUGGGUCGCUCUGCGCGAAGUGAGGGCGGCCGGAGCUCUGGUCGGCGUCGGGGGCACGGUGCCGGCCUCCGUGCUCCGGUGGCCCGCCCUAGAUCAAGAUGCGGCAUCCUGCCCAUGGCCUCGCCUCCUGAUGGUUCUGGGCCAGCCGCGGUUCGCGUCGGGGUGGAUCUGGAGGCUUGUUGGUGAUGCGUUUCGCUGGACUGGCUGAAUCCAAUUAGAUCGGCCCAUGGUCGUCUGGCGUGGGGCAGAGGAGGGUGGUGGUGAGUGGUGCUGGUGGAGGUGGUGGGGGGUGGUGGCAGUGCUGCUGCUGCCGAUCUUGACCUCACUGCCUUCUGUUGGCAUGCGAGCGCAUCGGUUCUGGUCUCCAACGGUUGCGCAGUGGCACACAUGGGGUGUGCCGGUGCUCCUGAUGUAUGCCUGCAGCCCGGACUAUGGUGGUUCCUAGCCUCGGGCAGUGCUCCUCUGCUCCUUGCCAGCAUGGUGCUUGGCAGGGCACGGUGGCACACACUACGUCCGGUGGCCUGCGCUCGGUUGGCUGUUGAUGGAUCUUGUGCCUAGUGCUCAUGUUUGGUCGUUGGUGGUCUCCACAGGGUGUUGUUGGCUCCGGCAGCUUCUCGUGCUUCUUUGUCUUUCGAAGGGUUCGAUGGUGGUGGUGGUCGGUUGUCGUCAUGUUGUAGGGAUGUGCUCAAACUCCGGGUGAGAACCUUACAUCGACUAUGUUGAUGUCGGCAGCAACAACGUCUAUGGCCGUCGUUUUCCUUGCAGGAGGUGCCGUUGUGGAGCUCCAGCACCUACAAUACUUUGUUUUGUGGUCUCCGGGUGAAAACCUAAGAUUGGGCUUGCCAGAUCGGAUGACGGUGUUGUGCCCUCAACAACACUACCUCCUUGGAGGCAUCAUCUUGGAGACCCAAACGACGGCUUCAGUUUGCGGCAUGUGGUUGAGGGUGGUCCGUUUGGUGGUGGUGGUGUGGCCUACUCAGGACCGAUGGUGGUGUGCUCUUCUUCAUGUGUUUCCCUCACUACAAAAAAAAGACACAUCCGUGACAUUUUGAGCCGAAUGAAUUUUUUUUCUGUCAUAUUUAUGACACUUCUAUGACGAUAAUUGUGACAAAACCCGGUAUCAUCAUAGAUGUGGUGGGCUCCUACUUCUAUGACAAAAAAUCAUGACAGAAAAUGGGCUUUUUGUCUUGGGCGGGCCGGAGACGCAGCUGCAUGACAUUCUUUGGGCCAUCCAUGACGGAAAAAACCAUGGUAGAAGUGAGGACGAGGAAAAAUUCGUCGAGUUCCCGGUUACGGUGGGAGGUCGGGGGCCGAGCGAUGCACGUUUAUCUCAUACACGUACGCGCGUGUGUGCGAGGCGUUGGCUCUAACUGAACCCGAGUGAGGCGUUGGGCUCUAACUGAAACCGAGUGAUUGCACUACAGGCUACACAUUACUGAACCCGAGCGAUCGAGCGAUGGCUUUAACUGAAGCCGAUUGAGCGAUUCCUUCGCUACUGCUGCUAACUGAAGCCAAUCGAUGCUGCCUCUGGAUGAACAGNNNNNNNNNNNNNNNNNNNNNNNNNNNNNNNNNNNNNNNNNNNNNNNNNNNNNNNNNNNNNNNNNNNNNNNNNNNNNNNNNNNNNNNNNNNNNNNNNNNNNNNNNNNNNNNNNNNNNNNNNNNNNNNNNNNNNNNNNNNNNNNNNNNNNNNNNNNNNNNNNNNNNNNNNNNNNNNNNNNNNNNNNNNNNNNNNNNNNNNNNNNNNNNNNNNNNNNNNNNNNNNNNNNNNNNNNNNNNNNNNNNNNNNNNNNNNNNNNNNNNNNNNNNNNNNNNNNNNNNNNNNNNNNNNNNNNNNNNNNNNNNNNNNNCCUCGUGGAGGCUGGAUGAACAGGACGACCCCGUGGAGGGCUGGAUGAACAGUAGAAGGUGGAGGGGUGGAUGAACAGGAGCUCGUGGAGAGGGGUGGUUGAACAAUAGCCUUUGGAGUAGCGCGCGGUGGAGGCUGGAUGAACAGGAGCUCGUGGAGGCUGGAGGAGGUCGAUGGUGGAUGAACAGUAGCCCCGUGAGGCUGGAGGAGGUCGACGGUGGAGAUGAACAGUAUCCCGUGGAGUCGUUUUGUGGUAUGCCACACCCCUCCCAAUGAACAAGACCCCCGUUUCGACCGUAGCGCUCCAACACAAGUUCGUUUCAUCCGUUUUGCGGUACGCCACACCCCUCCUGAUCAACAGGACCCCCGUUUCGACCGUAGGAGGUCCGUUUCCUCCGUUUUGCAGUACGCGAGACCCCUCCCUAUGAACAGGAUCCUGUUUCGAACGUGGCUGGUAGAACACAAGGCCGUUUCCUCCGUUCUGCGGUACACCAGGCCUCAUUUCCAUCGCCUGUUCCAUCCAAGCCGGUUGGCUCCCACACGUUCCGUUGCCUCCCGAUGAACACGACGAAUUCCGUUUCCUCCCCAUGAACACGACGCAUCCCGUUGCGUCCCCAUGAACACGACGACGACGCAGUUUCUCUGUUCCGACCCGCCAUGUGCACGAGCCCUGGCCGUACAUAUGCGUGAGUAGGCGUUCAAGACCCCACCCAUAUGUACAUAAGUGGCCAUAUUUACUUUCUUGCACCCUGGCCGUUGUACGUACGUGUACAUGCUACGUGUGCGCCUCUACUAAAACACGUGCGCGCCUCUACAUCGACCAAUAUGUACGUACACGUUCGCGACCAGAAUGACAAUGCUACGUACACUUCGACCAGGUGGGUCCCGACUGUCAGGCAAUUCCUUGCGUGCGAAGAUGUAGCUGGUGGGUCCCAGCAGUCAGGGGGUGAAUCGUUUUUUUGCCCGGACGCACUUCCUUGCGUGCGAAGAUGUAGCUAGUGGGUCCCAGAAGUCAGUGGGCGAAUCAUUUUUUUGCCUGUAAUAUGGAUGCACUUCCUUGCAUGCGAAGAUGUAGCUGGUAGGUCCCAGCAGUCCAGGGGGAAAUUUUUUUUUCACGAAAUACGGUGGCCCAUCCGGUGGGUCCCCGCUGUCAGGUGGAGGAAUAAUUAUUUUUCGCAUAAUAAAGAGGCACUUCCUUGCGGCUGCCGUGGACCCAGCUGUCAGCCUCACCACGUACAGUACUCUUCCAAUGGAAUUCGGUAGUUGACCACAUUGACCACGCCGCGCCGAGAGCACCACGGCGGUGGAUGACGGCGAGACCUAGGAAGGGAACGAAGCGGAGAUGCUACCUCUUGAGCACUGCGUUGGAUUUCCCCGAAGAGGAGAGGAUGAUGCAGCAAAGUAGCGUAAGUAUUUCCCUCAGUUUUUGAGAACCAAGGUAUCAAUCCAGUAGGAGACUACGCACAAGUCCCUCGUACCUACACAAAACGAUAGCUCCUCACAACCAAUGCGAUUAGGGGUUGUCAAUCCCUUCACGGUCACUUACGAGAGUGAGAUCUGAUAGAGAUGAUAAAUAAUAUUUUUGGUAUUUUUGGUAUAUAGAUGCAAAGUGAAAAGUAAAAGGAAAAGUAAGAACCAAGCAAGUAAUAAAGUAAUGGAGAUUGAUAUGAUGAGAAUAGACCCCAGGGCCAUAGGUUUCACUAGUGGCUUCUCUCAAGAGCAUAGAUAUUCUACGGUGGGUGAACAAAUUACUGUUGAGAAAUUGACAGAAUUGAGCAUAAUUAUGAGUAUAUCUAGGUAUGAUCAUGUAUAUAGGCAUCACGUCCAAGACAAGUAGAUCGAAACGAUUCUGCCUCUACUACUAUUACUCCACUCAUCGACCGCUAUCCAGCAUGCAUCUAGAGUAUUAAGUUAAAAACAGAGUAAUGCCUUAAGCAAGAUGACAUGAUGUAGAGGGUUAAAUUCAUGCAAUAUGAUAAAAACCCCAUCUUGUUAUCCUCGAUGGCAACAAUACAAUACGUGCCUUGCUGCCCCUUCUGUCACUGGGAAAGGACACCGCAAGAUUAAACCCAAAGCUAAGAACUUCUCCUAUUACAAGAACUACCAAUCUAGUUGGCCAAACCAAACGGAUAAUUCGAAGAGACUUGCAGAGCUAACUCAAUCAUACAUAAAAGAAUUCAGAGAAGAUUCAAAUAUUAUUCAUAGAUAAGAUGGAUCAUAAACCCACAAUUCAUCGGUCUCAACAAACACACCGCAAAAAGAAGAUUACAUCGAAUAGAUCUCCACGAGAGAGGGGGAGAACAUUGUAUUGAGAUCCAAUAAGAGAGAAGAAGCCAUCUAGCUACUAGCUAUGGACCCGAAGGUCUGAAGUAAACUACUCACACUUCAUCGGAGGGGCUAUGGUGUUGAUGUAGAAGCCCUCCGUGGUGCAUGCCCCCUCCGGCGGAGCUCCGGAACAGGCCCCAAGAUGGGAUCUUGUGGAUACAGAAGGUUGCAGCGGUGGAAUUAGGUUUUUGGCUCCUCCCCUGAUCGUUUGGGGUACGUAGGUAUAUAUAGGAGGAAGGAGUAUGUCGGUGGAGCAACAGGGGGGCCACGAGGCAGGGGGCGCGCCCUAGGGGGGGGGCACCCCCGACCCUCGUGACCGACUCUUUUGUUCCUUGGAGUAGGGUCCAAGUCUCCUGGAUCAUGUUCGGUGAGAAAAUCACGUUCCCGAAGGUUUCAUUCCGUUUGGACUCUGUUUGAUAUUCCGUUUCUUCGAAACACUGAAAUAGGCAAAAAACGGCAAUUCUGGGCUGGGCCUCCGGUUAAUAGGUUAGUCCAAAAAUAAUAUAAAAGUGGAAAAUAAAACCCAAUAUAGUCCAAAACAGUAGAUAAAGUAGCAUGGAGCAAUCAAAAAUUAUAGAUACGUUGGAGACGUAUCGGGCAUCCCCAAGCUUAAUUCCUGCUCGUCCUCGAGUAGGUAAAUGAUCAAAAGAGAAUUAUUGAUGUGGAAUGCUACCUAGCAUAAUUCUCAAUGUAAUUUUCUUUAUUGUGGCAUAAAUGUUCAGAUCCAAAUGAUUCAAAAUAAAAGUUCAUAUUGAUAAAAGAAAUAUUAACACUUCAAGCAUACUAAUCAAAGUAAUCAUGUCUUCUCAAAAUAACAUGGCAAAAGAAAGUUCAUCCCUACAAAAUCAUAUAGUUAGGCUAUGCUUCAUUUUCGUCACACAAAGAUGUUCCCAACUUCUAUACCCCCGAUGACAAGCCAAGCAAUUGUUUCAUACUCAAAUAAUCUCAAACUUCUUCAACCUUCACGCAAUACAUGAGCUUGAGCCAUGGAUAUAGCACUAUGGGUGAAAUAGAAUAUGAUGAUGGGGAUUGUGUGGAGAAGACAAACAAGGAGAAAGUCUCACAUUCACGAGGAUAAUCAACAGGCUAUGGAGAUGCCCAUCAAUUGAUGUCAACAUGAGGAGUAGGGAUUGCCAUGCAACGGAUGCACUAGAGCUAUGAAUGCUCAACAAAAGUAAAACUAGUGGGUGUGCAUCCAACUCGCUUGCUCAUGAAGACCUAGGGCAUUUGAGGAAGCCCAUGGUAGGAAUAUACAAGCCAAGUUCUAUAAUGAAAAAUUCCCACUAGUAUAAAAAGACAACUUAUGAGACUCACUACAUGAAGAACAAGGUGCUACUUUGAAGCACAAUAUAUGAGACUCACUACAUGAAGAACAAGGUGCUACUUUGAAGCACAAGUGUGGAAAAGAGAUAGUAGCAUUGCCCUUUUUAUUUACUUUCUUUUUUUAUUUUUUUUAUUUUUUGGGCCUUUCUUCCUUUUUUUUCUUUUUUUUCUUUUUUGGCAAUGCUCUAAUAAUGAUGAUCAUCACACUUCUAUUGAUUACAACAUAAGGAUUACAACUCGAAACUUAGAACAAGAUAUGACUCUAUAUGAAUGCCUCCGGCGGUGUACAGGGAUGGUGCAAUGAAUCAAGAGUUACAUGUAUGAAAAAUAAUGCAUGGUGGCUUUGCCACAAAUACGAUGUCAACUACAUGAUCAUGCAAUGGCAAUAUGACAAAAGUAAUGUAUGUCAUGAUGAUGAUGAUGGAAGUUGCAUGGAAAUAUAUCUCGAAAUGGCUAUGGAAAUGCCAUGAUAGGUAGGUAUGGUGGCUUUUUUGAGGAAGAUAUAAGGAGGUUUAUGUGUGAUAGAUCGUAUCGUAUCACAGGGUUUGGAUGCACCGACGAAGUUUGCACCAACUCUCAAGGUGAGAAAGGGCAAUGCACGGUACCGAUGAGGCUAGCAAAGGCGGAAAGGUAAAAGUGCGUAUAAUCCAUGGACUCAACAUUAGUCAAAAGAACUCAUAUACUUAUUGCAAAAAUUUAGAAGUCAUCAAAAAUCAAGUACUACGCGCAUGCUCCUAGGGGGAUAGAUUGGUAGGAAAAGACCAUCGCUCGUCCCCGACCGCCACUCAUAAGGAUGCACAAGCCAGGUACACUUCAUGUUUCAAAUUUUUUACACAACUUUAACCAUACGUGCAUGCUACGGGACUUGCAAACUUCAACACAAGCAUCUCAAAUUCACAAUUACUCAACUAGCACGACUUUUAUAUUAUCACCUCCAUAUCUCAAAACAAUUAUCAAGCAUCAAACUUAUCUUAGUAUUCAACGCACUCAAAAGAAAGUUUCACAUAUCUUGAAUACCAAGUAUAUUAAUAUUAAGCAAAUUACCAUGCUAUUAACGACUCUCAAGAUAAUCUAAGUGAAGCAUGAGAGAUCAAUAGUUUCUUUAAAACAAAUCCACCACCAUGCUCUAAAAGAUCUAAGUGAAGCACUAGAGCAAAAAUUAUCACGCUCAAAAGAUAUAAGUGAAGCACUAUGAGCAAAACUAUCAAGCUCAAAAGAUAUAAGUGAAGCACAUAGAGUAUUCUAGCAAAUUCCAAUUCAUGUAUGGCUCUCUCAAAAGGUGUGUACAGCAAGGAUGAUUGUAGUAAACUAACAAGUAAAGACAAAAAUAAUACAAGACGCUCCAAGCAAAACACAUAUCAUGUGGUGAAUAAAAAUAUAGCUCCAAGUAAAUUACCGAUGGAAGUAGACGAAAGAGGGGAUGCCUUCCGGGGCAUCCCCAAGCUUUGAAUUUUUGGUUUCCUUGGAUUAUCUUUGGGGUGCCAUGGGCAUCCCCAAGCUUAGGAUCUUGCCACUCCUUGUUCCAUAAUCCAUCAAAAGAAUUCACCCAAAACUUGAAAACUUCACAACACAAAACUCAAUAGAAAUCUCGUGAGCUCCGUUAGAGAAAGAAAACAAAAAACUACUUAAAGGUACUGUAAUGAACUCAUUCUUUAUUUAUAUUGGUGUUAAACCUAAUGUAUUCCAACUUCUCUAUGGAUUAUAAACUAUUUUACUAGCCAUAGAUUCAUCAAAAUAAGCAAACAACACACGCAAAACAGAAUCUGUCAAAAACAGAACAGUCUGUAGCAAUCUAUAACUAACGCAAACUUCUGGAACUCUAAAACUCCUACCAAAAUAGGAAGUCCUGUACAAUUUUUUUAUUGAACAGAAUAAAAAAGAAUCAACGCAAAAUCACGUUUCUGUGAUUUAAAAAAAUUAUAUUCGUGCGUGCAAAGUUUCUGUUUUUCAGCAGAAUCAAAUCAACUAUCAUCGUAGGUUAUCCUAUAGGUUCUACUUGGCACAAACACUAAUUAAAAUAUAAAACCACAUCCAAACAGAGGCUAGAUGGAUUAUUUAUUCCUAAACAGAAGCAAAAACAAAAAAACAAAAAUAAAAUUGGGUUGCCUCCCAACAAGCUCUAUUGUUUAACGCCCCUAGCUAGGCAUAAAAGCAAGGAUAGAUCUAGGUAUUGCCAUCUUUGGUAGGCAAUCCAUAAGUGGAUCUCAUGAUAAAUUCAUAUGGUCAUUUUAUUUUCUUUCUAGGGAAGUUUUCCAUGCCCUUCUUUAAGGGAAAUUGUAAUCUAAUAUUCCCUUCCUUCAUAUCAAUAAUUGCACCAAUCGUUCUAAGGAAAGGUCUACCAAGAAUAAUAGGACAUGAAGGAUUGCAAUCUAUAUCAAGAAUGAUAAAAUGUACGGGCACAUAAUUCCUAUUUGCAACAAUAAGAACAUCAUUAGUUCUUCCCAUAGCCUUUUUAAUAGUGGAAUCCGCAAGUGCAAGUUUAGAGAGCAAUCAUCAAAGUCGCGGAAAUCUAGCAAAUCACACAAAGUUUUGGGAAUAGUAGAGACACUAGCACCCAAAUCACACAAAGCAUGAAACUCAUAAUCUUUAAUUUUAAUUUUAGUAGUAGGUUCCCACUCAUCAUAGAGUUUUCUAGGGAUGGAAGCUUUCAACUCAAGUUUUUCUUCAUAAGAUUACAUCAAGGCAUCAACAAUGUGUUCGGUAAAGGCCUUAUUUUGACUAUAAGCAUGAGGAGAAUCUAGCACGGAUUGCAACAAGGAAAUACAAUCAAUUAAAGAGCAAUUUUCAUAAUUAAAUUCCUUGAGAUCCAAAAUAGUGGGUUUAGCAACAUCUAGGUUUUUAUUUCUUUCAAUCGCACUUUUAUCAAUUUCGUCAUCAAGAUCUAGAAACUCCGAAUUCUUAGAACGCUGUCUAGGUAAAGGAAGAUCAUAUUCAGUUUCAUGAAGAUUCAUAUUGCAAAACAAGGAUUUAAUGGGGGACACAUCAAUAACUUUUAGAUCUUCAUCUUGAUUUUCAUAGGAAUUGGAAGAACAGGCUUUAAUAAAGGCAUCUUUGGAAGCACGCAUCCUAGCGGUUCUUUCUUUGCAGUCAUCAAUGGAAAUUCUCAUGGCUUUGAGAGACUCAUUGAUAUCAUGCUUAAGAGGAAUAGACCUAAGCUUUAAAGAAUCAAUUUCAAGAGAAAUUCUAUCAACAUUCCUAGACAAAUCAUCAACUUUAAUCAAUUUCUCUUCAAGCAAAGCAUUAAAAUUCUUUUGUGAAUUCAUAAACUCUUUAACACUACUCUCAAAUUCAGAGGGCAUCUUAUUAAAAUUUCCAUAAGAGUUGUUGUAGGAAUUUCCAUAAUUAUUAGAAGGAUUACUAGGAUAAGGCCUAGGAUUAAAAUUCCCUCUAUACGUGUUGUUUCCAAAACUAUUCCUACCAACAAAAUUCACAUCCAUAGAUUCAUUACUAUUCUCAAUGAAAGUAGACAAGGGCAUAUCAUUGGGAUCAAGAGAAGUAGUUUUAGUAGCAAACAUCUUCAUAAGUUCAUCCAUCUUUUCACUCAAAACAUUGAUUUCUUCUAUAGCAUGCACUUUUUUACUAGAAGAUCUUUCGGUGUGCCAUUGAGAAUAAUUAGCCAUAAUAUUAUCAAGCAAUUUUGUAGCAUCUCCUAACGUAAUUUCCACAAAUGUGCCUCCCGCGGCUGAAUCUAAAAGAUUUCUAGAAGCAAAAUUCAAUGCAGCAUCAAAUUUUUGUAUGAUCAUCCAUAAAUUCAAACCAUGAGUAGGGCAAUUGUGAAGCAUAAAUUUCAUUCUUUCCCAUGAUUGGGCAACAUGCUCAUGAUCAAGUUGUUUAAAAUUCAUAAUAUCGUUCCUAAGAGUGAUGAUCUUAGCAGGAGGAAAAUACUUAGAGAUAAAAGCAUCUUUGCACUUGUUCCAAGAAUCAAUACUAUUUUUAGGCAAAGAAGAAAACCAAACUUUAGCAUGAUCUCUAAGUGAAAACGGAAAUAACUUCAAUUUGACAAUAUUGUUAUCCGUAUCUUUCUUCUUUUGCAUAUCACACAAAUCAGCAAAAUUGUUUAGAUGAGUAGCGGCACCUUCACUAGGAAGGCCGGUGAAUUGAUCUUUCAUAACAAGAUUUAGCAAAGCGGCAUUGAUUUCACAAGACUCAUCAUUAUUAAGAGGCAAUAGAAGUACUAAGCAAAUCAUUAUUAUUGGUAUUUGAGAAGUCACACAAUUUGGUAUUAUCUUGCGUCAUGGCAACAAGUAAUCCAACACACAAGCAAACAGAAAGGCAAAGGGAAAAGGCAAACGGGAAAAAGAGGAGGAGAUUGGGAAAGAGAGGGCGAAUAAAACGGCAAGGGUGAAGUGGGGGAGAGGAAAACGAGAGGCAAAUGGCAAAUAAUGUAAUGCGAGAGAUAGGGAUUGUGAUGGGUACUUGGUAUGGUUGACUUGCUCUUGGUGAGCCUCCCCGGCAACGGCGCCAGAAAUUCUUCUUGCUACCUCUUGAGCACUGCGUUUGAUUUCUCCGAAGAGUCGAGGAUGAUGCAGCAAAGUAGCGUAAGUUUUUCCCUCGGUUUUUGAGAACCAGGGUAUCAAUCCAGUAGGAGACCACGCACAAGUCCCUCGUACCGUGUCAAUCCCUUCACAGUCACUUACGAGAGUGAGAUCUGAUAGAGAUGAUAAAUAAUAUUUUGGUAUUUUUGGUAUAUAGAUGCAAAGUGAAAAGUAAAAGGCAAAGUAAGAACAAAGCAAGUAAUAAAGUAAUGGAGAUUGAUAUGAUGAGAAUAGACCUGAGGGCCAUAGGUUUCACUAGUGGCUUCUCUCAAGAGCAUAGAUAUUCUAUGGUGGGAGAACAAAUUACUGUUGAGCAAUUGACAGAAUUGAGCAUAAUUAUGAGUAUAUCUAGGUAUGAUCAUGUAUAUAGGCAUCACGUCCAAGACAAGUAGAUCGAAACGAUUCUGCAUCUACUACUAUUACUCCACUCAUCGACCGCAAUCCAGCAUGCAUCUAGAGUAUUAAGUUAAAAAUAGAGUAAUGCCUUAAGAAAGAUGACAUGAUGUAGAGGGAUAAAUUCAUGCAAUAUGAUAAAAACCCCAUCUUGUUAUCCUCGAUGGAAACAAUACAAUACGUGCCUUGCUGCCCCUUCUGUCACUAGGAAAGGACACCGCCAGAUUGAACCCAAAGCUAAGCACUUCUCCCAUUGCAAGAACUACCAAUCUAGUUGGCCAAACCAAACGGAUAAUUCGAAGAGACUUGCAAAGAUAACUCAAUCAUACAUAAAAGAAUUCAGAGAAUAUUCAAAUAUUAUUCAUAGAUAAGAUGGAUCAUAAACCCACAAUUCAUUGGUCUCAACAAACACACCACAAAAAGAAUAUUACAUCGAAUAGAUCUCCACGAGAGAGGGGGAGAACAUUGUAUUGAGAUCCAAAAAGAGAGAAGAAGCCAUCUAGCUACUAGCUAUGGACCCAAAGGUCUGAAGUAAACUACUCACACUUCAUCGGAGGGGCUAUGGUGUUAAUGUAGAAGCCCUCCAUGGUGGAUGCCCCCUCCGGCGGAGCUCCAGAACAGGCCCCAAGAUGGGAUCUCGUGGAUACAUUAGGUUGUGGCGGUGGAAUUAGGUUUUUGGCUCCUCCCCUGAUCAUUUGGGGGUACGUAGGUAUAUAUAGGAGGAAGGAGUACAUUGGUGGAGCAACAGGGGGGCCACGAGGCAGGGGGGCGUGCCCUAGGGGGGGAGGCGCCCCCCACCCUCGUGACCGACUCUUUUGUUCCUUGGAGCAGGGUCCAAGUCUCCUAGAUCACGUUCGGUGAGAAAAUCACGUUCCCGAAUGUUUCAUUCCGUUUGGACUCCGCUUGAUAUUUCAUUUCUUCGAAACACUGAAAUAGGCAAAAAAUAGCAAUUCUGGGCUGGGCCUCCGGUUAAUAGGUUAGUCCCAAAAAUAAUAUAAAAGUGGAAAAUAAAGCCCAAUAUAGUCCAAAACAGUAGAUAAAGUAGCAUGGAGCAAUCAAAAAUUAUAGAUACGUUGGAGACGUAUCAGGAGCCGGGGAAGACGCGGCAGUGGAUGCUCACGCAGAGAGGAGUACGAGGGUUCACUGGUUCGGCUGCACUGCCGUCACCGCAGAAUAAUAGGGGGUGUGGGUGAGUGCAGUGGAGGGAUGACCUGGCUAGCGGUGGGAGUAGUAUGGGGUCGACGAGGCCUCCGCAGCAGCACAGCCAACCACGGUAGGCAGGAGCAGGCGGCACGACCGGCGAUGCUUUAGGCGGCUGGAGCAAGAAGACCAGAGGUUGAAGAAGCACUACGGCCGUUGGAUGGACAUCGUACGGUCAAUCGAGCUAGAAUCGUGCAUAUUGACUAAGUUGACAAAGCCCUCCGUCCCUGUCAACUUAGUAUGCCCACUAUACUGGGUUCCAGCAAGCAGGGGGAGUAUUCAUUUUUUUAUGUGCGUAAUAAGGAGGCACUUCCUUGCGUGCGAAGAUAUAGCUGGUGGGUCCGAGCUGUUAGCGGCGGUAAUGUUUUUUUCAUGAAAUACAUAGGCCCUUUCGGUGGGUCCCAGAUGUCAGAUGGAGGAAUCAUUAUUUUGCGCGUAAUAAGGAGGCAUUUCCUUGCAUGCAGCAAUGGACCCAGCUGUCAGCCUCUCCACGUACAGUCCACUUCGGAUGCAUGUCGGUCGUUAACCAUGUUGACCACGCCACGCCGAGAGCACUAGGGCGGUGGACGGCGGUGAGGCCUAGGAAGUGAACGACACGGAGCCAGGGAAGACUCGGCAGUUGUUUCCCACGCGGACGGGAGUACGAUUGUACGAGGGUUUACUGGUUCGUCUGCCGUCGCCAGAGAAUAACAACGGGUGUGGGUGAGUAGAGGGAUGGCUAGGCCAGUGAUGGGAGUACGAUGGGGCGGUGAGGCCUACGCGGCAGCACAGCUAGCCGCGGGGAGGAGGGAGCAGGCAGUCCCGCCGGUGCUUGUUUGAGCGGCUGGAGUAGCAAGAGUAGAGAUUGAAGAAGCACGACGGCUGUUGGAUGGAUAUCCAACAGUCACUGCUUGUGCGUCAACCCUUUUUUAGGAAUGCCUCAAAUCUGUGGAAAACUGAUUACAGGCCAUCUGCCAUUAUAUCUAAUAAUUUACAACCCAUUUGCUAAUUCUUACAGUUGUUUUUGGAGCCCAUAUUCUUUUUGAUAGCAUUACAGCCCAUAUUGUGGCCACGGUUAAAAAAUUAUAUGAAAUUUUGCAUAUGUCGGUGUGGUCUGAACUGUUUUUAAUCCCGAAAUUUCGAGUCACAUUCAGACUGAUUUUAAAAAUAAAUGUAUAUCAAUAUAAAAUCCAAUAAAUUGUCCAUGCAUAAAAAUCAAUGCAAUUUAAAAUCUCGAAAUGAAAAAAAGAUAUUUGAAACUAAUUGCUGGUUUGAUGUGUUUUAAAAAUGUACAACCCAUUUCUCAUUACUGAUAGGCCAUUUUCUCGUCCAGCCGAAUGAAGCUCUCCUUGUCUUGAAAGAUUUGCAGCCCAACAGGCCUGAUAAAGCGACUUACUUGACAAAUCACAAAAAAACUAGGCUAGCCAUUUUUAGAAAGAAAAAAAAACUACUGGGCUGGUCUGUGGUAAACAGAAAAGAAAAGGCUGUCUAGGCAGGCCAGAGUGUCCCGCACAGCCCAGUUGACACCCUGCUUCCGUCUCAAAAACAAAUUAGAUAAAUGCCACUCCAAUUAUGGCAAUUCAUAAAAAUGCCACUGCAAUUUCCAAACUUUGAAAAAUGCCACUGCAAUUUUUGCAAACUUUGAAAAACGCCACUGCAGUUUGCAAACUUUGAAAAACGCCACUCCAGACUUCGAAAAAUGCCACUAGAAAUGACAUGAAAUGGCAUUUUUCAUAGUUUGGGAAUUGCAGUGGCAUUUCUCGGAAACACCAGAUUUGGAGUGGCAUUUAUAAAAUUAAACCAAAACAAAAAUAAUUGGGCGAUAUGCUGGGUCCCUGGUGUCAGCCGCUCGUUGUGCAAUUCUCUCGUUUAUUGACUACGUUGACAAUGGCAUCGGACCCACAUGUCAGAAAUCCACUGGGAGGAGCCAUUUUUUUAUUGGCUUGAAAUAAGGAGGCACUUGCUUGCGUACUGCCAUGACCUUGGCGGGUCCCUGCUGUCAUCCUUUCCAUGCACAAUCAUCUCCUGAUUGUGUACGCGUCAAGUUGGUAGGCCCACAAGUCAGCCUCUAAACCCGUGGAGGACAAAUACAACCCAUUUAAAAAAAUAACAUCCCAUUCCAUAUGUUCGAAUGGAAAGUUCAACAUUCAAAGCAAAGUAACAGGUCUGAUCCACAUAUAGAGUACUGAACUUCCACAUUGACAACCAUCAUAGCCAAGUUAACUAUCUACUCCCACUAAUACUCUAGUAGCAUACAAGUACUAACUUACUCUUAGCUAACUAGACGAUGCCGACCGCCAUCUGUGGUAGACGCUAAACGCCAGCACCGGCGUCCUGCGCCUCGCCUCGGACUUGCAAGAGGUGCGAUAGGGCGCGUUGCUCGCGCGCGUUGGCCCUUUCCAUGCCGGCGUGGUCCACCGAAGCUUCGGCUUCCAAGCGGGAAAUCCACUUGACGAGCUGGUAGUAAAAAUUGGCGUCGCAAACGCGUGCGUGCCCGACAGCCUCCGGGGCUAUUUGCCGGGCGCCGGCCUCCACGUAGUCGGCCCAGUUGCGGGCACUCUGCUCGUGACUCAGAGCGUCGGUGCGCUGCUGCUCUAUGUCCCGCUGGCAGCGCAAAUUGGCAAUACGCUGCUCCUCCGCCAUGCGGUCGCGCUCCAACAAGUCUUGCUCCUCCGCCAGGCGGUCGCGCUCCAACCAAUCCUCGAUCUCCGCAUUGCCAUCUAAAGACAGAUAGAAUGCCUCCUCCCUCCGUCUGCCUUCCGGUGAAAAACCGAACACUAGUUCCGGCGGUGACCGCCUCCGGCGUCGCCUACGGCGGACGGGCGGGGCAUGGCGGACGUGGCGAGCAACGUCGGGCCGGUGGGGGCUUAUGAGGACAUGGCGAGUUGGGUCACGGUGCCACCGGAGAAGGCCGGGAAAUAGUACUUAUAGGCGGAAGGUAGCGCAACGGUCAUCGGAAUUCAAUGCAUAAGCAGGCAUGGCUUAGCGCGCCAGCUUGCCAUGGAAAACUAGAGAAACUGAAAUUAUGACUGUGUCGUCCCGUCCCGUCUGGGUCACACACCGGCAUGGCGGUCAAACGAGUGCACUCGAAUCAUCUCCCUCCUUGUCAAUAAUGAUUCCACGGAUUUAAAAAGCCCGCAACAAUUAAAGCGCAUCUUCUUUUGCAUCAGUUAGCUUACUUAAUUAUGGCCGGCUGCAUGAAGGCACUUAGAAUUGCUCGCAGCUAGUACGUGGAGCAGCAUGCAACAUGUCGCAGCCGAGAGCACACAUGCAGCCACUUAAAUCGCUGGAAUUAAUUAGGCUUAAACUUCUGCAUGCCAUUAAUUAUUGCCAUGCCUUGGUCUUGCUGCUUUGCUCACGGGACUAAUAAACCUGGAGGAGGGAGUACCCUGGUUGGUGAGAGGUUUGAAUUAAGCCCUGCAAACCGGAAAGGAGGUACUAGUACGUGCAUGAUCCGCUAUUUAUUUGUGUAGGAUCGAGUAGGUCGUUUCUUGAAUUGAGCCCUGCAAAUCGGAAAGGAGGCAGUACGUGCGUGAUCUGCUAUUUAUCCAUGUAGGAUCGAGUAGGUAGGAUAGUGUAGCUUGUCAGUUUCUUCAGAGGUAGGCAUUUUUAUUCAAAAAGCUGCCACUUCGGAUCUUGCCUCGCAAAUAAAACUGCCAGGAGCGCAUUAGUAGGCUAGCUAGUGAUCGAUCAGUAACUUGUAAACACUGAGCGAACAGAAAUAAGUAACUGUUAAUGCAUCUCAAUGAUUCACAGAUCAUAUACAAAUAUGUAGCUCCAAAAGCAAAGAUCAGCCACUUCGGAUCUUGCGUCGCAACUAAAACUAACUAGUACGAUUCCCAUACAUAAGAUCAACAUGUUAAUGCAUCUCAAUGAUUCAUAGAUCAUAUACAAAUAUGUAGCUCCAAAAGCAAAGAUCUGGAAAAAACAUUUGUUCUUCCUACUAACAUGGAUGCCUCUCUUUGCCAACAUUCAGUACAGACUGAAAGACAAAUUUGUUUGUGAAGUCUACAAUUCCUCUUGCAAACGUAAGUGGUUUCACUAACAGCUGGAACCAGGAUAAUGAACCACACAUGAUGGAGGAACAUCCACUGCAAUAUGAUUUGGUCUUCUCUUGAUCACACUGCGAGAUUAUUUUCGGAAUACAAACUUUAACUUAGGCAAAAUGAUGCCCAUUGUAUAAUCAGACCAAAGCAAUGAAGCACCUAGUGUUGGCCAAUAAAUAGUACAGUACUACUUUUCUGCAGUCCAUGAAGUGACUAUCCAAUCUUUCUGUGUCUAUUUUCAAAUGGCACUGCAUGCGGUAACUAUACUAUUCUCUUGCGCAGUUCAACCAAAAUUACGGACACUUUGCUUGUUUGCCAAAUAGCAAUGGGCAGACAUCUCUGUCUACACAAAUAUCAAGCAGCUAGUAAACAUAUACCACACCUUGUAUUUUCGGUUUAAACAUGUCUCUUCCGCUUAGCAUCUAUCAUGUUCUGCACUGGACAAUCUGAUACAGUUAUGUUUUGCCCUGGACAAUUUCAUACUGAAUUGAUUUGCUGGUUCAGAGCAGAAAUAUAGUGCCUAUUCUUCAUCAGACCAAGGAUAUCCAUAUUCCCAGUGACGGAAGAGGUGAAAUUGAUACAACCGAAAUUGAGCAUCCAAUCAUUGAAUCCUGUCCUGCACCUCCAAUGUAGGUCCACCUUGCCAAUAAAUUCACUUGCAAACCACUAGUAUUACUAUCUAAUGACAGUACAAAAAGAGCAGCAAAAUAGUAGCAAACCAUGUACCUUCGUAAUGAACAGCUCAUAGUGCCACCAAUUGGAUAUAAAGGUUUGGAAGAAAACAUGCUCCUAAUGUUGAACCAGUUGGACUUUUUGUGCAGUUCCACUAAAAUCGAGCAUCCCUGUUUGCAUAGAUAUUGAAAGUGUGAUUACUAUAAAAAUGGCACUAGUUGAAGCAUAUUCUCACAAAUAUAAGCAUUCCUUCUUAAUGGAAAAGGUAGCAAGACUAUUUCUAACCACCUGUUUGAAGGAAUAAAUAAGGCAACAAUGGCUGAUGUCAGAAAGGCAUAUAUAGUUCUUUUUGAAAGAAUGAUCGACUCCUGACCUUUUCUCUUCUUUUAUGCAUAUUUUGUGCAGUUCAACUAAAAUAAAAUGCCAUCGCCACCUUGAAAAUUCAGUGACACUGUACAAAAGGAAAUGACUUAACAUUACAUCAUGAUGUCAGGUAUGUAGUCCACAGGCAUUAGAGACAAACAUACAGACCUUCUCCGAUAACAUAAUGAACAUUAAUUUUAACAAAGGUGUGACUAGCUUUACCGGGAUAAUUUGAGUGAACUCUACACCCUCUGUUCCUUAAUAUAAGACAUUUUCACGGUUCAAUUUAAAGUACCCAAACGUCUAGUAUUUAGAAAAACAGGUAGUAGUUUUCUUGAGCACAUAUCUGGGAAAGUUUGCCACACUUUAUUUAUGUCCAUACGCUAAUGCAACACCAUUCGAAUACUACAAAUAUACACUAAUCCAGUGGCUAGUGCAACAGUAGAGUAGUUAGUUUAUUACAGAGUACAGUACAAUGGUUUUACUGAACAGAUUUCAAUAAACUCUAGCACUGGAAGAUUUCUAUAAGAAUUAACAAUACAAAAUGUACAGGUAACAAGUUUCAACAUUGGUAUACUAGCUAUGCAUGAGCAUUAAACCAAAUACAAAAGUCUGAAGGUAACUAGCAUUAUUAACUAAUGACAGUAUAAAAAAUUGCAAACCAUGUACCUCCACGGUAAAUAUCAUUUCGAACUCGGGGGGACCUUAAAACUUGCUAUCCCAAUCUUGAUAAUCGAUCAAACAUAAAAACUUGAUCGAACGAAUCAAGAGAACAACCAGAGGAGGAGGUGCCUACUCUUGACCUUUCCUCUUGUCUUCAUAAUUUUUUGUGCAGUUUAACCAAAAUAAAAUGACAUCAGUGCCUUGGCAUUUUGGUGACACUGUACAAAAAAAUUAACUUAUCUCAUGAAAGUGAGGUAUGUAAUCUAUAAGCAUUAACAGUGCAAAAAUCUGAAGGUAGUAACAAGUUUCAUCGUUGGUAUACUAGUUGUGCAACAACAUUAGAAUGCCUUAGCUGAAAAAUCUUUAAUAGAUCCACAAUCAACAACUAACCCUGAAAUAAUCCAGUGACAUUAAAUGGCAUUGCUUAAAUUUAUCGGUGGCAUUAGACUGAGAGCGACAUUAGUUAAAUGUGGCAUCACUUUGGUAGUAGCAUUCCUUGACUUGACUGCUAGCAUCAUACUAACAACAAAAAAGUGGCAAUAAGAUCAUGGGAGGCCCAUUCGGACAGUGGGUGCACCAGUACGAUGUUCCUCCACGGACGCAGAGUGGUGAGGGAGGUAUGGUUGCCCAGAGCAACAAAUAUGUAGACAUCAUAUGUGAAUUACGUCCCUUUUUUGUUCUAUUUAGCCACCUCUUUCCUAUGUGAGGAAAACAAACCGAUCGACCUGGUCAUUCUCUAUUGCGUUGUCAUGCCUUUCUACCCUUCUUCAACCAAGAGACAUGAGACUCGUUCCUUAGCUACUGAUUUUCCCCUUUUCAACCUAGAUGCGGGUUCGAUGCCUACUCUCUUGGACAGUACAGUCUCCCUUCCUUUCCUUAUUCAACCCAGACAUGGAUUAGUCUGCAUGAAGUAGGGUUUCCUUUAAUAGUGCAAAUUAUGGUUUUUGUCGGUGUGGCCAGCAGAGCAGAGGAUAGCAAAUUGGGAAGAUGGUGGAGUGGAAAAAGAUCCACAUGCAACGACAUGGCAGAUGGGGCAAUAGAACAAGGGUAUGGUUCGAAAGGAGGUAGCAUACCUGAGGGUCAGCGGGAAGUGGCUUCGCUCGUGGUCGUCGUCCUCCGCACACACUAAGGCAGUGAGCUUGGGGACGGAGGCCAUCCCACGCGGGCGCUAGGUUUGAGAGGACGGCCUUGUCGUCAGUGCGUGACCUCGCUCGUCGACGAUGAGUGCGUCAACGCAGCACGUCCUUUUCUUCCCCGGCGGAUCUGUGACCACCGGUGAGGAGGGAGAGAGAGGUCGUCUUUUUUACAUCUAGAGAGAGGGUGAUAGUGUGAGAAGCAAGUAGGCAGCCCUUAUCAGGAAAGCGCUGAAGCUCCAGCCUAUAUAUCUUUUUAUACUACUAGUACUGGAGGUGGAGUAGUGGUAGAGUACUUUAUAUUUUCUCUGCAUACAGUACCAGUUAGUCAUGCUUCAAAACUGAAUGGCAUGCCAUUAAAAGAAUAAAGGUCGAUAACUAAUGCGGCACCUUGGGCCAACACGGCCAGAUUGCAUUUUGCACGAGAAAUUACACACCAUGUUUCGUUGACAUGUGGCCCCGUUCCAACAUAUUACUGAGACGACGGCGAGUCCUUUUCUACUAGUAUUUCCAAACGGACGUGUAGGACGGGGCGCCUCUUCGUGAACCGUGGAAAACUAGCAACCGUCCACCGACUCUUCGCCUUCCCCUCUCGAUUUGGAACUGCUGUCGCACACUCUUCCUCUCCCUCCUCUAUUUUCCUUCAAUCCUCCACCCUUCCUUCUGCCAUUGUUCGAUCGUCUUCUCCAUGGAGGGAACAGGCCGGAAAUGACCCCGUUAUUCUUGCCCUGAUCUGAAAGAUGACAUGGUGGAGGAACUCAUUGAUGGGUGCGACGUCAUCACCUCGGCUAGCAUGGCAUGUUCGUUCAAGACCAUUCUCUACUCAACUAAUAACAUCAUUACAAGGAACCCAAGAGUCAAGGAGCGGUUUGAUAUCCCCAAUCUUCUUCGCUAUGACCCUGAUGACUGGUGCGGGGACGACGGAGGCCUCGCCUUGUGCAAGUUGAUGCCGCUUGAUAAUGAUACGUAUGAUGUUAAGAUGCCAUUGCUUGAGGGUAAGGCUUGGGCAGGCGCAAAUGGAGAUUGGGUUGUUUACAUUGGGUCCAACUGCGAGUGGGAACUUGUGAACGUGUACACUCGUGACCGGGUUCCACUUCCAAAAAUCUCAGCAGACUGCCCAGAGGUUGAGCACAUCGGUAUUGUACGCACGUUCAAAUACGAUCAUGGUGACUGUCUUAUACGGAAGAUAGCAAAUUGUCAAGUUCCCAACCGCUCUUGGAAUUACAAGAACUAUGUUGUUGUUGCUAUCUUCGACAAGCUUGUUGCCGUCCUUCAUGGUUCGACUGGAUGGAUAUUGCUCAAAAAUCAGUUUCUGUACACAGAUGAGUACUGUGAUGCAAUUCAAUACGAGGGCCUUGUGUUUGCUUCCACCACUCAUGGCACUGUUUUUGCAUGGGAUCCUCGUAGUUUUGGUACGUUUGUCUUCCACCGUAAUUAUAAUUGUUUCUUCCACAUGCAUGUGGGUUAGCAAGUUUCCCUUUACUAAUUAACCUUCUUCUUGUGUUUCCAAGGUCCUGUGAACAUUCCACCACCUAUACUUGAAAAUUUUUAUACCAAGGGGGAGAUGACGAUGGUGAUGAUCACGAGCAUGAGGACGAGAAGAACAUAUAUACUCAGUGGCGCCUGGCAUCUAAUUCCGAUGGAUCACCUCCUCUUGUUUGUAUACAGUGCACUGAGUUUGUUACUACUGAGGGAGCAUGUGUUGUCUCCCAUGGUCGCACUCUCCGGACCUAUUCCAACACCCGUUAUAUGGUAUUCAGGAUGGAUACUAUUGUGCUAGCGCCAACACCUUAUCCCUGGUAUAGAAUUGAUAGUCUUGGAGAAAACUCGCUCUUCCUUGGACAAAACUAUCCGAUGAUGGUGAAAGGUGAUCCAACUGUUGUUGACACAAUGUUACUAGUACCAUUUAUGAGAAGCAACUGUGUCUAUACCUUGGACAUUUGGGUGGUUCCCUACCCUGGUAUUGAUAUAGUAGGCCGCUUCAGCCUGGAUGAUCAGUCCUGCGUUGGUUUUGAGAUCGACAAUAGAUGGCCCGUCCCAGAGAAUCACUUGUGGUUCAAAGCAAGCGUUUCCAACGCCGAGGAUUGGUUGAGUUGAAGUUCAUUUCAUUGCUUGUUAUUUGUUGUGUGAUGAAAACUUUAGUAUUUAUAAUGUAUCCUCAUUGUCGAUGUGGGUUGAUGACCUAUUGUAUGUAAUAAAAUGAUAUGCCUGUGAUAAACUUACUAAAUUUAUGAAUGGCUUUCGAGUUGCUUCUCUGAGUGAGUGGUGCGACGAGGAAAAAAAAUAUUUUCCGAAUACAUAAUUGUACGUGCAUUGCAACAGGUUAUCGGAUGAGGCCAAUCAACAAUAGUAGUACACUAUUUGUACUAGCUUCACAUGCUUCGCGCGUCGGGCGGGUGUUUUUACUCUAGCCAUAUGUUAAUGUGUUCACUGUACAUAACCACCAUAUCGAAUCCUCGAUACUCGUACUAUAUAAGUAGUUGGAGUAGUAGGGUGGCAUGGGCCAGAACAAGCAUUCACGUCCAGGAGUACGGCACACGCAACCACCACGACAUCCAUCUGACACCAUAUUUCUUGGAGUCCAUGUAGAGCAAUCUCUUCAACCUCGUCGUUUCUCUAACUUCAACCAUCGCACGACAAUCGAGGUGGGGGUUUGCCGAUAGUCGCUUUCCUCAGCUGCGGUCCCACUUGUAAGGCCAACUCCAACGCAUGACCCCAAACGGACCUCCGUUUUGCACGAACUCCAACGAUAAUUUAGACUAGAAAAGCAAGACCAAAGAAAACAAGAACCACAAGAAUACAUUUUACUAGAAGAUAUCCAACUUCCAUAACUGCUCCUAUAAGUUGCAUUAGUGCCUUCUCGAUGCAUUCAUUGUUGAUCUGCGGAGGCUCGAUCUUGCGUGCUUCUUUCUUCUUCGAGUGUAAGGAAGUAGACGUUGCUUCCUCGCAUCUAGUCUCAUGGCUAGCCUCUAUUCUAGUAGGAGUAUCAACAAGUGCACUAGUCUCAUCUCUAGCCUCUAUGCUAGCUAAAAGUGCUAGAACAUCUACUAAAUUGCACUCUAUCAAUAUAUCCGAUGUCCUCUUCCUCCCAAUACCAAAACUUGCAUCCAUUCUACUCCCUCCAUUCCACAAUGCAUGCCUUCUAUUUGUCAAAAUAUAGAUGUAUCUAGACAUGUUUUCGUAUAUAGGUACAUCCAUUUUUGGACAAAUGGAAGUCAAGUAUUUUGGAACGGAGGGAGUACACAAUAAAAUUUUAAACUAGUCUAAUCCGAGAGCACAACCGAAGAUUUGGUCGGGUUCUUCCUCCUUUUGCCGACACAUGGAACAUUGAUAACCCACAAGUGUAGGGGAUCGCAACAGCUUUCGAGGGUAAAGUAUUCAACCCAAAUUUAUCGACACAAGGGGAGCCAAAGAAUAUUCUUGAGUAUUAGCAGUUGAGUUGUCAAUUCAACCAUACCUAGAUAACUUAGUAUCUGCAGCAAAGUAUUUAGUAGCAAAGUAGUAUGAUAAUAAAGGUAACGGUAGCAAAAGUAAUAUUUUUGGGUUUUGUAGUGAUUGUAACAAUAGCAGCGGAAAAGUAAAUAAGCGAAACACAAGAUGUGAAAAGCUCGUAGGCAAUGGAUCAGUGAUGGAUAAUUAUGUACGAUGCGAUUCCUCAUGUAAUAGCUAUAACAUAGGGUGACACAGAACUAGCUCCAGUUCAUCAAUGUAAUGUAGGCAUGUAUUCCGUAAACAGUCAUACGUGCUUAUGGAAAAGAACUUGCAUGGCAUCUUUUGUCCUACCCUCCCGUGGCAGCGGGGUCUUAGUGGAAACUAAGGGAUAUUAAGGGCUCCUUUUAAUAGAGAACCGGAACAAAGCAUUAGAACAUAGUGAAUACAUGAACUCCUCAAACUACGGUCAUCACCGAGAAGUAUCCCGAUUAUUGUCACUUCAGGGUUGUCGGAUCAUAACACAUAAUAGGUGACUAUAGACUUGCAAGAUAGGAUCAAGAACACACAUAUAUUCAUGAAAACAUAAUAGGUUCAGAUAUGAAAUCAUGGCACUCGGGCCCUAGUGACAAGCAUUAAGCAUAGCAAAGUCAUAGCAACAUCAAUCUCAGAACAUAGUGGAUACUAGGGCUCAAACCCUAACAAAACUAACUUGAUUACAUGAUAAAUCUCAUCCAACCCAUCACCGUGCAGCAAGCCUACGAUGGAAUUACUCAUGCACAACAGUGAGCAUCAUGAAAUUGGUGAUGGAGGAUGGUUGAUGAUGACGACAGUGACGAAUCCCCCUCUCCGGAGCCCCGAACGGACUCCAGAUCAGCCCUCCCGAGAGAGAUUAGGGCUUGGCGGCGGCUCCGUAUCGUAAAACGCGAUGAAACUUUCUCCUUGAUUUUUUUCUCUGCGAGACGGAAUAUAUGGAGUUGGAGUUAAGGUCCGCGGAGCCUCAGGGGGCCCACGAGACAGGGGGGCGCGCCCAGGGGGAGGGUGCGCCCCCACCCUCGUGGACAGGGUGUGGGCCCCCUGGUCUUGAUUCUUUUGCCAGUAUUUUUUAUAUUUUCCAAAAAGUGCCUCCGUAGAUUUUCAGGACAUUUCGAGAACUUUUGUUUUCUACACAUAAAACAACAUCAUGACAGUUCUGCUGAAAACAGCGUCAGUCUGGGUUAGUUUCAUUCAAAUCAUGCAAGUUAGAGUCCAAAACAAGGGCAAAAGUGUUUGGAAAAGUAGAUACAUUGGAGACGUAUCAGACAUCCAGCAUCUAGGUCGUGUCAUGUAAGAAAAUAGAGUGGUAGUUGAAGCCACGUGAUGUGCAUCUUGGGUUAAACUGUAAAUAGAAUCUUACUACUCUUGAGUAACUCCAAAAGCGGCCACCAAAGAUCUUUAUUGGAUUUGUUUUCAUCACCAGCACGUCGAGGUGAAAGAUGUGCAUGUUCAGUGGGUCCUCUUGCGUUUUCAUUGACAUGUGGGACCGCAUGUGAGCAAACAGACGAUGGGCUCCGUGCAUCGACUGGCUAGCUGAGAAGAGAGAUAGAGGAGGGCUGAGCACGGACUCCAGGAAAUUUGUUCUACAUACCUUGAUAUAGGCUCGAUAUACUGGGGUGGCAUGGGCCAUAACUAGUAUUCACGUCUAGCAGUACGGCACACGCCACCCACACGAGUCCCAUCCGACACCAAUUUUCUUGGAGUCCGUGCUACAGCCAUCUCUUCUCCCUCCUAUUUUCUCAGCCAUCGCGCGGUGGGCGGGGUGGGGGUUUGCCGAUAGUUAGUUUGAUCAACUGCGGUCCCACUUGUAACUGAAAAUGCAACACCGCACACAUUCCCCCUUGAGCAGCGUGCCGGACCAACCGUGUGGGGGUGCUAUGCGAACACGGGAGGCUUUUCCUUUCGAACUCAUAACUGGUAAAAUUUGGUUCUGCUCCAUGGCGCGACCGAUAGAUAGAAAAUAACGAUUUUACCUAGAGUAAUGAGAAGUUUCACUACUAGGGAAAAUCCUAUACACAGAAUCUUACUAGUAGCGAGGGUUAAAAACCCUCGCUACUGCUACUUACUAGUAGCGCAGGUUUUUAAACCUCGCUACUACUAAGUUGAUAGCAGUAGCGCGGGCUUUUAACCCUCGCUACUACUAAGCGGUCUCUACCAUGCCCCCCGGGACAUGCCAUAGUAGUAGCGCGGAUUUUUACCCCUCGCUACUACUAAGUUGAUAGUAGUAGCGCGGGUUUUUAACCCUCGUUACUACUAAGCGGUCUCUACCGUGCCUCCCUCAGACAUGCCAUAGUAGUAGCGAGGGGUAAAGAUACCCACGCUACUACUGAGCGUAUCCCUCCCUUGCCGCACCACUGCCACCCCGAUCCUAAAGAAAAAAAAAUUCCACUCCCACCCCACCAAACUCUCUCUCUCCAACCUCACCCCCACCCCUCAGUUGACUCAUCUACCCCACGACCACCUCGCCGCUGCCAGCACCCACGCCGGCCGGUUCCGGCGAGCUCCGGCCACGCGAAAUACGCCCCCAAGCACCCCAAGCUCCGCCCCUCCCUCCCCUCCUCCCAGAUCCGUGCCUCAAGGCCUGCACCCUUGCCUUGAGGCGGCGAGGGGGAAGGCGGCGGCGGAGAGGCAAACAGCGAGGAGGAGGAGCAGGCGACUCUUCCACCCAACGACCGCGGAGUUGUCGGUGUGGGCCGUCAGCCUCACCGAGAAGAGGAGCAGCAUGGCGACAAGGACGACGAGGGAGAGGAGGUCGUGGCUGAGGACGAGGCGCACGUACAGGUCCCUCCCGCAGGCGCUGUCGGGGCGGAAGGCAUUUCUGAUGACGAAGAAAGUGGUGAGAUUAAUCCUGAGCUGCUCCCUAGUAGCGGUGAGAAUCCUGAGCUGUUUAAGAAAUUUAGAUCUCCAAUCAUCUCACUAUCCCUCAGUUUAAUAUAUUCUAUUUCAAUCGAGGAUAUGCAAUUUUUCUUGAGUUGUUGAACACAUUGGGCCAUUGGGGUAUGCCUCCGGUUAAUUAACCUGAGCAUAAGGGAAAAUGUUUAGCCUGCGAACUUAACAUACAUGCAGUAUGCAUGUGCCCUCCAUGGCAGAAACUUCCAUUUUUUGUUAAACAAGAGUCCAUGUUGGCUGAGUUGUGGAUCAUUUAGAACCGUCUAAUUCAGUCCCUGCCUGUUUAUGAGCUUCACAUAGCCUCCCAUGAUAGUUUCUGAAGGCAGGACAGACCAUGUGGAAAUGAGAACAGAUGUACGGGCAUGGUUCUGUACAGGUGUUAGGUAAGUGUUUUUGCUGAUUGUGUGAAAUUUUGCAGGUAGUGGUAGCAUGCUAUAUUAAUGCUUUGGACGAAAUUACAUUAUUCUUCACCCCUGCUCAGCUCAGAGAGGCACCUCACCCCGUCGUCCCCUGAUCUCUGAAUCUCAAUGCUUGGACGAAAUUACAUUAUGAAACUUAUAUGCAGUAAGGCCUAGAUUGGCAGUGUAAUUUUUAAAAUACCGCAGUAUUCGAAAAAUUCGGCAUCAUGUUUAACUAGUGUGGAGCAUGCUAUGCAGAGGCCUAGUUUGCCAUGUUGAUAAUUGUGAGUUACAAACCAAGCUUUCAGUUUGAGAAAAAAGAGGUCUGGACCUCUUUUUCUAGAAGUUAGAAAAAACAUGGUAUCAGGAAUACAAGUGAAUAUGAAACUAUUGUUGUUGGUUUAGCCAAACACCUCACAGUUUUCAAAACUACAGUUUUAUAGAAAUCAUAGUAUUCUGAUUGAGCUAAGCUAGCAAUGUAUCUUCACCUGUGGGAAUCAAGGUGCAUAUGCUCCUUGUCUUUUUUCACAUUCUAGACUAGAUUGAAUAAUAGGAAUUGCCAAUCAACUGUAAAAAAAUAAAUUUAAUUACCAAUCUGCACGCACCAGACAUAUAUCUUUCUCAUCAUUUUAAACAGUAAACAUUGAUACUCCACGUAUACAUUUUCUAAGAAUUACUUCAUAUAUGUAGGCUGGCAGCGGUGUUCACAAAUCACCACGAAGAAAGUAAAGAUCUCGAGAGGAUUCCGUUUGUUUGCUCUAUGUAUUGUCUUUCGAAGCGCGCGCAGGAAAAAACACACACAAAAAUGCUAGUUCAUUUUACUGCCUUUUGUAGCAAAAGAAAAUGAAAAACACAAAAAAUGUUUGUUCCUCUGCCUUUUGUAGUAAUGGAGAAUGAAAGUCACAAAUUUUUUUUGGAGGAGUGGUCUCUAUGAUUUGGGGGUAGUGGCCCGGGUUUGGUCGGGCUCGAAUUCUCUGCUAUGGGUUUGGAGGAGUAAUGUUUCUGGUUCUGCAGAUAUUCAAGCUCUGGCGGACGGAGUGUCUGUGCGUGAGCAGCGAGACGGCGGCUAAGGCUAGCGUGGAAGAGGUUAGUUUUAGCAUCUAGUUCUGCAUCAUGGCUGUAAACUGAACUUGGUUCAUUUAAAAACUGCACUGUCCAAUUUGGACAGCAAGCUUAGAUCUGAAAAAUGAGUUAGCUAGGCUUAGAAUUUUGAGUGGCCCCUUUACAUAAGUUUUAGAUAAAGUUCCAAGGUUUCUUUAGAGUAUUUAUUUGUGUCGUUUGGAUGUAUGGUUUGAGAGCAGCCAUCAAUUUAGUUUGUUGUCCCGAAAUAUAUGUUCCUGGGUACAGUAUUUUGAUAUGGGAGAUUAGGCCCUGUUAGAGGUGGUAUUAAAAUAAAGUUACAACAUGAAAAUUUUAGAGGCUGUUCUGUAGAUACUUAAACACAUAUCACUUGUCAGGUUUCGUUCGUUAUAUUAAAUACUAUGAAGUUAUCAAAGUGGGCUUUACUAUGUUGGACAUAAUUUUAUGUUUGGACUUGGGUGAAUGUAACCAGACUUAUACUCUCAGAUUUUGUCAUAGUUGAUGGUGUGAGGACUUAUAAUGUGAUAAAGUAUAUACGUUGUUGCAACACCAAAAUCGGUGAAAUAUAUUUCCUUUUUUUUCUGCCGAUGACAUCUCCAUAAAGUAAGGAUUUAGAUAACAUCAUAUGUUCAGAGUUCAGUUCUUUUCUUAUCUAAAACUAACAUACAAUGGGCAUGAUGGAUGUUGCAGGUUCAUUGAUGACAACCAAGGGUUCAUGCUCGGAAACGACUACAUCUUGCUCCAUGUUGUCGGCUCAGCUAGAGUCCUUAAUCAUGCGGAGAUGGGACACGUCGAUUGUUAGAGUACACUUGACAGGUGCAUUUUGUGAAAUUCUAGCCACAAGAUUGAUAGCAUGCUUGCCUGCUUGUUCUUUUCAGUUCAAAUAAAUGUUCCUUUUCUUGUUGAAUCCAAAGUAGCUAGCGGAGAUAAGUGGAAAGGUUGUUGAUUAUCCCAAAGUUCUUGGACCAUUUAGUUUGAAUAGCCAGUGAGGAAAUAAGCAUAUAUUUUUGGCAUGAGCCCCUUUAAAUUGCUAGAUGAGAAAGAAUCUUAACUUAAUUAAUGGGUCUUGUGAAUUGGAAUAUACCAUUUAGUUGAACUGAUGCAAUUUGCGUACUAACAAGUUUUCACUUUCUCGACAUGGGCGCAGGGGUGAUCGACGCUGACUAGCGCAGCCGGUGGGCGCUGUGCUCUUGAACCACUCAGAGGCGGACUUCUCCGUGAAGCUGGUGGCCAUUUCGCUUAGAUGAUUGUCGAGGUGAUUUCGACGCCGGAGAUCGCCGAGGUGGAGGACCUCGACGCCACCGUCCGGGGGAGGGAGGAUUCGGGUACACCGGCGUCUAAGCUCCGAGCCUUGGUAGAUACAUCUACGGAAGUUGUCUGUUUAGGUUGGUGAUGGAACACCAGGGAAGGUACCCACCUUUCGAUGAUCAUUAUGUGUGUGUCUGAAGUUAAAUGGAAUCUUGAGAAUGUUAUGUGACGUUGGUUUGAUUUGCACUGGACGUAUUGCCAUCCAUGAAUACUACAUCUAACUUUUAUUUUUUUAAUUCCUAAAUUAUUAGUAGUAGCGUGGGAAACAAAUGAGCGCUACUAGCUAGUAAUUAGGUUAGUAGUAGCGUGGGAAAUAAGAAAUGAGCGCUACUAGUAGUUAGGUUAGUAGUAGCGUGGGAUAUAAGUGAGCGCUACUGGUAGUUAGGUUAGUAGUAGGCUAGUAGCGCGGGUGCACCCGCGCUGCUACUAACUUUUAGCUGUAGCGCGAUACUAGUAGCGCGAGUACCCGCGCUACUAGUAGCAUUUUACCCGCGCUGCUAGUAGCCUUUUUCCUAGUAGUGUGGUUCUGGCGCCGUUCAUGCAUGGAGUACGUACAAAAAUUAUGAAGUUGAUGCGAACGGUAAGAUAAUUACUAGUAGUACCAUAUACUACUACAUGGAUUUGACAAAAAGAUAAAAAUACAUACGGAUCCAUCAACGACAUCCUCAUGCCCUAGUGCGCCAGGUCACCAACCGACGUGUGAGGAGUAGCGGCGUUGGCAGCGAGCUCAACGUGCUUCUGAACAAUGCCGUCCAUGGUUGCCCUGCGGUCCAAGAAGGCCAGCAUCCUAUCGUCCUCCUCUUGCAUGUAGUAGUCCUUGUGGACGAUUUGCGCGUAGAAAUGGGUGAUUAUGUCGAUGGUGUCUUGCUGCGCCAGGCGAUGCGCGGCGAGCGCGACCUUGAGGUGGACAUUCUCCGGCGUGACGGCGGGCAGUCGCAGGGCCACCAGUGCGUCGAAUAGGUUUUCACCAUAGUGGCCGUUGAGGGUGGCGGGCAUCGCAGAGCCUGGACGCAUUGGCUGGAGGCGUACGUCAAAGUCGUCCGCGAGCUUCUUGACGACGGUGAACUUGUCGAGGAAACCGACGAGGACCUCAUCGAACAAGGAUACGAAGCUGUCGUCCAAGCGGCCCCUCGCCCUAGCGGCCUCAAGCAAUACCUGGAGACAUUCCUCGGUGUCGGGCCAUAGGCCGGCGUCAUGGACCAUCUGGCACAGCCGGCUGAUGCUCGCGCUCAUCACCUCCAUGGGUCUAGCUUAGCUUCUAGUCAACUGACCUUGCGAUUCGAGUGAUCACUCUUGCCACUGGUUAGCGUGCGUAGGUGCGUAGGAUUUCGUACAACUCCUCGGCCCUCUACUGCACCUGCCUUUGGCUAUAUGAUAGGUGGGCCAGCCACCCCUUGGGCCCACGUGUCAUUCACCCGAAUGCAGUUGCAGUAAGUCAAUGAAGCUACGUCCCCCUCCGUGCCGGUGCAGUAUAGUCAUCUCACCGGACCUCUAGUUGGGGCCAACCGAGAGAAGUUUGAUGUUUACUGGUUUAUUGGUCCCCUUUGCAUUUUGCGCCAAGUUUUGACCUUUGAUUUAACUAAUAAAAUGUUAAUGCAUGUAAACAAAAAUGUUGUGUAAGUCACCUUACGAAAACCAAAUAAUCCCAAAACACUUAGGCACGGUGCACUAACUCCCUCCUUGUUUCUUAUUUCAUGACAUAUCAACAAAUGAGAGAUGUGGGCCAUGCAUGCUUUCAAUGACUUGAGACUACCAAACAUGACAUGCAUUGUUUAGUUCAUUGCAUGUAAUCUAUUAGUUAGCAAAAAGACAUUAAGUUCUCUCGCCGAUAGGAAUAAAACAAUACACCAUGUAUUUAUUUACAGAGGGAGUAGUACAUUUUUUGUGACAUGCAUUACUAGAUAUUGCUAGUCAAAUACUAAAAUCUAGAUGGACGUGGUAGUACUCCUAAAUCCAGACGGUGGUGCUACUAGUACUAGUAGUAGUACUACCAAUGUAGUAGGAGUACUAGCACUGUACUACCCGUUGGUCAAAUUAUUACGUGCCACUCCUCACAGUGAAGUGACAAGACCCUGCGCCGGAGAUGACACCUGAGUGUAGGCGUCGUGUUGGUCAUACCAUAGUCAGCCUCACCGUCUGUAGUCACUAUCAUCAUGGCUAUAGAGCUAGCCUGCUUACAACUAGCCCUGUUCGACAUAAUUUCCCAUGCAUUGCACGAAACACCAAUAUUGGGGGUGGACAGCGCCGGCAGCGGCCAUCGCGCCACAUUUUUCCACGGCCUUCUAGAUGUGGUGGGGAGGAGAUAAGGCUGAUUGUGAGAGACAAGGAGUUGUUUGUAAAUAGGGAACAAGUGCGGGCAUCUUUUUGCAAAAAUGGAGAUGUUUGGUUUGUAUGCGUCAGAUCUAGAUCCGACGGCUAUUGGUGAAAGAUGGGAUGCACAACAUCAUCACCAACUCAGGACCUGUUUGAUUCACAGGAUUUUGAAAAUGCAUGAAUAGGACAUGACAAUAUUACAAGUUUCAAACCGAUAUUACAAAUGUUAGGAGUAAUGCUGCACCUACGAAGAGGGAAUUACUAGGAAGUUUACGUAAGAACUUUCGUUACUUUAGGUGGAUGCAGCAUUAUCAUACAAACUAAAAUCCACCACCCUGACAAGUCACUAAUGGGCAAAUAAGUUUUUGAAUCUCUGGCCACUUGAUGUUUCAAAAACAAAUUCAGCUUCUGUGAAGACUUUGUCAUUUAGGCUUAGACGCCUGCGGUGAUCAGCACGCCAUUCAUUGUUCCGCCAGAGAACGCCAAACCUCAUUACCUUGAGCACACUUUCCUCCAGAACAAAGAACCUGGCCAAUUUAAUCUCAGAUGUGCUACCUCGGUAGUCGAUCAAAUAAAUAUCUGUAAGAUGGAGAUCAAGGCAUAUUUGGAUACAAAGGAAUGGGAAGAUCUUCAGGAAUGAAACACCUUCUUUCAGGGCAUGGAGGAGGAAUUUUUUGCAGGACAUCUCUCUUUUAGCUCAUAGAAUCAAAUGUAAAUAUAGGAAUAGUUUAACCUCUUGGAUAGCUUCCUUACCCUAAUCACUUAUUUUGUAAGUAUUACUCUCUCCUCCUCUCUCUUAACUUUGUAACUUUGUACUACUUUGCUUUGAGUUUUAAUAAAAGACUGUGAGGCUGUUGCCUUGCAGUACAUAGUCAAAAAAAAGAUGGAGAUCAAGGCAUUUGAUGAGAUUUUUAUAGUGCAACACAUUUUUCACUUUUGGGUCUUUUUUUAUCUGCAAAAGAAGAGAACAUAUUAGAGCAGCUGGCUGUAUAAGAUUGUCGUGUCAUCAAGAGGUACCAAUAUCAUUCGCUCAUACGAUAGGGUUGGCUGGCUAGUGAUAUUUUUUCACUCUCUCUCUUUAUAUUUCCUCUCAUUUAACUAGGAGCACGUGAAGAGCUUGGGCAUUUGUUGCCUUCCACUAUGUGGCUGAUGCCAUAUUUCGCAAAAGUAUGCCACAUAAUACGCAUCAAUGUCAAAUCAAAAGAUUUUGGCACCGCUCUCGCGAUGUGAGAGAGUUGGCACCGCUGUGCACACAGACCUACAUGUAUAAACAAAUCAAUCAAACAACCUACACCAGCCUCUCACUCUCCCAAACAAGUGUUUUUUAUUGCCUCAGUCCUCUCUCUCACCCACGCAGUGUUUUUUCAUUGCGUGAGUUAAUUUGGCACCGGAGCAAAGUAGGUGAUCCAGAUUGGGGCACUAGGUGAGCAAUGGAGGGGCAUCGAUGCCAAAUGCAUCACAAGUAAAUUUGGCACGUGUUUUGGCCUACAUAGCCCACUUUUGUACUCCCUCCGUCCCAAAAUUCAUGUCUGAAAUUUGUCUAAAUAUGGAUGUAUCUAGUUACAUUUUAGUGUUAGAUACAUCCGUAUCUAAACAAAUGUAAGACAAGAAUUUUGGGACGGAGGGAAUACUACCUCGUAUUUAGUAUAAAAUUUUGACCAUAGAUUUACCUAAGAAAAUGCCAAUGCAUGUCACUAAAAAUUACACCAUUUGAAAUUAUGUUCAAAUAUGAAUCCAACGAUAUAGUUCUUAGUGACAUGCAUUAACAUUUUGUUAGUUAAAUCUAUGCUCUUAGUACAGCAUAAAAAUGAUGCAGGUGAUCACGUGAGAAAAAAUACUAAAAAUAUUUCUUUCGAUGCAGUGCGUAGAUGCAGUUUUGAACACUUCACUUGUCAUCAUAAUUUGGGAAAAUUACGAAAAAAUUGAGCUACGUUGUGAUUACUGUUUACUAAUAGGAAAGAAGUUUCACCUCGAUGAGUAGCUUCUCCGUGCAAGGAAAGCAUGCAAGGAAUCCAACAACUUGAUCCAGAUUGGGGCCGAUAGAUUUUAGUGCCAAGAUCUUUACUAUGCGCAUGGACUGGGUCAAGCUUGUGGGAAUCAUUUUCUGGAAGACGGUCGUAAAUACAUCAAGAAGAAAUUUAAAAAGUGAAUUUCAAGAAGACGGAGAAGAAGAUGAGUGUUGUACCUAAACGAUUACGGAUCCAAUAAAGAGUUCGGAGAAUUUGGCAAAUGAGUACACCAACACUGUCAAUUUCGGCGCGUCAAUGACCCUGAUUUUUGUUGGACCUUCUAGAUCCGAUACAAGCAAUCUCUCAAGGAAAGGCGCAUUCUCAAUAACCAUAACGUGGAACAGCUAGAGUGAUCUCUUCCCAAAUGAUGUCUUGUUGCGGGGCCAGCAAGACACAUAAAUCCAUCGGAGAUUCGUCGAGGCGAUGUGGAGGCUAAUGAACCCGUGGAUCUGCUCAAGACGAAGGUACUCGAGCGCAGUACAGCUACGGAGCAGGUGCUCCAUAACCUUCUUCGAGAUGACAACAUUGAAGAGGUCGAGCUGCUUGAGUUGAGGGAGAAGAAGGGCGGGCGCGACAUUAAUCUGGGGAAGAUAGCAGGAGCUGAAGCUGGUGCGACGCAACAUUGUCGUGAGGCGGAGCGCAGACGGCCGCAGAGAGCGACAUCGUCCAGCUUCAAAGCUGAGCUCCUUGAGCUGAUCUAGGGUGGGGGAUAAGAACCACUCGUCAAACUUGAGUUGGACCUUGUAGUUGGUACUGAACAUGCGGAUGUCAAGGCAUCUGGCUGGCCCAGGGUGCGAUGAAAGGAUCUUGGAGACUGCGGCCAUGCGUUUGCAAUCCCCGUCGCAGAGGCAGCUGUCAACGGCGAGGUUGAGGGGGACGCGGUGCCAAAGGGCGCGCGACCGACGGGAGAGCAGGGUGGUUCGCACAGCAAAUUUGGUGGGGAGGAGGCCGAUGAUGACGAGGAACAUGUUUUCAGGGAGGCUGCUGAUGAAGUCCAGGCUCACCUGAUGCGGUUUUGGCUCGAGUCACCUCUGCUUGUUGGCUGCCUCGCCGUCCAUCUCAAUUGGUGGCGACGCCGGUGUACACCGGUGCUGGUGUGUGUUGUGUGCUAGGUGUGCGUGAGUGCGUCCUUCUGUUCAUGACGCUGUGCAGUGGCGAAUUGUGCGCGAGUGCGUCCUUCACGCGCAAGAAGUGUGUCCUCAAUGUGCCCUCAAUUUACUAGCAUGCGGGGUGCUACCUCGAGUGGUUUCAACUUUGUUUACUUCACCGCAUGUCAGAUGGGCCUCUAGUUUACUUAUUUUCACCCACUGCCACAUGGGCCAGCACACGAAGAUACAGAACACGAGCUGACAAGGCAGCAUGUGGACUGGUUGACCGGUCAACUAAACAAUAUACGGAGCUAUAUGCUAACACAAUGAGCAUAUAAUCCGUCGGUAUAGAGAGUUUGAGUGUGAGGGGAGGCCCGUGAGAGAUAGCAGAGAGAGAGAGAGAAAGAGCUACUCCCACCGUUCGAUAAUGUAGUUCCAACAUUUUUUUUAAAGCCAAACUUUUCAAACUUUGACCAAGUUUAUAAAGAAAUUACUUAUAUCUACAAUACCAAAGAUAAAUGAUAGUAUGAAGUAAAUACAUGUUGUGAUGAAUCUAAUGAUCGUUCCAGAUGUAAAUGAUUUUCUCCACAUAUACCUGGUCAAACUUUUCUGAGGUUUGACUUUUCAAAACAUCCAUAUGCUUAUGGACAUGACACAGUCCCUAACUAGAGAGAGAGAGAGAGAGAGCAAGAGAGAGAGACAGAGAGAGAGAGAGAGAGAGAGAGAGAAAUAGAAAGAGUGAGUGAAAAAAGUGUGUGUGCGUGUGUGAAAGAGACAUGGACAACACAUGACAAAAGUAGAGAAAAAGCAUGCGUGUCUUAUGCAAACAUAUCACACAUGCAUCUUUGACAACGGAGGCAAGGUGAGGACAUAGUGUGUGGUUGUUUGGAACCGAGAGAGCAAGACCCCUAGCACGUGGCCAAGAGGGGUCUGACAAACAAGGGAGAGAGGUCGAGAGAGACGUACAGAGAAAAUGCAGACAUGGGGAGGAGAGAGUAUAUGUUUGUCAUACAGAGAUCCCAUGGAGAUCGCGAUGGGACUACAUGGGUGGGAGAUCGAGUGACAAGGUGUGUGCGCGAUAGAAGAUGCCCCGAGAGAUAUCGAGAUAGACGUGUGGAUGGAAGGAGACAAUACGUGUGUUCCUGAUGGCUAGUAAGAGAUAAUCAUACUUAGGAGGAGGGGGGAGUGCUUGCGCCUAUGAUGGAGUGAGGGAUUAUGGUACUUAUGGGGGUGCGUGUCACAUGGAGAGAGAACAAGGGCGGAGAGUGUUGGAUGAGUCUAUAUGUAUAGCACGAGCGAGACAUGUGUAUGUGUGAACCUGGGAGAUAUAAGGUCAGUUUGGCUUGUGUCCUGAGCAUCUUUUGCCUGGCCUGGGGUUGUGGCUUGAUUUCAUGCGCGCUUGUUUGGUUGCUACCCUGUGAAAAAGAAAGCCCGCCUGGCCUGGAUUCCCUUGCACUUUAAUUAGCCUGGCUAGACUCCAGACACUACAAGUAGCUUGGCCCAGGCGACCGAUUUCGAAUGCCUAGCCAUGCCUGGUCGUGCAGCCACGAGGAUAAAAGCAACCUAGAUGGAUAUUAGCAUUAAAUAAUUGCUGCAUGGAUUGAUUGAUGCGACGUUGAUGCUUUGCCUGGCCCAGGCACGAACCAAACGCUUCUGCACCACACAAGCCUGGCCAGGCAGAAAUAUUUUACAUCUCACGUCCACGCCAGGCAGUACUGGCCAUCAAGGCAUGAGGGUGAGGUCAGGAACCAAACUGACCAAUAAAGUUUGAAAGAGAUUGAGGAGCCCCGAUAAGGCUGAGUGGUGCGUUAGAUAGCUGAGAGGGGGAAAGAGAUAUUCCAUCCGCUCGAUAAUGUAGUGCAUGUAAAUUUUUUAGAAGUCAAACUUUGGAAACUUUGAUCAGGUUUACGCAAAUGUUAUUUAUAUCUACAAUACCAAAGAUACAUCAUACACAACUACAUAUCAUGGUGAAUCUAAUGGUAUAUGUUUGCCGUUCUAGAUGUAAUUUUUUUCUCCACGUACAUGGUCAAACUUUGUGAUGUUUGACUUUUCAAUAAAUCUAUAUGCUAUGGACCAAGGAGAGUGCCUAAGUCGAAACAGAUCAAGUGUGUGUGAAGGAGAAUGAGUAAGUGUGCAAAAAGAGUAUGUGUGUGAAAGAGAAAGUACAACAAAUGAUAAACUAGAGAGUGUGUGUGUUUUUUCGUUUCUUAUGCGAACAUAUCACGCAUGCAUCUCCGAGAUAGAAAAGCGAGGCGAGGAGAUACACAAAGAUAGCUAGUGUGUGAUUGUUUGCAACAGAGAGAGACACCCCUGUAGCACAUGUCCAAUAGAGGUCUGGCCAACAAGGAACAAAUGUCGUGAGGGACACAUGGAGGACAUGGACACAUGGGGAGGGAGAGAGGGUGUGUUUGUGAUAGAGAGAUCCCAUCGAGAUCGUGAGGGGACUAUAUGGGUGGGAGAUCGAGGGAGGUGCGUGCGUGAUAGAAAGAUGCCCCGAGAGAAAUCGAGAUAGACCAUGCACAUGUUUGUGAUGGAGACUAAGAUUAGCUAGUCAUAUACAUAUAGGGGGACUACGCGUGCCUACAAUUGAGUGAGAGACCAUCAUACUUGGCUAGCUAGGCAUGAGAUUGUGUGUGUGUGUGCGUGUGAGAUGGAGAGAGAAUGAGGUAGAGAGAUAUAGUUUUAGAUGGGCCUAUCGAGUGCGAGUGAGAUAUGCAUGUGUAUGUGUGACCCAGGUGGAUCGAGAGUUUGAGAGGGGGGAGAGCUCCGAGACGACAGAGUGGUGCGUGAGAGAGUUACGGGCAACGAGCAAAGGAAUUUGUGUGCGUACCAUGAGUGCGCCCAAGAUAUCUAGCUUGGAUUAGCUAGAGUAUCAUACAUAGUGUGCGAGAGAGACCUAUAUAUGGUGUAUAUAUAUGCAUGCGAACUAGAAUGAUCCCCCCACACACACACAAAGAGAGAGAGAGAGAGNNNNNNNNNNNNNNNNNNNNNNNNNNNNNNNNNNNNNNNNNNNNNNNNNNNNNNNNNNNNNNNNNNNNNNNNNNNNNNNNNNNNNNNNNNNNNNNNNNNNNNNNNNNNNNNNNNNNNNNNNNNNNNNNNNNNNNNNNNNNNNNNNNNNNNNNNNNNNNNNNNNNNNNNNNNNNNNNNNNNNNNNNNNNNNNNNNNNNNNNNNNNNNNNNNNNNNNNNNNNNNNNNNNNNNNNNNNNNNNNNNNNNNNNNNNNNNNNNNNNNNNNNNNNNNNNNNNNNNNNNNNNNNNNNNNNNNNNNNNNNNNNNNNGUGUCGGAUGCGUGCGACAGGAUUGAAGAUUGUCGGAGAGAGAGAGAGAGCGAGAGAGAGAGAGAGAGAGAGAAAGAGAGAGAGAGAGAGAGAGAGAGAGAGAGAGAGAGAGAACAUGAGUCUGGGAGAGGGGGAGGUCGCGUUUUAUGCAUCAAAGACUGAUAUAAACCAUGUCUCGAUAUAAACUUGCAUUCAAAUAUUUAAAUUGGAAAACAUGUUGUUUGCAAUCCACACAUGAACGGAUAUAUGCGUAUAUCAAACAAGUUCAUCAAUUUGACUUUCAACAUGUUCAUGGAGUACUAUAAUACUAUACAACACGCUACUUGAUUGAGGUGUUCAAUUUUGGAUUUAGUUCACUAUUUUGACCUAGUGAACGAGCUAUUUCAUUGAAUCGAGAUAUUUCAUUUUGGGUUUAAUUCGUGUUUUUGAGUGCGUCAACUAUUUGUCAUAUAGUAAAUCGCUAGCAAUGAGCAUGUAAAAACACAUUACUCCCAAGCAUCAUCUCUCCAUCUAAAAAAGAAGUGGCAAGCUAAUAUUUCAAAAUUUGAUUCGAAUCGACUUGGUAAGGUAGACGUGGAUGCUCGAUCUCCUAAAAUUUGAAUGAACCGUUAAACAUCAUCUACUCGGUGGAAUUCGCCCGAGCAAAUAAAUGGGAGAUGCGAAAUUACCGUCCUAUGUGGGACACACAUCUAUUGGCCCGUUGUACAUCGCGGGUAGGUUCAUAACUUCAUCCAAGCGCGCCUUCUCUUCGGCCAAAAUGACAUGUGCCGAAUAAUUCAUAAACCAUGGUCGGCAAAACACGCUCUCCUCGCCUAAAAUAGCUCGCGCCCACUAUUUCAAAACAUGCUCUCCUCGCACGAAAUUGUUCGCGCCCACUAUAGUUCAAAACACGCCCUCCUCGCCCGAAAUCGCUCCCGUCCACUAUUUGGGGAGAAGCAAAGUUACUCUACUAUCCCCGACCCUCAGUACACAGACCCAAGCCGAGAAGCCUAAAGGCAGGGGUAGAACUGUAACUCCCCCUCACAUUUCAGACAAAUGCGUCUGUAAGACAUGGUUCCACUCCCCUCACAAUUCCCCUCCCCCCCUCGCCCCCCAUUCAUACCUCGUGGGCGCAAAAUCACCUUCUCCCCAGGAAGCUCCCUUCUCCCGAGCCGCGAAACCUCAGCCCCUCCUCCAUGGCGCCCGCACCGCACCAAUUUCACAGCUGCCCUCCUCCCUAAUGCCGGAGAUGUUGUCCAUUUGCCGUCGUGCACUAGGCCGUGUGCCUCUUACUCCGUGCUGCUAGAGCUGCCUCGACGACGGCCGCGUGAACCGUACCGGAGCCGAUUCACCCCCGCCAUUGUUCAUGACGCUGGAGCGGCUCCAACUUCGGAUCCGUCCAGAGUCCAAGUGCUGCUUCCCCAUAGCCGUCGACCGUCGCGACAUUGUUGUUUCCCUGUCGCAGGUCGCCACCGCAACUGCGCCGGCAUCACUGACUCGGCAGCUGGACCUCCCUACUUCACCAUGCCACCAGAUAGGUCGCACCCUCAUCUCAAAUCACUUUAUUUAGGCGUCAGUUGUCUGAAUUUUUAUUCUGGGCCAAUCGAUUCCUAAUGGGAAGCAGCAUCCCUCGAGGCGGCGGAGCUCCCGGUUAGCUGGUGUCUAACGUAAGGGUGCGGGGCCGCAAGUUCGCCGCGGAAGCAGCACUUAGAUGGCUAAGUUUUAGAGUUGUGUGGGUUGAAGGUACUAGCGCCAUCGGAUCUGGAUGACGGGGCGUCUUUGUGGAUUGGCCCGGGGGCGGCGCAACCACGGCAGUGCGGUGGGGUGGGGAGCGGGGUUUUGGCCAGGGCCACGGACAUCGGAGGUAGGCUGCUCUGCCGUUGGUCGCUAGCUCUUCGGGGAAGAUUCCGAAUAGUGUCAGCCGGGAGGCACAAGACGACCAUCAAGCCAUCCAGCGUAGAUCGGACAAUACCAAAAUAAAAUAAAAUCAUGUGACCCCAAUUUAGUCUUCAGUCAACAGAUGUGUGACCACUCUCGUACCUUGCUGUUGAUCUCUUAGUGUAUUUCUUCAGAUCAAAGAGAUAUGUCAUUCUUAACAUUAUGCAUUAUCUGCAUCUUCAGACACACCGUCUUCCGACUCACCACAGCUGCUCCAACAAGGGAAGCAUACACCAGAAGGGAGCUAUAGUCCCCACUCAACAGUUCCCUGCAUUGAAUGCGCUUGCCCGACAUGGACAGCCACAACAACUGCAGGGCCAUCGACAAGUCAACACAUGAUGCUCACUCCUAUGGAUGGCAGCCAGAUAGGUUGUACCCUCAUCUUACUUGUGUGCAACAUUUAUGGCUUUGUUAUUCAUCUAAGCAUGGAAAAUAGAUCAUCACAUCUCACUUUAUAUUCAUGCUGAUCUCUUACGGGUCUUGUUCAGGAGUUAACGUUGUUCCAUAGUUCAGCUAAGAUACUUGUUCUUUAGGUAACGUUGUUCCAUAGUUAUCAUCUAUCAGCCAAUUCUAUCCCACAGGCUGGUGAUUAUAGUAUUAUAGCACUUCUAGUAUUACCUAUGUUGUUCUUUAAUACUUUUGUGUGCCAUCUAGUUAAUCUCGAGUACAAAUGAUACAUAUUCCAUAGCUUUCAUCUAUGUUCUCCCUUUAGUUUAUGAGACUUGUUGCUGCUAGUUAACCCUAGUCCUACUAUUUAUGUCGUCUCCUACAGGCACUCAUUACAUAAAUCUAACUACUAGUUGUCUUCCAUGCAUGUCACAUAUAAUUGCACACACUGAUAUAUCCACAAUAACCUCACGGAGCAAUGUAAAGGCCAAUAAACUUGAUGUCAAUGAUACCCAAUAUGAUGGAACUUGUAAAGGCAGUUCUUCAGAAGACUUGCAGAAAGAUAAUGAAUCCUCUUCACCCCACAAGGUCCUUACUCUAACAUGGCCUGUGAUAUGGGUACGGCAUGCAUAUAAUGUCCUGGAGUGUAUCUACUCUGUUGCAAUGCCAUGUCCUUAGCAUGCUGAUCAUGCAUGUAAAUAUGUCAUGCCUUCCUGUUUUUCAGUACCUAUUCCAUUCAUGGUAACAUGUUUUCAAAUUCAAGUACUGUCAUUCUACUCUAUCGCAAUGCCAUCGGCUUAAUUUGGACAUCAUGCUUCUGAAUAUCUUAUACAUUGUUAUUCAUCAGUAUGUACUUCAUCUGUCUACCAUACCAUGUUUUUUACAUUGAAGUGUUGUUCUAGUGCUCUGUUGCAAUGCCACCUUAGUUUCCCAAUCAUACACGUGUAUGUUGCCUUAGUUAUUUUUGUACGUAUUCCGCUAGCAUACAGUUUUACAUUCAACUAGUGUUUUUUCUUGCUAUGUUGUCCUGUCGUAUCCCUAGCUCUUACACCAUACUCCCACCGUCCGGAUUACAUGUUGACGAAAUGGAUAAAAAAGGAUGUAUCUAGAACUGAAAUACGCCUAGACCCAUCCAUUUUGUUCCGGAUGGAGGGAAUACAUGUCAAUAUGUCAUGCCUUUCUAUUCUUCAGUACCUAUUCCAUCUCUCUGCUGUAGCAUGUUUUAUAAUUAAAGCACCAUUCUUGUAGGCAUGCAAGGGGAAGACGACUAUGUUAGAAUCAGAAGGGUUACAAACAAGGCCUUUGCAAAAGAUCCAAACGCCAGGAGAUAAUAAACCAACUCCAGUUUUUAUAGAUACUGCUCCAGCACAGAGAAACCCAACUCCUACUGAUAAUAAGCAUAUUCCAGUGGCCAAAGAACUAGUCCGCUCCAGUCCAAAAAAAUAUGUCAACUACAUUCUAAGAAGCGUGUGCAUAUCCUUGCAUCAUGAAAUUUUAUAGGAUGCUGAUCAUAUUAUCUACAUGUUUCUUACCCAUCUCUCUUUUAGAAAAUAAGCUUAACAGAUAGUAGAAUUUCUGCACUGGUAUCGUAUGUGAGGAAAGAUUCUUGCAGGAAUUCUCUUUGCUCCAAUGCAGAUGUAAGUACCUGUUGUAUAUCACUAUAUUUUUACAUCAGCAUGUAUUUUGUUAAUCGGCGUGAAUCCAACCUGUAUCUGAUCUAAAUUUAGUUGUAGCAAAAUGUAUGAUUAAAGGCCACAAUGUUGAUUUUUGUAAGGAAAACUGCCUGGUAGUUUUGCAUCCUGAGCUGCAUGAGUUUACUAUCUCAUAUCAGUGGGUUCGAAUACUUUGGUUCUGCAGUGGGUUUUCAGUGUUUUGUUGUCCCAUCGUAUCCCUAUCUCUUACAUCAUACUCCCUCCGUCUGGAUUACAUGUCGCAGAAAUGGAUAAAACUGGAUGUAUCUAGAACUGAAAUACACCUAGACCCAUCCAUUUAUUUUCGGAUGGAGGGAAUACAUGUCAAUAUGUCAUGCCUUUCUAUUCUUCAGUACCUAUUCCAUCUCUGUUGUAGCAUGUUUUAUAACUGAAUCACCAUUCUUCUAUAUAAAGCAUGCAAGGGGAAGACGGCUAUGUUAGAAUCUGAAGGGUUACAAACCAGGUCUUUGCAAAAGAUCCAAACGCCAGGGAUAAUAAACCAACUCCAUUGUUCAUAUAUACUUCUCCAGCACAGAGAAACCCAACUCCCACUGAUAAUAAGCAAAUUCCAGUGGCCAAAGAACUAGUCUGCUCCAGUCCAGCAAAAGAAUGUCAACUCCAUUCUAAGAAGCGUGUGCGUAUCCUCGCAUCAUGAAAUUUUAUAGCAUUCUGAUCAUAUUUUCUACAUGUUUCUUACCCAUCUCUCUUUUAGAAAAUAAGGUUAAAUGAUAGAAGACUUCCUCCAUUUGGAUCGUAUUUGAGGAAAAUAUCUUGCGGGAAUUCUCUGUGUUCCAAUGCUGAUGUAAGUACCUGUUGUAUAUCACUAUAUUUUUACAUCAGCAUGUAUUUUGUUAAUCGGUGUGAAUCUAACCUUUAUCUGAUCUAAAAUUAGUUGUUGCAAAAUGUUAAAGGUGCCAAUGUUGAUUUUUGUAAGGAAAACUGCCUGGUAGCUUUGCAUAUUGAGCUGCAUGAGUGUACUAUCUCAUAUCACGCACAUUACUAAAUUGUAGUGCUUCUCUGGUUGCCCAUUCAUUCAUUGUGUCAAUGUUGCUUUCGUAUUACGUUACCUGGCUGAUGAUAGUUGUGCAAUAUUGUGUUAAUUUGGUGUAGGCUAGUUUCCCAAACGUUCGUUGUGUCAAUUUUUCUUUCCAAUUAUCUGACUUGGCCAAUGAUAUCAGUGCUAGUGUGUUAAUUUUGUGUAGGCUGCUGAAGAUAAGAAGACAAACUCUGAAAACAGCAAGGCAACCCCAUUGUUUCUUUCCAAUAAAUCUAGGCCAGGUAAUAUGGCAAUAACUCAUGAUUAAUCUGUUUGGUUCCCUUCCUAAUUUAUGUUAUGAUGCAGUGGUCGAGACACUCUCCACUAUCAAUAAUACAAGCCUGCCAAAAUCGCCAUCUGAAUCUGUUCAGUGUCCUCCAUCUCGAAUGCAACGGAAUAAAUGUAUGUUUGUGAACCAAUUAAUGGCUGAAGCAAUGAUGGAAAUGGUGGAUGAAUCAGAGGUGCAGAGUUGUGCGACACAACAACUGAUCAAUGUUUUCAAAGACAGUGUAGCAAAGCAGCAAGAACUUGCCCACAUGCUUAUGGGCGUCAUCUGUGCUGAGAUUGCAGAUUGUGACGUUGUAGAUGGUUAGGUUCUGCUCAUUUAUUUGCACUGGCAUCAAUCUUUGAUUGCCUAGUGGAUGUAAUUUCCUAUAAUAUAUGCUGGAUGUGCAACGUUAUUCCCCGUAUGCCGUACCUUUGCUUGAUCGGUUUUGGUCCUGUGCAUAAUUGCUCGUCAUAAUGGGCCCAAAUUAUCUAAUUUGGCCUAAAGAUAUGUACGAACUUUAGUGGGCCCAUUAAGUUAAUGGGCCGUUACUAGGCCGAAAGUUAAUUCUCGGCCCUCUUACCUCCCGGGUCGUUAACAGGCCGACAUCGAAGUGGGCAAAUGGUGGGCCCAAUUUAUUUCACGGGCAGUUAACAGGCCGUUACUAAGUUUGGGCUACAUAUGGCCCAACUAUACUGUACGCCAUUAGCAGGCCGAAAGAGACAGCGGGCUUGUACUGGACCAUGAAGAGCAUGGGCCGCUAAGAGGCCGAAUGUCAGGUCGUAUUGUAAAUGGCCCAACUAUGUUGUGGGCCUUUAGCAGGCCGAAAGAGAAAUCGGGAUGGUAUUGGACCAUGAAGGGCAUGGGCCGUUAAAAGGCCAAAAGUAAGGUCCGACUACAAAUGGCCCAACUCAUUUAUGGCCCGUUAACAGGCCUGUCGGUGUCAAAACCAGCAGAUCUCGAGUAGGGGGUCCCGAACUGUGCGUCUAGGCGGAUGGUAAUAGGAGACAAGGGACACGAUGUUUUUACCCAGGUUCGGGCCCUCUCGGUGGAGGUAAAACCCUACUCCUGCUUGAUUAAUAUUGAUGGUAUGGGUAUUACAAGAGUUGAUCUACCACGAGAUCAGAGAGGCUAAACCCUAGAAGCUAGCCUAUGGUAUGAUUGUUUUCUGUCCUACGGACUAAAACUCUCCGGUUUAUAUAGACACCGGAGAGGGCUAGGGUUACACAGAGUCGGUUACAAUGGGAGGAGAUCUUCAUAUCGUAUCGCCAAGCUUGCCUUCCAGGCCAAGGAAAGUCCCUAUCCGAACACGGGACGGAGUCUUCAAUCUUGUAUCUUCAUAGUCCGGGAGUCCUGCCAAAGGUGAUAGUCCGGUCAUACGGACACCCCGUAAUCUAGGACUCUCUCAGUAGCUCCCGAACCAGGCUUCAAUGAUGACGAGUCUGGCGCGCAAAUUGUCUUCGGCAUUGCAAGGUGGGUUCUUCUCCAACUUCAUAUACUUGUAGAAUAGUGUCCAGCUUCUGAUAAAUGUUGCGCUCCUUGGCUUCCACGCCCAAUAAAGGCCAUUUUUCACGUGUCGAACGAAUGCGAAAAGCUAAGGUAUUUUUGCAUUUUCCCCCCUAGCGACUCAAAUAAGCUGUCUAUAAAAAGAGACGGGGAUCUAGAUCCGAACCACGCCAUCUCCCCUUCACAAGCUUUCAUCGGAGCACGUCUGACCAAAAAAUCCAUCAUGGACAGCCGACGCGGCUCCUCCUCUCGCGCUCCCAGCCCCAAGCCUGGGGAUUGGGAGAGAUGCUCCAUCCCGGAUAGUGAACUCAUAGUCCUUCAAUCCAAGGGGCUCCUUUCCCCAGCAUAUAUGGUCCCAGUUCGAGCUGGGAUCGCCACUUAUAGCGGCGGAGAGCAAGCAGAGAGCAUCCCCCAUCCCUCUCGAGGAGAGCGGGUAUGCCUAGUCCCUUAUUUAAUAAGAGGACUCGGAUUUCCAAUUCAUCCGUUUCUUCGAGGGUUGCUGGAGUUCUACGGCCUCCAACUUCACGACCUCACGCCUGCCUCCAUUCUGCACAUUGCGGGCUUCGUGGCCCUCUGCGAACUAUUUUUGGGUGUUGAGGCCCAUUUCGCGCUGUGGAAGAGGUUGUUCUACCUCGUGCCCCGUUCUCAGGAGGGGUCUAUUUAUCAAGUGGGCGGAGCCGAACUAUGGCGCAUCACUGGGACCGGAUAUCUAUCCGGUACCCCUAAGAGGACGUCGGAGGACUGGCCCUCGAAGUGGUUCUAUAUAGAUGAUGUCCCUCUGCCGGACCCUGUACGGAUCGACCUCCCUGAGUUCAAUAAAGCUUCGUUGAAGAAGCGCCUGAGCUGGCGCCCGCGGAACCCUCAGAGGGAAACUGACAGGGACGUCCUUUACCGGAUGAGCCGGAUAAGGUUGUUGGCUCAUUCCGGACUGACCAUGAUCAAGGUCAUGGCCAUAUGCAUUAUGCGAGGGGUGCAGCCGCUUCAAUACAGAGCACACCCCAUGUGGGAUUUCAACGGGGAGGACGAUGCCACCCGGUGCGGUCGUAAGGGGCCAGAUUCGGCCGCCACCUUAACGAGAAUUUUAUCCGCUUUGUAUAAGGGAGAAGAAGAGGAAUUCCUCCGUGCCAACCCGGAGGGCGGAUUCUCCAUGUACAAUCCUCCAAGUUGGGUAAGUGAACAAUUUCACUUAUCUACCCGCCUUUCGAAAUUCCCAUGGUUGAGUAUUCAGUCUGGUGAUAUUAACGCAGGAGUUACGCCAGACGGUGAAGGAGACCAACAACUCUCCCCCACAGCCCGAGGACCCGGAACGGUCCCUCGACCCGGAUUCCCAAGAGGAUCCGGACUUAUGUGUGGAGUUAAUUGAUGGGGUGUUUCAUCAAUUGAGUAAGGAUAACACAUUAGUGGCCAUUACGGCCGACUAUCCUGGAUUACUUCCAGCCUCAAAGGUAGCCGAGACCGAAGUCCUGGUACUUUGAAGGAGAUCCAUCCAUGUCUUAUUUUGAAUGCUGUAGACCAAUAGUGUUUCGUUUUGCAGGGGAAAUCCUUGAGGUGGAGUGCCGGGCCCGCGAUGGGCAGCCAACAAGGGCCGCUAAAGCCAAGCGGGCAAAAAAGAAGUGCAGACCAGAUCGAGACUCUGGUGCAACGGUACGGCGUGCGAAUUUCACGCCUAGGGUCUAUGCCCUCAAGUCAUUCUAAUGCCCAUGUUCUCCUUAGGAAGAAGAGAGCCCGUCGGACUAUAUCCACCGGCCAGACUUCAAGGACGGAUCCGGAAGCAGAGGCGGACACGGGACGUGCGUCAGGUGUUCCCCCGACAGAGGAUGCAGACAGGCUAUUUGCCACCAAUUCAGAGGUGGAGAGUGCCAUGAACCACAGGCAUCGCCGGACUAUUCUUCAGGACGCAUGUUUUUCCCCGGAGGCACUAAACGCCUUUAAUAUAGGAGAUGCGUACCUCCGUGCCACUCAAAAUGGUCUAGCCAGGGCCACGGAGCAGUAUGUAAAAGACAUAUAGUGAGUAAAUCUGAUAGUUAUAUAUGUUAGUAGCCCCCGAGACUUGAAAAGUUAAGAUAACUGUUUUAAGGAUCAUAUGUUAUGCAGGGUCUUACAGAGAAGAACACACAACUGUCUUAGGAGUUGGCGGAGUGCAAGGCCCAACUCGAGGCCGCACUGCCGCUUUAGCUAUUGGCAAGGAGACCCCCUCAGGUAAUGUAUUCUCCCAAAAAAUAAUUAAAUUGCGAAGUGUGCAAUGCUAACGAUAACAAUGCAGAUGAAGCCGGAGUAAAUCCGGACAAGCAACAACUCCUACGCCAACUAAAGGCUGGCGAGAGCGUGCUGACAAGGGUGAGGCAAGAGAAGAACAAGCUUCAAGACGCCAAUACCCAGCUGGGCGAGGAACUAAAGGAUGUUCGUAUCCAGCUGUCUGUUUCCGUAAAGGAGAAUCAGCGACUCCGACGCGGCAUUUUUAGUAAGUGCUUGAGCGAAAUCUUGAAAAAAAAAAUCGGCGAAGAAGUCGAUUGACAGAGCUAUGUCUGUAGGUCUACUGUCGGGUCGUCCUGCAGAGGAAAUGCCCGGUUCAACGGGGGACCUUCUUCCCGAGUUGUUGCAACUGCACGAACAAGUUCGGCAGGCAAUGCGGGGCGUUAUCCAAGCUAUGUGGCCAUCCCUUUCCGCACCCGAAGGCUUUGGGGAGCUUGCAAAGAAGCUGGAGGGAGUGCGGCAGCGCUUCCGGUUGUGGAAGAUAUCGGCCUACCGCCAAGGUGCCAAUGAGGCCUGGGCCAUGGUGAAGACCCGGUACUCGAAGGCUGACCCAAACCACAUGGCCGAGGUCAGCCCUAUGGGUCCUGACGGAAGGGAGAUCCCUGUCAGCUUAGUAUAUGGCCAGGUAGAGCUGGCUGCAAAGUAUUCCCAACAGGACUGUAAAUUAGAUCGCCUGUUGGAUGGUAUUGAAGAAGAGUAUACCAAGUCGGAUUGACUCUGUAAUUAAAAAUGACAUAAAAAUGCCUUCUAGCCGGAUUGUAGAUCGUUUGUCAUUGCGGACAUUUUCGCUUCGACCUCCGGACCCUAUAGUCCCGAGUGUGUCCGAAUACCCUCUCGAUUAUGUAAGAAUCGGGGCAUGCAUGGAUACAAGGCGUAGGGGUCAUAAUUGCUUUAGCAGACAAGUGCCCAACUAGUUAUGUUAUAUUACAUGGUUAGUAAGAAACGUCUUCCAGGGAGAAUAGUUCCGUUAGGGGUUCCUUUCCCUGGGAGGCAUGCCCUAAAGUGCAUGUCCGGACUGCUAGAAAGAGCAGAAAAGCAUCUGGGGGAAGAUAAAUAAACAAGAAAAAUCAUCUUUUAAUUCACCAACCAAAUAUUCCCUUAAGAAUGCUAGCUUUCGGCUUCACCCAGUCUGAGGUACACAUCCGACUGACCCGGCAGUAACAAUCGCAGAGGUGCUCCCUUUACGACCUAGUCGAACGAACGGGAAUGUAGGGGUAAGCACAGGAGCCAGGCAACCCAGCUUGGCCAAAACUUAAGUCAUAUCGAUGCAUAUAAUGGUGUAUAAAAAGGUUCAUGCCGAAGUGUCACACAUGUUUUGGGCAUGAGGCCCACUUAGAUAAACUUCUGAUAAAGAAGCCCCCAGGUAGGAUGAGCGCGGGUGGCGCGUCAAGUAUGUGCGAGCAAUGCGCAAGCAAGCCCCUAAGGGCUUGGGAGAAAAAAAACAAAAAAGGGGGGAGAAGGAGAGAAAUGCCAGACAGCUAUAUGUGAAAACAUAAAAAAUGGGACAGAGGAGGGAGACGAACACGGAGUCCGGCGCUUAGGCGUAGAAUCUUCGUAGGCGUGCUGCAUUCCAUGGGUUCGGCUCGAGUCGGUUGUCCGAUGCGUUUCGCAGACGGUACGCUCUGCCAAUCAGUACUUGGUCGAUUAUGAAGGGACCCUCCCAUUUGGGCUUUAGUUUGUCUUUUUUCUUGUCCGGCAGGCCUAGAACUAGUUCGCCAACAUUGUAAGUUUUGGCCCGUACUUCUCUGCUUUGAUAUCUUCGGGCCUGUUGUUGAUAGAAUGCGGAACGGGCUUUUGCCACGUCGCGCUCCUCCUCCAACGCGUCCAAGCUGUCCUGCCGAUCGAGCUCGGCUUCUCUUUCUUCGUACAUGCGCACUCGAGGUGAGUCAUGUAUUAUGUCGCAGGGCAGAACUGCCUCUGCGCCGUAUACUAUAAAAAAUGGUGUGAAUCCGGUAGUGCAAUUCGGCGUGGUCCGCAGCCCCCAGAGUACGGAGUCAAGCUCCUCUACCCAUUGCGUGUUUGAUUCUUUGAGGGAUCGCACUAGUCUGGGUUUGAUGCCGCUCAUAAUAAGACCGUUGGCUCGUUCGACUUGACCGUUAGUUUGUGGGUGAUAGACUGAAGCAUAGUCGAGCUUGAUGCCCAUGUUUUUGCACCAGAGUUUAACUUCGUCGGCCGUAAAGUUUGUGCCGUUGUCAGUUAUGAUGCUGUGGGGGACGCCGUAACGGUGUACAACCCCGGAUAUGAAGUCUAUCACCGGUCUGGAUUCGGUCGUCUUUAUAGGCUUGGCCUCUAUCCAUUUGGUGAAUUUGUCCACCAUAACCAGUAGAUAUUUUUUCUUGUUGGUUCCUCCUUUAAGGGGUCCAACCAUGUCAAGCCCCCAGACCGCAAAAGGCCAGGCAAUGGGGAUGGUUUGUAGGGCGGUAGGCGGCAUGUGGCUUUGAUUAGCGAAUAAUUGGCAACCGACGCAUCGCUUCACUAAAUCCUGAGCGUCUGCCCGGGCCGUUGGCCAAUAAAAUCAGGUACAGAAGGCAUUGCUUAUGAGGGCCCGGGCUGCGGCGUGGUGACCGCCGAGUCCGGCAUGGAUUUCAGCCAGAAGGUUUUUCCCUUCCUCUUCGGAGAUACAUCUUUGAAGGACUCCGGUUGUGCUUUUCUUAUAAAGCUCCCCCUCGUGGACUUUGUAGGCUUUAGAUCACCGCACUAUGCGACGGGCUUCGUUUUGGUCUUCAAGAAGUUCCUGCCUAGUUAGGUAGGCUAGGAAUGGUUCUGUCCACGAGGUAAUGACUGCCAUUAUUGUGUGGGCUGACGGUGUUGUUUCGGUGGCGGAGCCACCAACUGUGUCAAAGUGUUCGGUGAGAGGCAGUGUGGUUGUGUCCGGGCUAUUGUUUCCAGACUCUCCCUCCCAUGAAACUGACGGCUUGAACAGCCUCUCAAGGAAGAUGUUGGGGGGGACGGCAUCGCGCUUCGCGCUGAUGCGUGCCAACACGUCUGCUGCCUGGUUGUUCUCCCGGGCUAUGUGAUGAAAUUCGAGCCCCUCAAACCGAGAUGACAUUUUUAAGACAGCAUUGUGAUAAGCUGCCAUUUUCGGAUCCUUGGCGUCAAAGUCUCCAUUUAUUUGGGAUACCGCGAGGUUUGAAUCCCCGCGGACCUCUAGGCGCUGAAUGCCCAUGGAGACUGCCAUCCAGAGACCAUGUAGAAGGGCCUCGUAUUCGGCUACGUUGUUGGAAUCCGUGUACAUUAUCUGAAGUAUGUAUUGUACUGUAUCUCUAGUUGGGGACGUCAGAAUGACGCCAGCCCCAGUCCAGCCAACAUUUUGGAGCCGUCGAAGUGCAUGAUCCAAUUGGAGUAUGUGUCGUACUCUUUAAGGAGCUCGGCUUCAGUCCAUUCGGCGAUGAAGUCGGCCAAAACCUGCGACUUAAUGGCUCGCCUUGGCUUCUAAGUUAUGUCUAACGGGAGGAGCUCGAUGGCCCAUUUGGCAAUCUGGCCCAUUGCGUCAUGGUUGUUUAUAAUAUCAUUAAGGGGUACUUCGGAUGCCACUGUUAUUGAACACUCUUGAAAAUAGUGUUGCAGCUUCCGGGAUGCCAUGAACACCGCGUAUGCUAUCUUUUGAUAAUGCGGGUACCGUGACUUGCAUGGAGUUAGGACAGUGGACACGUAGUAAACUAGUUUUUGGAGAGGGAACUUGUGUCCGUCCGUUUCUCGUUCGACGACGAGCACCGCGCUUACAACUUGGUGGGUUGCCGCGAUGUAUAAUAGCAUUGGUUCGCCUGUGUUGGGCGCGACCAGGACCGGAUUUGUUGCCAGUAUGGCUUUGAUUUCUUCGAGUCUGGCCGUGGCGGUAUCCGUCCACUCGAAAUGUUCGGUGCGCCGUAGGAGGCGAUAAAGGGGUAAUGCCUUUUCUCCUAAGUGGGAGAUAAAGCGUCUUAGAGCCGCCACACAUCCGGUCAAUUUUUGUAUUUGCUUGAGGUCUUUUGGGGUAUCCAAUUGUGACAGAGCUCAGAUCUUGGCUGGGUUUGCUUCAAUUCCUCUACCGGAUACGAUGAAGCCCAAGAGUUUUCCAGCUGGUACGCCGAAAACGCAUUUUUCCGGGUUGAGCUUGAUGUCAUAUGUUCGGAGAUCGUCGAACGUGAGCCUUAAGUCGUCUACUAGAGUAUCGACAUGUUUGGUUUUGACGACCACGUCAUCUACGUAUGCUUCAACUGUUUUGCCGAUCUGGUUGGGCAGACAUGUCUGAAUCAUGCGCUGAUAUGUUGCGCCGGCGUUUUUGAGCCCGAAGGGCAUCGUGUUGAAGCAGAAUGGGCCGUAUGGGCUGAUGAAUGCCGUUGCGGCUUGGUCUGACUCUGCCAUCUUGAUUUGGUGGUAGCCAUAGUAUGCAUCAAGGAAACACAAUGAGUCGUGCCCUGCGGUUGCGUCGAUGAUUUGAUCAAUUCGGGGGAGCAGGAAAGGAUCCUUUGGGCAGGCCUUAUUCAGGUCUUUGAAGUCGACACAUAGGCGCCAGGAUUUGUCCUUCUUUGGUACCAUCACCAGGUUUGCUAGCCAGUCCGGAUGUUUUAUAUCUCUGAUGAAUCCGGCUUCCAGUAGUUUUGCUAGCUCUUCUCCCAUGGCUUGUCUCCUAGGUUCGGAGAAACGCCGUAGAGUCUGCUUAAUGGGUUUAAACCCCUUUAGGAUGUUCAGGCUGUGCUCGGCCAGCCUGCGUGGGAUUCCUGGCAUGUCUGAAGGGUGCCAGGCAAAAAUGUCCCAAUUUUCUCGCCGGAAUUCUCUGAGUGCGGCAUCUACAUCGGGUUUUAGUUGUGCCCCGAUGGAUGCCGUUUUUGUGGGGUCCGUUGGAUGGACUUGGAAUUUGACUAUUUCGUCCACUGGUUUGAAAGAGGUGGACCUGGAUCUCUUAUCUAGUAUCACAUCGUCCCUGUCCACCAUGGAGCGCAGCGUAGUUAGUUCCUCAGCCGCUAGGGCUUCGGAUAAUGCCUCCAGGGCCAGUGCGGCUGUCUUGUGGCGCGGAGCGCUGUGUCCGGAUCACUUGCAAGAGUGAUGAUUCCGUUGGGUCUGGGCAUUUUGAGCUUCAUGUACCCAUAAUGAGGUAUGGCUUGAAAAAUUGUAAAUGCUUCUCGCCCUAGCAGAGCGUGGUAUCCGCUGCUGAACGGGGCCACUUGAAAUGUGACCUCCUCGGAUCUGUAAUUAUCCGGCGUGCCGAACACCACAUCCAGUGUGAUUUUUCCUGAACAGCACGCUUCCCGGCUUGGUAUUAUUCCUCUGAAGGUUGUGUUGCUUCGCUCAAUGCGACUCCAGUCUAUUUCCAUUUUUCGCAGGGUUUCCUCGUAGAUGAGGUUAAGUCUGCUACCAUCGUCCAUGAGUACCUUUGUAAGUCGUAAGCCGUCCACUAUCGGACUGAGGACCAAUGCGGCUGGUGCUCGGGCUGUCCGGAAUUUAGGUUCGUCACUGGCAUUAAAAGUAAUAGCCAUGUGUCGGUGUACUAGAGUAGGGGUACCCUAGUAUCCCGAACUUGUGCACGGGCAGUUGCAGCACCCCGCAGCAAGGCUUGCCGGGUGACCGCCAAGGUCCUCCGUGGUUCCUUUGGAGCCAUUCAAGAACAAAGUAUUCAAGACAAGGAGACAAGGCCCCGGCAAGAGGAGCUUGCCAGGAAGGCCAGCCAAGGCAUCUCAAGGAACUUGCCGCGACGCGCCACGCGUCCCGGCAAGGCCCGGUGAGCGACAAGCUUCCGGACGCGACAAGACAACGAUCGCGGCAAGGCGCUUGCCGCGGCAAACUACCACUCUGUACCCGCGCUCCAGCACAUCCACCAACGUGUCGCCCUGGGACCUUUCCAGGCGCGCGUGGCAAGAGGCUGUGCGGCCAGCGGUGCACGGUGGCAAGCGACGCUAACAAGAUUGCCAUCGUGGCAAGCAGUGGCGUCCCCGACGGUCCCUUUUUGCACUAUUUGGGCGACGUAGAUGGGCAUUUAAUGCCUUUGUCCCCUGCCGUCAGGGUUAGGUAUGAUACACUGUACAGGUAGUUGUACCAACCGCAAUUCCUUUUCCAUUUUUACCCUUGUCUACGUUGCCACCUGUCGGUGACCCCUUAAGCAUAUAAAAGGAGGCCCAUGCGCAACGUAGAGGGGGGAUCAAAAGCAGAAAAACACUCACGCUCGGUCUCGUUAGCAGCUAGUGUAUACUGUAGGACUCAGCGCUCCCGAGCAAGAACUCAAUACACUCAGACAUGCAGCAGUAGGAGUGUUAUCUCUCCGGAGAGCUCCGAAGCUGGGUAAACUGCUCGUGUGCUUCGCCUUGAUCCGCUCUUCAUGCGAUCUCCGCCCCCGCCGAACCGAAAGGGGCUCGGUCCGCCGGUCCCAUAGGUGUUCGUGGAUCAGUUUCCCCGACACCGUGUCACUCCAUGGGUUUAUUGUUGCUACUUGGUAGACUUCGGCGAGGUUGCGGAGGGUUCGUUUCCUUGCAUUGUUUGAUGCGAAGGUCUCGAAGACUGUCGACACCGUACUGGCGUUUCUGGGGUGGUGUUCUUUGGAUUCUGGAGUUAGAAGCUCCUCGCCACUUCUGGCCACCUGCCGGAGUAUCCAACAUGCUCUAAGGCUGUGAGUUGGUGUGACUUCCCCUGAACUAUGAAUUUUACAGGGUCCAUUGAGCCACCCCUCCAGUACGGUCCCAUACCCUAUAGAGGGUUUUUGUUUUUUGAUGUUUGGCUCAGGUGCCUGGCGAUAAUGCGCCCUUUUGUUUCGGACUCGUGUUGGGUUCAGGGCCGGAUUGUCCCAGAAUUUAUUUUCGGUUUUCCGAACGCUUUCUGUCGCACAGUACUUUCGUACUAUGGAUGUCAAGUAGGCGAAGGGUGUAAUUUCGCGGCGACUUAUGGCAUUGAGGAUUCCGAUGUCCGUGCAGUUGUUACAGAAGAAUGAAAUUGCUUCUUCCUCACGGCAGUCCCUUAUCCUGUUCAUAACCAGGAGGAAUCUGGCCCAAUAAUGGUGUACUGUUUCCCCGGGCGCUUGCUGUAUUUGGGAUAAAUCCCUUAUAGUUGGGUGGGCGGGUGGAUUUAAAUCCAGAACCCUGCCCGUUAGAAGAUUCAGGGGCCAAGAAGUUUCCGAAUUAGGGAGCUUGUUUUCUUGGAGAUUAUUCAAUGAAUCAGGCCUGCUACCUGACUUUAGGUUCAGGACUUGGGCAACAUCCUCCCCUCCGCGGGUAUCCGGCUUGGAGGGGUCGGGAAUCCGGACACAUCUGGUCCUUAGAGCAGGCGAAGAUGCGCUGCAUUGUUCUUCCACCACUUCAACGUGGUGGGUGACCUAGGGAGAGUUGAUCCCUCUCUAGUCGGGUUUAAGUCCGAUCUGGCCGUAAUCUGUAGCGACUCCCAGGGCGGCAAUGCGAUCGAGGAGCUCAUUCAAGGAAGAGAGCUCCGUCGGAUCUAACUGCUCGGCGAGUUCCGAGCUGAUGUGAAGAUUGCUUUCGAUGGCCUAAGAGGUCAUCGUCGACGCGCGGCUGAACAGGCGGUCAUCAAGAACCUUCCUAGCCAGAGAGUUUGACCGACAGCCAAAGCUCCUUUAGUGACAGCGCCGUCUUUAAAGACGGGGUGCGGCAUCCUUCCUGACGGUGACAGCAUAGAGGAACUCCCAAUGAAAGCACCAAUGUCGGAGUCAAAACCGGCGGAUCUCGGGUAGGGGGUCCCGUGUAGGGGAACGCAGCAGAAAACAAAAAAUUUCCAACCUACGCACCAGCCCAGGACCACUAUGGAGACUGCAUACAUGGUUUGAUCCUUUUUGUUUCCACUCGUAGCACAGCGGGAAGUAGAGUCGAUGACGAACGGCGGUGCAGAUCCCCGCAGCUAGGAUUUACAACCUCCCAACCGCAAGGAUGUAUACCCUCAUCUUCUCCUUAGACAGCCCUCCGGGAGGCGGUCGAACAGCCCCUCGGACGGUGUCGCGGACAGCCCUUCGGGAGGACCUUCGAAACUCGAACGGUCACUCGGACAGCCCUUCGGGAGGACCUUCAAAACUUGGACGGUCACACGGACAGCCCUUCGGGAGGCACUCACGAACUAAGACCGAAACUACGAUCUCUCUACAGAGUUGCACACAUACGGUGUCAUCUAUUCGGCAGGGCUUCGCCGUCCAGAACUAGUUCCUGCCGGAACCCAGACAGCCUUGCGGCUCUACGAAACUCUUUUCAUGGGAGGGAGAGAAGAAGCCAGAUCAUGCAUGGCACUUGUAUGUGAGAAGGGAUGAUCCUUUAGGCAGCCCCCUCCACCCCUAUUUAUAGGACAAGCCCAAGGGAGGCUUCUCCAAGAAGCCAAGGGGAUAAUACCAAAAGGCCCUCAAGGUGGCUUCUCCAAGAAGCCAAGCAAAAAGCACUUUCACUAUUCAUGACGACAUUUUUAGCGUCCGUUCGAACUGUAAAUAUUUAUGUGGGAUCAGAACAUUUCCAUUACCCACUAAAAAUAAUUUUCAACACGUUCCAAAACAAUUUCGGUUUAGUGAUUUUCAUCUGCGCAAAGCAAACAAGAAUGCGUUUUUACUAUUCAUGAAGACAAUUUUUCGCGUCCAUUAAAUCCGAAAAUAUUUCUGUGGGUCUUAGAAUAAUUCCAGUACCCAGUAAAAUGAUUUUGGAUUUGUUCUGAAACAAUUUCAGAUUAGUGAAUUUCAUUUGCGAAAAACAUCUGAAGUGGUUCCGGCAGCCCCGGAGCAUAUCCGGUUAUUAUCCCGGAAAAUUCCAGAAAGCUUCCAGAAUGAUUCUGUCACCCUCCAAGAAUUAUUAGGCAUGUGCCAAAACCAAUUUGACUUAACGGUAUCCCCUGAAACAACUUUUCAGUUUCACCGAAACUCAUCCGAUGACCUCUCUCUGCGGUACGAUUCCGCUGUCCGAAACCAUUCCGGUGUCCGAAACUUUUUUCGGUGAUUUUCUCUCAGACUCCCUGUCUAGUAUUCAGAAGAUAGAUGACCCUUAAGCAUGUGACCCUAUAGGUUCGGUGAAGUAUAGACAUGACCCGGAACCCCUUCCGAUCAAUGAUCAACAUCGGAGCCGUGGACACCCAUAUUGACCCCUAUACCCACACGAAUGAAUAUUCGAGUGAACCUCCAGUUGCUGUGUGCUAUUCCUGUUGCUUCGUGAUAUGUUACAAAUACCCGAGGUGAGACAUGUUGGCAUUCCCAUGGAUCAACAACUUGUCCACUAUGCCAGUUACCUCGUUAUCAGUAUUGUUCUCUUUACUCGUUACCGUGUUCCGGCAUCCCCGUGAUCAAAUCACAAAGUGUCUAGCCAGACGAUGAUAGAUACCGUAACACCGAGAGGGCCCAGAGAUAUCUCUCCAUCAUUGGAGGAGCAAAUCCCAAUCUUGAGCUAUUAAGUUACUUGACAGACUUUUCCAUGAACCCGUAAGCCGCUGUAAUAGCCACCCAUUUACGGAUGACGUUUAACAAACCCCAAAGUUCAUGAAGCAAGCAUGAAGAAACUCGAUACUCUCAUGGUCUAAGGAAUCAUGCAAACGUUAACCAUAUCUGUGUUAUUUACCAUUAACUUCUGACGAAUGUAUCUCAUAGCAUAACAUCAAUUCGGGUCGAUUCAACACAAAUGUUCUCUUAACAUUGUGCCCUCAAAGUUGCUGGCAUAGACAUGCCCAUGAUCAGGAAAACGGAACCAUCAUGCAACCCUUGAGCUAGUCUUCGAGGCCAAACUAGGAAAACUUCUUACCGUUUAUUAUUCCACACGUGCAUAUGAGUCUUCCUCCGAGCCUCGUGGAUAUUGUAGACUCGAGAAUCAUUGCAGUUAUAGCAUGGAACAUAAACAUAAUUAUGAACUCGGAGAUAAAUAAUAUCAUUUAUUAUUGCCUCUAGGGCAUAUCUCCUACAGACUCCCACUUGCACUAGAGUCAAUAAUCUAGUUUAAUGCUAAUGCACUUCACACCUAUGGCACAUCGGUGUAAAUAUGCUUCGCUUGUGGUAUAGCCUGAUGUCCAUCAGAUCUGACAACUUCAGCUCCGUGUCUAUCUCUGCAUAUCCUCGCGUUUUCACACUUUCACAAAAUUCAUAUUUUGUGCGGACUUGGCUUUGUAUAAAUGUGAAUCACAGGUUGAACCUGGAUUCCUCAGACUGAGUUAUGGAGAAACUACCUGCAGUAGUGUCCCAUUGACAAAGGCCAUCUUAGAACCAUACUAAGUUCAUGAAUGAACUAUAUGAUUCAACAUCUUGUUUGUCGCUUCUAAAGUGUCAACAUACUUAGUCAUUUGUUAUAGAAUUCUCCACAGUAUCCUGUUGGGAACAAUUUCCAACUACCGUGCCACCAUAUUGUGUAUUACACAAAACCCUUAACUUAAAUCAAAAAUUGCAUGGAGAAAAGAUGAAGAUUGUAUCGAUGUAACAUUUUACAACGAACUCUUCAUGAUCUCCGCUUGCGAGAAAACAUAUCAUCAGUACUUACUCUAGUACUCAAUGACAUCUUUCAUUGUUGUCCCAUGAUUAGUACUUUGAUCACUUUAGUAUCCAUACUAGCAACACCUUGGGAGUAUCGGACAUAUCUGGUUGUUUUACAUACCAUGGAAUACAUGAUUAAUCCAAACACAAAAGUGUGUGGAAUCUGCAUCAUUUAUUUUGCUCAUCAGUGUUUUGGGACACCGAGUCUUGCAAAAAACACUUCCAUGUGACUCCGGCAAGAAUCACUCCUUGGCAGUUUUAAAUGGUAAAAGGUUUUAGCACCUUGUCAAUAUGUAUUCAUUGCCUAGCCCUAUUAGGUAAAUCUAUCUCCAUAGAUCAUUAUGCCUAAUAUUGAGGCUAUUUAGCCUAAGCACUUCAUCAAAAAACUAUUUUCAAAUGAAGUCCUAAUUUGUGUCAAGAAAUUUAUUUCCAAUUAACAAUGUGUCAAGCACACAAGGUUUUUAGAAAUAUUAUUAAGCUCCCACUUAAUUUCUUGAAUUACAAGCAUCUUCAUUACCCAUUGAUGAAGUCAAACCCCUUUGACCAUUUCAUCAAAGCACGAAGAUUCCAACUCCAUUUUGUUGUCUUCUGUCCAUCGCUGGAACUCUGAAGUUUGCACCCUUACUAGCAUCCUCUGGAUAGACAAAAUGCCUUGGACUGUAACACAUGCAUGUCCUUGGUUUCGUUUCCAUCAGAUAGAAAUCCUAUUGUCAUCCAUGUUUCAUAUCUCAUGAUUGAAAUAUGUAUUAAUUGCUAGUUCAACCCGAACUGACUUUAAGCAUCGCUACAAUGAAAACAACCUCAUCGUAGUCAACUCUUGAACUUGUUAUUUCAACAAGUCGAGCUUUAUGGAUAAAACAUUUUUAUCCGUAUCAGUUUUAAGUUCCAUAAAUAUUUGAUAGACUCUAAGUCUUCCGAAAGGUGUAUCAAGGUUUUAAUCUUGAAUUACUUAUAUGGAAACUAACUCAGGUUGUAUUGGCAUUUAGCCAAUUCCGGAGUCAGGGCCCAUCAACGCUUCCUUGUGUAUCGUAGGUAUAAUGUUGUCUAACAACAAUAUCUCGUUUGCGCACCUGAGAGGUUUGCACGAGCCUUGCCUAUGUGGUUCAGCUGCAAGUUCGACCGAAGUUCAUACAUUUUAUUGUAGAGACUUCCGUAUCAGUCGUAGUAGGAAACUAUGGAAUUACUUCCAAGGUCUCUUUCCUUUGAUCUGAUGAUGAAGAUACUGUUUAUCUCAUCAAGUUGCACUAUUCUCCCACUCACCUUUUUGAAAGAACCAUUCUCUUUAAAAGCACACUGUUUCACGCCAAAACUAUUUGCCUCGGUAUGGUGAGGGAGGAAUACCCAACAUUUUGGUAUAACCUACAAAGUAGCACUUGUCUGAUUUGGGAUAGGUUUGUAACUUUUUACACAAGCCCCAUAUUCCAAAUGUUAAGAAAAGAUAUAACAUGGUUGGGCGUACCAUACCAUGGCUUCAUUUCAACAGACCCGAUGUAGCUCUUUUCAGUGUAAAAGCUGCAGUCUCUAAAGCAUCACUUUAAAAAGGGACAAUGGCAAAUUUAUUUAUGUCAUCUUUGAUCUUACCAUGUCAUAAAUGGUUAGAUUACAUCUUCACAGACAUUCCACUCAUAGUGGUGUUCCGGGAGGUGUAAGUUAUGAAACUCUUUUCACAACUCAUCGGACAUUCGCUAAACUUGUAACUCAAAUAUUCCUUUCUGCAAUCAAAUUGUAGAAACGUAAUUUCCUUGUUACAAUAACUUCUACUUCAUUUUUGAAAACCUUUCGAAUGAUUUCAAAAGACCCAGACUUACGUCUCAUCAAGUAAAUAUCCAUAUAUCUACUUGAGUCAUUUCUGAAGAUAAAUAAAUCCACCACUAACAACACUUAUCGGACUACACACAUCAAAUGUAUGAUCACUAAUAAGUUUGUUGUUCGUUCCUUAUGGCCUGUGAACGGUAUUUUAGUCACUUCACUUCUCGGAGGAAAGUUGCAAGUGUCAGAUGAUUCAAAAUCAAAAAGACUUCAAAAUCCAUCAUAAUGGAAUUUUCCAUGCGGGUUUCUCCAAUAUGACCAAAUGUAGUGCCACACUUGUGUGGUAUUCUUUUAGUCUUGCGACAUUUACCGUCAGUGUUAUGGAUGUAUCAUAUUACCAUCAAUAUUCAUAACAUACAUCCCAUCUUGGAUGGAAGCAUGGCCCUUCAUGUUAUUCAUAAUACUUAACAACAAUUGUUGUUUUUAUGAACAACUCUUUUGCAUCAAACAUUGUGCAAUGGGCUAGUGUGUAUGAAACUCUAAAAUGAAUUAUGAAAGUAAACCCAGAGGUAUUGUAUUAUUAUCAAUACUCAUAACAUACAUCUCAUUCAUAAUGAAAGUAUGGCCCUUGUGUUAUUCAUAACAUCGAACAUAAAAAGUUCUCUUAUGAACAACCUUCUUGCAAGAUACCUUAUGCAAUGGGCUAGAAUUUGUAAAACUCUAAAUGAAUUAUGAAAAUAAAUACAGACGGCCAUACACUAAUGGAAGGUAUAGUAACAUUUACUAUGUUCCCUGUGUAUACCUUAACCUCAUUUCUGGCUAGCCUUUUUGGCCAUAGUAGCUCUUAGAUUGAUUCGUAACAGAAUGCAAUCGAGCGGGUAUCUUUGAGAUUAACUCACAAUACCCAAGAAUUAGUGAUUAACAUGUUUAACCAUAAUUCCCAAGAACUAUAUCUUUGACCAGCCUACUAUACAUCAAAAACUUGUAUGACAUUCAUACAUGAGCUGGAUAUUCCAGUCAUCUUUCUUUCUGCCUUUAUACUUCUAAUAGUUUAACUUUUAGUAUUUCUCCUACUCGCAAAAGAAGCACCCAACAUAAGAGUGGCGUUAGCCCCGGACUUCCUAGGCGUGUAAGUCAUACUAACACCCUUUGGACACUUCCUUUCUCUUUAAGUUGUUGUUUUAUUCACCUUUCAUUAUAUGACAGGCGUUCUUCUGGAUCCCUUUCCCAACAGUCAAAUGCAUAGUAAACACUUUUACUAAUACUUGCAAACAAACAUUACUUUGUUUGUAUCUGAAAAUAAUUUUCAGUUCCAUGAAUAUCAUAUAACUAUCCCAACUUUCGAAGUUUGCGUUUCAUGGAAGCAAACAUAUUCCACUUGACCGUAAUAGAAUUCUAGCUUUUGGAUCGAAGGACGGGAGUCUCAUCAUAGAUAGCAAUUAGCGGGAGUAUACGGAAAGCAUGCAAUAGGACAAAGUCCUUCUCGGCACUUUUGAGGACAAUCCUCAUAUUACGUUACCAAUCGUAAAGUUUUAACCAGAUAUUUAACAGCUAUUCAAUUUUAACAGGGAAAGAGGAAACGCGAGCCAUUAUUCUACAACUAUGUUGCAAGAAACACUUAGACAGUGUUCAUAAUUAAUUGCACUAAGAAAUAAACAAGUUAAUUCUACAGUGCGCUCCCACUCAAAUCAAUAUCUCUCAUAAUUGAUUGUGAGUGAUACAAGAUCCACAUUUCAAUUCAACGCCAUUGGUGUGGACAUCACUGAUGACGAGAAUUUCAAUUGGUGGGCAAACAUGCCGAUCACAUCUCUAUGUGACUCCUGUUCAUCUUUCGAUGGGUGUGUUCCGAGCUCAGGACGAUCAAGCCAGAACGUCAAGACAACCAAGUGAUCUUGCUGCGAGGUCUGACCUCACCCGCCUCACACUUCUCUAAUCGUUCGUACCCAUGUGGACAUGGCGCACCCCGAAAAGUUAGGUGCCGUGACGGUGCUACACUUGGGAGAACACUAACUACUUCAUAUUUUUGUGAGAGAUCACCCUAAUAAAAAGCGACUACCGCGCAAUCAAGAAGGGUGAAUCAAAGGGAUAAACAUUUCAUGCAAUUCAUAAUAACAUGAUAUGGUAUAGCCCUUUCUGACGGAGAAGUCUUGUAUUUCUUCGUCUUCGGCAUUCGCAUCGGUGUUCACCUUAGCAAAGAUUGCCACCACCUUGUCGGUGCAGCAGAUAAUAUCGCUAUCUCCAUAGCGGAUAAAAUAAAUGCAUUACUUAAGGUUGACACGCAGGUCAUUAAAGUGCAAUCAUAUGGCUCCAGCCAUCAUGCCGAAUCAUGACACGCAGGUCAUGUUAAUUACAUUAUAUAGUCAUCUCAUACAUAAUCAAAUUAUUAUGAGCACUGCUAUACCACAUCACAUGCAAACCAUCCUGCAAAACCAAGUUAGACGCCUCUAAUCGGUUCAUACAAAAAAAGUUUUACGUGGCUUCUAAGGUUUCGACUUAAACUGCAGCUACCAACGUUUUAUCAUCAAGUAUGAUUAUUCAAGUUCCUAGAUUAACAUCUCGGGAUGUAUGAUGCACGAGAACAUAAAAUCUCGAACCCCAUACUAAACUUCGUCAUACGCAUGACCCCCGUGCAGAUCAUAUCUGCAAUGCCCUUUCAUCUGCGAAUUUCAUCUUUCUUUUGACUAUGGCAGAACCCAAAGAACUGAUAGCACUUCCGUGAUCAAUCAGGAUCACGGAUUGCCAGAACUUUGUCAAAUUCCACCAUGCUGUCUCGAGAUUGAGCAAACGCAAAUUCUAGGGAAGCAACAAGAACGUCGGGUAACAUAUUUCAUCUGUUACCCGCAUAAAUAAGUUUCAGCAAUAGAUCUCAUCUACUCCAAAAUUAUAUUAUGCAAUACCCAUACAUCUCCAUGUAUUCUAGAUCACAACCUGCAUCUAAGCAUAGCACGGCUCAUGAUGCCACUGUAUGGGAACACAGCAGAAAACAAAAAAUUUCCAACCUACGCACCAGCCCAGGACCACUAUGGAGACUGCAUACAUGGUUUGAUCCUUUUCGUUUCCGACUCGUAGCGCAGCGAGAAGUAGAGUCGAUGACGAACGGCGGUGCAGAUCCCCGCAGCUAGGAUUUACAACCUCCCAACCGCGAGGAUGUAUACCCUCAGCUGCUCUUCAGACAGCCCUCCGGGAGGCGGUCGAACAGCCCCCCGGACGGUGUCGCGGACAGCCCUUCGAGAGGACCUUUGAAACUCGAACGGUCACUCGGACAGCCCUUCGCACGGACAACCCUUUGGGAGGCACUCACGAACUAAGACCGAAACUACGGUAUCUCUACAGAGUUGCAUACAUACGGUGUCAUCUAUCCGGCAGGGCUUCGCCGUCCAGAACUAGUUCCUGCCGGAACCCAGACAGCAUUGCGGCUCUACGAAACUCUUUUCGUGGGAGGGAGAGAAGAAGCCAGAUCAUGCAUGUCACUUGUAUGUGAGAAGGGAUGAUCCUUUAGGCAGCCCCCUCCACCCCUAUUUAUAGGCCAAGCCCAAGGGUGGCUUCUCUAAGAAGCCAAGGGGAUAAUACCAAAAGGCCCUCAAGGUGGCUUCUCCAAGAAGCCAACAAAAAGCACUUUCACUAUUCAUGACGACAUUUUUCAGCGUCCGUUCGAACUGAAAAUAUUUAUGUGGGCUCAGAACAUUUCUAUUACCCACUAAAUAUAAUUUUCAACACAUUCCGAAACAAUUUCGGUUUAGUGAUUUUCAUCUGCGCAAAGCAAACAAGAAUGCGUUUUUACUAUUCAUGAAGACAAUUUUUCGCGUCCAUUAAAUCCGAAAAUAUUUCUGUGGGUCUUAGAAUAAUUCUAGUACCCAGUAAAAUGAUUUUGGAUUUGUUCUGAAACAAUUUCAUAUUAGUGAAUUUCAUCUGCGAAAAACAUCUGAAGUGGUUCCGGCAGCCCCGGAGCAUAUCCGGUUAUUAUCCCGGAAAAUUCCAGAAAGCUUCCAGAAUGAUUCUGGCACCCUCCAAGAAUUAUCAGGCAUGUGCCGAAACCAAUUUGACUUAACGGUAUCCCCUGAAAGAACUUUUUAGUUUCACCGAAACUCAUCCGAUGACCUCUCUCUGCGGUACGAUUCCGCUGUCCGAAACCAUUCCGGUGUCCGAAACUUUUUACGGUGAUUUUCUCUCAGACUCCCUGUCUAGUAUUCAGCAGAUAGAUGACCCUUAAGCGUGUGACCCUAUAGGUUCGGUGAAGUAUAGACAUGACCCGGAACCCCUUCCGAUCAAUGAUCAACAUCGAAGCCGUGGACACCCAUAUUGACCCCUAUACCCACACGAAUGAAUAUUCGAGUGAACCUCCAGUUGCUGUGUGCUAUUCCUGUUGCUUCGCGAUAUGUUACAAAUACCCGAGGUGAGACAUGUUGGCAUUCCCAUGGAUCAACAACUUGUCCACUAUGCCAGUUACCUCGUUACCAAUAUUCUUCUCUUUACUCGUUACCGUGUUCCGGCAUCCCCGUGAUCAAAUCACAAAGUGUCUGGCCAGGCGAUGAUAGAUACCGUAACACCGAGAGGGCCCAGAGAUAUCUCUCCAUCGUUGGAGGAGCAAAUCCCAAUCUUGAGCUAUUAAGUUGCUUGACAUACUUUUCCAUGAACCCGUAAGCCGCCGUAAUAGCCACCCAUUUACGGAUGACGUUUAACAAACCCCAAAGUUCAUGAAGCAAGCAUGAAGAAACUCGAUACUCUCAUGGUCUAAGGAAUCAUGCAAACGUUAACCAUCUUUGUGUUAUUUACCAUUAACUUCUGACGAAUGUAUCUCAUAGCAUAACAUCAAUUCGGGUGGAUUCAACACAAAUGUUCUCUUAACAUUGUGCCCUCAAAGUUGCUGGCAUAGACAUGCCCAUGAUCAGGAAAACGGAACCCUCAUGCAACACUUGAGCUAGUCUUCAAGGCCAAACUACGAAUACUUCUUACCGUUUAUUAUUCCACACGUGCAUAUGAGUCUUCCUCCGAGCCUUGUGGAUAUUGUAGACUCGAGAAUCAUUGCAGUUAUAGCAUGGAACAUAAACAUAAUUAUGAACUCGGAGAUAAAUAAUAUCAUUUAUUGUUGCCUCUAGGGUAUCGCCAAGCUUGCCUUCCACGCCAAGGAAAGUCCAUAUCUGGACACGGGACGGAGUCUUCAAUCUUGUAUCAUCAUAGUCCGGGAGUCCGGCCAAAGGUCAUAGUCCGGUCAUCCGGAAACCCCCUAAUCUAGGACUCCCUCAAGGCCGAAAGGCACAAAGGGGCGCAAAUUGGCCCAACACUUAAAUGGGUCGCUAAAAGGCCAAAACUCAGGUCCGACUACAAAUGGCGCAACUGAUUUAUGGGCCGUCAAUAGGCUGAAAGUGACACCGGGCCGGAAAUUGGCCCAACACUUAAAUGGGCCGCUAAAAUGCCGAAACUCAGGUCCGACUACAAAUGGCCCAUCAGAUUUAUGGGUCGUCAAUAGGCUGAAAGACACACCGGGCCGGAAAUUAGCCUAACAUUUAAAUGGGUCGCUAAAAGGCCAAAAGAUGUACAUCCUGAAAAUUGGCCCAUCCAUUGAAUGGCCCGUUAACAGGCCGAAAUCUCAUCGGGCCGAUAUUGAGCCCAAAUAUAUAGCGGGCUGUUAACGGGCUCGAACUGACGAUGGGCUGCAAUGGUGUCAAAUCUUUAACGGGCUGUUGACGGGCCGAAUUUGCACAUCUCGUAUGGGCCGUGGGCUUAAAUGGGCCGGCCUGCUAAUUUUUACUAGGCCGGCCAUUUUCACUGGAAUGGGCCACUGUUGGGCCGUGCCACGUGUUGACCUAUCAUAGGCACCUCCAGUCCAAUGAGUGGAUGACAUCUGUCCCAACGGUGAGGCAACACGUGUUUCCUGCGGCCAGUGAUUAUUUUACACGUGGAAAAUCCCCAUUAGUUCGGGCUGUUAACGGGUUAUCGGAUCCAAAACCGGAGCCGAUAGCUGUUGGGGAACGUAGUAAUUUCAAAAUUUUCCUACGCACACGCAAGGAUCAUGGUUAGAACAACGCGGUUGAUGUAGUCGUAUGUCUUCACGAUCCGACCGAUCCAGGUACCGAACAUACGGCACCUCCGAGUUCAGCACACGUUCAGCUCGAUGACGAUCCCCGGACUCCGAUCCAGCAGGGUGUCGGGGAUGAGUUCCGUCAGCACGACGACGUGGUGACGAUGAUGAUGUUCUACCAACGCAGGGCUUCGCCUAAGCACCGCAACAAUAUGACCGAGGUGGAAUAUGGUGGAGGGGGGCACCGCACACGGCUAACGAACGAUCACGAAGAUCAACUUGUGUGUCUAGAGGUGCCCCCUGCCCCCGUAUAUAAAGUAGCCAAGGGGGAGGGGCAACCGGCCAAGGAGGGCGCGCCAAGGGGGAGUCCUACUCCCACCGGGAGUAGGACUCCCUUCUUUCCUAGUUGGAGAAGGAGAAGGGGGGAAGGAGGAGGAAGAGGGGAAGGAAAGGGGGGGGAGGGCGCCGCCCCCUCUCCUUGUCCUAUUCAGACUAGGGAGGGGAGGGGGCGCAGCCCACCUCUUGCCUCCUCUCUUCCUCUCCACUAGGGCCCAUGUAGGCCCAUUAAGCCCCCGGGGGGUUCCGGUAACCUCCCGGUACUCCGCUAAAAUCCCGAUUUCACCCGGAACACUUCCGAUAUCCAAAUAUAGGCUUUGAAUAUAUCAAUCUUUAUUUCUCGACCAUUUCGAGACUCCUCGUCAUGUCCAUAAUCUCAUUCGGGACUCCGAACAAACUUCGGUACAGCAAAACAUAUAAAAUCAUAAUAUAACUGUCAUUGUAACGUUAAGCGUGCGGACCCUACGGGUUCGAGAACUAUGUAGACAUGACCUAGAACUGUUUCCGGUCAAUAACCAAUAGCGGAACCUGGAUGCUCAUAUUGGCUCCUACAUAUUCUACGAAGAUCUUUAUCGGUCAAACCGCAUAACAACAUACGUUGUUCCCUUUGUCAUCGGUAUGUUACUUGCCCGAGAUUCGAUCGUCGGUAUCUCAAUACCUAGUUCAAUCUCAUUACCAGCAAGUCUCUUUACUCGUUACGUAAUGCAUCAUUUCGUAACCAACUCAUUGGCCACAUUGCUUGCAAGGCUUAUAGUGAUGUGCAUUACCGAGAGGGCCCAGAGAUACCUCUCCGACAAUCGGAGUGAGAAAACCUAAUCUCGAAAUACGCCAACUCAAGAUGUACCUUUGGAGACACCUGUAGAGCUCCUUUAUAAUCAGCCAGUUAUGUUGUGACGUUUGGUAGCACACAAAGUGUUCCUCCGAUAAACGGGAGUUGCAUAAUCUCAUAGUUAUAGGAACUUUGUAUAAGUCAUGAAGAAAGCAAUAGCAACAUACUAAACGAUCAAGUGCUAAGCUAACGGAAUUGGUCAAGUCAAUCACAUCAUUCUCCUAAUGAUGUGAUCCUGUUAAUCAAAUGACAACACAUGUCUAUGGCUAGGAAACAUAACCAUCUUUGAUUAAUGAGCUAGUCAAGUAGAGGCAUACUAGUGACAUUAAGUUUGUCUAUGUAUUCACACAUGUAUCAUGUUUCCGGUUAAUACAAUUCUAGCAUGAAUAAUAAACAUUUAUCAUGAUAUGAGGAAAUAAAUAAUAACUUUAUUAUUGCCUCUAGGGCAUAUUUCCUUCAGUCUCCACUUGCACUAGAGUCAAUAAUCUAGAUUACACAGUAAUGAUUCUAACACCCAUGGAGUCUUGGUGCUGAUCAUGUUUUGCUCGUGGAAGAGGCUUAGUCAACGGGUCUGUAACAUUCAGAUCCGUAUGUAUCUUGCAAAUCUCUAUGUCUCCCACCUGGACUUGGUCCCAGAUGGAAUUGAAGCAUCUCUUGAUGUGCUUGGUCCUCUUGUGAAAUCUGGAUUCCUUUGCCAAGGCAAUUGCACCAGUAUUGUCACAGAAGAUCUUCAUUGGUCCCGAUGCACUAGGUAUCACACCUAGAUCGGAAAUGAACUCCUUCAUCCAGACUCCUUCAUUUGCUGCUUCUGAAGUAGCUAUGUACUCCGCUUCGCAUGUAGAUCCCGCCACGACGCUUUGUUUAGAACUGCACCAACUUACAGCUCCACCGUUUAAUAAAAACACGUAUCCGGUUUGCGAUUUAGAAUCGUCCGGAUCAGUGUCAAAGCUUGCAUCGACGUAACCAUUUAUGACUAGCUCUUUGUCACCUCCAUAAAUGAGAAACAUAUCCUUAGUCCUUUUCAGGUAUUUCAGGAUGUUCUUGAUUGCUGUCCAGUGAUCCACUCCUGGAUUACUUUGGUACCUACCUGCCAAGCUUAUUACUAAGCAUAAGUCAGGUCUGGUACACAGCAUUGCAUACAUGAUAGAGCCUAUGGCUGAAGCAUAGGGAACAUCUUUCAUUUUCUCUUUAUCUUCUGCUAUGGUCAGGCAUUGGGUCUGACUCAACUUCACACCUUGUAAUACAGGCAAGAACCCUUUCUUUGCCUGAUCCAUUUUGAACUUUUUCAAAAACUUUAUCAAGGUAUGUGCUUUAUGAAAGUCCAAUUAAGUGUCUUGAUCUAUCUCUAUAGAUCUUGAUGCCCAAUAUGUAAGCAGCUUCACCGAGGUCUUUCAUUGAAAAACUUUUAUUCAAGUAUCCCUUUAUGCUAUCCAGAAAUUCUAUAUCAUUUCCAAUUAACAAUAUGUCAUCUACAUAUAAUAUCAAAAAUGCUACAGAGCUCCCACUCACUUUCUUGUAAAUACAAGCUUCUCCAAAAGUCUGUAUAAAACCAUAUGCUUUGAUCACACUAUCAAAGCGUUUAUUCCAACUCCGAGAUGCUUGCACUAGUCCAUAAAUGGAUUGCUGAAGCUUGCACACUUUGUUAGCACCUUUUGGAUCGACAAACCCUUCUGGUUGCAUCAUAUACAACUCUUCUUCCAGAAAUCCAUUCAGGAAUGCAGUUUUGACAUCCAUUUGCCAAAUUUCAUAAUCAUAAAAUGCGGCAAUUGCUAACAUGAUUCAGACAGACUUAAGCAUCGCUACGGGUGAGAAAGUCUCAUCGUAGUCAACCCCUUGAACUUGUCGAAAACCUUUCACAACAAGUCGAGCAUUGUAGACAGUUACAUUACCAUCAGCGUCAGUCUUCUUCUUGACGAUCCAUUUAUUCUCGAUGGCUUGCCGAUCAUCGGGCAAGUCAACCAAAGUCCAUACUUUGUUCUCAUACAUGGAUCCCAUCUCAGAUUUCAUGGCUUCAAGGCAUUUUGCGGAAUCUGGGAUCAUCAUCGCUUCCUCAUAGUUCGUAGGUUCGCCAUGGUCAAGUAACAUGACUUCCAGAAUAGGAUUACCGUACCACUCUGGUGCGGAUCUUACUCUGGUAGACCUACGAGGUUCAGUAGUAACUUGAUCUGAAAUUUCAUGAUCAAUAUCAUUAGCUUCCUCACUGAUUGGUGCAGUUGUCACAGGAACCGGUUCUUGUGAUGAACUACUUUCCAAGAAGGGAGCAGGUACAGUUACCUCAUCAAGUUCUACUUUCCUCCCACUCACUUCUUUCGAGAGAAACUCCUGCUCUAGAAAGGAUCCGAAUUUAGCAACGGAAAUCUUGCCUUCAGAUCUGUGAUAGAAGGUGUACCCAAUAGUCUCUUUUGGGUAUCCUAUGAAGACACAUUUCUCCGAUUUGGGUUCGAGCUUAUCUGGUUAAAGUUUCUUCACAUAAGCAUCGCAGCCCCAAACUUUAAGAAACGAAAACUUUGGUUUCUUGCCAAACCACAGUUUAUAAGGCGUCGUCUCAACGGAUUUGAUGGUGCCCUAUUUAACGUGAAUGCGGCCGUCUCUAAAGCAUAACCCCAAAACAAUAGCGGUAAAUCAGUAAGAGACAUCAUAGAUCGCACCAUAUCUAGUAAAGUACGAUUACGACGUUCGGACACACCAUUUCAUUGUGGUGUUCUGGGUGGCGUGAGUUGCGAAACUAUUCCGCAUUAUUUCAAAUGUAGACCAAACUCGUAACUCCAAUAUUCUCCUCUUCGAUCAGAUCAUAGAAAUUUUAUUUUCUUGUUACGAUGAUUUUCCUCUUCACUCUGAAAUUCUUUGAACUUUUCAAAUGUUUCAGACUUGUGUUUCAUCAAGUAGAUAUACCCAUAUCUGCUCAACUCAUCUGUGAUGGUGAGAAAAUAACGAUACCCGCCGCGAGCUUCAACAUUCAUUGGACCACAUACAUCAGUAUGUAUGAUUUCCAAUAAAUCAGUUGCUCGCUCCAUAGUUCCGGAGAACGGUGUUUUAGUCAUCUAGCCCAUGAGGCGCGGUUCGCAAGUACCAAGUGAUUAAUAAUCAAGUGAUUCCAGAAGUCCAUCAGUAUGGAGUUUCUUCAUGCGCUUUACACCGAUAUGACCUAAACGGUAGUGCCACAAAUAAGUUGCACUAUCAUUAUCAACUCUGCAUCUUUUGGUUUCAACAUUAUGAAUAUGUAUAUCACUACUAUCGAGAUUCAAUAAAAAUAGACCACUCUUCAAGGGUGCAUGACCAUAAAAGAUAUUACUCAUAUAAAUAGAACAACCAUUAUUCUCUGAUUUAAAUGAAUAACCGUCUCGCAUCAAACAAGAUCCAGAUAUAAUGUUCAUGCUCAACGCUGGCACCAAAUAACAAUUAAUUAGGUCUAAAACUAAUCCCGAUGGUAGAUGUAGAGGUAGCGUGCCGACCGCGAUCACAUCGACUUUGGAACCAUUUCCCACGCGCAUCGUCACCUCGUCCUUAGCCAAUAUUUGCUUAAUCCAUAGUCCCUGUUUCGAGUUGCAAAUAUUAGCAACAGAACCAGUAUCAAAUACCCAGGUACUACUGCGAGCAUUAGUAAGGUACACAUCAAUAACAUGUAUAUCACAUAUACCUUUGUUCACUUUGCCAUCCUUCUUAUCCGCCAAAUACUUGGGGCAGUUCCGCUUCCAGUGUCCAGGCUGCCUACGGUAGAAGCACUUAGUCUCAGUCUUAGGUCCAGACUUGGGUUUCUUCUCUUGAGCAGCAACUUGUUUGCUAUUCUUCUUGAAGUUCCCCUUCUUCUUCCCUUUGCCCUUUUUCUAGAAACUGGUGGUCUUAUUGACCAUCAACACUUGAUGCUCCUUCUUAAUUUCUAGCUCCGCAGCCUUUAGCAUUGCGAAGAGCUUGGGAAUAGUCUUGUCCAUCCCUUGCAUAUUAUAGUUCAUCACGAAGCUCUUGUAGCUUGGUGGCAGUGAUUGAAGAAUUCUGUCAAUGACACUAUCAUCAGGAAGAUUAACUCCCAGUUGAAUCAAGUGAUUAUUAUACCCAGACAUUUUGAGUAUGUGUUCACUGACAGAACUAUUCUCCUCCAUAUUACAGUUAUAGAACUUAUUGGAGACUUCAUAUCUCUCAAUCCGGGCAUUGCUUGAAAUAUUAACUUCAACUUGAGGAACAUCUCAUAUGCUCCAUGACGUUCAAAACAUCAUUGAAGACCCGGUUCCAAGCCGUAAAGCAUGGCACACUGAACUAUCGAGUAGUCAUCAGCUUUGCUCUGUCAGACGUUGUCAGUUGCAUCUGCAGCAGGCCUGGCACCCAACGGUGCUUCCAGGACGUAAUUCUUCUGUGCAGCAAUGAUGAUAAUCCCCAGGUUACGGGCCCAGUCCGUGUAAUUGCUACCAUCAUCUUUCAACUUAGCUUUCCCAAGGAACACAUUAAAAUUCAACGGAACAACAGCACGAGCCAUCUAUCUACAACAAACAUAGACAAGCAGAAUACUAUCAGGUACUAAUUUCAUGAUAAACUUAAGUUCAAUUAAUCAUAUUACUUAAGAAAUCCCACUUAGACAGACAUCUCUCUAGUCAUCUAAGUGAUCACGUGAUCCAAAUCAACUAAACCAUGUCCAAUCAUCACGUGAGAUGGAGUACUUUCAAUGGUGAACAUCACUAUGUUGAUCAUAUCUACUAUAUGAUUCACGUUCGACCUUUCGGUCUCCGUGUUUCGAGGCCAUAUCUGUAUAUGCUAGGCUCGUCAAGUUUAACCUGAGUAUUCCGUGUGUGCAACUAUUUUGCACCCGUUGUAUUUGAACGUAGAGCCUAUCACACCCGAUCAUCACGUGGUGUCUCAGCACGAAGAACUUUCGCAACGGUGCAUAGUCAGGGAGAACACUUCUUGAUAAUUUAGUUAGAGAUCAUCUUAAAAUUCUACCAUCAAUCAAAGCAAGAUAAGAUGCAUAAAGGAUAAACAUCACAUGCAAUCAAUAUAAGUGAUAUGAUAUGGCCAUCAUCAUCUUGUGCUUGUGAUCUCCAUCUCUGAAGCACCAUCGAAUUCACCAUCGUCACGGGCGCGACACCUUGAUCUCAAUCGUAGCAUCGUUAUCGUUUAUGCCAUCAAUUGCUUCUACGACUAUCGCUAUCGCUUAGUGUUAAAGUAAAGCAAUUACAUGGCGUUUGCAUUUCAUACAAUAAAGCGACAACCAUAUGGCUCCUGCCAGUUGCCGAUAACUUCGGUUACAAAACAUGAUCAUCUAAUACAAUAAAACAUAGCAUCACGUCUUGACCAUAUCACAUCACAAUAUGCCCUGCAAAAAGAAGUUAGACGUCCUCUACUUUGUUGUUGCAAAUUUUACGUGGCUGCUACGGGCUGAGCAAGAACCGUUCUUACCUACGCAUCAAAACCACAAUGAUAGUUCGUCAAGUUAGUGCUGAUUUAACCUUCGCAAGGACCGGGCGUAGCCACACUCGGUUCAACUAAAGUGAGAGAGACAGACACCCGCCAGUCACCUUUAAGCACGAGUGCUCGUAACGGUGAAACCAGUCUCGUGUAAGCGUACGCGUAAUGUCGGUCCCGGCCGCUUCAUCUCACAAUACCGCUGAACCAAAGUAUGACAUGCUAGUAAGCAGUAUGACUUGUAUCGCCCACAACUCACUUGUGUUCUACUCGUGCAUAUGACAUCUACGCAUAAAACCUGGCUCGGAUGCCACUGUUGGGGAAUGUAGUAAUUUCAAAAUUUUCCUACGCACACGCAAGGAUCAUGGUGAUGCAUAGCAAUGAGAGGGGAGAGUGUUGUCCACGUACCCUCGUAGACCGAAAGCGGAAGCGUUAGAACAAUGCGGUUGAUGUAGUCGUACGUCUUCACGAUCCGACCGAUCCAAGUAGCGAACGUACGACACCUCCGAGUACAGCACACGUUCAGCUCGAUGACGAUCCCCGGACUCCGAUCCAGCAAGGUGUCAGGGAUGAGUUCCAUCAGCACGACGGUGCGGUGAUGAUGAUGAUGUUCUACCUACGCAGGGCUUCGCCUAAGCACCACAACGAUAUGACCGAGGUGGAAUAUGGUGGAGGGGGGCACCGCACACGGCUAAGGAACGAUCACGAAGAUCAACUUGUGUGUCUAGAGGUGCCCCCUGGCCCCGUAUAUAAAGGAGCCAAGGGGGAGGGGGCGGCCGACCAAGGAGGGCGCGCCAAGGGGGGGAGGAGGAGGAAGAGGGGAAGGAAAGGGGGGGUGCCGCCCUCCUCUCCUUCUCCUAUUCGGACUAGGGAGGGGAGGGGGCACAACCCACCUCUUGCCUCCUCUCUUCCUCCCCAGUAGGGCCCAUGUAGGCCCAUUAAGCCCCCGGGGGUUCCGGUAACCUCCCGGUACUCCGGUAAAAUCCCGAUUUCACCCGGAACACUUCCGAUAUCCAAAUAUAGGCUUCCAGUAUAUCAAUCUUUAUGUCUCGACCAUUUUGAGACUCCUCGUCAUGUUCGUAAUAUCAUUCGGGACUCCGAACAAACUUCGGUACAUCAAAAUAUAUAAACUCAUAAUAUAACUGUCAUCGUAACGUUAAGUGUGCGGACCCUACGGGUUUGAGAACUAUGUAGACAUGACCUAGAACUGUUUCUGGUCAAUAACCAAUAGUGGAACCUGGAUGCUCAUAUUGGCUCCUACAUAUUCUACGAAGAGAUUUAUCGGUCAAACCGCAUAACAAAUACGUUGUUCCCUUUGUCAUCGGUAUGUUACUUGCCCGAGAUUCGAUCGUCGAUAUCUCAAUACCUAGUUCAAUCUCGUUACCGGCAAGUCUCUUUACUCGUUACGUAAUGCAUCAUUUCGUAACCAACUCAUUGGCCACAUUGCUUGCAAGGCUUAUAGUGAUGUGCAUUACCGAGAGGGCCCAGAGAUACCUCUCCGACAAUCGGAGUGACAAAACCUAAUCUCGAAAUACGCCAACUCAACAUGUACCUUUGGAGACACCUGUAGAGCUCCUUUAUAAUCAGCCAGUUAUGUUGUGACGUUUGGUAGCACACAAAGUGUUCCUCCGGUAAACGGGAGUUGCAUAAUCUCAUAGUUAUAGGAACUUUGUAUAAGUCAUGAGGAAAGCAAUAGCAACAUACUAAACGAUCAAGUGCUAAGCUAAUGGAAUGGGUCAAGUCAAUCACAUCAUUCUCCUAAUGAUGUGAUCCCGUUAAUCAAAUGACAACACAUGUCUAUGGCUAGGAAACAUAACCAUCUUUGAUUAAUGAGCUAGUCAAGUAGGGGCAUACUAGUGACAUUAAGUUUGUCUAUGUAUUCACACAUGUAUCAUGUUUAUGGUUAAUACAAUUCUAGCAUGAAUAAUAAACAUUUAUCAUGAUAUGAGGAAAUAAAUAAUAACUUUAUUAUUGCCUCUAGGGCAUAUUUCCUUCAGAUUUUACACGUGGAAAAUCCCCAUUAGUCUGGGCUGUUAACGGGUUAUCGGAUCCAAAACCGGACCCGGUAGCUUAACGACGUUCCGUUACGGUGGAUGCCACGUGUCGGUCACCCUUGACGAAAGCACUUAUGUGACGCGCGAUUUAUCGUCAUGGAAGUGGACACUUCCAUGAUGAUAAUUUUGGUUAUGUCAAGGAACACUUCUAUGACAGCACAGGCAUGACUAUCUUGAUUCUGUCAUAAAAUCGUCAUGGAUGUACAUGCAUGACAAAAAACGCGACCUACUGUGACAAAAACGUAUCAUCACGGAAGUGUAUCUUUUUUGUAGUGUCUUCAGUUGUCUUUCAUGUGGUCUCUGUCCUGCUGCUAUGAAUGCUCAAGUCCCUCCCUUGUUGGAUGUUGUGAUGAGGCGACCUUCGGGCUCUUGGUGUCGUCUCAGCUCAUCUUUGCUCAAUGAUGACACAAUGACGCCUCCCCAACUUGCUAAUCAUCUUGAACUUUCAUGGUGGAGCUCUCAGUCAAGGUUCGUGUUAACUUUCGGCACUCGUUGAUUGUGGAUGCCCCUCUGUUGUGCUGUGGAGUAUGAAACGCACGCUAGUGCGGUGCCUUAGGCUGCUUGUAGAGUCUCGGUAUUGUGAUACCUCGACGUACCCCUCAUCUACUUGGUCCUGUUAGUCUGCUAGUUAGGUCAUGACUUUUGUUCGGCAUCCCUGUUCUUCUCUUCUUCUUGCCACACUUGUUGCUUCUAUGGUUUUCGGCCCAGUUUUCCUUAUAAAUGGGGUCUAUUUGAUAAGGUUUUCGAUCCGGUUUUCCUUAUAAACUGGAUCAGACUCCUGGCAUUAUGGCCACUUUGAGUAAUAUAUUCAGGUGGAGGAACUCCUCCCCCGAUGAUUCUCAAAAAAAAAAUGUUCCUAACAGAAAUGCUAUUACAAAAAUUUAUGAACAGAAAAUGUGUGUAAAAUUUACAAAAAUGUUCACAAUUUUUUGAAACUUUAAAGCUGGCUUCUGAUUUAUUUUUUCAAAAUUUUGAGCUCCAUGGAGCUCGGUAUCCAAACAUCCACUCUCUACCAACUAUGUGCAUAUAUCUUGUAGCAAGCCAUAAGCUGAGGGUUGCUACAUGAUCAAUUGCUGAGUGGGCAGUGUGUUUUCUUCAUUUUGGGCAGAUCACAAGUGUUUGACAUCUCUCUCUACAUUGGGUAUCCUUUUCUACUUGAAUUUUAAGAUGCGUAGAAUGUGCUUUCCUUGUUGUUGCCUCGUCAUUCCAGCAUGGAAUCAAAGCCAAACUGAUAUUACUGCCCUUAAAAAUUGUCUCGCUAUCUAUGUCCAUAACAUGCCCAUUGGACUGCAUGGCGGAAAUGAAGGUGUUCGUCUAGCUGGCCGAGCAGACGCACUUGUCUGUGACCUCUGAUCUAAGAAUGACAUGUACUUUGUUGUGAGCCCAUGGUGCAUGUGGGUUGAAACGCUGCUUAGCAAAUCUAGACUUAUCUUGCAGGCAAGCCAAGAUGAGAUCUGUAGGCCCAUGUGAAUUCCAUCAAAAUCACGGUCAGUUCAACUCUGGUUCGAAUCCUAAUAAAAAAUAGAUCAGUGGUCCUGGAUGGAUAUGUCCAUCGCUAAAAAGUGCAGUUGUUGAAAGAGUCGAUAUGACUUGUAGCUAGAGGACGCCGACACCCCUCACUUCUUCUACACACACUAAACACACCCUAUCUUAUCCAACUCAAUUUGCUUUAAGGUUUGUGAGUGAAAGAAGUAGUGUUAAAACCAAACACCACACUCUUCAACCUAAGAAAUCAAUAGUAAAUUUACCUAUGGAUAUUAAAUCUAUAUACAUCAUACUUGAUUUAUCAAAUUGAUAAUACUUACUAUACAUAUUUUAAAUUACAAUAUUUGGUGCUUCACAGCCUGUUAUGAAAUUAUUGUUCACCCAUCCAAUGUAAUAAAAAGUAUGUGAAUGAUGUUAACGCACGCGUGUGAGAGAGAGAGAGAGAGAGUGGAGUACAUUUUGUCCUGAUGUCCAUCAUAGUUCCACGAUCAGUACACCUAGGAGGAGAUAAUCAAAAUAGGGACAGAAAAUAAAUAUUUAAUAUAUAAAUGGUUGGUAACAAAUCCAACCACAAAAUUGUGCAAGCAACCCACAAGCUAGUUUUAUUGAAUAUUAAAAUAACAUAGUUGAUUUCUAAAACAUACAAAAUUUAUUAUCUCAUCAACACAUAAUUAUUUUGAUAACCAUAAGGUUGAGAUUUAUCCACCCAAAAUAGGGGAGAUAACAAAACUAUUGUGUUGUUGUUGCUGGUGUGCAAUUAAUCUUGCAGGGACAGUUGAUGAAGCAUUCUCCAAGGUCUGGCCAGCACAAGUUAUCUAUUUGACAACAGAAUUCCCGUCCUGGGAGCUGGUGCCCAUCUUUAUAACAAGGGGGUCUGGUUACAUGGCUUACUUUGCUCAUCAUGUUUCUCCCCUUGUUGUUUAUGAUUUCACCUAAUUAACAUAAAAUAAAGAAUAUACUUAUCAUUUCAUCAUAUAAACAAUAAAAGUCCACAAUAUCAAUCCCCCCAAAAAAUUGAGUUGUUAAUUACCAUAUGUGCCUCCAAGACAAGUUAAACACACCACAAGAAGAAAAGAAAGUAGCACAAGUCCUUGCACAUUGUUCCUCGUGAACUUUGUCAUCGUCACUAAGGAAAAGAGGCUAUUAAUAGGUGGUACUCUUGUAAGUGGAGUUGAUAAGUGUAUGACCGUGAAAUGCUUGCUCCAUGAAUGGUUCAUAUAUAUAUAGGAAAAGCUUCUCCGCGUUGAUGUGUGAAGUUAUAGAAAAUAUUAAUGCUACGAGUUAUGGCUUGUCUGAAUUUCCAAUUUUAGUUUAACUUCUAAAGAUUCAUGGUUCCUUCUAAAGUUUUUUUCCUCAAAUUGAUGCUUUGUCAUAGCAUGUAAGUUACUUUAAUGCCCCCUCUAGAAUUGACCGCUUAUUGUUUCCAAAGGGUAGAAUUGACCUCUUAGAAUGGGUAGCAAAAAACGGGUGCAUGGCAAUAUUGUGUUUAAGGCAUUGAUAAUAAUUGGUAUAAUAUUAAUAAUUCCUAUAUAUAUGAUGCCUUAUCAGUAAAUUAUUAAUUUCUCUCUUGGUAUAAGAGAACAAAAUUUAAAAUUCAACAAGACUCGUCCACUUAACAUUGGACUUGUUUUUUAAUGUAUAUAAGCAAUUGUUCUUAAGUAUAUCAGCAAGUUACGGAUACAUUUUUUUACUUUUAUUCCAUGAACAUAGAUUAAUUAUGGGAUGGCCAUUUUAUAAAUAUAAGAUGAUGAUUUAUUUUCAUAUACAUGAACAUUUUAUAUCAAGGUAGUUGAGCAUUUUUUACAUUUUUCUAUACACAAAAUUUUCUCCAAUAUUAAGUUGAUUUUGAUUUCUUUAAAUAGAUUAGUUUCCCCAAAACGUUCUUUAUUAGAAUAGUGAAAAUGUUGCACUUGCCCGACUAUGGCAAAUUUCGUUAAUUCUCGGGACUCCCUAUAUGUUCCUCCUUGCGGCUAACAACCUCCCCUUCGGAUAGUGCGCGCCUGGCUGGGCCGGCCCAUUGACGACACGAAUGGACACCACUGAGUGGGAGAGUAGGCGCUGAGCCAAUCCACUUCAGCGACAAUUUUUUAAAUUUUGGAAAAUUUCUUUGCAAAAUGAACAAGCAUUGAUAAAUGCGAAGUUUUUUUGAACAUAUUCUAAAAUUUGAAAUUUCUUAAAACCCCAAUUAUAUUUGGAAUUUCGUUCAUUUUUCUGAAAAUAUGAACGAUUUAGGAAAUACUGAAGAUUAUUUGAAAACUACGUCCUUUCCUUGGAAAACCAAAAAUUUAUUUAUAACAAAAUAUGAGAAUCGGAACAUUUCCUGAAAACUUGAAUAUUUUUUAAAUUUCAAAUUUACGCACAUUUUAAAAAAGGAGACUUUUUGAUAGAGAAAAUAAGAAAAAUAAAACAUGGAAAAACCAAAUAUGUAAAACUAAAAAAUAACCCAAAGAAAACGGUAACAGAAACAGAAGGAAAAAAAGAACAAAUGAAAAUACUAGUAAAAAUCAUAUCAGAACCUUUUAGAACGCUCCCAAAAUUGGUAAAAGCCCAGAAGGAAUAUUCCGGAAGUUCAUAAAACUAGAGAGGCGCGGCUAACAUGGGUCGGCCGUCCCAAGCUCUAGCAUCGAUUCUGUGUGCAAUCCCCGGCAAUUUGAUGUUUACUGCUCAAAUAGGGUUUUCGCCAAUUCUCUUGUUUCUUGUUGCCUCAUAUGAGUUUGUUGUUGUUUGGGACAUACCUUGGCGCCAUUUGUACGGGUUCGAUGACCGCCAUCAAGGGUCUCUUAGUGGAAUCACAAUAUCUUGCAUCGUGUGAGGGCGUGAGGAGAUUAUAGUGGCCCUAGUGGCAUUUUGGGGAGCAUUGUGCCUCCACAGUGCUCCAGACGGAGAUUAGCAUCUGCAAUGUCGUCUCCGCGUGCCUCAGUUAUUUCUUACCCGAGCCCUUUACUUUGUGAUAGCCAUAGUGUUUCAUGUUAUAUAUCUUGCUAUCACAUAGUUGUUUGUCGUGCUUAGCAUAAGUUGUUGGUGCACAUAGGUGAGCCUAGUGGUUUUAGCUUUUAUGCUUGACAAAUUAGACACUAGUUUUAUUCUACAUUUGUUCAAGCCUAAAUAGUAAUUAUUUUAAAGCAUCUAUUCACCCUCCCUCUAGGCAACAUCCACGAUUUUUCAAGUGGUAUCAGAGUGUCGCCUCUCUUUAUUAGGCUUAACCACUUAGAGAGUAAAGAUGUCGACUAGGGGAUUAGGAUUCUUUGACACUCUUUGUUUCAAUGGCACAAUUUUUGAUGUUGUUGUAAUUCGUAUGGUUAAUCUCUUUAGGGUCAUGGACCCAAAUUUAGAGCGAAUUUUAGAUAUUAGUUUUCAUCCUUCAAAGGAUCCUCAAAGAUUAUCUCUAGAGGAUGAGAAAAAACUCUUAUCUCACUGCUCAAGCUUCUAAUGUGCUUUUUGAUGCUUUGAACAAUGUAGUUAUAUUUGAACUUAUGCUAUUCUGGGAUGCUCAUGAUUUGUGGACAAAGCUUCAAGAUAAAUAUGGUGUGUCCAGGAUUUCUAGGAAUGAUUAUUCUCCCUCCAUCUCCAGUCUUAUGGUGUUCUCAACUUCUUCCACUUCACCUACAUGUGGAUUGCCACAAGGUAGUGAUAUGGUGAGUAGUGUUGGUCAUUGCAAUGAUUAUAGUGGGCUUAUUGUUGAUGAUCCUUCAUCGCUAUCUUAUUGAAUGCUCCGUCUUUGCACUUCAACACUUCGAGAUCUCUAGAUGGUUCACACGCUCGUGUUGAUAGUCCUUGCAUAUCACGUAGAAUUUGCUCAACUAAAUCUCAUGAUGAUAUGCUUGCUAUGUCUUGCUGCCAUGAUAAAAGUGCCUCUAUUUCCUCGAGUUGUUGUGCAAACAGUGUAAAGGAAACCCUACACUCCAUGGAACAAGAUGUGGUCCUGAAUGGUGCUUCAAGGGAUCCAACAUCAUCAUCUAUUGUUUCUCACUUUUGCCUUAUGGCUACGGUUUCAAAGGUAUCUCCCAGUUUGAAUCCCAAUAUAUAUUGUGAUGAUGAUGUUCAUGAUAAUCAGGGGAGGGGCCCCACCCAGUUGAAAUAAGGGGAGGGACCCUACCCAGUUGAAAUCAGGGGGUGGAGUGAUCAGUUAGGAAAGUUAAGUAAGAUUACGUAGGAUUUCUACGUAAUGCUACACCUACGUAGCUAUCAUACAAGAAUUUCUCCUCCCUCUCGUCCCAUUGCCCCUUCCAUGGCACUCUGCUCGAUAAGAAUAUUCUCCACUCCAGCAACACAUGUAUCUUCAGUAGUCCUAGUGCAAUUUUGCCUUCCCCAACUUUUCUACAUCAAAAUCCACAUCUGCACGAGAUGUACCAACAAUCAGUCGGGUUACGAAAGCUAUAUUUUCCACACAAGGGAAGGGCUAGAAAUCAAUACUGCAAAUUUGUCAUCUUAGGACUGGCAUUUACAUUUAUAAUUUAACAAGAACAGAUCACAUCAUAGUUCAAAUAAGAUAAGUAUGAAUGGACAUAAGUUUCCCAGUUAUAGGAUCAAACUAUAGGGGUGCUGCAAAAGCAACAACUUUGAACCAAGCUUCAUUGCCUCAGUAUACGAGUAGAAACCUGGGAGCCCUCCCUUGUUACCCUUCAUGGUGACAAACUAACAAUCUCGCAUGCAAGUUUCUUCCGGAGGUGCUCCAGCUGAGCCUGGGCGAGAAAAAAAAUACAGCUUUCAGUCCACCUCACAGUUUGUUCACUGUGGACACGCCCUGAACUACCAUGCUUUUACCUCACUAUGUUCAAACCCGAGGAUGUUGUGCAUGAUGUACACAUCGCUAUCCUCCUUAAGAUCACGGGAUCAGUAUUCGUCUUUGUUAGUGUGAAGUAUAACAAAAAAAAUUAUCCUUGUUCAAAGUCAGAUGUACUAACCUCGUGCACAGUUUGUUCCGCGCCACUAAAGGGUACACAAAAGUCCAUCCAGUCGUGUCAACCAACCCGGCACCAAAAAUGUCAUUGAACACUCACCCCUUCGACCAUUCGAACCUCUGCGAGCCAAUGCUGGCCUCGAGCUGCCGAGGUUUCUGCUGUUGCAGUACAUCUCAUUGGUAGGAUCCCAGCAGAUUUUGUGGCUGAAGCACACCCAUGGGUAGGACAAGCAUUAGUCAAGAGCAAACUUUAAAUCUUUUAGAACACCAACUACAAAUGUGAAACUAUUUGCUUGCCGUGCACCCACAUUCUAGUUCUAACUUUGCCAGUUCCGCAACAGCAAACAUUUCGUCCAAUCUUAUCUGUUCUUCUUUGUCAACCUCGCCAACAACAUCUUGGUUUGUUUGACUCCUGGCAUUCGCACUAUUCGCCCCAACUCCACUUCCGGCAACAUCUCUCAUUCUCAGCUUCAGCUGAAGCCUGCUCAAGCUCCACAGCCAUGGCCCCCUGCAUGCACAAUUGACUCCAAAUAAACAUUCUUGGACUACCAACCUGACCCAAGGCCACCUCGCAAUUCCGAUGAAAUACGUAGGUUGCUCUACCCAGCUGGUGCUCCAAUGGGUUACCUUACAUUGCAAAACAAUAUUGGUAUUUAUAUUUUUGUGGUCCAGCAUUGCUGCAUUUGUCGACAAAUAGUGCACUCGUCGAACAGCAAUCAAGCUUUUUUUAGAAGGAGGAUGUACCCCCGGCCUCUCCAUUCGGAUGAUGCAUUCAACCAUAUUAUUAAUUAUCCACAAAGAUCAUACAAGGUGAUACAUCAAUAAGCCUGAAGCCAUCAUCUUGGCAAUGUUGUUGCUACUUCUAUCCCCUUGAUGAAGGUGUGUCGGAUGUCCGAGCCUAAUACCAUGCAGACAUCGCACCAAAACCUAACAUAUAAAGCCGGGUGUCCCAUCCAAGCCACUACCUGGAAUGGGUCCCACAUCGGUCUGGCAGACUCCCAGUGAGCACCGCACGCUGCAAGGGUCGUCGCCUCCAUCUUCCAUCAGUCCAUCCUCAAAGCAGAACUGAUGCACUGACCGUGACAGGCCUCUCUGCCAUCAAUGCCACCAUGACGCUGGACAGCUUCCUCCUCCUGCGCGAGUCCAUCUCUGUGCAUCAGACGCCAAGUGUCCAUUGCGCCAUGCCGCCGAGACCCACCGUCAAUGAUACGGUUGAUGCCACACCGCUCCACCUACAUGCCAUCUCGCAUCGACUCCGAACUACCAGCAGCUCCACCACCUUGAGCAGUCCCUGUCCGACGCCUUCAGAAAGGAACACGACACCAAAGUACCAUUGUCGCCCAAACAGAGGAACAGAGACUUUUGCAUGCGCUCAUGGCAGAGGUGGGGGGCGUAUGAUCCACACCAAAGCCUCCAGGAAGGGAAUCGGCGCCGACGGCGUAGACUUUGGUGCGGCCGCCACGCCGGCCUGAAGUUUCCCCUCGAUUCAUGCCCACCCGCCAGACCCUAUCCAGGCAGUAUAAGUGUCGACCGUAUUCGCUACCGUUGCCAGCACGAACUGGAGAGUAGAUCUACUGUAGGUAGGGUAUAAUGUUUGGUACACGUGCAAUGUUCAGAUUCAUUUUUCAUUCGUCAACUCCCAUUCCCAGCCUGAAUUACUAGGGCCCCUUCAGGGAGAGAUACGGGGGAGUUACCCCCGUCAAUUCAUAUUACCUUCCCUCCACAACUCCUAUGUCCCCGAACCAUACAGGGGAUUUUUAGUGUCAUAGCCUCUUAAUUCCCAUUCCCCAGCUUUUCUUCCCCCCAACCAAACAGGCUGUAAGAGUGAUUCUUGCAUCGCGCUCCAGCAUCACAACUCCUUGCCGAACUGAAUCUACUAAGUUCCAUACAAAUUUAGCUUGAUUUAUGUACAUAUGUACAAUGUGACGACAGUAGUGGAGUUGCUUUUUCGCUAAAUUCAACACACAAUGGACAGGAUACUGUAUGCCACCUAGUUUAGAGAUAGCUAUUAAAGUUUUAUCAUUUGAGCAUCCUUAUUCAAAUUAAUAUGUGCUAACGAUACUAUUGAGGCUUCUAAGAUUUAAGUACCCAAACUCGACUUCUGUAGAUAAACAUAGAAGUACAAUCUUUGCAUAGGUAUACACUAUCUUCCAAUAUAUGAUUUCAUUCCAUUGUGUAAUUUGGUCGAAAAAUUACGGCGUGCUUUUGGUGACUAGACUAGAGUAGAAUUGGCAUAAGAGCUAAUGCAAGGAAGAAAAUCAUGCCCCAGACAUUUGCAUAGCCCGACUCAAACUUGCCAAAUGUAGCAAGUUUUUUUAUGCAAAUUCCAAAUGAUAUUUAAUUUAUCAAAAAUAAUGAAAUUUAGUUCAACGUUUCAGGCCUGAAGCAAACCUGAAUCAUCUAUACUUCUUAUCCUCCUAAUCUUUGCAGAACCAGCAAAAGUGGGCAAUAAGAACCGAACAAAUGAAGGCCUCUAUUUUGUCUGCAGCACAUAAACCCUUUAUCACUACUAGGACAAGGCCUACUAAUGGCGCACCAGUUUUGCCUACUAAUGGCGCACUACUGGUGCGUCAUUAGUAUCACGCCACUAAUAUUUUUUACUGAUGGCGCAUCAAUAGUGCGCCAUUAGUAUCUGGUAUACUAAUGGUGCACCACUGGUGCGCCAUUAGUAUAGGCCACGGUGCGCCAUUAAUAUUUUUGAAUUUUGAAGGUGGGAAAAUAGAAGUGGCGCACCGUCUAACCCCCAUGGUGCGCCAUUGCUAAUUUUGAAUUUUGAAUUUGGAUCUGGAUCGCGAUUUCUUUGCCCAUUUUUUGCUCUUUUUUUUUGCACGAUAUUAUUUCAAAUUUUGUUCCUGUUUUUGGAUCUUGUACGUUCUUUUGCCGUGUUCUUUUGCCGGAGAGGAGUUCGCCGGAGAGGAGUUUGCCGGAGAGGAGGAGGAGGUCACCGGAGAGGAGUUCACUGGAGCAUCGGAGAGGAGGAAGGAGAAACCAUGAUGGGAUGGGAGGAGAGGAGGGAGAAGGAGCUCACCGGAGAGGAGGGAGGAGGAGCUCACCGGAGAGGAGGGGGGAGGAGCUCACCGGAGAUGAGGGAGGAGGAGCUCACCGGAGAGGAGGGAGNNNNNNNNNNNNNNNNNNNNNNNNNNNNNNNNNNNNNNNNNNNNNNNNNNNNNNNNNNNNNNNNNNNNNNNNNNNNNNNNNNNNNNNNNNNNNNNNNNNNNNNNNNNNNNNNNNNNNNNNNNNNNNNNNNNNNNNNNNNNNNNNNNNNNNNNNNNNNNNNNNNNNNNNNNNNNNNNNNNNNNNNNNNNNNNNNNNNNNNNNNNNNNNNNNNNNNNNNNNNNNNNNNNNNNNNNNNNNNNNNNNNNNNNNNNNNNNNNNNNNNNNNNNNNNNNNNNNNNNNNNNNNNNNNNNNNNNNNNNNNNNNNNNNNNNNNNNNNNNNNNNNNNNNNNNNNNGUGAGGGGAGGGGAAGGGAGGAGAGGAGAGGAGAGGAGGGAGGAGGAGGUCGCCGGAGAGGAGGAGGAGGUCGCCGGAGAGGAGGAGGAGGAGGUCACUGGAGAGGAGGAGGGUAGUAUGGUGGAGGAGAAAAGGGAAGAUGGAGUGGAGGAGUGGAGGAGAGGUGGAGUGGAGGAGAAGAAUGAAGAGGUAAGGAGGAGAGGACAUGCCCAGCCAUAUAUACGGCAUAGUAAUGACGCAUCGUGGGCAGGUGCGCCAUUACUUUUUUUAAUUUUUUUAAUUUUAAAGGCGGGAAGAUAGUAAUGGCGCACCAUGGGCAGAUGCGCCAUUAGUAACUUUUUUUUAUUUUAAAUUUUGAAGGCGGGAAGAUAGUAAUGGCGCACCAUGGGCAGGUGCGCCAUUAGUAACUUUUUUUUAUUUUUUGAUUUAUUUUGAAUUUUGAAGGCGGGAAGAUAGUAAUGGCGCACCAUGGGCAAGUGCGCCAUUAGUAAGUUUGAUUUUUUUUGAAAUUUUUUGCCUCUCCAGAUCUUAAAAGCCCCGUAUCUUUUUUUCUGUUAGGUUUUUGAGGAUUUUAAAAAUGUUUAACGGGGUUCCCCUGUUAAAUUCGGAUGUAACUUUUCGAGUAGAUGAUUUUUCAUAUAAAAAAAAUUCAUCCGAGUUCGUAUGCAAAAGUUAUGCCCAUUUUUACAAAUUCUUGAAAGAUUUUGCAAAAAAGUCGAAAAUUCAUGUUUGUAAAUUUUGCUAACAACUAGAUCACAUAUCACAUGGGAAUCUUAUUUUCUUUUAUUUUUUUGACAUUUCUAUCAUUUUCUUUUUUUUUUAAACUGAAAAGGCGGUCCAGGGGGGUUGCAUUCGGGGGAAUGUUUGGGACAAAUUACUAAUGGCGCACCGUGGGAAGGUGCGCCAUUACUAGUUUCAACUAGUAAUGCCGCACCACUCUCACAGUGCGCCAUUAGUAGUUUCGGAAAAAUUAAAAAAAAAUUACUAAUGGCGCACCGUGGGAUGUGGUGCGCCAUUAGUAUUUGCACACUAAUGGCGCACCAACACAUGGUGCGCCAUUAGUAUUUAGUAAUGGCGUACCACAUGUACAGUGCGCCAUUAGUGUCCAUCCCAUCUAUAGCUCUUUUCCUAGUUGUGUAUGUUCAAUGUACAAAAAACAAAAUUGCAUCAAGUAAAUGUAACAGAAGAGGAAAAUAAGAGAUAUAUGUAGAAACAGAAAUCGAACAUAUCCGGGCAAACACAACAUCUCGCCGCGCAGAUAAAUUCUAGACGUACUUCCGAGGUGAAGAAAGAAGGUGGAUUUAGAAGCAGGAGAGCAAAGACCCGGGGAUGGGGGCGAGAAACAGAGUUCUAAUGCCUUUGGGUCUACAUCCCCUCUGGAUAUGUGUCUUGGAGUGUCUGAUCUCAUGGCCGUGGGGCUCAUGGUGGCCAGAGACGCCCUGCAGCCUACUAUGGUGCAAUAACUAACUCAAAUGCCAUUGACAGCAUGGAGCUAUGCCAGGAGUGUGGCGGCCCUCUUGGACAUCAGCGCACGCGUAGGAUGCUGGUACAUAGCGGUGGGCGCCGCCAUCGAGAUCAAGGUCGGGGGAGACGGGAGGGGUGCCCCUAGGCGUGCUAAAUAAAGGAGCCUGGGAGCUUGCCGGGCGCCUCCAUUGGUGUUAGGCUGCUGUUAAUGCAUGGGUGCUUAGAUGAGGUGCUAAGCACAUUAAAUAGUUUAACAACUAUACUCCCCAAUGCAUAGGUGCUUAGCUUAUGGUUGCUAAGCUUGCUUCAUUUAAUGAUUUAGCAACUAAAGCUCUUCAUGUAUUGGUGGGCUUUUUUUCUUUAAAUGUUUUGCCUAGGUUCACGAGCUUAGCAUUGUCUCUUCCUGGGUCACCACACUCAUCUCCCUCCUCUUAAAUAACUUGCCACAUCAGAUUUUUUGCCUAUGUGAAAAGCUUAGCACCUGUACAAGGUGGAGCAUUGGGAGGGGCCUUAAUGCACUUUUAGCAAUGGUAACAUUACUCCUCGCUUGAAUACCGGUGGACGAUCUCCAAUCACCCAUUGUUGGGGAACGUAGCAGAAAUUCAAAAUUUUCCUACGUGUCACCAAGAUCUAUCUAUGGAGAAACUAGCAACGAGGGGAAGGAGAGUGCAUCUACAUACCCUUGUAGAUCGCUAAGCGGAAGCGUUCAAGAGAACGGGGUUGAAGGAGUCGUACUCGUCGUGAUCCAAAUCAUCGGAGAUCCUAGUGCCGAACGGAUGGCACCUCCGCGUUCAACACACGUACAGCCCGGUGACGUCUCCCAUGCCUUGAUCCAGCAAGGAGAGAGGGAAAGGUUGAGGAAGACUCCAUCCAGCAGCAGCACAACGGCGUGGUGGUGAUGGAGGAGCGUGGCAAUCCUGCACGGCUUCGCCAAGCACCACGGGAGAGGAGGAGUACUUGGGAGAGGGGGAGGGCUGCGCCAGAACUUGGGUGUGGCUGCCCUCCCACCCCCACAUAUAUAUAGGGGCAAGGGAGAGGGGGGCCGGCCCCCUCAGAUCCAAUCUUAGGAGGGGGCGGCGGCUAGGGGGGUUGCCUUGCCCCCCAAGGCAAGGGGGGCGCCCCCUUUUAGGGUUUCCCCCAAGCCCUAGGCGCCUUGGGCCUUGGUGGACGGCGCACCAGCCCACCUGGGGCUGGUCCCCUCCCACACUUGGCCCAUGCAGCCCUCUGGGGCCGGUGGCCCCACUUGGUGGACCCCCGGGACCCUCCCGGUGGUCCCGGUACAUUAUCGAUAGCACCCGGAACUUUUCCGGUGACCAAAACAGGACUUCCCAUAUAUAAAUCUUUACCUCCGGACCAUUACGGAACUCCUCGUGACGUCCGGGAUCUCAUCCGGGACUCCGAACUACAUUCGGUAACCACAUACAAACUUCCUUUAUAACCCUAGCGUCAUCGAACCUUAAGUGUGUAGACCCUACGGGUUCGGGAACCAUGCAGACAUGACCGAGACCUUCUCCGGUCAAUAACCAGCAGCGGGAUCUGGAUACCCAUGUUGGCUCCCACAUGUUCCACGAUGAUCUCAUCGGAUGAACCACGAUGUCAAGGACUCAAUCGAUCCCGUAUACAAUCCCUUUGUCUAGCGGUAUAGUACUUGCCCGAGAUUCGAUCGUCGGUAUACCGAUACCUUGUUCAAUCUCGUUACCGGCAAGUCUCUUUACUCGUUCCAUAACACAUCAUCCCGCGAUCAAAUCUUUGAUCACGUUGUGCACAUUAUGAUGAUGUCUUACCGAGUGGGCCCAGAGAUACCUCUCCGUCACACGGAGUGACAAAUCCCAGUCUCGAUUCGUGCCAACCCAACAGACACUUUCGGAGAUACCUGUAGUGCACCUUUAUAGUCACCCAGUUACGUUGUGACGUUUGUUACACCCAAAGAAUUCCUACGGUAUCCGGGAGUUGCACAAUCCCAUGAUCUAAGGAAAAGAUACUUGACAUUAGAAAAGCUUUAGCAUACGAACUACACGAUCUCUGUGCUAGGCUUAGGAUUGGGUCUUGUCCAUCACAUCAUUCUCCUUAUGAUGUGAUCCCGUCAUCAAUGAUAUCCAAUGUCAAUGGUCAGGAAACCGUAACCAUUUAUUGAUCAACGAGCUAGUCAACUAGAGGCUUACUAGGGACAUGGUGUUGUCUAUGUAUCCACACAUGUAUCUGAGUUUCUUAUCAAUACAAUUAUAGCAUGGAUAAUAAACGAUUAUCAUGAACAAGAAAAUAUAAUAAUAACUAAUUUAUUAUUGCCUCUAGGGCAUAUUUCCAACACCCACUAUGCCGCAUCGCUGCCCAUUAAUGUGUCGCUAUCUCAUCACAUUUCCCGCACGCUGCCCUUCCGAAAGCAUACACUCUUUCUUGCGAUAUUCGUUGUGCUAACUGAGCCGAUAUUAAACAACAGAUGAUGGCAAGCGAAUAUGUUACGACGAGCUUAAAUGGGCUUCUUGUGGGAGAAGGGUAUGAUUAACCAUAAACCACCGAUUUUGUUACAGGAGUAGCAGCCAAUGAGGCAUACAGUCCACUUAGUGCUAUUUAAAAGUAUCUUACGGCCAAAAAACGACCAUCACAAAAUGAUCCAAUGGUUAGGAAUGGUGGUGGCCUGAGAGGGCAGGAAAGAUGCUCAGGUAUAAUGUGUCUACAUGUGCUUCCCACGGUAUUGAGCACGAACAUUUGUUGUGCUUGGACCAGCGUCCCUUAAGGUGCACACUAUCCGAAUAGACUUUGUUGGUUGCCACCCCCAUAUCUCUGGGACAUAGAGUGGAUGUGACUCUCACGGUGAUUGGUAAUGCACCAACUAUUGUCAUACCCAUGAAGCAACCGUACCAAAACAGGGCACUCACACCUACAUGAACUGCUGUUUGCUGACUCUGGCUUCCCCUGCACACCGGAUAGCACAUGUCAUGGUCAGCGCAACUAAAUUAGUGAUGGGAGCCCCACACAUAAAAGGACAGAAGAGAAGAGAGUGACGUUUUGGCACAUGGGAGCAUGCGUUCCUGAUUUUUAAAAUUUAUUUUAAACAUCCUUUGAAAUGUCAAAAAAUUUCAAACAAAAACUUGGCGCGUACAUUUCGAUAUUAUACAUGCUCACAAAAUUGUUUCUCAAAAAACCGACAACUCACGUGUUGCGUGUGAAAAAGAAAAAAUCCGGUGUUAAAAAAUGCUUUUCACUAAACAUCCUUUUGUCUUUUUUACACAAGCCAGAAAAAAUGAUUGGUUUUCUCCGAAACUUGACAUGCACACAUAUAAUGUCGAGAUGUAUGCGCCAAAUUUUUCUUUGGAAUUUUUUCACACUUUGAAAUAUUUUUUCGUGUGCAGGAGCGCGUGCUCCCGGGAGCACCAACAGAUAUCCAUAGAAUAGAUAAGCAGAAGGCACUACACGCCAAGUAGCCACAAAUGAUUUCCUGCAUCUAUUUGGUCCUCUCAGCGUUCAAUCUAGUCUUACAAUACCUGAUCCCAAACCCAAUCUCCCACGAAUACAAGUUGUAGAUGUCCUGCGCCUCACCUAGCGAGUAGCGAGUUGAAUUCAGUCCCAGUUCUGGCUUGAUUACACUCUCCCUAGCCUCCUCUGCACAUUUCCGAAUCGACUGCUCCAAUGCCAUCAUCCUACAUGGACAAGGCCUUUUGUCCGAUGGAGAACUCCUGAGGUGUAACCUGAUUUUUUUAGGAACACAGUCGAUCGGAUAGAUGCAGGCUUACCUCUUUUAUCCAUCCUGGUCCUCCGGAUUGACCCUAUCAACGAACACCAGAAAUAAUAAAAAUUAUAUCUAUAUCCGUAGACCACAUAGCAAAGAUUACAAGCACUAAAGCGAGCCGAAUGCGCGCCGCUAUCAUUACCCCUCCCUCAACGGAGCUGGGCAAAACUUGUUGUAGUAGACAAUCGGGAAGUCGUCGUGCUAAGGUCUGAUAUGUCUCCGUCGUAUCUACUUUUCCAAAAACUUUUUUCCCUGUUUUGGACUCUAACUUGCAUGAUUUGAAUGGAACUAACCCGGAGUGACGUUGUUUUCAGCAGAACUGCCAUGGUGUUAUUUCUGUGCAGAAAUAAAAGUUCUCGGAAUGACCUCAAAAUCCACGGAGCAAAUUUUCAGAAUUAAUAAAAAAUACUAGUGAAAGAAUCAGCGUUAGGGGGCCCACACCCUAUCCACGAGGGUGGGGGCGCCCCCCUCCCCUAGGGUGCGCCCCCUACCUCAUGGGCCCCCUGGACGUCCACCGACCUCAACUCCAACUCCAUAUAUUUGCUUUCAUGGAGAAAAAAAUCAGAGAGAAAGUUUCAUCGCGUUUUACGAUACGGAGCCGCCGCCAAGCCCUAAUCUCUCUCGGGAGGGCUGAUCUGGAGUCCGUUCGGGGCUCCGGAGAGGGGGAUUCGUCGUUGUCAUCAUCAUCAACCAUCCUCCAUCACCAAUUUCAUGAUGCUCACCGCCAUGCGUGAGUAAUUCCAUCGUAGGCUUGCUGAACGGUGAUGGGUUGGAUGAGAUUUACCAUGUAAUCAAGUUAGUUUUGUUAGGGUUUGAUCCCUAGUGAAGGAAAUAUGCCCUAGAGGCAAUAAUAAAGUUAUUAUUUAUUUCCUCAUAUCAUGCUAAAUGUUUAUUAUUCAUGCUAGAAUUGUAUUCACCGGAAACAUGAUACAUGUGUGAAUACAUAGACAAACAUAGUGUCACUAGUAUGCCUCUACUUGACUAGCUCAUUAAUCAAAGAUGGUUAUGUUUCCUAACCAUAGACAUGUGUUGUCAUUUGAUUAAUGGGAUCACAUCAUUAGGAGAAUGUUGUGAUUGACUUGACCCAUUCCGUUAGCUUAGCACUUGAUCGUCUAGUAUGUUGCUAUUGCUUUCUUCAUGACUUAUACAAAGUUCCUACAACUAUGAGAUUGUGCAACUCCCGUUUACUGGAGGAACACUUUGUGUGCUACCAAACGUCACAGUAUAACUGGGUGAUUAUAAAGGUGCUCUACAGGUGUUUCCAAAGGUACAUGUUGAGUUGGCAUAAUUCGAGAUUAGGUUUUGUCACUCCGAUUGUCGGAGAGGUAUCUCUGGGCCCUCUCGAUAAUACUCAUCACUUAAGCCUUGCAAGCAUUGUAACUAAUGAGUUAGUUAUGAAAUGAUGUAUUACGGAACGAGUAAAGAGACUUGCCGGUAACGACAUUGAACUAGGUAUUGGAUACCGACGAUCGAAUCUCGGGCAAGUUACAUACCGAUGACAAAGGGAACAACGUAUGUUGUUAUGCAGUUUGACCGAUAAUGAUCUUCGUAGAAUAUGUAGGAACCAAUAUGAACAUGCAGGUUCCACUAUUGGUUAUUGACCGAGAAUAGUUCUAGGUCAUGUCUACAUAGUUCUCGAACCCGUAGGGUCCGCACGCUUAACGUUACGAUGACAGUUUUAUUAUGAGUUUAUAAGUUUUGAUGUACCGAAGUUUGUUUGGAGUCCCGGAUGUGAUCACGGACAUGACGAGGAGUCUCGAAAUGGUCGAGACAUAAAGAUUGAUAUAUUGGACGACUAUAUUCAGACACCGGAAGUGUUCCGGGUGAUUUCGGAGAAAACCGGAGUGNNNNNNNNNNNNNNNNNNNNNNNNNNNNNNNNNNNNNNNNNNNNNNNNNNNNNNNNNNNNNNNNNNNNNNNNNNNNNNNNNNNNNNNNNNNNNNNNNNNNNNNNNNNNNNNNNNNNNNNNNNNNNNNNNNNNNNNNNNNNNNNNNNNNNNNNNNNNNNNNNNNNNNNNNNNNNNNNNNNNNNNNNNNNNNNNNNNNNNNNNNNNNNNNNNNNNNNNNNNNNNNNNNNNNNNNNNNNNNNNNNNNNNNNNNNNNNNNNCCUUGGUGGGAAGAGAGUGGGGCGGCCAGGGUGGGCCGCGCGCCUCCUCUCCCUCUCGUCCGAAUUGGACUAGGAGGGGGGGCGGCGCCCCCCUUUCCUUUCCCCCUCUCCCCCUUCCUUCCCACUCCUAGUAGGAGUAGGAAAGGAGGAAUCCUACUCCUUCUAGGAAGAGGAUUCCUCCUCCUUGGCACGUCCCAAGGGGCCGGCCGGCCUCCCCUCUUGCUCCUUUAUAUACGGGGGCAGGGGGGCACCCUGGGACACACAAGUUGAUCUACGAAUCGUUCCUUAGCCGUGUGCAGUGCCCCCCUCCACCAUAUUCCACCUCGGUCAUAUCGUCGCAGAGUUUAGGCGAAGCCCUGCGCCGGUAGAACAUCAUCAUGGUCACCACGCCGUCGUGCUGACGGUACUCAUCCCUGACGCUUUGCUGGAUUGGAGCCCGGGGAAUGUCAUCUAGCUGAACGUGUGCUGAACACGGAGGUGCCGUACGUUCGGUGCUUGGAUCGGUCGAGUCGUGAAGACGUACGACUACAUCAACCGCGUUGUGAUAACGCUUCCGCUUACGGUCUACGAGGGUACGUGGACAACACUCUCCCCUCUCGUUGCUAUGCCAUCACCAUGAUCUUGCGUGUGCGUAGGAAAAUUUUGAAAUUACUACGUUCCCCAACAGUGGCAUCCGAGCCUAGGUUUUAUGCGUUUAUGUUAUAUGCAUGAGUAGAACACAAGUGAGUUGUGGGCGACACAAGUCAUACUGCUUACCAGCAUGUCAUACUUUGGUUCAACGGUAUUGUUGGAUGAAGCGGCCCGGACCGACAUUACGCGUAUGCUUACGCGAGACUGGUUCUACCGACGGGCUUUGCACACAGGUGGCUGGCGGGUGUCAGUUUCUCCAACUUUAGUUGAACCGAGUGUGGCUACGCCCGGUCCUUGCGAAGGUUAAAACAGCACUAACUUGACGAACUAUCAUUGUGGUUUUGAUGCGUAGGUAAGAACGGUUCUUGCUAAGCCCGUAGCAGCCACGUAAAACUUGCAACGACAAAGUAGAGGACGUCUAACUUGUUUUUGCAGGGCAUGUUGUGAUGUGAUAUGGUCAAGACGUGAUGCUCUAUUUAUUGUAUGAGAUGAUCAUGUUUUGUAACCGAAGUUAUCGGCAACUGGCAGGAGCCAUAUGGUUGUCGCUUUAUUGUAUGAAAUGCAAACGCCCUGUAAUUGCUUUACUUUAUCACUAAGCGGUAGCGAUAGUCGUAGAAGCAAUAGAUGGCGUAAACGACAACGAUGCUACGAUGGAGAUCAAGGUGUCGCGCCGGUGACGAUGGUGAUCACGACGGUGCUUCGGAGAUGGAGAUCACAAGCACAAGAUGAUGAUGGCCAUAUCAUAUCACUUAUAUUGAUUGCAUGUGAUGUUUAUCCUUUAUGCAUCUUAUCUUGCUUUGGUUGACGGUAGCAUUUUAAGAGGUGUUCUCUCUGAAUAUGCACCGUUGCCAAAGUUCCUCGUGCCCAGACACCACGUGAUGAUCGGGUAUGAUAAGCUCUACGUCCAUCUACAACGGGUGCAAGCCAGUUUUGCACACGCAGAAUAUUCAGGUUAUACUUGACGAGCCUAGCAUAUGCAGAUAUGGCCUCGGAACACAAAGACCGAAAGGUCGAGCGUGAAUCAUAUAGUAGAUAUGAUCAACAUAGUGAUGUUCACCAUUGAAAACUACUCCAUCUCACGUGAUGAUCGGUUAUGGUUUAGUUGAUUUGGAUCACGUAAUCACUUAGAUGACUAGAGAGAUAUCUAUCUAAGUGGGAGUUCUUAAGUAAUAUGAUUAAUUGAACUUAAAUUUAUCAUGAACUUAGUACCUGAUAGUAUUUUUAUUGUCUAUGUUUGUUGUAGAUAGAUGGCUCGUGCUGUUGUUCCAUUGAAUUUUAAUGCGUUCCUUGAGAAAGCAAAGUUGAAAGAUGAUGGUAGCAAUUACACGGACUGGGUCCAUAACUUGAGGAUUAUCCUCAUUGCUGCACAGAAGAAUUACGUCCUGGAAGCACCGCUGGGUGCCAGGCCUGCUGCAGGAGCAACACCAGAUGUUGUGAACGUCUGGCAGAGCAAAGCUGAUGACUACUCUAUAGUUCAGUGUGCCAUGCUUUACGGCUUAGAACCGGGUCUUCAACGACGUUUUGACUGUCAUGGAGCAUAUGAGAUGUUCCAGGUGUUGAAGUUAAUAUUUCAAGUAAAUGCCCGGAUUGAGAGAUAUGAAGUCUCCAAUAAGUUCUACAGCUGCAAGAUGGAGGAGAAUAGUUCUGUUAGUGAGCAUAUAGUCAAAAUGUCUGGGUAUAAUAAUCACUCGAUUCAACUGGGAGUUAAUCUUCCGGAUGAUAGCAUCAUUGACAGAAUUCUCCAAUCACUGCCACCAAGCUACAAGAGCUUCGUGAUGAACUAUAAUAUGCAAGGGAUGAACAAGACAAUUCCCGAGCUCUUCGCAAUGCUAAAGGCUGCGGAGGUAGAAAUCAAGAAGGAGCAUCAAGUGUUGAUGGUCAACAAGACCACUAGUUUCAAGAAAAAGGGCAAAGGGAAGAAGAAGGGGAACUUCAAGAAGAACAGCAAGCAAGUUGCUGCUCAAGAGAAGAAACCCAAGUCUGGACCUAAGCCUAAAACUGAGUGCUUCUACUGCAAGCAAACUGGUCACUGGAAGCGGAACUGCCCCAAGUAUUUGGCGGAUAAGAAGGAUGGCAAAGUGAACAAAGGUAUAUGUGAUAUACAUGUUAUUGAUGUGUACCUAACUAGAGCUCGUAGUAGCACCUGGGUAUUUUAUACUGGUUCUAUUGCUAAUAUUUGCAACUCGAAACAGGGACUACGGAAUAAGCGAGCACUGGCCAAGGACGAGGUGACGAUGCGCAUGGGAAACGGUUCCAAAGUCGAUGUGAUCGCGGUCGGCACGCUACCUCUACAUCUACCUUCGGGAUUGUCUUAGACCUGAAUAAUUGUUAUUUGGUGCCAAUGUUGAGCAUGAACAUUAUACCUGGAUCUUGUUUGAUGUGAGACGAUUAUUCAUUUAAAUCAGAGAAUAAUGGUUGUUCUAUUUAUAUGAGUAAUAUCUUUUAUGGUCAUGCACCCUUGAAGAGUGGUCUAUUUUUAUUGAAUCUCGAUAGUAGUGAUACACAUAUUCAUAAUGUCCAAGCCAAAAGAUGCAGAGUUGAUAAUGAUAGUGCAACUUAUUUGUGGCACUGCCGUUUAGGUCAUAUCGGUGUAAAGCGCAUGAAGAAACUCCAUACUGAUGGACUUUUGGAAUCACUUGGUACUUGCGAAUCGUGCCUCAUGGGCAAGAUGACUAAAACACCGUUCUCCGGUACUAUGGAGAGAGCAACAGAUUUGUUUGAAAUCAUACAUACAGAUGUAUGUGGACCGAUGAAUAUUGAAGCUCGUGGCGGAUAUCGUUAUUUUCUCAGCUUCACAGAUGAUUUGAGCAGAUAUGGGUAUAUCUACUUAAUGAAACACAAGUCUGAAACAUUUGAAAAGUUCAAAGAAUUUCAGAGUGAAGUGGAAAAUCAUCGUAACAAGAAAAUUAAGUUUCUACGAUCUGAUAGUGGAGGAGAAUAUUUGAGUUACGAGUUUGGUUUACAUUUGAAACAAUGCGGAAUAGUUUCGCAACUCACGCCACCCGGAACACCACAACGUAAUGGUGUGUCCGAACGUCGUAGUCGUACUUUACUAGAUAUGGUGCGAUCUAUGAUGUCUCUUACUGAUUUACCGCUAUCGUUUUGGGGUUAUGCUUUAGAGCUGGCUGCAUUCACAUUGAAUAGGGCACCAUCAAAAUCCGUUGAGACGACGCCUUAUGAACUAUGGUUUGGCAAGAAACCAAAGUUGUUGUUUCUUAAAGUUUGGGGCUGCGAUGCUUAUGUGAAGAAACUUCAACCAGAUAAGCUCGAACCCAAAUCGGAGAAAUGUGUCUUCAUAGGAUACCCAAAAGAGAGACUGUUGGGUACACCUUCUAUCACAGAUCCGAAGGCAAGACAUUCGUUGCUAAGAAUGGAUCCUUUCUAGAAAAAGAGUUUCUCUCGAAAAAAGUGAGUGGGAGGAAAGUAGAACUUGAUGAGAUAACCAUGUCUGCUCCCUCAUUGGAAAGUAGUUCAUCACAGAAAUCAGUUCUUGUGACAUCUACACCAAUUAGUGAGGAAGAUAAUGAUAUUGAUCAUGAAACUUCAGAUCAAGUUUCUACUGAACCUCGUAGGUCUACCAGAAUAAAAUCUGCACCAGGGUGAUACGGUAAUCCUAUUCUGGAAGUCAUGUUACUUGACCAUGAUGAACCUACGAACUAUGAGGAAGCGAUGAUGAGCCCAGAUUCCGCAAAAUGGCUAGAAGCCAUGAAAUCUGAGAUGGGAUCCAUGUAUGAAAACAAAGUAUGGACUUUGGUUGACUUGCCCGAUGAUCGGCAAGCAAUUGAGAAUAAAUGGAUCUUUAAGAAGAAGACUGACGCUGACGGUAAUGUAACUGUCUAUAAAGCUUGACUUGUUGCGAAAGGUUUUCGACAAGUUCAAGGGGUUGACUACGAUGAGACUUUCUCACCCAUAGUGAUGCUUAAGUCUGUCUGAAUCAUGUUAGCGAUUGCCGCAUUUUAUGAUUAUGAAAUUUGGCAGAUGGAUGUCAAAACUGCAUUUCUGAAUGGAUUUCUGGAAGAAGAGUUGUAUAUGAUGCAACCGGAACAUUUUGUCGAUCCUAAGGGAGCUAACAAAGUGUGCAAGCUCCAGCGAUCAAUCUAUGGUCUGGUGCAAGCCUCUCGGAGUUGGAAUAAAUGCUUUGAUAGUGUGAUCAAAGCAUAUGGUUUUAUACAGACUUUUGGAGAAGCCUGUAUUUACAAGAAAGUGAGUGGGAGCUCUGUAGCAUUUCUAAUAUUAUAUGUGGAUGACAUAUUGUUGAUUGGAAAUGAUAUAGAAUUUCUGAAUGGCAUAAAAGGAUACUUGAAUAAAAGUUUUUCAAUGAAAGACCUCGGUGAAGCUGCUUACAUAUUGGGCAUUAAGAUCUAUAGAGAUAGAUCAAGACGCUUGAUUGGACUUUCACAAUGCACGUACCUUGAUAAAGUGUUGAAAAAGUUCAAUAUGGAUCAGGCGAAGAAAGGGUUCUUGCCUGUAUUACAAGGUAUAAAGUUGAGUCAGACUCAAUGCCCGACCACUGCAGAAGAUAGAGAGAAAAUGAAAGGAGUUCCCUAUGCUUCAGCCAUAGGAUCUACCAUGUAUGCAAUGCUGUGUACCAGACCUGAUGUGUGCCUUGCUAUUAGUUUGGCAGGGAGGUACCAAAGUAAUCUAGGAGUGGGUCACUGGACAGCGGUCAAGAACAUCCUGAAAUACCUGAAAAGGACUAAGGAUAUGCUUCUCGUAUAUGGAGGUGACAAAGAGCUAGUCGUAAAUGGUUACGUCGAUGCAAGCUUUGACACUGAUCCGGACGAUUCUAAAUCGCAAACCGGAUACGUAUUUUUGUUAAACGGUGGAGAUGUAAGUUGGUGCAGUUCUAAACAAAGCGUCGUGGCGGGAUCUACAUGUGAAGCAGAGUACAUAACUGCUUCGGAAGCAGCAAAUGAAGGAGUCUGGAUGAAGGAGUUCAUUUCUGAUCUAGGUGUUAUACCUAGUGCAUCGGGACCAAUGAAGAUCUUCUGUGACAAUACUGGUGCAAUUGCCUUGGCAAAGGAAUCCAGAUUUCACAAGAGGACGAAGCACAUCAAGAGAAGCUUCAAUUCCAUUCGGGACCAAGUCCAAGUGGGAGACAUAGAGAUUUGCAAAAUACAUACGGAUCUGAAUGUUCCAGACCCAUUGAGUAAGCCUCUCUCACGAGCAAAACAUGAUCAGCACCAAGACUCCAUGGGUGUUAGAAUCAUUACUAUGUAAUCUAGAUUAUUGACUCUAGUGCAAGUGGGAGACUGAGGGAAAUAUGCCCUAGAGGCAAUAAUAAAGUUAUUAUUUAUUUCCUCAUAUCAUGAUAAAUGUUUAUUAUUCAUGCUAGAAUUGUAUUAACCGGAAACAUGAUACAUGUGUGAAUACAUAGACAAACAUAGUGUCACUAGUAUGCCUCUACUUGACUAGCUCAUUAAUCAAAGAUGGUUAUGUUUCCUAACCAUAGACAUGUGUUGUCAUUUGAUUAAUGGGAUCACAUCAUUAGGAGAAUGUUGUGAUUGACUUGACCCAUUCCGUUAGCUUAGCACUUGAUCGUUUAGUAUGUUGCUAUUGCUUUCUUCAUGACUUAUACAAAGUUCCUACAACUAUGAGAUUGUGCAACUCCCGUUUACCGGAGGAACACUUUGUGUGCUACCAAACGUCACAACGUAACUGGGUGAUUAUAAAGGUGCUCUACAGGUGUCUCCAAAGGUACAUGUUGAGUUGGCAUAAUUUGAGAUUAGGUUUUGUCACUCCGAAUGUCGGAGAGGUAUCUCUGGGCCCUCUCGGUAAUACUCAUCACUUAAGCCUUGCAAGCAUUGUAACUUAUUAGUUAUUUAUGAAAUGAUGUAUUACGGAACGAGUAAAGAGACUUGCCGGUAACGAGACUGAACUAGGUAUUGGAUACCGAUGAUCGAAUCUCGGGCAAGUAACAUAGCGAUGACAAAGGGAACAACGUAUGUUGUUAUGCGGUUUGACCGAUAAAGAUCUUCGUAGAAUAUGUAGGAACCAAUAUGAACAUCCAGGUUCCACUAUUGGUUAUUGACCGAGAAUAGUUCUAGGUCACGUCUAUAUAGUUCUCGAACACGUAGGGUCCGCACGCUUAACGUUAUGAUGAUAGUUUUAUUAUGAGUUUAUAAGUUUUGAUGUACCGAAGUUUGUUCGGAGUCCCGGAUGUGAUCACGGACAUGACGAGGAGUCUCAAAAUGGUCAAGACAUAAAGAUUGAUAUAUUGGACGACUAUAUUCGAACACCGGAAGUGUUCCGGGUGAUUUCGGAGAAAACCAGAGUGUCGGAGGGUUACCGGAACCCUCCCGGGAGAGUUAAUGGGCCACAUGGGCCUUGGUGGGAAGAGAGAGGGCGGACAGGGUGGGCCAUGCGCCCCCUCUCCCUCUAGUCCGAAUUGGACUAGGAGGGGGGGCGGCGCCCCCCUUUCCUUUCCCCCUCUCCCCCUUCCUUCCCCCUCCUAGUAGGAGUAGAAAAGGAGGAAUCCUACUCCUACUAGGAGGAGGAUUCCUCCUCCUUGGAGCGCCCCAAGGGGCCGGCCGGCCUCCCCCCCUUGCUCCUUAGGACACACAAGUUGAUCUACGGAUCGUUCCUUAGCCAUGUGCGGUGCCCCCCUCCACCAUAUUCCACCUCGGACAUAUCGUCGCGGAGUUUAGGCGAAGCCCUGCGCCGGUAGAACAUCAUCAUCGUCACCACAUCGUCGUGCUGACGAAACUCAUCCCCGGCGCUUUGCUGGAUUGGAGCCUGGGGAACGUCAUCGAGCUGAACGUGUGCUGAACACGGAGGUGCCGUACGUUCGGUGCUUGGAUCGGUCGAGUCGUGAAGACGUACGACUACAUCAACCGCGUUGUGAUAACGCUUCCGCUUACGGUCUACGAGGGUACGUGGACAAUACUCUCCCCUCUCGUUGCUAUGCCAUCACCAUGAUCUUGUGUGUGCGUAGGAAAAUUUUGAAAUUACUACGUUCCCCAACACCUAGUAUCCACUAUGUUCUGAGUUUGAUGUUGCUAUGACUUUGCUAUGCUCAAUGCUUGUCACUAGGACCCAAGUGCCAUGAUUUUAUAUAUGAACCUAUUAUGUUUUCAUGAAUAUAUGUGAGUUCUUGAUCCUAUCAUGCAAGUCUAUAGUCACCUAUUAUGUGUUAUGAUUCCACAACCCCGAAGUGACAAUAAUUGGGAUACUUCUCGGUGAUGACCGUAGUUUGAGGAGUUCAUGUAUUCACUAUGUGUUAAUGCUUUGGUCCGGUACUCUAUUAAAAGGAGGCCUUAAUAUCCCUUAGUUUCCAUUAGGACCCCGCUGCCGCGGGAGGGUAGGACAAAAGAUGGCAUGCAAGUUCUUUUCCAUAAGCACAUAUGACUAUAUUCAGAAUACAUGCCUACAUUACAAUGAUGAACUGGAGCUAGUUCUGUGUCACCCUAUGUUAUAACUAUUACAUGAGGAAUCGCAUCCGACAUAAUUAUCCAUCACUGAUCCAAUGCCUAUGAGCUUUUCACAUAUUGUGCUUUGCUUAUUUACAUUACCGUUGCCACUGUUACAAUUACUACAAAACUGCUACCGUUACUUUUGCUACCGUUACCGUUACUUCCAUACUACUUUGCUACUAAAUACUUUGCUGCAGAUACUAAGUUAUCCAGGUGUGGUUGAAUUGACAACUCAACUGCUUAAUACUUAAGAAUAUUCUUUGGCUCCCCUUGUGUCGAAUCAAUAAAUUUGGGUUGAAUACUCUACCCUCGAAAACUGUUGCGAUCCCCUAUACUUGUGGGUUAUUAAGACUAUUUUCUGGCACCGUUGCCUAGGAGCAUAGAUCUAUUCUUUGAAUCACUUGAGAUUUCUAUCUGCUGGUCACUAUGAGGAACUUCAAAGACGAAAGAACUAAGAUUUAUCCCUCAACUACGAGGGGAGAUAAGGAACUACCAUCUAGAUCUGCACUAGAUUCUCCUUCUGUUAUGAGUAAGCUUGCGACACCUAAACCUGCUUCUGCUAUUAAUUCUGAUAUUUCGCAUGUUAUUGAUGAUGCCACUUCUACUAUGCAUGAUACUUAUGAUGAAACUACUUUUGUGCUUGAUACUACUGUGCCAUUAGGUGAAUAUCUUGAUGCACAACUUGCUAGGGUUAGAGAGAAAGAAAUUCUUGAAACUGAUAUUAUUGAAGAUAGUGAUGAUGAAGGUUCUCCCCCUAAAUAUGAAUUGCCUGUUGUUCCUGAGGGUUAUGUUAUGGAUGAAGAAACUGUUAGAGAUUUUCUUGCUUGCAAUGAUAGAUCUGAUCUUAAGAAGUUAUUAGCUAAACUGAAACAGAAAACUCUGAAUGCUAGAAUGAAAUAUGACCGUGCUUUUUCUACUUCACCUAUCUUUAUUACUGAUAAGGAUUAAGAUUUCUCUGUUGAUCCUGAGAUAAUUACUUUGGUUGAAUCUGAUCCUUUCUAUGGCUAUGAAUUUGAAACUGUUGGGGCACAUCUUACUAAGUUAAAAGAUAUAGCCACCCUGUUCACUAAUGAUGAGAAAUCUCGCUACUACUAUAUUCUUAAGAUAUUUGCGUUCUCAUUAAAGGGUGAUGCUAAAACUUGGUUUAAUUAUUUUGAUCCUGGUUGUGUGGGUAGUCCCCGGGAUAUGAUUUAUUACUUCUCUGCUAAAUAUUUCCUUGCUCAUAAGAAACAAGCUGCCUUGAGGGAAAUAUAUAAUUUUGUGCAAAUUGAAGAAGAGAGUCUCCCACAAGCUUGGGGGAGGCUUCUCCGGUUGCUUAAUGCUUUGCCUGAUCAUCCUCUUAAGAAAAACGAAAUACUUGAUAUCUUUUACUAACUGAUGCUUCCAAGGACAACUUGGAUAGUUGUGCUGGUUGUGUUUUCAGGGAAAGAACAGUCGAUCAAGCUAAAUUGCUAUUGAAUAAUAUGUUGACUAAUGAAAAUAAUUGGACUCUUCCUGAGCCAAUUCUUGAGCCAACUCCUAAACCUACUCCGAAGAAGAGGGGUGUUCUAUUUCUUAGUCCCGAAGAUAUGCAAGAGGGAAAGAAAUCUAUGAAAGAAAAAGGUAUUAAAGCUAAAGGUGUUAAGAAUUUACCUCCUGUUGAAGAAAUACAUGGUCUUAAUUUACCACCUAUUGAAGAAACACAUGGUCUUGAUAACCCGACACAGGUAGUAAAGGUAAAUUCUCUCUAUAGAUAUGAUAAGGUUGAAAUCCCGUCUACUAAGUUUGCUAGCCAAUGCUUGGAUGAAUUUGAUGACUUUAUGGCUAGACAAGAAAAUUUCAAUGCUUAUGUUGGUAGAGAAUUAAAGAGUAAUUCUUAUAUGAUUGGACGCUUGAGUGAUUAUAUGGCUAGAGUUAAAGGUGAACUUAAACUCAUUAGUAAAUAUGCUUCUAUGGUUACCACUCAAGCAGAAUAAGUACUUAAAGCUCAAAGUCAUUUGCUCGAUGAAUUAAAUAAUAAACAUGAUUUUGUAUUUAUAGUGGCUACUAGAACGGGUAGAAUGACUCAGGAACCUUUGUAUCCUGAAGGCCACCCUAAGAGAAUUGAGCAAGAUUCUCAGAGAAAUAAUGUAGAUGCACCUAGUCCUUCUAAAAAGAAGAAAAAGAAAAAUGAUAGGACUUUGCAUGCUUCUAGUGAACCCGUUGUAGACACACCUGAGAAUCCCAAUGAUACUUCUAUUUCUGAUGUUGAAACACAAUCUGGUGAUGAACAUGAACCUAGUGAUAAUGUUAAUGAUAAUGUUCAUGUUGAUGCUCAACCUAGAAAUAAUAAUGAUGUAGAGAUUGAACCUGCUGUUGAUCUUGAUAACCCACAAUCAAAGAAUCAACGUUAUGAUAAGAGUGAUUUUGUUGCUAGGAAGCACGGUAAAGAAAGAGAACCAUGGGUUCAGAAACCCAUGCCUUUUCCUCCUAAGCCAUCUAAGAAAAAGGAUGAUGAGGAUUUUGAGCACUUUGCUGAAAUGAUUAGACCUAACUUCUUACGUAUGCGCUUAACUGAUAUGCUUAAAGUGAAUCCUUAUGCUAAAUACAUGAAGGAUAUUAUUACAAAUAAAAGAAAGAUACCGGAAGCUGAAAUUUCCACCAUGCUUUCUAAUUAUACUUUUAAAGAUGGAAUACCUAAGGAACUAGGAGAUCCAGGAGUACCAACUAUACCAUGCUCCAUUAAAAGAAACUAUGUUAAAACUGCUUUAUGUGAUCUUGGAGCCGGUGUUAGUGUUAUGCCUCCCUCUUUAUAUCGUAGACUUGAAUUGAAUAAGUUGAGACCUACUGAAAUAUCUUCGCAAAUGGCCGAUAAAUCAACUGCUAUACCUGUCGGUAUUUGUGAGGAUGUGCCUGUUGUGGUUGCAAACAUCACUAUCUUAACGAACUUUGUGAUUCCUGAUAUUCCUGAGGACAAUAGCAUGUAUAUUAUCCUUGGUAGACCCUUUUUGAAUACUGUAGGGGUUGUUAUUGAUUGCAACAAAGGCAAUGUCACUUUUCAUAUUAAUGGUAAUGAGCAUACGGUACACUUUCCGAGGAAACAACCUCAAGUUCAUAGCAUCAAUUCUAUUAGAAAAAUUCCAACUAUUAUUAUUGGAGGUUUUGAAUUUCCUCUUCCUACUGUCAAGAAGAAAUAUGAUAUUCUUAUUUUUGGGGAUGUGCAUAUCCCCAUUAAGGUAACCUGGUGUCAUUCGAAAUUUCUCCGGUUCCAUGUUAUUCGGAAUGAGUUUGUUAACAAGACUUGAUCAACCUUGUUAGUGGAUUCCUUUUGAUGAGCAUGAGAUGGAUGAAGUUAGAAAGCACAACCUCCUGUACCCUCCUUUUACUUUCUGUUAUUUAGAUUAAAUAAAGUAAAAAUAGUAUUUUCUGUCUGUUUUCUGGAUUAUCCAUGCAAUAAACAAUACCCCGAAAAUAAAAUUUCUCCAAAUGCCCUACAAAUUUAGUAUGAUUUUUCUGGAAAAUUUGAGAAUAUUUGGCACUGAGAACACAACAGGGGGAGCUGGCACCUGGCCACGAGGGUCCAGGGCGCGCCCACCCCUAUAGGGCACACCCCCUGCCUCGUGGGCCCAUGGUGGCCCCCUCCACUUAUUCCCGCACCCACACACUUCUUCUUCCUCCCAAAAAAAUCACCAUCUAGCUCAAGCACGAGUUCUAGCUCAUUUUGCUGCAGUUUUUGAUCUCCUUGCUCAAAGUUCCAUUCACAAAACUGCUUUGGGAGAUUGUUCCUUGGUAUGUGACUCCUCCAAUGGUCCAAUUAGUUUUUGUUCUAGUGCUUUAUUCAUUGUGGCACCCCGGCUCAGAGAAACCGGAACGCCCCGUAUUCCAGCCCAAAGAUCAAGGAGAAGUCUUCUAGAAUACGGCACUGCUUAGCAUAGAACAAACCAGCUUUCUACUAUUACACAAAUAUGAAUACAAGGUCUCCGAUAUUACAAUGAAUAACAUCGAUACGGCGACACUAUGCCAUCCUCGGUUACUCUAUGCAAGCAGCAGAACAACUCGAAGUAGCGGAAGAACUCUAGCAGCGGACCAAUGACGAUGGUGGUGAACUCCACUCCGCAGGGACUCUGGCUAGAACGCUUAUCCUAACUCCGUCGUGGCCCGUCCCACUCUAGGACAAGGAUCCGAAAACUAACUCAACAAUGGGCACACAAGGCUUAUGUCCGCCUACCUAAUCGGGGUAGCGCGCGCCCAUAACCUUCCCUCGUUGGAGGCACCGGCGAGAGGCACAACAAUAGACCCAGUUAGGACCGACCCAUACCGGUAAGCGUGGUUGCACUGGUCAGCAUCGAUUCAGCGGCACCAUGACUCAGCCAACAGUUGUUCAAGUUCAAUUUAAUCCGGUUAACUUGAAUGCAAAUAUGCUGAGUCAUGAUAAAAUGCAUGAACAUGAUAUCAACAUCAUCAUGAGUGUAUCACAUAACUUUCCACCAUAUCAACAAUAAAUCAUAUCCACUGAGCAUGGCAUACUGACUAGCACGACCAUCACCAACAUCAACAUGUACUACUAGCAAUCAUAAAUAUAUGAAAGUUAAUACUAGCAGGUAGAACAUGAUAACAGAGUACAAGACAUCAUAGCACAAAGGUUAACAUGCAACUCUAAACAUCACCGGAACAACGAUAACCAUCUUGUCAACAAGCAAAUAUUUAAUAAAGAUUCAAGUUGAAAACCAUGGCUACUGCACGACUAUCAUGCAAGUGGGUAUUGUGGCUUGCCUGGGGAUGAAGAAGGCACCGGGGAGAAGUGCGGUGAAGCCGCGAAACGAAUUGCUGGAAAAUGUUGUCUCUCGGAGGGGGCUGACUAAGGGCAAGGGCAAAAUGUUCAUUUUCAGUAUGCCAAAACAUAAUGAAAGUUAGACCAACAGAAAGGGCUCGACGAAACAAAGAAGUGAGCAUUGGAUUCACCUCGUUUGGAGUUACGGAUAAAAAGAUAUAAGGGUUUUACUGUGAGGGACCUAUCUGUAAACAUUUAUUUUACAGAUUGGGCCAAAACAAAAAAACGGAAAGCGCAUGCCAAGAUUUACGUUUCCACUUAUCCAGCGUGACAGUGGCGGGGCCGGCUCCUGUGUGGCCGACAGGCGGGUCCCACCUUAUCCACUCCCUCUCUCUCCCCCCUUCUCUUCUUCCUCUCUCCUUCUCCCGACGCCGCACGCAGAGCAGAGGAGAGGCCGCCGGCGCCGACGCUCGCUCCGGCCACUCGGGCCACCUCCGACGGAGCUUGGACCGCCGGAGUGCUCAGGACGGCGAGGCGCACCCGUCCCACCACCACACGAACAUCGGGGAGACUCGGGCAGGGCGGGACCAUGGCCACGGCGAACGGGGCUUCGGCCGAUGAUAGAGGACAAGGCCAUGGCAAUUCCGGCGACUAACGGAGGGCUGCAGAGAGGCUAUGAUGGCUGGCUGACCUACUAGAGGUGGAAGAUACAGGAGAGGGGCUUCGGUUCGGCGGAAUCGGACUGGACAGGGGCGGCGGCCAUGGCGGCAAGGGCGGGCUCAGGAGCUCUUGGAGUUCGAACGAGUGGACGGGGAGGUUGCUGGGAGUGAGGCGAGUCUCGGGGUGAGCUCAGACAAGGCCGGGGAUGGCUUAAAUAGCCGCGGGGCAAGGUGGCCGACCUGGCACCACCGCGGACGCGUGGCCGGCGCCACGGACGCGUGCCCGCGCGCAUGAACUCAGGGGAAAACGACGGAGGAGGAGGAGUGGGGGCUCUCAUGGGGCAGAGGAUGCCAAUGGGGCGCAGGGAGGAAGACUACGGUCACGGGAAGAUCCAAAACCCCACUGUGCUCUCGUGUUCACGCGGCGGCGAGCGUCGAUGAGCAAGCAGACGGAGGGGGAGAGGGGUCCAGGGGAACGACGAUGAGGAGAGGAAGACAAUGGACAGGCUCACGAGCGCGAAAACGGCAAGAGGGGGAGGGGCGCGAGCAAGAAGACGCUCUGGGCGUGGCCAUUGCACGCCAAAACGGUGGUCACCAUGUGAACCGGUGCACACAGUGCCACAAGUGAUGCCAAACCAUGUCUGGGGGUUAGUCCCUCAUGGGUAAGUUGUAACUACGGGGGUAACUAAGUGAAAACGUCUCUGGUUAAAUACUUAGUGAGCUCUGAAGUUUACUGCAGUAAACUUUACCAGCUCAAUAUGAUCAACAGGGAGUUACCUGAAGCCACGGAAUUUGUCUGGGGUGUAUAGCUAUGGAGGGACUAUGAUCCUGGAGGUUUUGAGGGGAAAUGGAACAAGAUAAAUCGUAUUUGCUUUGCAACUGCCAAAAUGGUCCAGAAAUGAAGAUUAGGAUGGUGCACUCACAUGGAGUGUCCACUUGAGCUCAAAUUGGGCAAGGCUUAGUCAUUUGGUCAUAUGAAGAUGCUCACAAAGUAUCAUACCAUUUGGCAAAGCCAAAAUGGUACUUGCUUCACAAACAUCUCUACUGACCAGAAACUUGAAAUAAUUAUGGUGAUCAAAUGGAUCAAUGAAAUGAUGCCAAAUUGGGUGGAGAGAUGUUUUAUGGGUAUAAGAAGGAUCUGGUAAUUUAUCAGGAUUUUUGAAGCAAUAUAAAAUACACUUCCUUCACAACCUGGAAAUAUUGCUAGAAACAAAGAUUUGCUCCUAUGCUCACAUAGAUAAUUGGAUGGGGCUGCAUAUGGGUGGAAGGGGUUAGUAUGAGCACUUUAAGGAGUGUGCAAAAUUUUAACUCAUUUUGAGACUCCUUGCUAGUACUUCCUGCAUAAAGCCUUCCGUUUGACAGAAACUUUGAAAAAUCACUGAGGAAGAUUGGCUAGGCAAAUAAAUUUAAACUUGUGCAUGGGGCAAUUAUUUGGACAUGUAAACAUGCCCAAAAAGGUUGGGAUUCAAUAGGAGAAAUAUAAAUGACACUUCCUUCACAAAGUGCCAUGCAGGGCAAAAUAGAAAAAGGAAUUUUUGGGGAAUUAUUUAAUGGAAAUAAAAAGUUUUGCCAUAUUUGAGCAAGAUAUGACCCAAACAAUUUAUGAGAAUUAUUUGGGAAUUUUUGGAGUAAUGGAAACAGAGGUUGCUUCACAACCUAGGGCAAUUUGAGUUAUUCUUUAAUUGAAAAGGAAUAUUCCCAAUAAAAAGAAUAUUAAGAUUUGGGCUAGGAUGGAAAUGACAGGGUCUAGCGAAAGAUUUGGGGAUGACAAGCCACUCUGCAAGCAAAGAAGAGGUCAUCUCGUUCAGUUUCCAGACCACAAAGCCACGGAAAAAGAAAACUCAGGCAAAAACCUCAGAAAAACAAAAGAAAAAGAAAGGGCCAAAAAUCAGGCUGUCACAAACCUUACCCCCUUAAAGAAAUCUCGUCCUCGAGAUUUGGUUGCUCAGGGAACAAGUAUGAAUAUUCUGACUUGAGGAAACCGUUUCCAACUCGGGUAUCCUUUUUUCCUUUAUUGGUGUUCCCAUUAAAUUUUUAUCUGACUGGCCCUGGGGUGGUUUGAUUUGCUUUAUCCACAUUCUGACAGAUCUUACCUUGCUUGCUCAUGCUUAUAUAGGCUCCAAUUUCUUUUUAGAUCUGCUGACUAGCUGAGUGUGAUUUAAUUAUCACGACUGAAAUAUAUGUCCGUCUCACAAAUCCAAAAGUGAUUUCCGCUGGGUGUGCCACCUGGCACUGACAACCUUUCAUGUAAUGAUGAUUUCUGAUGAAAACUCAAGCUCUGACUCAUUGCAUUGGGUUUCUCCACUAAAUGCAGGUCCUUUGGGUUCCAAACAGUGAGUUAAAACAUAACCAUUUCCUGACAGAUUCUGACGCAUCGCAGGAGUUUCUGAAUCAUCUUACCGGUUCCACUGUCGUGAGUAUCGGAUCCGUACCAAAUAUUUGAUUGUCUCCUGUCGCGGCCAGCAUAAAGGGUUUGGCCUGUAUUAUAAUAUCUGCAGAGUUGACUGAUGGUGGUUCUGACGGAAAACUUUUGUUCAUGACAGGCUGUCCAUGAUGAUUCAUAUUAGUGAGGACUCAGGCUUCCAGACUGUUAUCCUCAUGCUGAUUAUUCAUGCUGUAGGCAUAUCCAUGUGGAUCAAUUACUGACUUAGACUGUCCGGGGAAUCUGCACCAUGGGGGUCAUGUACGAUUUUCAUACCUGCCUCACUGGUCUUGCUCCUUCAUUAUUGUUUUCUUGGUCUGGAUCUUUGGCUAAAAGAGCUGGGCCAUAUUGUUUCUUUGUAUGACCAUAGAUACUGUUGGUGCAAUUUUCUCAGCAAUCGUAGCUUAUUCUCAUUUUUCUAACAGGGUAACCCAUUAAAUGGCAGGUUCAACACCUCUCAAGUUCUGAUUGUUGGGAAAUGAUCAUCCAAAAUCCUUGCAAGAACUCUGCAAAUAAAUCAGUAGCCACCAGAAUGGUCUUUAUAACUCAGAUCUGGGACAUUACUGAAAUAACUCAACCACGGCUCAAGACGGCCGAAAAACAGCUCAGGGCAUGAGACCGGGUCGAUAAGAAGAAGGUGGCAGCUCCCUAAAAUAGCCAAAAGCAGCUAUAGGGCUACUGUCACAAAAAGAAACUCAACAGCUGUACGAGACAGCCGAAAAGUAGCUCAGACUCGUGAUAGUUGUUGAAGAGAGAAACAAAAAUCGGCAUCCACCCCGGAUAGCUAGAAACAUCUUAGGUCACAGGCGUGGUGCCGUCAUUGGAGAAAAGGGGACAAGGGCCCAUCAGGAUCAUUUUCCAGGUUCACGGGUACUUGUAUUGAGCUCAUUGAUGUCGUCAAUCCUCAUAAUCCUUUGUCACACUGUGGUGUAUACUGGCUUUCUUCUAUUAACCAUUCUCACGUGGUUGUUGGAUCCUCAUCCGAGUGACUUGUAAAAUCUUGAUGGUAUUCUCAUUGCAUAUAUAUGAGAAUCUGAUUCCCGAGAUAGAUGUGUAUUCUGACUGAUUCUUGAGAUUCACUGCCAUAUGUUGGCAAUUCACAGUGUACUACCUUGUACCAAUGUCUUACUGAGGGAUAUUAGCUGGCUUGUGCUCGAAGCUUUCAUCGGAUAGCUUGCUGAAGAAGACUGGGUAUCGUGCUUCAGAAACUUACCCCCUUGAAGACUUUGCUGGGGAAAGACUCUGUACCUUAUGCUGGAAGCUUUUGAAGUUGCUUACUGAAGAAGACAGGGUACCUUGCACGGGAAGUCGUCCAUGUAUCGUACUGAGGAAGAUAGAUGAAUCUUGCCUUGGAAGCUUCUCUGGUAUUUUGCGAUUGAAGAUUGGGCUGCUUACACUAGAAGCUUCUUAUUGUGAUAUGCAGACCAAUUUCCACAUAUAUAACAAUCUGAAUAUUUUUUCUAUUGAUUUCUUGCAUGAAAUGGGGUUUUGCAGGACUAUCCUCCUUUCUGAGUAUAUGCCAUAUUUUUGCCUGCUUCCACAUACAUCGAGUUCCAAAAUCAUCCUCAACGAAAAAUUAAACUUGUAUCUGAGCCAUACCCUUGAUAAUAUUCUGUCAAGCUUGCACACAAUUUAUCUUCUUGCUAAUUUAAUCAUUUUGUUGUGAUGAGUGCACGUAAUGCAAACUUGAUACUGAUGGUCCAUCCAGGAUUUCUUUUGCAUCCAGACAAGAUAUUCCCAAUUUCACUGCGGUCAGCUGAUAAUUCCAUUCUGUUUAGCUGAAUUUCCAAAUAUAUGCAUUUCUUGCUGACUCUUCUUGUCUGGUGUCGGCUGACGAGCAACUUUAAUAGGGGGAAAUUUGUAACACCGAAGGCCCAAAGAAAGGAACAACAGAAACGACUAAAACAAAAGCACACAAGCAUACUACUAAUAUAAUUAAUCAAGAAAUCAUCACAUAUUACUGCUACUCACACAAUAAUAUGCAUGCACACCUAAUCACACAAAUCUCACGGAAACUCCGGUAUUAAGGUCUAGCAUGUUGUGAUGAUGUGCAUGAGGACGAAUAAAUGUGUGGAAGAAUUGGUGUAAACACACUACACCACGCACUAGACUUCCCUAUCGGUGUGUGUUGGGAAAACUCAUUUAUACUGACACACAGUCGGUCGGAAAAACUUGUAUCAGUCAGUAGGUCGGGAAUACACACUUGUAGCGUCUAGCAGUCUGUCGGGAAUGCUGGUAUAUUUCACGUCUGAUGGUCGGUCGGGAAUAGAAAGACUUCCAUCGAACUAGCAGUCGGCAAUUUUUCCCGACCAACUGUUGGUGGCUAAUUGGGCCGAUCAGUCGCGCACGCGGGAACGUGAAACAGUUGGCGCCGAAAUGAGCGCUCCCCAUGAAAAACCCUAUCUCCCCUUUUCCCCUUCACCCCCCAAAUCCCUCAGAUCUGGCACACAGUUUCUGCAUCCGCCGCCGCCCCCGCUCGAGUUCUCCCUCCGCCGCACAUGCUGCUCCCCACGCCGGCCAUGUGCUCUCCAGCCGGCAGGGCCGUCGCAUCCUCUCUCCCUCCCGUCCGCCGCUGACCCCACUCCACACUGCCGCUGGUGGUACCCCGUACACCAUACUGCCGCCGCCUCCACCGGUAGGUGCUUUCUCUGUCCUCCCCCCCUCCUCCGUCUACAGGUGCUCUCUCCUCCUGUCCGUGCGCCCUUCCCUUCACCGUCGCUCACUGUGCUGCCCUACACGCACAGGUGGUCUUGCUGUCGCCGUCCAAACCCUGCCGGGAGCUUCCCUUUUCGUCCGCGCCCAAGCUCACCAUCUCCUGGAGGUGCUGCCGGCCAAGAAGGUAUGCUCCAAGAUGCCUCUUCCAGAUCCAACUACGACAGUGGGUUGGUUUUAGUCCUUCUAAUGCAAGGUCUUUAUCCACCUCGUGUGUUAUCUAUUUCCCAGCAAUACAACGAUUUCUCUUCGGAAGAAUUGUUUUUCCCCUCCACAUGUUCCUGCUUAUGUUAUGUGUGGAUUUUGAAAUCUAAUUUACACGUACUAUGUGCUUUGAGAAGAAAACAAUGUAGUUUUUUUGCAUGAGCACACCUUCUGCAUAGUGGUCAAUUUGGUUGACCUUCGUUAUCAAAAGAAAUUUGCUUAGUGUAUUGUCAUCAUAAGUAACUAGCAUACUGCUUAAAUUUGGAACAUAGAACUUAGCUAUAAAUCUUAACUAUGAUGAUACUUUGUGGAGAAUGGCACAUUUAGAUUGAUUUUAAUGAUAUAUUUAUUGCUCUGAACCUUGGGUUAUCACCAUAGUUUAGACUCUUGAGUGUUGUUCUGGCUUUGAAAAGUGGGAUCCGAGAGAAUAUAUGAAAAUGCUAAUGAUGUCCUGUGACAAGUUGAGAUCAUGCACAAGAACAAUAAUUAUCUGUGUAGCAGUAAUACAUUAUAAGGCAAACCAAAACUUGAGAUUCUGGUUCAGUUUCAGCUCUUGCCUCCGCCCAUAAAUUAAGAUACCAAUUUAGCGUGGCACCUUUAGUUCCUAGUUGUCAUGAUAACAAUACUGUACCUGACUUGCAUAAUCUCUUGCUAUUCCUUGAUGAGCAGCAACUUAUUUUGAACUUGUAUAUUUUAGAAUUUGCCUUUUCCUGUUAUUUUGUGUGUGGACAAUGUAUGACACCACAUGUAUAACAUUGUUGGUGAACAUUUAAAGCAGUGCCUGGCAAAAGAAGGGGGCCAAACCUACUAACCUGCGGGAUCCGAACGACAUGUGGAUUUCCAAAAGGUUUUUUCUUAUACUGUUAGACACUAUUUGAUAAUGAUAUAAUGAAUUCUUGCUAGACUUAAUUGUUUCCUAUGAAGUUCAAUUCCUGGAACACCUAUUUUGUUUCCUAUGAUCCACAUGCGAGGCAUAGAAAGGGUUUGAUUUUGAUUUUAGUUUCAGUUUCAGAGUUCUAUUCACAUUUUGAAUUUUCUAGUUUUUUUUGUGUGUGGACAGUGUGUGAGGCAUUUAAAUUCACUAUUAAUCAUGUGUGCAGGUGCAACUAGCAUGGACAAAUAUUGGAUGGAUACACCUAGGUACAACACCCCAUAUGUUAAACAUCUUAGAUUAGAUGUUAGUACUUGCUGAAAUCUGAUGCAACGCGCUGCAUAUGUACACUUGCAUGUAGGCAUACGGAGAAGUACUACAAGGGCUUGCCAGAUUCUUACAAUGCAUUUAGUAAAUGUUCAGUUGAGAAUCAGGGAUUCAAUAUUCUAUAUUAUUCUUCUAAGGGUUUUUAGCAUACAAAAGUAUGCAUGGUUGUGCAGACUUUUAGCUUUAUUUUUAACAAGCUAUAGUUAAGUAAAGCAUCUGCUGUUAACGACCUGAUAUUUUUUAGUUGUACAAGUUGUUGCCAUCAAGUUGAAUGACAAAGUGAAACAUAACCUUUAACUUUGUCGUUUGUUUUGAUGUCCUAGUGCAGUGAUACAGCAAACAAUGUAGAAUGCCCUCACUUACUACUGACUAGCAUAUGGAACUAUGUGCUAGUCCAAUAAACACAUCUCCAGUUUCCUAUUAUUUCUUUGUUACAUAGGAAAUACAUGCAGCACUUCGUAAAUGGUUCCUUGUCCCUGUUUUUUUAUUGUGCACAGAGCUUGUAACUUUUCGGUGGGCCACUAUUAGAGGCCUGACCUAUAGAAAUUCACCGUGGUAAAUACCGCCAACCUCGCAGCCUGCUCCUCAUGUAGAUGUAAUUGUGUUGUCUUCAUACUUCACAGGUUUUAUGCUAGCCGUGGAAUAUUUUUCGCCACGUACGUUAUUCACCUAGGUAACUCCGCUGCUCUGUUACCACGAGCAGCUCCAUGCCUCAGUGAGGCCGGUCCCUAUUUUUUAGGACUAGGUGUGCUACUAUUCCUAUUUCCUACUGAUUUGUCCACUUUCUCUCUGUCCUACUACUCUCUUUUCAUUAAUCCCCCGAAUCUCUAAUCUUUGUUUGUGCAGAUUCUCUCUUACCUAUGAAUACAAGGUCGAUGAAAAUCCAAGCAAGUUGCAAGGAAGAUUGAUCUAUGUAAUAAUGCAAUAUGCAAGUUCUGUUGUCUCUGCUUAAUAACUUCUUUUUGUGAAAUUUAGUUGCAUUGAAUGAUUAAUUCCUCUCAUGCCAAUGUGGCAAUGUCUCUCGUCUGAAUUCUCAAUUGUCUUUGCCAGUUACAUAGUGGCUUACAUGCCACCUGGAUACUGGAGUAGCAUAGUAUCUGGGAAUAUGAUUUUAUUCUUUAGUCAUUUGUAUGCCACAUCUGGUAUCGUUGGUCCUUUCUGAAGGCCAAUAUGAAAGGGCAACUUAUAUAUGUCAAAUCGCAUGGGUAUUUUAGUUGGUACUUUCAGGUUUUGAUAUUACUCUAUCACUAGAAUUUCCUUUCGAACAUUGCAAUUAGCUUUUAUCAAAGCAUGGUAAGUAUUGAGAAAUUUGUUCAUCAUACCUCCCAGGUAAACUGGAAGUAUUGUAGUAGUAGUCAAGCAGGAACCAAUUCCAAUUGUAUCCUGGGGAUUUUCUACCUUAUUCUAGCUCCAGUGAAUAAUGUUUGCUGUGGCAGAUAAAGAAUAAUGUUUGCACUUACCUCACCCUGUCCUAAAUUGGUUUGCUUACAAAUGUUGCACAUGUCUUAUGUUUCCAUAGUUAGUUUAUUAUUGGAAAUUGGUGAUGAUCAGGUAAGGAAAGAAAUCUUCAAGUCUCAGGUUUUUCUAUAACCAUUCCCCCAUGGUGGUAAGCUCUCCCAGCAAAUCAUGAUGUGACUCGGAUCAGGUGUGCAUUUUUUCCUUUUUGUACUGUAAAAAAACUUUCCACUAAGCACACUAAAGUGUAGCACUCAAUAAACAAACUUCAUGAUAUUCUAUUCGAAUAAAGUAAUCUAUGAUGUUCUUGAAGUUUUGUCACGAGUGCCUUAUAUAAGUGCACCAUGGCCAUAAGUACGAGUAGCAUGCAUAUGUGCAUUGAGUAAUCCAACGUGAGGAAUAAGAGAGAUAAAAGCGGGUCCACAAUGAAAAGCGGUGUGGCAAGGCUUGCAUCUACUUCUAGUGGUUACCUAUACUUGAAUGGAGUGCCUUCUUGAGUAGGUGUUUUGGUACUAGCUUGCCUUGUGAAGUAAUAGCUGUUGUCAAUGCUAUGCUUUAUCCCAGUUUUUAUGGUACAUUGUAUUUAUGAAUGUAAGAAUGUAAUGGCAACUUCUUUACAUUUUGCAGGGAAGAAAUGCAAGCGGAGGAGGAACCAUGAAGCCGGCGGUUCAGGAUAUUUUGUGUAGUGGUGAUUGAAUCAUUGGUGAUGAAUUUUAUCUAUCAUUUUGUAAACCCACAUUAUGUUUGAGGCAAUGAACCUUAAUGUUUCCUCUAGUUAAUUAGCUAUAUUAGCUUAUGGGAAAUUUUGGAAGUCAUUAUGUUGAUAACAGAUGAAGUAUUUACAUGUGAAAUUAAUUAAUAUGUGUUUCUAUUGUCUGGUUAUGGUUUAUUAUUGCUGGAGGACAUGCACAUUAUUGUUAUGAAAUGUCUUGAUUGAUAUUUUCUUGGUAGUGCAAAUGUAAGCUAUGGUAGGGCUACUGGAUGUUGGUUGGAAAAAAACCAUGUCUGAAAGUCGUUUGGGGAAGCUAAUGCCAGGGCCAACGAAAAGUUGGACAGGAAAACAAACCCCAUCAGAUAGUCGGUCGGGAAAAGCACAUGGCAUGCCCUAUAGACUGUUGGUCGGGAAUACAACCCCAUCAGAUAGUCGGUCGGAAAGGCCCAUGGUAGGCCCAACAGACCGUCGGUCGGGAAAGGCCCAUGGUAGGCCCAACAGACUGUCGGUCGGGAAAGUUACGCCAUAGGUGACAAACAGUCGGUCGGGAAAGAUAUGUCGGUCGGGAAAGGCUUUUCCCGUCUAGACUUUCCCCAACAGACACAGUCGGUCGGCAAUAGUCUUUCCCGACCGACUAUCUAUUGGUGGAAGCUGUUUUCCCGUCCGACCUAGCUGUCAGGGAUGUAGUGUUGUGGUGUAGUGACAGCGCUACACCAAGUGCUACCUUAGCCAGAUAGCAACCUGGACUAGCUUGGAGGUGAGGACGUACUCGGUAAUCAUGUAGUAGGACAUGAAGGUCGCAGCCACAUUAUUAUCAAGCAGACGGAAAAAGAUCCGUACUCGUCCAAGAAAUAGGAUAGCGGGAAAAACUGAGACUGCUGACAUUGCCCUUUCUUGAUAACUAAGAUCAUUAAGGGUUGCCAACACGACGAAAUAAAAGAACGAUCCGGGAUAGACGCAUGUCCAUCACCGAAACGACAAACGAGACUGAAAGAAAGACAUCGGUGUGAUACCUGAGCACCAUUUUUGCAAACAGUGUCGGGAUCACUUGGCAUCACUCUGCUGGGACAGAAUUGACACCAAACACCGAAAGAAAAGGAACUGGAGAAAUGCAAAGGUUGAGCUGUAGUGGAUCCGAACCGAUGUCAGCUACACUCACUAGAUAAAUCGUUAGUAACAAAUAAUAAUCUAUAUGCAUGCUAUGCGACAAACAAAUGCAGCAAUCAAGUGCAACAAACCAAUUGGGGUCUAUACUACCGCUUUCUAACGUUCGCGCGGUCUAGGGCGUUCUGCAGCCAGACCAGCUCUGAUACCAAGCACUAUGGCACCCCGGCUUAGAGAUACCGGAACGCCCCGUAUUCUAGCCCAAAGAUCGAGGAGAAGUCUUCUGGAAUACGACACUACUUAGCAUAGAACAAACCAGCUUUCUAUUAUUACACGGAUAUGAAUACGAGGUCUCCGAUAUUACAAUGAAUAACGUCGAUACGGCGACACUACGCCAUCCUCAGUUGCUCUAUGCAAGUAGCAGAACAACUCGAAGCAACGGAAGAACUCUAGCAGCUAGCGGAACAACGACGACGGUGGUGAACUCCACGCCAUAGCGACUCUGGCUGGAAUGAUUAUCCUAGCUCGCACGCACGGAAACCACGACAGAAAGCAAUCAAAUUCGGCAUGACCUGCAAGCUGGCAUGACACGCGAGGUCAGUACAUUGAAUGUACUUGCAAGCUCACAAUAAUCUAGAAGCAUUCAAGACAGACAACAACAUGGCAAUUACAGGUUAAAUAGGAAUUAUCAUGAGAUCAUCAGAAUAGCAUGUCAUCAUCAACAUAAACAUGAUACAGCUAUCACAACAUGAACAUAUUAAUCUGACAAUACUAACAUGCAACAUGAUGACACUAUAUGCACCAAUUAUUCUGUUCGGCUACCUCGUAACCAACUCAUGCAUCACUUACCAACCUCGGACAUCACACGAUCAAGUCAAGAUCAAAUCAAGCUUGGUAUAAACAAUACUGUAGUAAUCAGUAAAUGACCACAAGGAGCUUGACCUUUACCCACGAUUCUCGUACAACAUCACGAAUAUACAACAACUCGGUAUCCUCGAUACCAUUUUUAUCCUUACGGCGAUCACAACCCGACCAACACUUGGUCCCAUACCAUGGUCCUUCAGGCGAUCACAACCCGACCUCUAAAUGGCCCGUGAUCCUUACGAUGAUCACAACCAACUUAUCUCACUAUUAUUAAGCACAUUAUUCUUAUUACUGUUGACUCAUGGUGUGACCUAUUUUCAACCUGGGCCCUUAUCCGCGGGCACGGCUAUCGAUAGAUUUAAUAUACACUCUGCAGAGGUUAGUACACUAUACCCACACUACGGAACCCAUGGCCUCGCAAUCCCAUUCGGGUGGACCAACGGCAUUCCCACAAAACCGUCCCCAUCGGGCUAGUCCUGGGUAGCCCCGUGUCUACCUCCAGACACAAUGACCACCGUCGUGGCCCAUCCCACUCUAGGACAAGGAUCCAAAAACUAACUCAACAACGGGCACACAAGGCUUAUGUCCGCCUACCUUAUCGGGGUAGUGUGCACCCAUAACGUUCCCUCGUUGGAGGCACCGGAGAGAGGCACAACAAUAGACCCAGUUAGAACCGUCCCAUACCGGUAAGCGUGGUUGCACUGGUCAGCAUCGAUUCAGCGGCACCAUGACUCAGCCAACAGUUGUUCAAGUUCAAUUUAAUCCGGUUAACUUGAAUGAAAAUAUGCUGAGUCAUGAUAAAAUGCAUGAACAUGAUAUCAACAUCAUCAUGAGUGUAUCACAUAACUUUCCACCAUAUCAACAAUAAAUCAUAUCCACUGAGCAUGGCAUACUGACUAGCAUGACCAUCACCAACAUCAACAUGUACUACUAGCAAUCAUAAACAUAUGAAAGGUAAUACUAGCAGGUAGAAUAUGUUAAUAGAGUACAAGACGGCAUAGCACAAAGGUGAACAUGCAACUCUAAACAUCACUGAAACAACGAUAACCAUCUAGUCAACAAGCAAAUAUUUAACAAAGAUUCAAGUUGAAAACCAUGUCUACUGCAUGACUAUCAUGCAAGUGGAUAUUGUGGCUUGCCUGGGGAUGAAGAAGGCACCGGGGAGAAGUGCGGUGAAGCCGCGGAACAAAUUGCCAGAAAACAUUCUCUCUCGGAGGGGGCUGAUUAAGGACAGGGGGAAAAUGGUCAUUUUUAGUAUGCCAAAACAUAAUGAAAGUGACACCAAUAGAAAGGGCUCGACGAAAUGAAGAAGUGAGCGUUGGAUUCACCUCGUUUGGAGUUACGGAUAAAAAGAUAUAAGGGUUUUACCAUCAGGGACCUAUCUGUAAACAUUUAUUUUACAGACUCGGCCAAAACAGAAAAACGGAAAGCGCAUUCCAGGAUUUACGCUUCCACUUAUCCGCGUCGCAGUGGCGGGGCCGGCUCCUGUGUGGCUGACAGGUGGGUCCCACCUUAUCCACUCCCUCUCUCUCCUCCCUUCUCUUCUUCCUCUCUCCUUCUCCCGACGCCGCAUGCUCCGGCCACUCGGGCCACCUUCGGCGGAGCUUGGAUCGCCGGAGUGCUCAGGACGGUGAGGCGCACCCGUCCCACCACCACACGAACAUCAAGGAGACUCGGGCAGGGCGGGACCGUGGCCACGGCGGACGGGGCUUCAGCCGACGAUAGAGGACGAGGCCAUGGCGAUUCCGGUGACUAACAGAAGGCUGCGGGAGAGGCUAUGGUGGCUGGGUGACCUACUAGAUGUGGAAGACAGAGGAGAGGGGCUUCGGUUCACCGGAAUCAGAGUGGACAGGGGCGGCGGCCAUGGCGGCAAGGGCGGGCUCGGGAGCUCUUGGAGCUCGAACGAGUGGACGGGGAGGUUGCUGGGAGUGAGGCGAGUCUCGGGGUGAGCUCGGACGAGGCCGGGGAUGGCUUAAAUAGCCGUGGGGCAAGGUGGCCGAGCUGGCACCGCCGCGGAUGCGUGGCUGGCGCCACGGACGUAUGCCCGCACGCAUGAACUCGGGGGCAAACGAUGGAGGAGGAGAAGUGGUGGCUCUCACGGGGCAGAGGAGGCCAAGGGGGCGCAGGGAGGAAGACAAUGGUGACGGGAAGAUCCAAAACCCCACUGUGCUCUCGUGUUCACACGGCGGCGAGCAUCGGUGAGCAAGCGGACGGAGGGGGAGUGGGGUCCAGGGGAACGGCGACGAGGAGAGGAAGACAAUGGACAAGCUCACGAGCGCGAAAACAGUGAGAGGGGGAGGGGCCCAAGCAAGAAGACGCUAAGGGCGCGGCCAUUGCACGCCAAAACGGUGGUCACCGCGUGCACUGGUGCACACCGUGCCACAAGUGAUGCCAAACCAUGUCUGGGGGUUAGUCCCUCAUGGGUAAGUUGUAACUACGGUGGUAACUAAGUGAAAACGUCUCUGGUUAAAUAGUUAGUGAGCUCUGAAGUUUACUGCAGUAAAAUUUACCAGCUCAAUGUGAUCAAUAGGGAGUUACUUGAAGCCAAAGAAGUUGUCUGGGGUGUAUAGCUAUGGAGGUACUAUGAUACUGGUGAUUUUGAGGGGAAAUGGAACAAGAUAAAUGAUAGUUGCUUUGCAACUGCCAAAAUGGUCCAGAAAUGAAGAUUAGGAUGGUGCACUCACAUGGAGUGUCCACAUGAGCUCACAUUGGGCAAGGCUUAGUCAUUUGGUCAUAUGAAGAUGCUCACAAAGUAUCAUACCAUUUGGCAAAGCCAAAAUGGUACUUGGUUCACAAACAUCUCUGCUGACCAGAAACUUGAAAUAAUUAUAGUGAUCAAAUGGAUCAAUGAAAUGAUGCCAAAUUGGGUGGAUAGAUGUUUUAUGGGUAUAAGAAUGAUCUGGUAAUUUAUCAGGAUUUUUGAAGCAAUAUAAAAUACACUUGCUUCACAACCUGAAAAUAUUGCCAGAAACAAAGAUUUGCUCCUGUUCUCACAUAGAUAAUUGUAUGGGGCUGCAAAUGGGUGGAAGGGUCUAAUAUGAGCACUCUAAAGAGUCUGCAAAAUUUUAACUCAUUUGGGGACUCCUUGCUAGUACUUCCUUCACAAAGCCUUCUGUUUGACAGAAACUUUGAAAAAUCACUGAGGAAGAUUGUCUAGGCAAAUAAAUUUGAACUUGUGCAUGGGGAAAUUAUUUGUACAUAUAAACAUGCCCAAAAAGGUUGGGAUUCAAUAGGAGAAAUAUAAAUCUCACUUCCUUCACAAACUGCCAUCCAGGACAUAAUAGAAAAAGGAAUAUUGGGGAAAUAUUUUUGAACAUGGCAAUGAAAAGUUUUGCCAUAUUUGAGCAAGAAAUGACCCAAACAAUUUAUGAGAAUUAUUUGGGAGUUUUUGGAGUGAUGGAAAUAUAGGUUGCUUCACAACCUAGGGCAAUUUGAGUUAUUCCUUUAAUUGAAAAGGAAUAUUCCCAAUAAAAAGAAUAUUAGGAUUUGGGCUAGGAUGGAAAUGACAGGUUCUAGGGAAAUAUUUGGGAAUGACAAGCCACUCUGCAAGCAAAGAAGAGGUCAUGUUCUUCAGUUUCCAGACCACAAAGCCACGGAAAAAGAAAACUCACGCAAAAACCUCGAAAAAACAAAAGAAAUUUGGAGUUACUAAAAUUUUAUUUGGAGUUACUAAAAUUUUAGAAAUUUUCAGAAAAAGAUGAAGAGAUUGUUCUUGAGGGGCUCUUCUAGCCAAGGCUCUAAGGAUAAACAAGCUAAGGAGAAAGAAAAGGCCAAGUAUAAUCUUCCUCGUGUGGCAGAAGUACGGCCGUGUGAAUGGCCUUGUGAUGAUUUCUUGAGAGCAGUGGGGAUUUAUGAUGACUUUUAUUCCUUGGCUGAUAAUGCUAGCCUCACCGACUUCCUCCAUGACCAAAUCGAACAGUAACUCUUACUCACUAAUACUUUCGUGCAAAACUUCUACUAUUAUCCUAAGAAAUCACCUCCUUCGGUAGAGUUUCAUUUAUAUGGUGUGGCUAGGGAGAUGACACUAUAUGAAUUUUGCACGGUUUGCAAGAUACCCCUCGGGGGCAGCUUAGAGGAACCACAUCGUAAAGAUGUGGAUGGAUUUAUCGAUACUAUUAUCUUAGUGGAAACGAGGAAGGUUUCCGAUGCCAGAAUUACUAGCAUACAUUGCAAUAUUUGCUAGUCGAUGCUUAAUUGGUCGCGGAAACUGUGGAAACCUUAGUGUUCCUGAUCUUAGUGUUCUCAAGAGUGCUGUAUUAGGUGAUAAACAAUACAACUUGGGGGCAAUUGUUGCACGUAGGUUGGUUUAGUUGGACACUUGUUUGGAGGGAUUUAUGCAACCCGUGUGGCUAAUUAUCUUGGUAUACCUGCACAUGAAAAUGAUAGGGAGUUGGCUCCCUCUUAUUUAGAUUAUAAUGCCAUGGUUAAUCGUCAUUUUCUUGAGAGGAAUGAACAAUUCCUCCAGUAUCGACUAAUCUUUGACAGAUGUCGCGCUGUCCAUAUUAGUCUCCCUGCUCUUGCCCUUUUUGAUUAUCAGGCAAAAGGAAGAUAUGUUAUCACCAAGGAGGAGGCAAACGAGUACGAGAGGAGGACAGAGGUAGCUCGCCGCCAUGCUGCAGCUCAGGAGGCAAUCGCUGCUGCAUCUCAGUACGACCCUAGUUACAACUUCGGAUAUCAGCCAGGCUACCCAUGGCCAUAGACCAACUUAGGCCAAAAGCCUAAGCUUGGGGAGUACGUAUGUCGGUGCUCAUACUUUUUCAUGAUACUAUCCUUGCUAGUUUAAUUUCUCUUCUAGCUUUCUUCUUGUGUGUUUGAUAAACUUUAAGAAAAACCAAAAAAAUAGCUAGUUUAAUUUCCAUGCUAGUAGUAGUAAUUAAAAGAAAACCGAAAAAUAUUUCUCGUUCUUCUUUUGCUUGUUGGGAGCUUUCCCGUGUAAAUAGUUUUAUUUCUUUUUCUUUCCUUUUGGGGUCGAGAGGAGAAGACCAUGAUGAAAAUGCUUAGUGGCUCUAAUAUGCAUGAUUGUUGAUUUAACCAAGAGCCCAUAUUACCUUGUCUUCUCCCUUGAAUUGAAUGCUUGCAGAUUCCAGCUUAGUCCACUACACGUGCACUAUUAUUAUUAUUAUUCACAUCGUUCGGUCGUGCAAGUGAAAGGCAAUAAUGACGAUAUAUGAUGGAUUGAUUGAGAUGAGAGAAGCUGGUAUGACCUCGGCCUAUCUUGUUUUUGUAAAUACGAUUAGUUCAUCAUUCCUGAUUCAGCCUAUUAUGAAUAAACAUGUUUGCAAUGACAAUUAGAGAUUAUAGUUUCUUAUGUCAUGCUUAAUUAGCUAGGAGUUUAUAAUGGUUUAUCUUGCGUGCCAACAUGCUAUUAAAAUGGUUGUGAUGUGGUAUGAUAGGGUGGUAUCCUCCUUUGAAUGAUUCGAGUGACUUGACUUGGCACAUGUUCACGCAUGUGGUUGAAACAGAAUCAACAUAUCCUUCAUGAUAUUUGUGUUCAUGGUGGAUUAUAUCCUACUCAUGCUUGCACUCGGUGUUGAUUAAUUUUAAUGCAUGUUCAUGACUGUUGUCGCUCUCUCAGUUGUUCGCUUCCCAGUCUCUUGCUAGCCUUCACCUGUACUAAGCGGGAAUACUGUUUGUGCAUCCAAACUCCAUAAACCCCAAAGUUAUUCCAUAUGAGUCCACCAUACCUUCCUAUAUGCGGUAUCUACCUGCCGUUCCAAGUAAAUUUGUAUGUGCCAAACUCCAAACCUUCAAAUGAAAUUAUGUUUUGUAUGCUCGAAUAGCUCAUGUAUCAACUAGGGUUGUAUGUAUCUUCCAUGUUAGGCGGCUUAUUCUCAAGAGGAGUGGAAUCCUCUCCUCAUUCACGAGAAAAUGGCUGGUCACCGGGAUACCUAGUCCCAUGCUCAAAUCAAAUCAAAAUAAUUAAACAAAACUCCCCCACGAUUGUUGCUAGUUGGAGGCACACGUUCUUUCGGGCAAGCCAUGGAUUGAUGCUUGUUGGUGGUGGGGGAGUAUAAAAUUUACCAUUCUGUUUGGGAACCGCCUAUAAUGUGUGUAGCACGGAAGAUAUCGAGAUCUCAUAGUUGUUACAUUGACAGUGAAAGUAUACCGCUCAAAAUGCUAUUCAUCUCUAUUUCAAAAUCGAGCUCUGGCACCUCUACAAAUCCCUGCUUCCCUCUACGAAGGGCCUAUCUAUUUACUUUUAUGUUGAGUCAUCACCCUCUUAUUAAAAAGCACCUGCUGGAGAGCACCGCUGUCAUUUGCAUGCAUUACUAUUUGUUUAUAUUGGGUAUGACUAUGACUGGGUCUCUUUUACCAUGAAUUGGAAUGUUUAGUCAGUCCUUAAUCUUUAAAGGUGAUCUGCAUUUAUGUUUUGCGGUCUCAGAAAGGGCUAGCGAGAUACCAUCUUGUUAUAUCAUAUUAUGAUUGUUUUGAGAAAGUGUUGUCAUCCGAGAUUUAUUAUUAUUGCUCGCUAGUUGAUUAUGCCAUUGAUAUGAGUAAACAUGAGACCUAAGUGUUAUAGUGAAUAUGGUUAGCUCAUAAUCUUUGCUGAAAACUUGAAUGCAGACUUUACAUAUUUACAACAACAAGAGCAAACAGAGUUUGUAAAAGUUUUUCUUUAUCACUUUCAAUUUAUCAACUGAAUUUCUUGAGGACAAGCAAAGGUUUAAGCUUGGGGGAGUUGAUAUGUCUCCAUCGUAUCUACUUUUCCAAACACUUUUGCCCUUGUUUUGGACUCUGACUUGCAUGAUUUGAAUGGAACUAACCCGGACUGACGCUGUUUUCAGCAGAACUGCCAUGGUGUUAUUUUUGUGCAGAAAUAAAAGUUCUCGGAAUGACAUGAAAAUCCACGGAGCAACUUUUCAGAAUUAAUAAAAAAUACUGGCGAAAGAAACAGCAUCAGGAGGCCCACACGCUGUCCAUGAGGGUGGGGACGCGCCCCCUCCCCUAGGGUGCGGCCCCUGCCUCAUGGGCCCCCUAGACGUCCACCGACCUCGACUCCAACUCCAUAUAUUUGCUUUCGCGGAGAAAAAAAUCAGAGAGAAAGUUCCAUCGCGUUUUACGAUAUGGAGCCGCCGCCAAGCCCUCAUCUCUCUCGGGAGGGCUGAUCUGGAGUCCGUUCAGGGCUCCGAAGAGGGGGAUUCAUCGCCGUCGUCAUCAUCAACCAUCCUCCAUUACCAAUUUCAUGAUGCUCACCGUCGUGCAUGAGUAAUUCCAUCGUAGGCUUGUUGGACGGUGAUGGGUUGGAUGAGAUUUACCAUGUAAUCAAGUUAGUUUUGUUUGGGUUUGAUCCCUAGUAUCCAUUAUGUUCUGAGAUUGAUGUUGCUAUGACUGUGCUAUGCUUAAUGCUUGUCACUAGGUCCCGAGUGCCAUGGUUUCAGAUCUGAACCUAUUAUGUUUUCAUGAAUAGAUGUGAGUUCUUGAUCCUAUCUUGCAAUUCUAUUGUCACCUAUUAUGUGUUAUGAUCCGACAACCCCGAAGUGACAAUAAUCGGGAUACUUCUUGGUGAUGACCAUAGUUUGAGGAGUUCAUGUAUUCACUAUGUGUUAAUGCUUUGGUCCAGUACUGUAUUAAAAGGAGGCCUUAAUAUCCCUUAGUUUCCAUUAGGACCCCGCUACCACGGGAGGGUAGGACAAAAGAUGCCAGUUCUUUUCCAUAAGCACGUUUGACUAUAUUCGGAAUACAUGCCUACAUUACAUUGAUGAACUGGAGCUAGUUCUGUGUCACCCUAUGUUAUAACUAUUACAUGAGGAAUCGCAUCCGACAUAAUUAUCCAUCACUGAUUCAAUGCCUACGAGCUUUUCACACAUUGUGCUUUCUUACUUACUUUACCGUUGCCACUAUUACAAUUACUACAAAACUGCUACCGUUACUUUUGCUACCGUUACCGUUACUUCCAUACUACUUUACUACUAAAUACUUUGCUCCAGAUACUAAGUUAUCCAGGUGUGGUUGAAUUGAAAACUCAACUGCUAAUACUUCAGAAUAUUCUUUGGCUCCCCUUGUGUCGAAUCAAUAAAUUUGGGUCCAAAUACUCUACCCACGAAAACUGUUGUGAUCCCCUAUACUUCUGGGUUAUCAAGGUCCCAUAGGACCAGCGCACCAGAACAGCAACCGCCGCCGAUGAAGAGUAGCGUAAAUCGAAAGGAUCCAACCUGAAAACACACGAACGUAGACGAAUGACGAACAUAUCCAAGCAAAUCCACCAAGGACAGAUUUACCGGAGACACACAUCCACACGCCCACCGACAAUGCUAAAUGCACCAGCAGAACUAGGGCUAGGCGAGGAGAACCUUAUUCCAUCUUCAGGGAGCAACCACUGUCUCGUCUUCCUGAGUUGGACACAAACCCUAGCACAUCUCGAAGACACAUCUAAAAACCGAGCCUUCCCACAGGCAAAGGCCAGGAUCCGCCGCGCUCCCAUGACCCUAAGGCAACUGGAGAUGAGGCGGACCGGCGACGGCACCGGUAGGAGGCACAAGAAUCCUAGUUGGGGAGGAGGCCGCGGCCUGAGGAGUCAUGUAAUGUCCUUUAUAGGUUCACCGGUUGGCCCCUUCUAUUCUGCCGCUGCAGAUCUGACACGUCAGAACGAAUUGUUGCAAUCACCAGGCAGCAGCGAAUGCUAGCGAUUUCGGGAGCAGCUGAGCUCGAGCACAGAAUUGCAGCGUCCGGCGAGCGUAGUAGCCAGAGGAGAAACCGAGCGUGUGUAAAGCGCUAAACUACACUGCCCUAACAGAGCGUGCGUGUGAGCGCUCAUGCGCCAACCAACGCCAUAAGCAUGGUAGAGGAGCGCUCCUGCAAUUUGUUGCCUCAAAUUGGUGGGAAAACACAUAAGGACAGGCACUAGUCGGCCCAUUCAUUUCAUACUGUACAAACCCGGUAGCCAAGAUUUUUUCGGUGUUGUACACUUUUAAGCGCUUCUUUCAAUUAGGCGUUUUCUUUCUCGUAUUUUGAAAAACAUUAGAAAAACUUAUUUAUUGAAAAACUAAGUAUUGAGUUUUUACAAUAAUUUUACAAAAUGUGUACAUUUUUAAAACAUGAAUGUUUUUCAUAAUGCAGACCAUUUUUUCAAGUUUUGAACGUUUUUUCAAAAACACGAAUAUUUUUUGAAAACACUAAAAAAUUGUGAAAACAUUCAAAUGAAAUUAUCCAUUUUGAAUACUAUUCAUAUAUUUAAUAAACAUGAACAUUUUUGAACAUUUUGUGAAAAAACUGAAAAAGAACGAAGAAAACAAAAAAUAAAACCAGCAAAAGAAGAAAACCUCAAAAACCGGAAUCCUUAUUGCGUCAUAAUAAUGCAUGACUAUUUUUUAUGAAUAUGUCUUCGAAUCAAAAAUGUCUGUUAUAUAUGCAUUUGCCUAUACCUCACUUGUAGUGAGACAAAAGAACACAAAUCCUCAGGCCCCCUGUAUUGUGGCCUAGGGAUCCAUCAUUAUCCAGGAAGCCGGCUUGGUAGGCCGGCCUAGGGCCUUAUAGGCUGGUUUGUCUAGGGCCAUCAAUUUGGCCCAUGGAUCCAAUUAGAGAAAGGCCCGAGGGACUUGGAGCGGGUGACAGGGCGACUAGCGUCCAGGAGAACUCCUCCAACGACCAACUACGAUCGUGUAAUCCUAGACCCCAACACCCAUAUAUGUCGUGGCCAGAUUAGUCAAUAGACACAGAACCUUAGAACUAUUGCUCAAUCCAUCGAUUAUUGUAACCCCUAUACACAAGCAAUAUACACGAGCAGGGGUUAGGAUUUUACCUCAUCCAUGAGGGUCUGAACCUGGAUAAACCCCUUCUUAUUUCCCAUUUUGCUUAAUCGCAUGGCCAGAGUACCUUAUCAAGUGAUCUGCCGGAAAUAACUCCACCACGUCAUAAAUGGGCUAGGGCCAGAUAAUUUUUUUCUCCUUUUCUCUUAUUUUGUUUCUACUUUUGGUUCAAUUUAAAACAUCUUGUAAAUAUAUAUAUUUGGAAAGAUUCUUAAUCAAUUAUUAAUAACAUUCACUGUGCCUGAAAUAAUGGUCAUGAAAUGUAAUUAUUUUUUUGCACAAUUUGAUAAAUUGUUCAUAUCCUUCAAAAGAAUAUUCGUAUCAUUUUUAAAUGUUCGGAUGUUUAAAAAAUGAAUGAUUUUUUAACAAUGUUUAUUAAUAUAUAUAUAUAAAUUAACAGUGUAAUUUGUAAAAAAUAUUCAUACCAUUCAAAAAAUGUUUAACACUUUAAAAAUGUUCAAACAUUUUAAUUUUAAAUAUUUUUUAGUAAAUACUAUUGAAAUAGAAAAAAAUUAAAAGUUUAUAACAUAUAAAAAUGUUUGUAAAAUUUUCAAAUAUGUUCAUAAACACUUACAAAAUGUUUGGCACUUUUACGGAUAUGUUGAUGUCUUAAUUUUUUGAAAACUAUCAAUGAAAUUUACAAAAAUGUUCCUAACAGAAAUGCUAUUACAAAAAUUUAUGAAUAGAAAAUGUGUGUAAAAUUUACAGAAAUGUUCACAAUUUUUUGAAGGAGCUCGGGAUCCAAACAUCCACUCUCUACCAACUAUAUGCAUGUAUGUUGUAGCAAGCCAUGAGCCAAGGGUUGCUACAUGAUCAAUUGCUGAUAGUGCAGUGUGUUUUCUUCAUUUUGGGCAGAUCACAAGUGUUUGACAUCUCUCUCUGCAUUGGGUAUCCUUUUCCACUUGAAUUUUAAGAUACGCGGAAUGUGCUUUCCUUGUUGUUGCCUCGUCAUUCCAGCAUGGAAUCAAAGCAAAACUGAUAUUACUUCCCUUAAAAAUUGUCUCGCUAUCUAUCUCCAUAACAUGCCCAUUGGACUGCAUGGCGGAAGUGAAGGUGUGCGCCUAGCCGGCGGAGAAGACGAACUCAUCUGUGACCUCUGAUGAGCCCAUGGUGCAUGUGGGUUGGAACACUGCUUAGGAAAUCUAGACUUAUUUUGCAGGCAAGCCAAGAUGAGAUCUGUAGGCCCAUGUGAAUUCCAUCAAAAUCACGGUCAGUUCAACUCUGGUUCGAAUCCUAAUAAAAAUAGAUCAACGGUCCUAGAUGGUUAUGUCCAUUGCUAAAAAAUGCAAUUGUUGAAAGAGUCGAUAUGACUAGUAGCUAGAGGACGCUGACACCCCUCACUUCUUCUACACGUACUAAACAAACCCUAGCUUAUCCAACUCAAUUUGCUUUAAGGUUUGUGUGUGAAAGAAGUAGUCUUAAAACCAAACACCACACUCUUCAACUUGAGAAAUCAAUAGUCCAUUUACCUAUGGAUAUCAACUCUAUAUACAUCAUACUUGAUGUGUCAAGUUGAUAAUACUUACUAAACAUAUUUUAAAUUACAAUAUCUGGUGCUUCACAGUCGGUUAUGAAAUUAAUGUUCACCCAUCCAAUGCAAUAAAAAGUAUGUGAAUGAUGUUAACACACGCGCGCGCGUGUGUGUGUGAGAGAGAGAGAGAGAUUAGAGUACAUUUUGUCCUGAGAGAGAUUAGAGUACAUUUUGUCCUGAUGUCCACCAUAGUUCCACGAUCAAUACAUCUAGGAGGAGACAAUCAAAAUACCGACAGAAAAUAAAUAUUUAAUAUGUAAAUGGUAGGUGACAAAUCCAACCACAAAAUUGUGCAAACAACCCACUAGCUAGUUUUAUUGAAUAUUAAAAUGACAUAGUUGAUUUCUAAAACAUACAAAAUUUAUUAUCUCAUCAACACAUAAUUAUUUUGAGAACAAUAAGGUUGAGAUUUAUCCACCCAAAAUAGGGGAGAUAACAAAACUAUUGUGUUGUUGUUGCUGGUGUGCAAUUAAUCUUGCAGGGACAGUUGAUGAAGCAUUCUCCAAGAUCUGGCCAGCACAAGUUAUCUAUUUGACAGCAGAAUUCCCGUCCUGGGAGCUGGUGCCCAUCUUUAUAACAAGGGGGUCUGGUUACAUGGCUUACUUUGCUCAUCAUGUUUCCCCCCUUGUUGUUUAUGAUUUCACCUAAUUAACAUAAAAUAAAGAAUAUACUUGUCAUCUCAUCAUAUAAACAAUAAAAGUCCACAAUAUCAAUCCCCCCAAAAAAUUGAGUUGUUAAUUACCAUAUGUGCCUCCAAGACAAGUCAAACACACCACAAGAAGAAAAGAAAGUAGCACAAGUCCUUCCACAUUGUUCCUCAUGAACUUGGUCAUCGUCACUAAGGAAUAGAGGCUAUUAAUGGGUGGUACUCUUGUAAGCGGAGUUGAUGACUGUAUGACCGUGAAAUGCUUGCUCCAUGAAUGGUUCAUAUNNNNNNNNNNNNNNNNNNNNNNNNNNNNNNNNNNNNNNNNNNNNNNNNNNNNNNNNNNNNNNNNNNNNNNNNNNNNNNNNNNNNNNNNNNNNNNNNNNNNNNNNNNNNNNNNNNNNNNNNNNNNNNNNNNNNNNNNNNNNNNNNNNNNNNNNNNNNNNNNNNNNNNNNNNNNNNNNNNNNNNNNNNNNNNNNNNNNNNNNNNNNNNNNNNNNNNNNNNNNNNNNNNNNNNNNNNNNNNNNNNNNNNNNNNNNNNNNNNNNNNNNNNNNNNNNNNNNNNNNNNNNNNNNNNNNNNNNNNNNNNNNNNNNNNNNNNNNNNNNNNNNNNNNNNNNNNNNNNNNNNNNNNNNNNNNNNNNNNNNNNNNNNNNNNNNNNNNNNNNGAAGUUAUAGAAAAUAUUAAUGCUUGGAGUUAUGACUUGUCUGAAUUUCCAAUUUUAGUUUCACUUCUAAAGAUUCAUGGUUCCUUCUAAAGUUUUUUUUCUCAAAUUUAUGCUUUGUUAUAGCAUGUAAGUUAAUUUAAUGCCCCCUCUAGAAUUGACCACUUUUUGUUUCCAAGGGGUAGAAUUGACCUCUUAGAAUGGGUAGCAAAAAACGGGUGCAUGGUAAUAUUAUGUUUAAGGCAUUGAUAAUAAUUGGUAUAAUAUUAAUAAUUCCUAUAUAUAUGAUGCCUUAUCAAUAAAAUAUUAAUUUCUCUCUUGGUAUAAGAGAAAAAAAUUUAAAAUUCAACAAGACUCGUCACUUAACAUUGGACUUGUUUUUUAAUGUAUAUAAGAAAUUGUUCUUAACUAUAUCAACAAGUUACAGAUACAUUUUUUUUACUUUUAUUCCAUGAACAUAGAUUAAUUAUGGGAUGGCCAUUUUAUAAAUAUAAGAUGAUGAUUUAUUUUCAUAUACAUGAAAAUUUUAUAUCAAGGUACUUGAGCAUUUUUUACAUUUUUCUAUACACAAAAUCUUCUCCAAUAUUAAUUCGAUUUUGAUUUCUUUAAAUAGAUUAGUUUCCCCCAAACGUUCUUUAUUAGAAUAGUGAAAAUGUCGCACUUCACUACUGGAAUCUAGCACUUUGCCAUCUGCCAUGGCAAAUGGCAAAGGCAUGGUCGGUGGAUGGCAAAGGCUUUGCCAUCUGCCAGCAGAUGGCAAACAGUUUGUCUGAAACCCUGCCGGUAAAGGCUUCUUUGCCGUCUACUGGCUGAUGGCAAAGAGUCUGUGCCUUUGCCAUCAUCUGGCAGAUGGCAAAGCCUCUUAACGGGGUUAGCCCCGUUAGAAGGCUAACGACAUACUUUGUUGUCUGCCAGCAGAUGGCAAAGGUUGCAGGCUCUUUGCCGUCUGCCAGCAGAUGGCAAAGAGCUUUGCCAUCUGCUGGCAGAUGGCAAAGAGCCCAAAUUGGCCAGCCCAAAUUUUACAUGUAGAUGACACGUGGCCUCUUUGCCAUCUGACAGCUGAUGGCAAAGCUCUUUGCCAUCUGCCAGCAGAUGGCAAAGUGACUAUAUUGCCCCAUUUUAUUUUGUUUUUUCUUAUAUCAGUUCAUUUUCAUAGAAAAUCAAACACAAAUGUAUUUAUAUGACCAAUAUAGCAUAUUUAACACAUAUUACCAAUAGUCAUGAACACAUAUAUAUCCAACACAUGUUACCAAUAGUAGCAAGUUUCAUCCGUACAUAUACAUAGUUUCAUCAAUAUUACACAGUUUCAUCCACAGGUAGCAAGUUUCACAAGGUCAAAACAAACACUAAAUACAAGCACUCCAUCAACCCAAGCUUCCGUGAACUUAAGCAAAUCUGUAAAAUGGGAAAGAAGAAAGUUAGAAGAAGAAGACUAGAAGAAGAAGAUUAUUAUGAUGCGGAAAUAUGCAUGGAUUGUCAAAACUUGCAUUAUCCUACUAUCACUAGUACAACAAAGCUGCAGGUUUGCAUUAUCCUACUAUCAGAAAUCUGGAACUAAACUAACCUAAUUAAUCAUAACAAGGUGGCAUGCAUAGAAAUUUGGAACUAACUAAGAACUUCGAAUUAAAAGAGGAGAAGCAAAGGUUCAGGAAUUAGUUGCUCCCCUGCCGAUGCAUUGGUUGUCGAGGUUGAGGAGGUUGUGUGCAUGGCCACACCAUCGACCUGAGCUACAACCCAGCAUCCACCGCAGACCCGUCUUUGCGCUCGAAAGAGAUGACCACUUCAGACCCCUCCUAGCUCCCCUCCGAUGGUGGUCUCCUCCUUGUUCAUCCGCCUUGCUAUGGCUUCAGGGUGGUAGGCCAGGCCGUCCCUUGUCACUGGGCGUCGUCCUCCAUGGCCAGAUCUAGCCACUCCAUGGCGUCCGGGCAGGGGAGGAAGUGGCCAUCCUGUCCAUGGCGUCCCGGUGCUCGAGCGACGACGGAUCAGAGAGUUAGAGGGGACGUGGUAAAGAAGAUAAGGAAGGAGGGAUGUGGCAAGGGAAGAGAGGGGAUCUGACUCACCGGAGCAACGCUGGAGCCACACCAGCUACGCGGUAGCCCAAACCCUAGUGAAUCGGUGUUUUUCGAAUGUAACUCAUCCCUUGGCAGAAUAUUGCUGUCAUAUUCACAACGGAAGAGUUCAUGUCCAGCUGACAAUGCAGAUGAUGGAGAUGCUGAUAAGCAGAUCAAUAGUAUUUUGCAUUUUUUUACCUGGCUCGUAUCAAUUCAUGUUAAUUGCAUUCAGCUAGAAAGUAGAGUACAAUCCUGAUAAUUACAUUCAGCUACUGAAAUAAGGUAAGACAAUAUUCUGCCAAUCAUCACCCACUGGUAAACGAUGAUCUCAACAAGGUAAGACUGCAGACAAUGACCUCAAAGAGAUGUAUGUAACUAGCAACUGUGCACUCACCUGCCAUUCCAUGAAUAACCUGCAACUACUCUCACCCACAGAAUAGUUGAAAAUAUCUAAUGUUUACCAUUUAAACAAAAGACUUGGUUGGAGUGUCUUAAGAGAGCUCUUACGUAUAGGUAACAGUAUCUGUUGUGCAACUAGAUGAAUUUAACACGAAGAGUAAGUUAGAAUUUUCCAUAGAUACUAAAACAUGCUGAAAAUAGAAUGCUAGCAUUGCCAAGCUACUGAAUAGUCCAACUCUCCUAUGGCUGACAAAAACGGUAACAGACAUUUCAGAAACCAGAUGGAAUCCAACAAACAGAGGGAAAGCGGAGCAAGCUAUACUUGCGGCAUGGUAGAGAUGAAGAUCAGAGCAAGGGAAAAGAGCAGCUACUAGCAUCAGCCUGAAUUGUACGUGUACAACACAACAUCUUGUUACAAUACAGAGAUAGAUUAAGCGUAAUUUUCUUUCAACAACACACAAUCUGCGUGUCUUUAUAUUUUUUUGAAAGAUAGGGGAAAACAAAUGCAUACAGUAGAAAUUAAAAUCUCAUCUAAUAGCGUGUACUUCUGAACGAAAGAGAAGUUAGCUGGCCUCUUAAUGCUCUUCGUUGGCAGGAGGAUGACCACCUACGAUCAAGUGCGCUAUUGUGGCAUAUAUCUUCCUUCUUGCCAAAGAAGCAUGGUAGAAUUAUAAAGAGAGUAUGUUUCCAUAGACAUUUAAAAAAAGAGAUUUGUGUAUACUCAUUAUAGUGUAAGUACCAUAGAUUAUUCAGAUUAGAAGUUCUUGUCUCUACCAACAAUUUAUAUUUUCUAUACAUACUAAUAUCUAUAUCGCAUUGACAAUCAUGUAUUUAUAUGAGCUCUUUGUGGUGCGUGAUACAGCCAGAUUCCUUUUGUUAUUGCAGCAAUUUGUAAGUAUUUAAAUAUAUUUUAAUAGCUAGUUUCUUCUGUGUUAUAAAGACAAAAUAAGACAUGCAUAGACUUGCAAAUAUGUAUUAGAAAUCUGCUACUCCAAAGUAUCAUAUGAAUCAAUGUAAGUCACGAAUCGUGUGCAUAUCACGCAAAGCAGUUUUUUUGUAAGAACAAUACAUAAUACUAAUCGACGGUACAGAUGAUUCAACACAUAUGCAUCAAGACACCACUACCUUGCACAUGGUGAUAUAGGAUGGAGUUGAAUCUGAUCACCUCCUUUUUACAACUUAUAGUGUAAUGUGUACUGCUCAUAAAUAGGCAUAUAUAUAGUAAUUUUUCUUUUGAUCAAACGCUUGGUAUAUUAAUGAUCACAUUAUACAUUUAUGUAACAUUUCUUACUUGCGAAAUCUUUUACAAAUUGGAAUAUAGGAAUAUUAUUAAUACCCAGAAGAAAUACUACUAUUCGGAAAAUAUACUAACUGGUACUAUACUUAUUUUUUUCUAAUAUUGGUACUAUACUUAAUUGGACCAAAAGGUACACAUAUUUUGAUUAGUUCAAUUUUUUUUCUACAGAUUUAUCGGCGCCAUUAUUUCUCUAUGGUUGAAAUGUAUAUAAACUACUGUCUGUAUAUAUUGAUCUGCAUUUAGACAAAUAUCAUGGACAAACACACAUACUGUUUAGCACGUGUAGUUGUAAAGGUAGAACACUGAUUUCUAGUAUUAAGAAAAUAUAUUUAUAACAUCUCAUUACGAUGUAUAUGGAGUUAGCAUGAGAGAAAUAACCAAGUGUUGUGCAAGGAUCAUUCUGACUAUCCAGUGGCAGAAUAGAAAUAGGAUGCUAAGCCCAGGGAGAAUACUUAUGUCCUAUAAACCUGCAAAUACGAAGCAUGCAUUCACCAUAUAUUAGAAUUCCAAAUUUUAUAGUUUGUUUGCAUGUUGGUAAUAAGCUUUGCCCCUUGUGAUAUGGAUUAUCACAUAGAAUGGAAAGAGGAGAAAAAAUUAUGGCUUAGCAGAAUCAAGGAGGAAAAGCACUACAUGUGAAGUAUCAAAACGUUGUGAUAGCACGAACCCCACCAGAUUUGAACUCGUGCUCUUAGUAUGACAUGGAAAGAGGGGCUACUCUCCAAUUGAAGUGAAAAUAGUAGAACUUUGAGCAUAAAAAUUCUAAAAGCACAUUGCAACACGGUAUUAAGUCAAGAUUUUGCAACCGAGAGGGAAAGUCAAAUAAAUAAAUAAAUAAAUAAAUAAAUAAGGAUUCUAAUCAAACCUGUGAAUCCAAGCUAGUAUCUAACUAUUGUAUUGCCCAUAGUUUUGCAUACGCCAUGGAAAGUAUGAUACAUAGCAUGUUGAAAAAUUGUAACCAAUUAAAUAGAAGACAUUUAAUUUAAAGGCACAAUGCUAGGAGAUCAUCUCUCAGAGCAAUCAUCGCUGACAUAGACCUUCUGUUAAAUCACAUGUCUAAGCAGAACCCAGAGGUCUUUUACUUUUCCUUUAUAUGGAACCUUCAUUUUGACCUUUGGGGACUAUAGCCGCCUCAAUUAUGCAACUUUUUUUUCUAAAAUUUUAGUAUAGUGUAGUAGGAGCCUUUCCUGGUGUUCCAUANNNNNNNNNNNNNNNNNNNNNNNNNNNNNNNNNNNNNNNNNNNNNNNNNNNNNNNNNNNNNNNNNNNNNNNNNNNNNNNNNNNNNNNNNNNNNNNNNNNNNNNNNNNNNNNNNNNNNNNNNNNNNNNNNNNNNNNNNNNNNNNNNNNNNNNNNNNNNNNNNNNNNNNNNNNNNNNNNNNNNNNNNNNNNNNNNNNNNNNNNNNNNNNNNNNNNNNNNNNNNNNNNNNNNNNNNNNNNNNNNNNNNNNNNNNNNNNNNNNNNNNNNNNNNNNNNNNNNNNNNNNNNNNNNNNNNNNNNNNNNNNNNNNNNNNNNNNNNNNNNNNNNNNNNNNNNNNNNNNNNNNNNNNNNNNNNNNNNNNNNNNNNNNNNNNNNNNNNNNNNNNNNNNNNNNNNNNNNNNNNNNNNNNNNNNNNNAAACACAUACUAUAUUUAAAAGCAAAGAUGCACCUUAUGUGAGAAUCACGCAUGUGUUAUUUCUAAUCAAUGAGCCAAUAAAAUAAUAGCAUUGUAUCAUUAAAUAAAUUAUUUUUCAACUGAAUCAGACACGUGGGGUUUGACAAAAUUAAAAGUAUAUGCGAAGAUGUUAAGAAGAAAAUGUCAAUAUACAAAAUUUGUUUCUACAGGCAGAUGUGAUUUCCGUACAAAAAUAGUCUGUUUGCUUUACAAUAGAUCCACCUAAACCAAACUCCUGAGUUACUACAUGUAGAGCUCAAAAAUAUCAGAUAUAGAGUAUAAAAUGAGAAUGGAAUACUAAGUGCGUCUUACAGAAAUUAUAAGAUCUUUUAAUAGCUUUCUACAAUAUUACAUAGCAUACACGACAAUGAGGCAUGAAAUGAAUCAGUAUUGUAAAUAUGUAAAGAAGAAUAAGAAACACAAAGUAGCUGCUGCUCGAGCAACUACUACAUGCAAAUACAAUGCUUGAAAAUUUUCAAGCGUUCUCUAUGCUUUUUACCCAGAUUCAGCAUGGAUUAAAAAACCACAAUACUUAAUUCCAUGUAUCCUAAAUUCAAGCGUCAUGUUCGACUUGCCUGUGGACUUGUAGAACCAACAGCGCACUCGACAACAUCGGACAGAUAGAUCAAUCUGCAUACCGUUCGCUGUAGGUUCUUCAAUGGGAAGCAGCACGAUCCACUUUAGACCACCAUCAGUAGACCUCAUCCUACGCUCCAUCGCAUCGUUAUAUUGCAGUCAGCUCGGAACUUAUGCCAAGGAGAAUAGUUAGACCAUAGAUUUGAUAUUUGACCUCGCAUGAUAUUUGAUUUAAAGUUCAGUGAAAUAUCACGAGAAUGAAUUGCAUAUCCCAACUUUAAACUUAGAAACAUACAUGGAACUGUAAUAUUCAACAAACUUAGAAACAAAUUAAGUCGAGAAUAUAGUUUUUAUUUUGUAUUGCGGGUUACAACUACUAGAAAAGGCAGACUAUUAAUUGUUCUAAUAGUAAUAUCGUAAGCAUAUUCCAUAAUAUCUUUCUAUAUUUCUCAUUCUAUAUAUUAUUCUUUUAGAAAAUGCUAGCCCGUGCAGAUGCACGGGUUGAUGACUAGUCAAAGCUAAUUGAGGCAGAAAUGAUGUGUAAAAUUAUAUGUGUUGAUGUACUGGAUACCAAAGUGCAAAAAAAGCUAACCCUAAAUCAGAAAUCGGGUUGCUCUUGCUCACUUGCCCGCUUGCUGCCGUCGGGGACUGGUACUGGUGACUGAGAGGAAGGGCAGCGACUGCCGCCGGCUUUGCAGGGAGGCAGGGCAGGGGUGCCAGGAGGUCGGGGAAGGUGCGCAGCCAAGCCCGCGCAGAGCAGGGGCGCACGCAGGGAGCGCGUCCGCGCGGCUGGUUCCAGGAGUGCGGGAAGGAGGGGCGGGGCNNNNNNNNNNNNNNNNNNNNNNNNNNNNNNNNNNNNNNNNNNNNNNNNNNNNNNNNNNNNNNNNNNNNNNNNNNNNNNNNNNNNNNNNNNNNNNNNNNNNNNNNNNNNNNNNNNNNNNNNNNNNNNNNNNNNNNNNNNNNNNNNNNNNNNNNNNNNNNNNNNNNNNNNNNNNNNNNNNNNNNNNNNNNNNNNNNNNNNNNNNNNNNNNNNNNNNNNNNNNNNNNNNNNNNNNNNNNNNNNNNNNNNNNNNNNNNNNNNNNNNNNNNNNNNNNNNNNNNNNNNNNNNNNNNNNNNNNNNNNNNNNNNNNNNNNNNNNNNNNNNNNNNNNNNNNNNNNNNNNNNNNNNNNNNNNNNNNNNNNNNNNNNNNNNNNNNNNNNNNNNNNNNNNNGAGAGAGGGAGGGGAUAGAGGCCACAGUUUUUUUUACCUGGAAAAAAUAACCCCAUCUCUUUGCCAUCUGCCAGCAGAUGGCAAAGAAUCUUUGCCAUCUGCUGGCAGAUGGCAAAAAGGUGGGGUUGGUACGCCGUUACAUCCCUGGCAGACAUAGGAUUUGCCAACCUCUUUGCCAUCUGCUGGCCGAUGGCAAAGAAUUGGCUGAUGGCAACCAUGUUCUUUGCCGUCUGUCACUUCUUUGCCAUCUGUUUUUUAUAAGCAGAUGGCAAAGACGUUCUUUGCCAUCCGCUGGCAGAUGGCAAAAAGCUUGCCCGACUAGGGCAAAUUUCGUUAGGCGGAGCUUCCUAAUUCUCGGUACUCCCUAUACGUUCCUCCUUGCGGCUAACAACCUCCCCUUCGGACAGUCCGCGCCUGGCUGGGCUGGUCCAUUGACGACACGAAUGGACACCACUAAGUGGGAGAGUAGGAACAUAAGAAAAAUAGCCCAAGGAAAAAACAAAUAUGUAAAACUAAAAAAUAACCCAAAGAAAACGGUAACAGAAACAGAAGGAAAAAAAAGAACAAACGGAAAUACCAGUAAAAAUCAUAUCAGAACCUUUUGGAAGGCUCCCAAAAUCGGUAAAAGCCCGGUAGGAAUAUUUCGAAAGUUCGUAAAACUAGAGUGGCGCGGCGAACAUGGGUCGGCCGUCCCCAAGCUCUAGCAUCAGUUUUGUCUGCAAUCCCCGGCAAAUUGAUGUUGGCUGCUCAAAUAGGGUUUUCGCCAUUUCUCUUGUUUCUUGUUGCCUCAUAUGAGUUUCUUGUUCUUUGGGACAUACGUUGGCGCCAUUUGUACGGGUUCGAUGACCGCCAUCAAGGGUCUCUUAGUGGAAUCACAACAUCUUGCAUCGUGCGAGGGCGUGAGGAGAUUAUGGUGGCCCUGGUGGUAUUUUGGGGAGCAUUGUACCUCCACAGCGCUCCAAACGGAGAUUAGCAUCUGCAAUGUCGUCUCCGCGUGCCUCGGUUAUUUCUUAUCCGAGCCCUGUACUUUGUGAUAGCCAUAGUGUUUCAUGUUAUAUAUCUUGCUAUCACAUAGUUGUUUGUCGUGCUUAGCAUAAGUUGUUGGUGCACAUAGGUGAGCCUAGUUGUUUUAGGUUUUAUGCUUGACAAUUAGAUGCUAGUUUUAUUCCAUAUUUGUUCAAGCCUAAAUAGUAAUUAUUUUAAAGCGUCUAUUCACUCUCCCUCUAAGCAACAUCCACGAGUUUUCAAUUGGUAUCAGAGUGUUGCCUCUCUUUAUUAGACUUAACCACUUAGAGAGUAAAGAUGUCGACUAGGGGAUUAGGAUUCUUUGACACUCUUUGUUUUGAUGGCACAAUUUUUGAUGUUUGGGUAAUUCGUAUGGUUAAAUCUCUUUAGGGUCACGGACCCAAAUUUAGAGCGAAUUGUAGAUAUUAGUUUUUAUCCUUCAAAGGAGCCUCAAAGAUUAUCUCUAAAGGAUGAGAAAAACUCUUAUCUCACUGCUCAAGCUUCUAAUGUGCUUUUUGAUGCUAUGAACAAUGUAGUUAUAUUUGAACUUAUGCUGUUCUGGGAUGCUCAUGAGUUGUGGAAAAAGCUUCAAGAUAAAUAUGGUGUGUCCAGGAUUUGUGGGAAUGAUUAUUCUCCCUCCACCUCCAGUCUUAUGGUGUUCUCAACUUCUUCUACUUAACUUAUAUGUGGAUUGCCACGAGGUAGUGAUAUGGUGAGUAGUGUUGGUCAUUGCAAUGAUUAUAGUGGGCUUAUUGUUGAUGAUCCUUCAUCACUAUCUUAUUGAAUGCUCCUUCUUUGCACUUCAACACUUCGAGCUCUCUAGAUGGUUCACACGCUCGUGUUGAUAGUCCUUGCAUAUCAUGUAGAAAUUGAUCGACUAAAUCUCAUGAUGAUAUGCUUGCUAUGUCUUGCUGCCAUGAUAAAAGUGCCUCUAUUUCCUCGAGUUGUUGUGCAAACAGUGUAAAGGAAACCCUACACUCCAUGGAACAAGAUGUGGUCCUGAAUGGUGCUUCAAGGGAUCAAACAUCAUCAUCUAUUGUUUCUCACUUUUGCCUUAUGGCUACGGCUUCAAAGGUAUCUCCCAUUUUAAAUCCCAAUAUAUAUUGUGAUGAUGAUGUUCAUGAUAAUCAGGGGAGGGGCCCCACCCAGUUGAAAUCAGGGGAGGGCCGCUACCCAGUUGAAUCAGGGGGUGGAGUGAUCAGUUAGGAAAGUUAAGUAAGAUUAUGUAGGAUUUCUACGUAAUUGUACACCUACGUAGCUAUCAUACAAGAAUUUCUCCUCCCUCUCGUCCCAUACUGCAAAUUUGUCAUCUUAGGACUGACAUUUACAUUUACAAUUUAACAAGAACAGAUCACAUCAUAGUUCAAAUAAGCUAAGUAUGAAUGGACAAAAGUUUCCCAGCUAUAGGAUCAAAUUAUAGGGGUGCUGCAAAAGCAACAACUUUGAACCAAGCUUCAUUGCCUCAGUAUAUGAGAAGAAACCUGGGAGCCCUCCUUUGUUACCUUUCAUGGUGAUAAACUAAAAAUCUCGCACACAAGUUUCUUUCGGAGGUGCUGAGCCUGGGCGAGACAAAAAAAUACAGCUUUCAGUCCACCUCACGGUUUGUUCACUAUGGACACGCCCUGAACUACCAUGCUUUUACCUGACCAUGUGCAGACCGAAGGUAAAGCCCAUUGAACUCGAGGAUGUUGUGCAUGAUGUACACAUCGCUAUCCUCCUUAAGAUAACGGGAUCAGUAAUCGUCUUUGUUAGUGUGAAGCAUGACAAAAAAAUUAUCCUUGCUCAAAGUCAGAUGUACUAACCUCGUGCACAGUUUGUUCUGCGCCACUAAAGGGUACACAAAAGUCCAUCCAGUCGUGUCAACCAACCCGGCACCAAAAAUGUCAUUGAACACUCACCCCUUCGACCAUUCGAACCUCUGCGAGCCAAUGCUGGCCUCGAGCUGCCGAGGUUUCUGCUGUUGCAGUACAUCUCAUUGGUAGGAUCCCAGCAGAUUUUGUGUAUGAAGCACACCCGUGGGUAGGACAAGCAUUAGUAAAGAGCAAACUUUAAAUCUUUUGGAACACCAACUAAAAAUGUGUAACUAUUUGCUUGCGGUGCACCCACAUUCUAGUUCUAACUUUGCCAGUUCCGCAGCAGCAAACAUUUUGUCCAGUCUUAUCUGUUCUUCCUUGUCAACCUCGCCAACAACAUCUUGGUUUGUUUGACUCCAGGCAUUCGCACUAUUCACCCCAACUCCACUUCUGGCAACAUCUCACAGUCUCAGCUUCAGCUGAAGCCUGCCUCAAGCUGCGCAGCCAUGGCCCCCUGCAUGCACAAUUGACCCCGAAUAAACAUUUUUGGACUACCAACCUGACCCGAGGCCACCUCGCAGUUUUGAUGAAAUACGUAGGUUGCUCUGCCCAGCUGGUGCUCCAAUUGGUUACCUUACAUUGCAAAACAAUAUUGGUAUUUAUAUUCUUGUGGUCCAGCAUUGCUGCAUUUCUUGACAAAUAGUGCACUGGUCGAACAACAAUCAAGAUUUUUUUUGAAAAGGAGGAUGUACCCCCGUCCUCUCCAUCUGGAUGAUGCAUUCAACCAUAUUAUUAAUUAUUCACAAAGAUCAUACAAGAUGAUACAUCAAUAAGCCUGAAGCCACCAUCUUGGCAACGUUGUUGCUACUUCUAUCCCCUUGAUGAAGGUGUCCCGAAUGUCUGAGCCUAAUACCGAACAGACAUCGCACCAAAACCUAACAUCUAAAGCCGGGUGUCCCGUCCAAGCCACUACCUGGAAUGGGUCCCACACCGGUCUGGCAGACUCCGAGUGAGCACCACACGCUGCAAGGGUCGUCACCUCCAUCUUCCAUCGGUCCAUCCUUAGAGCAGAACUGAUGCACUGACCUUGCAAGGCCUCUCUGCCAUCAACGCCACCAUGAUGCCGGAUAGCUUCCUCCUCCUGCGCGAGUCCAUCUCUGCGCAUCAGACGCCAAGUAUCCACUGCGCCAUGCCGCAGAGACCCACCGUCAACGAUAUGGUUGAUGCCACACCGCUCCACCUACAUGCCAUCUCGCAUCGACUCCGAACUACCAGCAACUCCACCACCUUGAGCAGUCCCCAUCUGACGGCUUCAGGAAGGAACACGGCACCAAAGUGCCAUCAUCGCCCAAACAGAGGAACAGAGGCUUUUGCAUGCGCUCAUGGCAGAGGUGGGGGCGUAUGAUCCACACCGGAGCCUCCAGGAAGGGAAUCGGCGCCGAGGGCGUCGACUUUGGUGCGGCCGCCACGCCGGCGUGAAGUUUCCCCUGGAUCCAUGCCCACCCACCAGAUCCGUCCAGGUAGUAUUAGUGUCGACCGUAGUCGCUAUCGUAGCCAGCACAAACUGGAGUAGAUCUACUGUAGCCAGGGUAUAACGUUUGGUACAUGUGCAACGGCCAGAUACUUUUUUCGUUCGUCAACUCCCAUUCCUAACCUGAAUUACCAGGCCCCCUCCAGGGAGAGAUACGAGGGAGUUACCCCCGUCAAUUCCUCUUCCCUUCCCUCCACAACUCCUAUAUCCCCCAACCAUACAGGGGAUUUUUAGUGUCAUAGCCUCUUAAUUCCCAUUCCCAGCUUUUCUUCCCCCCAACCAAACAGGCUGUAAGAGUGAUUCUUGCAUUGCACUCCAGCAUCACAACUCCUUGCCGAACUGAAUCUACUAAGUUCCAUACAAAUUUAGGUUGAUUUAUGUACAUAUAUACAACAUGACGACAGUAGUGGUGUUGCUUUUUCGCUAAAUUCAACACACAAUGGACAGGAUAUUGUAUGCCACCUGGUUUAGAGAUAGCUAUUAAAGUUUUAUCGUUUGAGCAUCCUUAUUCAAAUUAAUAUGUCCUAACGAUACUAUUGAGGCUUCUAAGAUUUAAGUGCCCAAACUCGACUUCUGUAGAUAAACAUAGCAGUACAAUUUUUGCAUAGGUAUACACUAUCUUUCAACAUACUAUUUGAUUCCAUUGUGUAAUUUGGCUGAAAAAUUACGACGUGCUUUUGGUGACCAGACUAGAGUAGAAGUGGCAUAAGAGCUAAUGCAAGGAAGAAAAUCAUGUCCCAGACAUUUGCAUAGCCCGACUCAAAUUUGCCAAAUGUAGCAAGUUUUUUAUGCAAAUUCUAAAUGGUAUUUAAUUUAUCAAAAAUAAUGAAAUUUAGUUCAACGUUUCAGUCCUGAAGCAAACCUAAAACACGUACACUUCUUAUCCUCCUAAUCUUUGCAGAACCAGCAAACGUGGGCAAUAAGAACCGAACAAAUGAAGGCCUCUAUUUAGUCUGCAGCACAUAAACCCUUUAUGCCCAAUGUACAAAAAACAAAAUUGCAUCAAGUAAAUGUAACAGAACAGAAAAAUAAGAGAUAUAUGUAGAAACAGAAACCGAACAUAUCCGGGCAAACACAACAUCUCGCCGCGCAGAUAAAUUCUAGACGUACUUCUGAGGUGAAGAGAGAAGGUGGAUUUAGAAGCAGGAGAGCAAAGGCCCGGGGAUGGGGGCGAGAAACAGAGUUCUAAUGCCUUUGGGUCUACAUCCCCUCUAGAUAUGUAUCUUGGGGUGUCUGAUCUUGUGGCCGUGGGGCUCGUGGUGGCCAGAGAUGCCCUGCAGCCUACUAGGGUGCUAUAACAAAAUCAAAUGCCAUUGACAGCAUGGAGCUAUGUGAUACCCCACAAGUGUAGGGGAUAAUUGUAGCCUCUUUCGAUAAGUAAGAGUGUCGAACCCAACGAGAAGGUAAAGGUAGAACAAAUAUUCUCUCAAGCCCUAUCUGCCACUGAUACGACUCUACGCACGCUUGGUGUUCGCUUUACCUAGAAUAAGUAUGAAACUAGAAGUACUUUGUAGGUGUUGUUGGAUAGGUUUGCAAGAUAAUAAAGAACAUGUAAAUAAAAAGUAGAGGCUGUUUAGAUAAAGAAGCAAUAAAGUAAAGAUAGCGAGUGUGAAAAAGUGGUGGUAGGAGUAGUGAAAUUGUCCCUAAGCAAUUGACUACGUUACUUGAUCAGUAAUCAGUAUUGCAAUUUUAUUUGAGGGAGAGGCAUAAGCUAACAUCCUUUCUCUUCUUGAAUCAUAUGCACUUAUGAUUGGAACUCUAGAAAGCAUCCGCAACUACUAAAGAUCAUUAAGGUAAAACCCAACCAUAGCAGUAAAGUAUCAAGUCCCCUUUAUCCCAUACGCAAACAACCUACUUACUCGGGUUUGUGCUUCUGUCACUCACGCCAUCCACCAUAAGCAAAUCAUGAACAUAUUGCAAAUCCUACAGCGGGAAUCCCUCACGCUUGCGCGACACAGAGAGCACCAUAGGACAACACCAAUAAUAAAACAUGCAACUCAAACCAAUCAUAGCAAUUCAUCAAUCACCGAUAGGACAACGGAAAUCUACUCAGACAUCAUAGGAUGGCAACACAUCAUUGGAUAAUAAUAUGAAGCAUAAAGCACCAUGUUCAAGUAGAGGGUACAGCGGGUUGCGGGAGAGGGGACCGCUGAAUAUAGAUGGGGAAGGUGAUGGAGAUGUUGGUGAAGAUGGCGGAGGUGUUGGUGAAGAUCGCGGUGAUGAUGAUGGCCCCUGGCAGCGCUCCGGCGCCACCGUAAGAAAGGGCGAGAGAGGCCCCCUUCUUCUUCUUCUUCUUCUUCUUCUUCUUCUUCUUCUUCUUCUUCUUCUUCUUCUUCUUCUUCCUUGACCUCCUACCUGGAUGGGAGAAGGGUUUCCCCUCUGGUCCUUGGCUCCCAUGGCGUGGGAGGGGCGAGAGCCCCUCCGAGAUUGGAUCUAUCUCUUUGUCUCUCUCUGUUUCUGCGUUCUCAGAUUCUUCCCCUUCACCGUUUCUUUUAUAUACGGAUAUUCGUAACUCCGAUUGGGGUGAAUCUUUCGCCCAGAUUUUUCUCAUAAAAUUAGCUUUCUUGCGGCAAAAGAAGAGCGUCAACCACCUUACAGGGUGCCAGAGAUAGUCCAGGGUGCACCUUCCUCCCUAGGGCACCCCCCUUGUCUCGUGGCCCCCUCGGGUACCGUCUCGUGUUGAUUCUUCCUCCCAAAAAUCACAAAUAUCCCAAAAUAAUUCUCCGUCCAUUUUUAUCCCGUUUGGACUCCGUUUGAUAUUGGUUUCCUAUGAAACAUAAAACAUGCAACAAACAGGAACUGGCACUGGGCACUGGAUCAAUAUGUUAGUCCCAGAAAUAGUAUAAGAAUUUGCCAAAAGUAUAUGAAAGUUGAAUAAUAUUGGCAUGGAACAAUCAAAAAUUAUAGAUACGACGGAGGCAUAUCAGCAUGCCCAAGCUUAAUUCCUGCUCGUCCUCGAGUAGGCACAUGAUAAAAAAGAUAAUUUUUUAUGUGGAAUGCUACCUAGCAUAAUCUUGAUCACGUAUCUAAUCAUGGCAUGAAUAUUAAGACACGAGUGAUUCAAAGCAAUAGUCUAUCAUUUGACAUAAAAAUGAUAAUACUUCGAGCGUACUAAUAAAGCAAUCAUGUCCUUUCAAAACAACAAGGCCAAAGCAAGCUUAUCCCUACAAAAUCAUAUAGUUUGGUCAUGCUUCAUUUUCGUCACACAAAAUGCUCCAUCAUGCACAAUCCCGAUGACAAGCCUAGCAAUUGGUUCAUACUUUUUAACGCGCUUCAGCUUUUUCAACUCUCACGCAAUACAUGAGCGCAAGCCAUGGAUAUAGCACUAUAGGUGGAAUAGAAUAUGAUGGUGGGGGUUUAUGUGGAGAAGACAAAAAGGGAGAAAGUCUCACAUCGAUGCGGCUAAUCAACGGGCUAUGGAGAUGCCCAUUAAUUGAUGUCAAUGCGAUGAGUAGGGAUUGCCAUGCAACGGAUGCACUAACAGCUAUAAGUGUAUGAAAGCUCAAACUGAAACUAGUGGGUGUGCAUCCAACUUGCUUGCUAAUGAAGACCUAGGGCAUUUGAGGAAGCCCAUCGUUGUAAUAUACAAGCCAAGUUCUAUAAUGAAAAUUCCCACUAGGAUAUGAAAGUGACAAUAUAGGAGACUCUCUGUAUGAAGAACAUGGUGCUACUCUGAAGCACAAGUGUGGUAAAAGGAUAGUAACAUUGCCCCCCUUUUUUUCACUCUUUUUUGGUGGGCUUCUUUGGCCCCCCUUUUUUAUUUAGGCUUAUUUGGCCUCUUUUUUUAUGGGGCAAUGCUCUAUAAUGAUGAUCAUCACACUUUAUUUACCUACAACUCAAUAUUACAACACGAUAUUGGAACAAAGAUAUGACUCUAUAUGAAUGCUUUCGGCGGUGUACCGGGAUGUGCAAUGAUCUAGCAUAGCAAUUACAUGAAAAAAAUGGACAAGCCAUGAAAACAUCAUGCUAGCUAUCUUACGAUCAUGAAAAGCAAUAUGACAAUGAAUGCUCAAGUCAUGUAUAAGAUGAUGAUGGAAGUUGCAUGGCAAUAUAUCUCGGAAUGGCUAUGGAAAUGCCAUAAUAGGUAGGUACGGUGGCUGUUUUGAGCAAGAUAUAAGGAGGCUUAUGUGUGACAGAGCGUAUAAUAUCACGGGGUUUGGAUGUACCGGCGAAGUUUGCACCAACUCUCAAGGUAAGAAAGGACAAUGCGCGGUACCGAAGAGGCUAGCAAUGAUGGAAAGGUAAAAGUGCGUAUAAUCCAUGAACUCACAUUAGUCAUAAAGAACUCAUGUAUUUAUUGCAAAAGUUUAUUAGCCCAUGAAGCAAAGUAUUACUACGCAUGCCCCUAGGGGGAUAGAUUGGUAGGAAAAGACCAUCGCUCGUCCCUGACCGCCACUCAUAAGGAAGACAAUCAAAGAAACACCCCAUGCUUCAACUUUGUCACACAAGGUUACCAUAUGCGCAUGCUACGGGACUUGCAAACCUCAACACAAGUGUCUCUACAAUCCACAACCACCCACUAGCAUGACUCUAAUAUCACCACCUUUAUAUUGCAAAACUAUUGCAAGGAAUCAAACAUACCAUAUUCAGCGAUCUACAAGUUUAUGUAGGAUUUUAUGACUAACCAUGUGAAUGACCAAUUCCUGUCAUCUCUCUAAAUAGAUCUAAGUGAAGCAAGAGAGUUUAAUUCUUUCUACAAAAGAUAUGCCCACGCUUUAACAAAUAUAAGUGAAGCAAAAGAGUAUUCUACAAAUGGUGGUUUUCUAUGUGAAGAGAAAUAGGUAAUCCAAACUUCAAAUGAUAUAAGUGAAGCACAUGAAGCAUUCUUUAAAGCCAUACUCAAAAGAUAUAAUUGAAGUGCAAUUAGCAUUCUAUGAAUCAACCAAGAACUAUGUCAUACCAGCAUGGUGCAUAAAAUGAAACUGAAAACUAAAUGCAAAAGACGCUCCAAGACUUGCACAUGUCGCAUGAACGAAACGAAUACGAAAACAUACUGAUACUUGUUGAAGACAGAGGGGGUGCCUUCCGGGGCAUCCCCAAGCUUAGACGCUUGAGUCUCCUUGAAUAUUUACUUGGGGUGCCUUGGUAAUCCCCAAGAUUUAGCUCUUGCCUCUCUUCCUUUUCCUCAUAUCAAGACCUCCUCGAUUACACACUUGAUCCACACAAAACUUCAACAGAAAACUCGGUAAGAUCCGUUAGUAUAAUAAAGCAAAUCACUACUCUACGUACUGUUGCAAACCAAUUCAUAUUUUGUUUUUGCAUUAUGUCUACUGUAAUAUAGCUUUUCCAUGGCUUAAUCCACUGAUAUAAAUUGAUAGAUUCAUCAAAACAAGCAAACUAUGCAUCCAAAACAGAAUCUGUCAAAAACAGAACAGUCUGUAGAAAUCUGAACAUUUACCAUACUUCUCGUACCCCAAAACUUCUACCAAAAUUAGGAAAAAUAAGCAAUUUGUACAGAAAGACAGUGCAAAAAGAAUCAGAACCAUUUGACGUUCCAGCAAAAAAUGUAAAAUCGUGCACUACAGACAAAGUUUCUGUCCUGCACUGUACAAACCAACAAGCAUUGUAAACAUCCUAAAGGCAAACCUUGGCACAUUAUUUUUAUAAUACAUUGGAAUUGUACAAGGGGAUAAUUACUUUUGAUGAAAAGUUUCUGUAAUCAAGAUUCACAAAGUUUCCGUGAGCAUGAACAAAGUUAAAGGAGCUCUCCCACUUCAACAAUGCUUGUCUCUCUCACUUUCACUUUCCUUUUGAAAAGUUUUGGGUUCCCCUAUUUAUUUAUUUAUUUAUUUGUUUUUAAACUAUAUAAAAGCACUCAACAGAAAAAAAUGACUCUCUAAAACUUCAGGGUUGUCUCCCUGGCAGCGAUUUGUUUAAAGCCAUUAAGCUAGGCAUAUAGUGCUCAAGUAAUGGAUCCACCCGGAUCCCAAGGUAUAUCAAAGCCAAUUUUAAUUAACAAUGAUUUGUGAUUUAGUAGUGAGCACAAAGUAACAUAUAUCAAGCAAUGAUGAAGUCUAACUCUCUUCCUAUGCAUCGGCAUGUCAUAAAAGAACAAUUCAUGCACACAUAGUAAAGGCCAAUGCAUAGUAUAAGUAGUUUCUUGCAGUUUUAUCAUAUUGGAAACAUAGAGAGGUGGAGAUAUAGUUCCUCUCUCGUAAUAAUUGCAAGUAUGAGCAGCAAUCACAUGCAUAUUAUAUCCAUCAAAAUUAUCAUGUGCAACGGUAAAAGGCAUCCCAUCAAUAUAAUCCUUAAUAAGCACAAACUUCUCCGAUAUAGUGUAGUUGAGAGAAUUCAAAAAGAUAGUAGGACUAUCAUGCGUGGGUGCAAUAGCAACAAUUUCAUGUGUAACAUAAGGAACUAUAGCAAGUUCAUCUCCAUAAGCAUAACUCAUAUUGGCAUCUUGGCCACAAGCAUAGGAAAAGCAUCAUCAAAAAGGGGUAUUUGAAGAGAAUCAACGGGAUCAUAGCAAUCAUCACAGCAAUCAUCCUUCGGUAAGCACGAAGGGGAAUUAAACAAUGUAUGAGUUGAAGAGUUACUCUCAUUAGAAGGUGGGCACGGGUAGCUAAUCCGCUCUUUCUCCUUCUGUUCUUCGCUCUCCUCAUCAUCUUUUUCAUCCAAUGAGCUCACAGUUUCAUCAAUUUCUUCUUCCAUAGCUUCCUGCAAAAUAUUAGUCUCUUCUUGGACAGCGAAGUAGUCCUCAAUAUAUAGUUUAGCAUCGGCAUUAGAAGCAUAAUUAUCAUAGCAAUAUUCAAGUAUGGCAAAAUUUUCAGAUUUGUAGAGAGUAGCAUCAUACUUUUCAAUCAAAGAAGCAAUUUCAGAAGCACCCUUAAAAGCAACAAAUUCUUCAAUUUGUUGAACAUCAUAGUAAUUAUAAACACCCUUAGCAUAUGAAGAUACGAUUCCAUUAUCACUAAACAAGCAUUGGUAGGGAAGGUCUUUCUUAGGGUUAUCAGAACAACAAGUAACACCAUAUAUUUCAUAUAAAGUCCCAGCAUAGCAUGGAAAACGAUGAAUUUGAUCCAGUAAAAGUUUCCCCUUUUCAGAUAUACGGUGUCGCACAUAACAAGCAUGCUCAUCUAAAGAUUUGCCCUCAACUAAGCAAGUGGGGGUUUAGGCACGAGCACAAAGGGAUCGAAGAUGAUCCAAGUAAAAACCUUCAGGAGUGAUACAUUUUGAGUGGUUCUUCAACCAUUGGUUCAGUAGGUACAACUAAUUUUUUUGGUAUUUUGCAUUUCCUACCCAAAACUAAAGAUAGAAAACAACUAAGAAUAGCAAAUAAAAAUUACUUAGUGAUAAAGCAAACAAGCACACAUGAGAAUAUUCACCCCAUGCUAUGACUCCCAGGCAACGGCGCUAAAAAAAGGUCUUGAUAACCCACAAGUGUAGGGAAUAAUUGUAGCCUCUUUCGAUAAGUAAGAGUGUCGAACCCAACGAGGAGCUAAAGGUAGAACAAAUAUACGACUCUACGCACACUUAGUGUUCGCUUUACCUAGAACAAGUAUGAAACUAGAAGUACUUUGUAGGUGUUGUUGGAUAGGUUUGCAAGAUAAUAAAGAACACGUAAAUAAAAACUAGGGGCUGUUUAGAUAAAGAAGCAAUAAAGUAAAUAUAGCGAGUGUGGAAAAGUGGUGGUAGGAGUUGUGAAAUUGUCCCUAAGCAAUUGACUACGUUACUAGAUCGGUAAUCACUAUUGCAAUUUAUUUGAGGGAGAGGCAUAAGCUAACAUACUUUCUCUUCUUGGAUCAUAUGCACUUAUGAAUGGAACUCUAGCAAGCAUCCGCAACUACUAAAGAUCAUUAAGGUAAAACCCAACCAUAGCACUAAAGUAUCAAGUCCCCUUUAUCCCAUAUGCAAACAACCUACUUACUCGGGUCUGUGCUUCUGUCACUCACGCCACCCACCAUAAGCAAAUCAUGAACAUAUUGCAAACCCUACAGCGGGAAUCCCUCACGCUUGCACGACAUGGAGAGCACCAUAGGACAGCACCAAUAAUAAAACAUGCAACUCAAACCAAUCAUAGCAAUUCAUCAAUCACCGAUAAGACAACAGAAAUCUACUCAGACAUCAUAGGAUGGCAACACAUUAUUGGAUAAUAAUAUGAAGCAUAAAGAACCAUGUUCAAGUAGAGGGUACAGUUGGUUGUGGGAGAGUGGACCCCUGAAUAUAGAUGGGGGAAGGUGAUGGAGAUGUUGGUGAAGAUGGCGGAGGUGUUGGUGAAGAUCGCGGUGAUGAUGAUGGCCCCUGGCAGUGCUCCGGCGCCACCAGAAGCAAGGGGGAGAGAAGCCCCCUUCUUCUUCUUCUUCUUCUUUUUCCUUGACAUCCUCCCUAGAUGGGAGAAGGGUUUCCCCUCUGGUCCUUGGCUCCCAUGGCAUGGGAGGGGCGAGAGCCCCUCCGAGAUUGGAUCUAUCUCUCUGUCUCUCUCUGUUUCUGCGUUCUCAUAUUCUUCCCCUUCACCGUUUCUUUUAUAUCCGGAGAUCCGUAACUCCGAUUGGGGUGAAUCUUUCGCCCAGAUUUUCUAAUAAAAUUAGCUUUCUUGCGGCAAAAGAAGAGCGUCAGCCGCCUUACGGGGUGCCCAGGAGAGUCUAGGGCGUGCCGGCCUCCCUGGGGCGCGCCUCCCUGUCUCGUGGCCGCCUCGGGCACCGUCUCGCGUUGAUUCUUCCUCCCAAAAAUCACAAAUAUUCCAAAAUAAUUCUCCGUGCGUUUUUAUUCCGUUUGGACUCUGUUUGAUAUUGGUUUCCUCCGAAACAUGAAACAUGCAACAAACAGGAACUGGCACUGGGCACGGGAUCAAUAUGUUAGUCCCAAAAAUAGUAUAAAAAGUUGCCAAAAGUAUAUGAAAGUUGAAUAAUAUUGGCAUGGAACAAUAAAAAAUUAUAGAUACGACGGAGACGUAUCACUAUGUCAGGAGUGUGGCGGCCCUCUUGGACAUCAGAGCGCGCGUAGGAUGCUGGUACGUAGUGGUGGGCGCUGCCGUUGAGAUCAAGGUUGGGGGAGAUGGGAGGGGUGCCCCUGGGCGUGCUAAAUAAAGGAGCCUGGGAGCUGGCCGGGCACCUCCAUUGGUGUUAGGUUGCUGCCAAUGCAUGGGUGCUUAGAUGAGGUGCUAAGCACAUUAAAUAGCUUAGCAACUAUACUCCCCAAUGCAUAGGUGCUUAGCUUAUGGUUGCUAAGCUUGCUUCAUUUAAUGAUUUAGCAACUAAAGUUCUUCAUGUAUUGGUGGACUUCUUUCCUUUAAUUGUUUUGCCUAGGUUUACGAGCUUAGCAUUGUCUCUUCCUGGGUCACCACACUCGUCUCUCUCCUCUUAAAUAACUUGCCACAUCAAAUUUUUUGCCUAUGUGGAAGGCUUAGCACCUGUACAAGGUGGAGCAUUGGGAGAGGCCUUAAUGGAUUUUUAGCAACGGUAACAUUACUCCUCGCUUGAAUACCGGUGGACGAUCUCCAAUCACCCACUAUGCUGCAUCGCUGCCCAUUAAUGCGUCGCUAUCUCUACGCAUUUCCCGCACACUGCCCUUCCCAAAGCAGACACUCUUUCUUGCGAUAUUCCUUGUGCUAACCGGGCCGAUGUUAAACAACAGAUGAUGGCAAGCGAAUAUGUUACAGUGAGCUUAAAUGGGAUUCUUGAGGGAGAAGGGUAUGAUUAACCAUAAACCACCGAUUUUGUGACAGGAGUAGCAGCCAAUGAGGCAUCCAGUCCACUUAGUGCUAUUUAAAAGUAUCUUACGGCCAAAAAGCGACCAUCACAAAAUGAUCCAAUGGUUAGGAACGGUGCUGGACUGAGAGGGCAGGAAAGAUGCUCAGGUAUAAUGUAUCCAUAUGUCCUUCCCACGAUAUUGAGCAUGAACAUUUGUUGUGCUUGGACCAGCGUCCCUUAAGGUGCACACUAUCCGGAUAGACUUUGCUGGUUGCCACCCCCAUAUCUUUGGGACAUAGAGUGGAUGUGACUUUCACGGUGAUUGGUGAUGUACCAACUAUUGUCAUACCCAUGCAGCAACCGUACCAAAACAGGGCACUCACACCUACAUGAACUGUUGUUUACUGACUCUGGCUUCCCCUGCACACCAGCUAGCACAUGUCAUGGUCAGCGCAACUAAAUUAGUGAUGGGAGCCCCACAAAUAAAAGGACAGAAGAGAAGAGAGUGGCGUUUUGGCACAUGGAAGCACGUGUUCCUAUUUUUAAAAUUUAUUUUAAACAUACUUUGAAAUAUCAAAAAAAUUCAAACAAAAACUUGGCGCGUACAUCUCGAUAUUAUACAUUCUCACAAAGUUGUUUCGCGAAAAACUGACAACUCACGCGUCGCGUGUGAAAAAGACAAAAUCCGGUCUUAAAAAAUACUUUUCACAAAACAUCCUUUUGUCUUUUUUACACAAGCCACAAAAAAUGGUGGGUUUUCUUCGAAACUUGACAUGCACACAUAUAAUGUCAAAAUGUAUGCGCCAAAUUUUUGUUUGGAAUUUUUUCACACAUUGAAAUAUUUUUUUUGUGUCCAGGAGCGCGCGCUCCAGGGAGCAGCAACAUAUAUCCACAUAAUAGAUAAGCAGAAGGCACUACAUGCCAAGCAGCCACAAAUGAUUUCCUGCAUCUAUUUGGUCCUCUCAGCAUUAAAUCUAGUCUUACAAUACCUGAUCCCAAACCCAAUCUCCCAUGAAUACAAGUUGUAGAUGUCGUGCGCCUCACCUAGCGAGUAGUGAGUUGAAUUCAGUCCCAGUUCUGGCUUGAUUACACUCUCCCUAGCCUCCUCUGCACAUUUCCGAAUCGACUGCUCCAAUGCCCUCAUCCUACAUGGACAAGGCCUUUUGUCCGAUGGAGAACUCUUGAGGCGUAACCUGAUUUUUUAGCAACACAGUCAAUCGGAUAGAUGCAGGCUUACCUCUUAUGUCCAUCCUGGUCCUCCGGAUUGACCCUAUCAGUAGACCCGGACCAUGUCGGAGACGCCUUUUUUCACCGGCUUCCUUCGCCACCUUGCUGCCCGCACCCAGACCCAACAUUGGAGUUCCCCGGCUCAGUCGGGUGGGCAUCACCGCGUAACUGGAUCGGGAUGCUCCAACAUGUUCGCAAACUUCUCCGGCAAAGGAAACCUGCAAGACACACCAUGGCCACUGGCGGUGGAAGUGGGAUGAGGGGACAACGGUUGUACGAAGCACCAACUCUCAAAAAUCGACGUGGAUGAGGGGGCGGGUUGAACUCACCGGUUGAAGGCAUCGAACAGGAACUCAAGCCCCGCAUCCUCCAUCGCCAACACCGCCAGAACUAGCAAAAGCCGCCUCAAUUACGGAUGGAGUGGGCUGAUGUGAGGGCGGGUUUGGCGGACCUCCUACUGGCGGUCUCAAUCCCUGGUUGACCUACCGAGAAAGGUCCACAAAUUCGUCUGUGUGACGGCUCAAGUUUUUCGCGUAACCCUAGGCCACGGCUCAAACAGAAAUUCUCUGUCCUGGUCCACGGAGCAUUAAAUCCCGCCCGAGUCAAGGCGCCCAUCCCUACUUAAUUGGCCGCACACACGGUCGCACUGUUUCAUGCUGUAUACAAGCCGUAUCCUCAUUAUUUGCCGGUGCAGAUUUUUUUCGGAAAAACAUCCAAUAUAUUCAUCUUCAAUCAUGGCGGUACAACAAACACCAGAAAUAAUAAAAUUUAUAUCUAGAUCCGUAGACCGCCUAGCGACGACUACAAGCACUAAAGCGAGCCGAAUGCGCGCCGCUGUCAUUGCCCCUCCCUCACUGGAGCUGGGCAGAACUUGUUGUAGUAGACAGCAGGGAAGUCGUCGUCCUAAGGUCCCAUAGGACCAUCUCACCAGAAUAGCAACCACCGCCGAUGAAGUGUAGCACAAAUCGAAAGGAUCCAACCUGAAAACACACGAACGUAGACGAACGACGAACAUAUCCAAGCAAAUCCACCAAUGACAGAUCUACCGGAGACACACAUCCACACGCCCACCGACAAUGCUAAAUGCACCACCAGAACUGGGGCUAGGCGAGGAGAACCUUAUUCCAUCUUCAGGGAGCAGCCAUUGUCUCAUCUUUCUGAGUUGGACACAAACCCUAACAAAUCUCGAAGACACAUCUAAAAACCGAUCCCUUCCCUGGCAAGGGCCAGGAUCCGCUGCGCUCCCAUGACCCUAAGGCAACCGGAGAUGAGGCGGACCAGCGCCGGCGCCGGUGGGAGGCACAUGAAUCCUAGUUGGGGAGGAGGAGGCGGCCUGAGGAUUCAUGUAACGUCCUUUCUAGGUUCACCGGUUGUCCCCUUCUAUUCUGCCGAUGCAGAUCUGACACGUCAAAACGAAUUGUUGCAAUCCCCAGGCAGCAGCGAAUGCUAGCGAUAUUGGGAGCAGCUGAGCUCGAGCACCGAAUCGCUGCGUCCCGCGAGCAUAGUAGCCAGAAGAGAAACCGAGCGUGUAUAAAGCGCUAAACUACACUGCCCUAACAGAGCGUGCGUGUGAGCGCUGAUGCGCCAACCAACGCCAUAAGCAUGGUAGAGGAGUGCUCCUGCAAUUUGUUGCCUCAAAUAGGUGGGGAAACACAUAAGGACAGGCACUGGUCGGCCCAUUCAUUUCAUACUGUACAAACCCGGUAGCCAAGAUUUUUUCGGUGUUGUACACUUUCAAGCGCUUUUUCAAUUAGGCGUUUUCUUUUUCAUAUUUUGAAAAACAUUAGAAAAACUUAUUUAUUGAAAAACUAAGUAUUGAGUUUUUAAAAUAAUUUUACAAAAUGUGAACAUUUUUAAAAACAUGAAUGUUUUCAUAAUGCAGACCAUUUUUUCAAGUUUUGAACAUUUUUUCAAAAACACGAAUAUUUUUGGAAAACACUAAAAAAUUGUGAAAACAUUCAAAUGAAAUUAUCCAUUUUGAAAAACUAUUCAUAUAUUUAAUAAACAUGAACAUUUUUGAAGAUUUUGUGAAAAAAUCUGAAAAAGAACAAAAGAAAACAAAAUAUAAACCAGCAAAAGAAGAAAACCUAAAAAACCGGAAUCCUUAAUGCGUCAUAAUAAUGCACGUCUAUUUUUUAUGAAUAUGUCUUCGAAUCAAAAAUUUCUUUCAUAUAUGGGUUUGCCUAUACCUCACUUGUAGUGAGGCAAAAGAACACAACGCCUCAGGCCCCCUGUAUUGUGGCCUAGGGAUUCUUCAUUAUGCAGGAAGCCGGCUUGGUAGGCCGGCCCAGGGCCUCAUAGGUCGGCUUGUCCAGGGCCAUCAAUCUGGCCCAUGGAUCCAAUUAGAGAAAGGCUCGGGGAACUUGGAGCGGGUGACAGGGUGACUAGCGUCCAGGAGAACUCCUCCAAUGACCAACUACGAUCGUGUAAUCUUAGACCCCGACACCCAUAUAUGUGGUGGCUAGAUUAGUCAAUAGACACAGAACCUUAGAACUAUUGCUCAAUCCAUCGAUUAUUGUAACCCCUAUACACAAGCAAUAUACACGAGCAGGGGUUAGGAUUUUAGCUCAUCCAUGAGGGUCUGAACCUGGAUAAACCCCUUCUUAUUUCCCAUUUGGUUUAAUCGCAUGGCCAGAGAACCUUAUCAAGUGAUCUGUCGGAAAUAACUCCACCAGUCAUAAAUGGGCUAGGGCCAGAUAAUUUUUUUCUCCUUUUCUCUUAUUUUGUUUCUACUUUUGGUUCAAUUUAAAACAUAUUGUAAAUAUAUAUAUUUGGAAAUAUUCUUCAUCAAUUAUUAAUAACAUUCACCAUGCCUGAAAUAAUGGUCAUGAAAUGAAAUUAUUUUUUUGCACAAUUUGAGAAAUUGUUCAUAUCCUUCAAACGAAUAUUCGUAUCAUUUUUAAAAUGUUCGCGUGUUUAAAAAUGAAUGAAUUUUUAACAAUGUUUAUUAAAAUAUAUAAAAAUUAACAGUGUAAUUUGUAAAAAAUGUUCAUACCAUUCAAAUAAUGUUUAACACUUUAAAAAUGUUCAAACAUUUUAAUUUUAAGUAUUUUUUAGUAAAUACUAUUGAUAUAGAAAAAAAUUGACAAAAAAUUAAAAGUUUGUAACAUAUAAAAAUGUUUGUAAAAUUUUCAAAAUAUGUUCAUAAACACUUACGAAAUGUUUGGCACAUUUACGGAUAUGUUGAUGUCUUAAUUUUUUGAAAACUAUCAAUGAAAUUUACAAAAAUGUUCCUAGCAGAAAUGCUAUUACAAAAAUUUAUGAAUAGAAAAUGUGUAUAAAAUUUACAGAAAAGUUCACAAUUUUUUGAAACUUUAAAGCUGGCUUCUGAUUUUUUUUCAAAAUUUUGAGGUCCAUGGAGCUCGGGAUCCAAACAUCCACUCUCUACCAACUAUAUGCAUGUAUCUUGUAGCAAGCCAUGAGCCAAGGGUUGCUACAUGAUCAAUUGCUGACUGGGCAGUGUGUUUUCUUCAUUUAGGGCAGAUCACAAGUGUUUGACAUCUCUCUCUACAUUGGGUAUCCUUUUCCACUUGAAUUUUAAGAUGCGCAGAAUGUGCUUUCCUUGUUGUUGCCUCGUCAUUCCAGCAUGGAAUCAAAGCAAAAAUGAUAUUACUUCCCUUAAAAAUUGUCUCGCUAUCUAUGUCCAUAACAUGCCCAUUGGACUGCAUGGCAGAAGUGAAGGUGUGUGCCUAGCUGGCGGAGCAGACACACUCAUCUGUGACCUCUGAUCUAAGAAUGACAUGUACUUUGUUGUGAGCCCAUGGUGCAUGUGGGUUGGAACGCUCCUUAGGAAAUCUAGACUUAUUUUGCAGGCAAGCCAAGAUGAGAUCUGUAGGCCCAUGUGAAUUCCAUCAAAAUCACGCUCAGUUCAACUCUGGUUCGAAUCCUAAUAAAAAAUAGCUCAGCGGUCCUAGAUGGAUAUGUCCAUUGCUAAAAAAUGCAGUUUUUGAAAGAGUCAAUUUGACUUGUAGCUAGAGGACGCCGACACCUGUCACUUCUUCUACACGCACUAAACAAACCCUAGCUUAUCCAACUCAAUUUGCUUUAAGGUUUGUGUGUGAAAGAAGUAGUGUUAAAACCAAACACCACACUCUUCGACCUGAGAAAUCAAUAGUAAAUUUACCUAUGGAUAUUAAAUCUAUAUACAUCAUACUUGAUUUGUCAAGUUGAUAAUACUUACUAAACAUAUUUCAAAUUACAAUAUUUGGUGCUUCACAGCCUGUUAUGAAAUUAUUGUUCACCCAUCCAAUACAAUAAAAAGUAUUUGAAUGAUGUUAACGCACGCGUGAGAGAGAGAGAGAGAGAGAAAGACUAGAGUACAUUUUGUCGUGAUGUCCAUCAUAGUUCCACGAUUAGUACACCUAGGAGGAGACAAUCAAAAUAUGGACAGAAAAUAAAUAUUUAAUAUGUAAAUGGUAGGUAACAAAUCCAACCACAAAAUUGUGCAAGCAACCCACUAGCUAGUUUUAUUGAAUAUUAAAAUAACAUAGUUGAUUUCUAAAACAUAUAAGAUUUAUUAUCUCAUCAACACAUAAUUAUUUUGAGAACCAUAAGGUUGAGAUUUAUCCACCCAAAAUAGGGGAGAUAACAAAACUAUUGUGUUGUUGUUGCUGGUGUGCAAUUAAUCUUGCAGGGACAAUUGAUGAAGCAUUCUCCAAGAUCUGGCCAGCACAAGUUAUCUAUUUGACAGCAGAAUUCCCGUCCUGGGAGCUGGUGCCCAUCUUUAUAACAAGGGGGUCUGGUUACAUGGCUUACUUUGCUCAUCAUGUUUCUCCCCUU
rnacentral:lncRNA from 1 species